rnacentral:lncRNA from 1 species
GAUCCUGUGAUCAAAUUAUUGUCAAAGAUUUUGAGCACUUCAAGGUGUUUUAAGCUGCAAAGCAUUCUAGGGAUUGGGCCAGAGAAUAAGUUUUGUGACAAUUCUAGUUCCUUAAGCAUGGAAGCAUUGGAGAUAGAGUUGGGAAUGUUUCCGCUAAGUUUAUUUCUCCACAAUAAAAGAAUCUCAAGCUUUGGAGCAUUGGUGAUGGGUGGUAAAUUACCUGUAAAAUAGCAUCUUUUAGUAUACAUAUUCAUUGAAUACCAAAUUUACAAAAUAUAUAAUACAUUAAAAUAAAAACUGUACAACUUUAAAUCAAUUAAGAAUAGAAUUUUGGCAUGGAAAAAUGUGAUGAAAUCACUUAGAAAGUUGAGACAUAAUAAGAAGUUUUAAGUAGUAAUUAUUCCUUGUGAUUUGUAUAGAAAAAACAUAUAAUACACUAACAAUUUUUUAAAAAUAAAAAUAAAAGUUUGGCAUGAGAAUGUGGCAUCUAAUCCAUCUUAAAAAUGAGUCUGACACUGAAUAAUAAUUAGUUAUGAUUUGGGAAAAAAAUGUUAAAGCCAUUGUUUUUAAUGUAAACUGGUAUGAUUUUUAUCUAUUGGGUAUAUUAUUUAUUUUUAUUAAAUUAUAGUGUAAAAUUUAAAGAUUAUUAUUUGCUCAAAAUUUUUGUAUUUUUCGUAUAUUUGAAAUUUAAUCUUUAUAUUUUUUAUUUUCUGUGAUUUAGUCUCUCUACUUUUUGAAUUGUAAAUUUUAGGUUUAUUUAUUAAUGCUGUUAAAAAGUUUUUGUGUUAGUAUGGCAUUUUGAAAAAUAAAAUAAACUUGAUAUCUAUGUUUUUAAUUAUUCCAAAUAUUGUUUUACUAUUUCAAGAUAAAUUAUUUGUGUCUAGACCAAUAUCUUAAGAACUAUUAUUGCAUGUUUAAUUAUUCUAAAGAAUUGUCGAUUGAGUCUUAGCUUGAUUGGCAUGUGCAUUGUUGCCAAUGUAGGAGAAUGUGGGUUCAAGUAUGCUGAAGUGUAUUAUCCUUCUAUUUAUGAAUCAAGGAGUUGGCAAAGUAUUAUAUUUUGAUAUAUUUUAGAAUAUUAAAAAAUUAUUAAAAUAUUUUUUUAUAAAAAUUGGUUGUACCACAAUAUACAUCAAAUUUUUAAUUUUUUUAAAAAUAUUAGCGAAUUUAUAUUUUAUUUCAAGUUACACAAUUUUUACUAGUUUUUAACUUUUUUUUAAAAAUUUUUAUCGUCUUUCAUAAUUUCUAAUAAAUUUUUAUAUAUUUUUGACAAUAUUUAACAAUUUCUAACAAUUUUUAAUAAUUUUAUUAUUAAUUACAAAUUUAAAAAUUAACACAUUUUUAUUUUUUAAAACAAUUUUAUAUUUAUAAUGUAGUUGUUUUUUUUAUAAUUUUAUUUGAAAAUUUAAAGCUUUUUUGGUUUUUUUAAGAUAAUGAUGCCAUCAUGAUGUCAUCAUAUGCCACAUGGCAAUUUAUGAUUAGUUGGAUAUCUCAAUCUAUUUUUUUAACGUCCAAUUGACUAAACCAAGAACACCUGAUAAUGUUAGAGACUACACUAGAAAUGCUUGAUAAUAUUAGGUACUAAAGUGGGCAAAAACUCAUUAAGGACCAAAGUAAAAAAAAAAAAAGAGCAAUAUGCUGUAGGGAAUAAAUGCAUGAAUUUUGAGAAACUUUUGAACUAAUAAUUACAUAGUAAUUAUUAGUGAAUUUGUUAUUUUAAAUAUUUUUAUUACUUUUAGGAUUUAUCAUAUGUAUGGAUAAGAAUUUUGGUUUUACUAAAAUAUUUGGUUAAAUAAAUUCAUAAAAAAAUUUAGCAUCCUUAUAAAUAACAAUUUUGAUUCUAUUAAAAAAAUCAUUUUAAAAAAUAUAUAAUAAAAAUUUAAAAUUUAUAUUGAAUUACUUUAUACGUAAAUUAUUAUUAGAAACGUUAUCAUACACAUAUGUAUAUGAGAACUACGUAUUUAGAACAUAAAUUUAUGUUUGAAAAUAACUUAUGAUAAAUAAUGAAAUGUAUAAUUUGAAACUAUUUAAUAAUAACACAUGGCAUAUCUACCAUAUUAAAAAUAAAAAUAGAUUAAAUUGUAAGUAAAACAUAAUUUAAACAUAUGGAUACAUCAAAUUAAGAAUACUAAAUGAAUACAGUUAUUUAUGAUGAUGUUGUUGUCAAUUCUUAAGUUGGUGUCGAGUUAAUUUGUGACAUCAUAAUUUUAAGUGAUAAAUUUAAAGUUUUAUGUAUUGAUGUGGAUUCAAAUAUCACCAUAACUUUUUUAAAAUAAAAAAUUAAAUUCAACACAAUAAAAUGAAACAAAUUCAACACAAUGUUUUUGGAGUUUGCAAAAAAUUAAAGUGAAAAACAUACCUUCUAAUUUGUUGUCAUAUAGAACUAUUUCUUCGAGCGUAGUUGAAUUAAAAAUACUUGAUGGAAUCUGGCCUGCACACAUAGUCGAAAAUUGAAGUGAAAAAUACACCUUCUAAACUGUUCAACUAAAAAUACUUUAAGCAUAUUUUUUUUUCCAUCAAAUUAACUAUUUUGCCUUGAAUGAAAUAAAAUGCUCUUACUUUUGUUAUCUAUUACAAAUCAAACUCUUUUGUGAAUAAAAUAUUACCAGAUAAUUCAUUCCAACCCAGGUUAAGCCCUUCAAGCUUGGGAAGUUGUUGACACAUAUCAUUAGGCAAACUACCUGAUAGGCUAUUGCUGGAGAGGUCAAUGGUCUUCAGAGAAGAAAUGUUGAAGAUCGAAGUUGGAAUUUGACCUGUAAGGCCUUUAGUUGCUUCAAUAUCAAGCAGUUCCAAACCAAGAAGAUUACCGAUUUCCUUAGGAAUUUGACCUGCAGACAUAGUUGAAAAAUCAAUGUUUUUUAGCAUAUAUUUUUCAUCAAAUUAACUAUUUUUCUUCGAAUGAAAUAAAAAGUUCUUCCUUUUGUUAUCUAUUACAAAUUAAACUCUUUCAUAAAAAAAUACUUUAAAUUCAAGAAAUUAAGGAAAUUGAUUACCUUUUAGAUUAUUAAACCCUAAAUAUAAUUCCUGGAGUCGUGUUAGAUUUCCAAUACUUCUUGGAAUGAUCCCCAUAAAUUGAUUACCGAACAAUGACAAAUUUUUAAGGUUGUUGCAUUUGCCCAUGCCAAAUGGAAUGUAACCAGAUAAUUCAUUCCAACUCACGAAAAGCCCUUCAAGCUUGGGAAGAUGUUGACACAUAUCAUUAGGCAAAGUACCUGAUAGGCUAUUGCUGGAGAGAUCAAUAAUCUUCAGAGAAGAAAUCUUGAAGAUGGAAGAUGGAACCUGACCAGAUAAUUGAUUGAAUCCUAAGUUCAAGAUCCCUAGAUUAGACAUGUUAACAAGUGUUUCAGGGAUUGUGCCUGUAAAGUUAUUAUUUUUCAUUUGCAGCCUUCGAACUCUCUGUAAAUUCCCAAGCCAUGAUGGAAUUUCCCGAUUAAGACGGUUGUAGCUUAAUUGAAGGAUCCUCAAACGAUGCAAUUGGCCCAAUUCUUUAGAGAGAUGGCCAUAGAAAUGGUUGCUACUCAAGUCGAGAGAGACUAGAAAUGAAAGAUUUCCAAGGUGUGGAGGGAUAAUACCCCUAAGAUUCAUGCUUGUAAGAUUCAAUGCUAUAACUCUUUUAUGGAGGAUGCCACAAGAAACACCAAUCCAAUUGCAAACAGAGGUUGAGGCUGUCCAAUUGUCUGCCAAGACAUUUUGAGGACCGGCAAUGCGAUCCUUAAACUCGAGAAGUGCAAACUGAUCAGAGUUGAGAUUCCUGGCUGUCAUAGCCAAGCGAAGUACGGAACAUGGUAUGAAUAAAGCUAAGAGAAGAUGAAAGCAAGUGUUGUAGUUCAUGAUUGCAAGACGGAAUAAGGCAAGAAAAAAGGAAAAAAAAAGUAGGAAAAGGGAAGUUAAGUUGAUAAAAUAGUUUGGAUGAUGAAGAAAAGCCCAGAGAGCAUGCUUUAAUAUGUUUCAACCCUCGCACACUUGAUAAACUUGAUAAAUUUAAGACUACCCUAAAAAUUAAAAAGGAAAACAAAGUUUUGAUGAGAUUUCAAAAAAAAUGUCAAGUAUUCUUCUUUUAAAAAUACGUACAAAGAAGCGAAUUUUCAAAAUUUCUCCUAAAUUUUCUUCAAAUUACUCCACAUAAUCCAUUAAAAAAACUUAAAAAAUAUAUUUUAUUAAUUACUAUAUAUUCUUUUGUUUUCAUAAUAAUAAAUUGUUUAAAAUAUGCUAUUAGUGGCCGUAAUUUAAAGUUUAAAAAAAAAUCCAAUCCUCCUUUUUUUUAAUUUAAAAAUUCUAAUCCAAUCAUUUUUAAUUCCAUUAAAAAGUUUUCAACUUAAUAGAUUUUUUAUUAUCAAUCUUAUGCAACAUUAUAUGAAGGCAGUCUACUCAGCAUAUAUCCAAGUUUACAGAUUUUAAUAGAAAAUACUUACAAUCCUAAUGGUAGGACUAAGUUUUUUAAACUAGAAAAGUAAAAAAAAAAAAAACUUAAUUUUUAACUUUUUUAAGUACAAGGAUUAAAUUUUAAAUGUUGUCAAAGUACAAGCACUAACAAAAUAUUUUGAUCUAAUAAAUGUAAAAAAGCAUUUUAAACAAAAGAAGGUUGAAAUAAUCUAUUUGUCCUUAUACUUUGAUAAAAUUUGAGAUACCAUAAAAUUUGUAUCUUUUUUCGAAUUAUUUAAUGACAUUUCAACAUUUUCAUUCAAAAAAAAAUAUCAUUUUGAAUUUGAUCUUUUUCAAGAUGAAAUAUUGAAAUGAUGUUAAAUUAUUAGAAAGAGAUACAAGUUUCAUGGUGUCCCAAAUUCAUUUAAUCUUAUCUCUCUAAGAAAGCUGAAUUAAGAUAUUAAUGACAUCAUUUGAAACAAAGUUUUAGGUCAAAUUAUUCAUCUAUUCCUUGUAAUUGUUCUUUAAGGUGAAUUUCAUUAUUAUUCUUUUAUUUUCUUUGGCUUAAAUACACAAUUACUCCUAAUUUUAUCACAUUCUCCUUAAUUGGUAUUUAUAGUUUAUAAAAUUUUAUAAAUAUAUUAUUUUUUAAGAAAUUAUAAGAAGAUUACAAAAAUUCCAAAAUAAUAUAAAAAAGCUAAGAAAAACCUAGAAAUUCAAAAAAAAAAAUCAUGUUUUUACAAAUUGGAAAAUACCUAAAUUUACUUUUCAGCCCGUCCGAUGCUAUGAAAGAAGAAGAAAGAGAGUCUUUGCUAACAUUUUUUUUUCUUCGUCAUCUCUAUGUUUCUUGGCAAAUACAAUGAAAGAAGAACAAAGAAAACUGUUGGCUAUUUAUUUCCCAAUAAUCCUGAAAUUACUUGCCAUAGGCGUAGAAUUUGCUAACCAAUUUUCAAGCAAUCUGACAUGAAUUCUUGUUAAGUAUGACUCCUAUUUUCAGUCAAAUUUGAGAAAUAAUCUUCUAGUUAAUUCUGUUUAUUUGUUUCAAUCAAACACUGAUUAGUUUAGAUUAUUUUAUUAUUAUUUGACAUAUGAAUUUAGCCUAUAAAUAGGUUAUUUUACAACCUUAGAAAAUACACCCAAUAGAGUUUAGAACUCAUAACAUAUUUAGAGAAUUUUGUGUUUACGUUUUGAGAGUUCUUUGUUUUCGGAUUUUCGGGGUUUAGUUUUUAUCUCCAUCUCUUGUAUUCUUUGUUCUUUUGCCAUUAUAAUAAAAUUAUCUUUACCCGUGGUUUUUUAUCCUUUUUGGAGGAGUUUUUUCACGUUAAAUUUGUGUGUUCAAUUUCUCAAUUUAUUCCGCUAUUUUGUUACUUGUUGCUUAAUCGGGUCGAUCCCUAACAAUUCUCAAUCACAAUUAAUUGAAUUCAAGAUAUAUUUGGAUGAGAACACAAAUAUUUCAAUUUUACCACAAUCCAAUGUUUGGGAUGAUUUGGGAUAAGAACUCCAACAUUUUAAGAUCACAUUUUCUUUUAUAAUUUCAGGCUUAUCAACUAUUUUGAAAACAACAAAACGUCUUACACCAAAAACUAAAAAAUUAAAACGUCGACAUUAAAUUUGUUGGUAUGCAAUCAAUUUUAAGAUGGGUCUUGGAGUUAUAUAUCACUUUAGCAUUGACUUACUUUUCUACUCUUAGUCUUCUCCAAUAAGUUAAAUAUUUCAAUUUUAACAGCACUGACAGGUCUUUGGGGUAGGGUCCAGCAAAACUCAAUAGAAACAGAUGAUAUAGGCAGAGUUGGCUCGGCCAAGUCGAGUCGACUUGUUCAAAUUAGUUAAAUUAGUAAAUUUUAGGGUGCAGUUAGAACUUUUUUUUUUUUUUUGAGAUGCUAAUAUUAAAAAAUUUUAGUUGCUAAAACAAAAAAUUUAUAUUUAAAAAGGAAUAAAUUAAAUUAUUAAGUUUUUCAAGUUUCCAUUUAAUCAAAGGUUAAAAGGACUAAAUUGAAGCUUUUUAUUUUAAAGAAAGGCUGAAUGACAAAUUGCCCAAAGCCCAUGCCCCUAGCUAUAUGCCCCUGGUAAAAUCAAUUUUAAAAUUAGUUAUAAUAGUUGAAGCGAAUUGAUUAUUGAGUAUUGAAAUACAUAGUUCAACAAAAUAAACAAACUGACAAAUUUUGACCAAAAAAAAAAAUCAAAGGUGAUAAUAAUUAAAUUAUAAAAUUUAAAUUGAGAAAAUAGGGGAUUGAAUUUAUAAUUUUUAAAGUAUAAAGAAUGAAUUUAUAACUAACAUCAUAUUUUAACCACAUAAUAAAAGUAGUUAUGGAGAGGAUCAUGUAAAAUAAUGACCUGAAUAAUUUUAAACGUCUCAUCCUUGCAAAAAUGAAAUAAUAGAAAAGAAAGAGUAAAGAGUAGCCAUUUUAUGAAAUCUAUAAUUCCAACUGUGAAUAAAAUAUAAAUUUUAUGAAUGUGGACAAGCCAUUUUAUUUAUAAUUUUCUGUGUUUUUCUGACUUUUUUUUAAGUCAUUUUCUUUGUUUCCUAACCAAAAAGUUUGCCCAUCACUUUCAAUAUAAAUUUAAAUCUAAAUUUUCUUUUUAAAAUAUAAGUUACUCGUCACAAUUCAUCUUUCGAAAACAAUUUGCCAUCACUUUAACAUACACUAACUUUUCUAUGAUUAGUCCUUGGUUUGCUUUGGGUGCAAUCUUCCAACUAGCCACAUCCUUGGUUUUACUUUCCAACAAUUAGUGUAUCACGGGUUUUGUUUUCUUUAAAAAAAUAUUUUUGUGGAUAUUAGGAGAUAAUGAAAAUUAUUUUACUAUUAAAUUUUAAUAAAACUGGAAAAUAAGUAAUGUCUUUUAAGUGAUCACAAUUAAACAUUAGAUUUUUAAUUUUAAAAUUUUAAAAUUUUUUGAUAAUUGCAUAAUUAAUAAGGUACCAAUUUUUUGAUAAUGCUAUAAUCUUCUCCACACAUAAUCGACUCUUGAGCAUGAUGGAUCUAGACCUUAUCCUGUAUUCUCGUACCACAAAUUGCUUCGAGUGUGGGUUCAAACAAUCACAAAUUAAACACAAAAUCAGAAAUGAUUUAUUACUUUCAAUAGCAAAGUAAUUCUCUCUCAAUAGAAACCAACAGAAUUGUAAUUCCGAAAAAUAAAAUUUAUUUUUUGAAAAUAUAUUCUCACUACUUCCUAGCAUAAUAACAAUAUUUAAAACUUAUGUCUUGUGUUAAUAGCUCUACCAGUACUAUCCAUUUAUAGAGAGAGACACAAGAAUCCUGGUUGAAUUAGUAAAACACGAGUAAUAUUUAUUUCAUAGAAAACAAUAUUCUACCCUAAGUAGAUCAAGUUUGGAUGACGCAUGGGUCGAAGUUCAAUCUAAGAGAAAAAAAUAAAGGAAUUUUCUUUGUAAAGAAAAUUUGAGAUUGUACUAUUUUCGAAGUUAUAAAUAAAAUUAUAAGCCAAACUUUCAAGUCAAUUUUUGACUCGAAUUUUGUACGUACAAAUUUCUAAUACACUUGGUGGGACAUUCUUUGACUUUUAUCUAUUCUCUCAGAAAGUUAAAAGUUAAAAGUUGCAUUAAACUCAAAGAAGAUAAUCAUUAGUAAACCAGCUCACAAGCCUGCUCAAGCUAAUCCUACAACUCGUUCCACUUCAUCAUCAAACACCAAUGUUCUUGCUUAUCCUUAUGGAAUUAAACAAAAGACAAAAGCUCUUUAAGAGUUAUUUGAACAGACAAAAGAUUCAGACGUGUUGAGAUGGAAAGUGACAAUGCAAUGUUGAUUGAAGCUAUUCGUAACCGGUUGGCUACAAUAAGUAGUGUUGCUGAAGUAAGACAGAUUCACGAUUGGUGUUCUAAAAAUUGGGAAGUCAAAUUUUGAUAUAUUUAGUAGAAUGCCAAAAAAGUUGUUGAUUGCAUAGCUAAGGCAGAUGGAGGAGUAAUUGAGCAGCUAGUUUUUUGGAAGAUCCUCCGCAUUUUGUGAGAUGUUGGCUUGAAGAAAAUAUUAGACAAUCGCUGGUGACUUAUGAUAAUUUUCAUUUGGACUGAUGCUCGCUUAGUUUUCUAAGGUUAUGUUCAACCAAAAAAAAAUAAUUUAAAUAUGUCUAUAUUAUCAUAGAGUUAGCAUUUAGUGUAUAAAAAAAUAGUGUAUAAAAUUUUUUCAAUUGCAGUUUAGUUCCACAAAUACUGACGAUGAACCUUAAAACGAAAAUGAAAAUUACAAAAAGAAAAACAAACCACAUCUAUUAUCAAACCAGCAAUCCGUGUCUAAACUUAAAUUAACAAAAUUCAUCAUGCAACUCGGUACACUAUUUUAUAAUAUAUAUAUUAGAUUUAUUCUUGAUGCACAUGUUUUAUUAUAGUUAAAAAUUAAAAUAUAUGAUUAACUGAGUUUUAGUUGAGUUAGUAUUGGUAUUAUAUCAGUGUAGAAAAAUGUGAGUUCAAUCGUACUUAAAUAUGUAUCCUCCAACUCAACAGUUGGGAAAAGGUUAUUGAUAAUUAAAUUACACCAAUUUUUACAAUAUCUAAAAAGCAUUCAUAAACAUAUUCAUAUUGAUGGGCUCUUUCAUUAUUAAACUUUUUUUCUCUCACAAGUAAAAGUACUUGUGGUGAGGAUCAUGUAAAAUAAUAAACUGAAUAAUUUUAAACGUCUCAUCAUUGCUAAAAUGAAAUAAUAGAAAAGAAGACAUUUUAUGAAAUUUACAAUUCCAACUGUGAAUAAAAUAUAAAUUUAUGAAUGUGAACAAGCCAUUUUAUUUAUAAUUUUCUGUGUUUUUCUUCUUUUUCUGACUUUUUUUUAGUCAUUUUCUUUGUUUCCUAACCACCAUGAAAUUACUUGUCACAAUUCAUCUUUUUAAAUGAGAAGCAUUUUCCACAAUUUGCCAUCACUUUAACAUACACUAACUUUUCUAUGAUUAGUCCUUGGUUUGCUUGUCACCAUGAAAUUACUUGUCACAAUUUUCCACAAUCUUCCAACUAGCCUCAUCCUUGGUUUUACUUUCCAACAAUUAUUGUAUCCUUCUCAUUACUUGUACUUACCCGACUGAUAAAAAAUUCACUGAUCAAAUUAGUUCAAAGUUUUUUUUUUUUUUCUAAAUCAUGUGAAUUCACGAGUUUUUUUUCUUUAAAAAAUAUUUUUGUGGAUAUUAGGAGAUACUGAAAAUUAUUUUACUAUGAAAUUUUAAUAAAACUGGACAAUAAGUGAUUUAUUUAAAGGGAUCACAAUUAAACAUUAGAUUUUUAAUUUUUUAAUUUUAAAACUUUUUGACAAUUGCGUAAUUAAUAAGGUACUAAUUUUGAGCGUUGUAGGAGUGCUAUAAACUUCACUACGCAUAAUCGACUCUUAAAUCCACCUUUUUCUCUAGAAUUAUAACAAAUUUACAAAAUGAUUUAAUGAUAUUUAAUUAUUGACCGGUAAAAAAAUUAUAUCAUAUAAAUUCCGAAUUAUUAAUUAUAUAUCUACAUAUUAUAACCAAUUCAUCUUUCAAAAUUAUUUCCUUAUAAUUAAAGCAAAAAUUAUAUUUAUAAAAUUCUAAAUAUAUUAUAAUUCUUGUAAAUAUAUAUAUUUAUAUAUAUAAGUUCAAAUUGUAAUAGAGUUAACAUUUAAUGUAUAAAAAAUGUCUUGAAAAUUAUUAUUUUUUUCAAUUCCAAAAGAACUAUUCCAUUUAUAGAACCAUAAAACUUUAAAAAUAUAAACUCUAUUAAAUAAAAAUAAUAAUAUAUUUAAACAAUAAAUAUUGACUUUAUUUUAAAUUGACAUUAUCUAAUUCUUUUUAAUAAAUAUAGCUAAGCUUUACAUUAAUAUACAUGAUUUAUUUGUUCGUGGUUGUUAUUAUUAUUAUUAUUAUUAUUAUUAUUAUUUCUAUGAUUUUUAUAUCAUACUUAUCGGACUACAAUCAUAACCAUGUCUAUUAUCAUUUGAUAAAAAAAAUUAAGUGUUGAGUAUAAUGACAAGGCACGUUACACUCUUAAGGGGAGAUCAAGGUUUGGACAAGGGAAGAAUAUCAUUUAAAUUUUGGAGACAACAUUCUUUAAAUGAGCAACCACAAACCCCGAUUAUGAACCAUAAAACGAGCAUGAAAAGUACCCAAAAAAACAAGUUUAUUAUCAAAAUAGUAAUCCAUCCAAGGAUUAAAUUAACAAAAUUCACCAUCCAACCGUGUAGACUAUUAUAUAUAUAUAUACCAUAUUUAUUCUUCAUGCAAAUGUUUAUUAUAUUUAAAAAUUAAAAUAUAUGAUUGAUUGAGUUUUAGUUGAGUUAAUAUUGAUAUUAUUGUCAGUGCAAAAGAAUAUGAGUUCAAUCAUGUUUAAAUACAUUUUAUACUCCAAUUUAGGAGUUGGAGAGGAUUCUCAGUAGUUAAAUUAUAUCAGUUUUUGUCUAUUUAAAAUUGAUUUAUAAAUAAUAUAAGUAGAAAAUUUUAUAAAAAUAUACAUACUCAUAUUGAUUGGCUUUUUCAUUAUUAGACAUUUUUCCCCAUAGGUAAAAGUAUUUAUCGAAUUCAAAUUUUGGGUUUUAAAUAAGGGUUUUCGGAUUUUUUUUUAACAUUUGUGAGAGUUUUUGCCAAAUUUUAUGUUUUCAAAAACGCAUAACUAAGUUGAUUUUUAAUUAGUUUUUCAAAUGAGUCAAUGUAAUUCCUUAAAAAUCUAGUGAUAGCGUCUAGCCUGGGUUUGGGGGUGUUACACUGACGUUACUAAAGUUAAUCUUAAUCUAUUUAGUCUAGAUCUGAACAUUAAUAUUCUCUUCCAAUAAAAAUAAAGAUCAUCAAAUUAUUACAAUUGUGAAGCCAGACAAUCAUAUUAAAUAAGCAUAAAACUUAAUAAAUAAUUAGCGAAGAUUGAAACAAUCAAAGAAAAAAUAAAUUAAUUAACUAAGAAAUAAGGAUCCAUUAUUGUUUCAAGAAAACAGAGUUUAGUUCAUAUUGAGUUGAGAAAACCAAAAAUUAGAUUCAAAACAAACUUGUGAUAAGGGGAACAAUGUCAACAGAUCAUAUUCAAGUUGUUCGACUCGAGAAAGCAAGAUUCGGAUUUGACCUGAAAAGAAGAAACCAAACAGAUUAGGAAAACAAGAAAAAAACAAAGAAAAAAAAAUAAAAUGAGAAAUUUAAGAAUAAAGAAUAAAUAUUAAAAAAUAAUAAAGAAAUAAAUAAAUUAUAGAAUAAAAAGUGGCAGAUGGAAUGAAUAAAUGAUGGAUAUGACAUAUAGAUGGAUAAGUGUCUGAUAACCCUUGAAAAAAAGUUAUAUUUUGUUAGGGAUCGACCCGAUUAAGCAACAAGUAACAAAAAAAGGGAAUAAAUUGAGAAAUUGAACACACAAAUUUAACGUGAAAAAAACCUUCCGAAGAGGAUAAAAAAACCACGGGAAAAGAUAAAUUUACUAUAAUGGCAAAAGAACGAAGAGUACAAAAGAUGGAGAUAAAACUAAACUCCAAAAACCCGAAAAUAAAGAACCCUCAAAACGUAAACACAAAAUUCUCUAAAUGUGUUAUGAGUUCUAAUCUCUAAUGUGUGUCAACUAAGGUUGUAAAAGAGCCUAUUUAUAGGCUAAAUUCAUAUGUCAAAUAAUAAUAAAAUAAUCUAAACUAAUCAGUGUUUGACUGAAAUAAAUAAACAAAGUUUAACUAAAAGAUUAUUUUUUAAAUUUGACUGAAAAUAGGAGUCAUACUUAACAAAUCUCCACCUUGACUCAUAUUUCUACAAUGCCAUCUUUGCCAAAGCCCGCUACGAGCCUAUCUUGAACUAUACAGGGAAUUAACUGAGUCGAAUCUGUGCUUAGAAACUGGAAGACUUCUAGCUUUCGACUUGUACACUGCCAAAUCAAAACUAACCCGAGUUUGAUUUUCACGAACACAGUGUCCUAACUUUUCAAAACCUGCAUCCAAAAGAGAACCUCUCUUCAAUGAAACGGUCAUACAUUUUUCCCUCCUAUGACCAAGUUGCCUCUGCUCCAAACGAGUUGACUUCGACUCUGUAACAGACGAGGGAUGUCCGAUUUCACCGGUCAUUGUAGAACCUUCCAGAAUAUAAAGACUGCCAUUUCUUUUACCUUUGAACAAAAUGAGAGCUCCACGAGAUACUUUAAUGCUGCUCGACUCGAUGUUGAUUCUGCAUCAUUUCAAGUCUAAAAUACUCAAGGAGAUGAGAUUCUUUCGUAAAUUAGGUACAUACCUGACAUCUGAGAGUGUCCUAAUCGUCCCAUCGUGUGUCCUAAUUUUAACAGUACCAACACCAAUUACCUUACUAGAUGAAUUGUUUCCCAUGCGCACAACUCCACCUUCAACCGAACUGUAUGUGGAGAACCAUUCUCUAUUGGGACACAUGUGGAAAGAACAUCCCAAAUCUAGGAUUCACUCGAACGUGAGCUUGGAGUUAUCACUCGUUGACACUAACAAGAAAUCAUCACCACUUUCAUCGAUCAAAUUAGCACUAGCUACAUCUUCCUCGUUACUCUCAGCAGCUCCUUUAUUUCGCAGUUUAUAACAAUUUGCUUUGACAUGACCUAACUUUUUACAAUAGUGACACCUUUUGUCUCGUUUCUUUGAUGCCAUCAAAAUGGAAGAUUGCCUAUCUGCCUUGCUAUCUAAAUGAAACUCAUUUUCGAGUUUGUCUCUACUCAACAAAUGACCCUUCACAUCUUCGAACGAGAGUUUGUCUCUGCCAUAGGGUCUCCUUGAAAGAUUUGUAUGAAGGGGGUAAAGAGCAUAAUAAUAGCAUAGCUUGAUCUUCAUCAUCAAUAUGAACCUCAAAGUUCUUUAAAUCAUUUAAAAGAAUAAUGAAUUGACUGAUGUGAUCUCUAAGAAGCUCACAUUCGUUCCUGCGAAACGUAAAUAGACGUUGUUUCAACAGUAAACGGUUAGCCAGAGACUUAGUCGCAUAAAGAGUUUCUAACCUUUUCCAUAAGGUGGAUGAGGUCUUCUCCAUCAAUACCUCCUGCAAUACCGUAUUCGCGAGGCACAACUGGAUUGCAGACAAGGCAUUUUCAUCAAGCUCUUCCCAUUCUGUUUUAUUUAGAUUCUCAGGCUUUUUUUGGUAACAACCUUUUUCAAACCGGAUUGAACUAGAAUUGCCAUCAUCCAAACUUGCCAUAGAUUGAAAUUGGUCUCACCAUCGAACUUCUCAAUUUCAAACCUUGUUGUUGCCAUAUCUGAAUGGGCUGAUUUAUGAAAAUUGAACUAGCUCUGAUACCACUUGUUAGGGAUCGACCCGAUUAAGCAACAAGUAACAAAAAAGGAAAUAAAUUGAGAAAUUGAACACACAAAUUUAACGUGAAAAAAACCCUCCGAAGAGGAUAAAAAAACCACAGGAAAAGAUAAAUUUACUAUAAUGGCAAAAGAACGAAGAGUACAAAAGAUGGAGAUAAAACUAAACUCCAAAAACCCGAAAAUAAAGAACCCUCAAAACGUAAACACAAAAUUCUCUAAAUGUGUUAUGAGUUCUAAUCUCUAAUGUGUGUCAACUAAGGUUGUAAAAGAGCCUAUUUAUAGGCUAAAUUCAUAUGUCAAAUAAUAAUAAAAUAAUCUAAACUAAUCAGUGUUUGACUGAAAUAAAUAAACAAAGUUUAACUAAAAGAUUAUUUUUUAAAUUUGACUGAAAAUAGGAGUCAUACUUAACAAAUCUCCACCUUGACUCAUAUUUCUACAAUGCCAUCUUUGCCAAAGCCCGCCACGAGCCUAUCUUGAACUAUGCAGGGAAUUAACUGAGUCGAAUCUGUGCUUAGAAACUGGAAGACUUCUAGCUUUCGACUUGUACAUUGCCAAAUCAAAACUAACCCGAGUCUGAUUUUCACGAACACAGUGUCCUAACUUUUCAAAUCCUACAUUGAAAAGAGAACCUCUCUUCAAUGAAACCGUCAUACAUUUUUCCCUCCUAUGACCAAGUUGCCUCUGCUCCAAACGAGUUGACUUCGACUCUGUAACAGACGAGGGAUGUCCGAUUUCACCGAUCAUUGUAGAACCUUCCAGAAUAUAAAGACUGCCAGUUCUUUUACCUUUGAACAAAACGAGAGCUCCACGAGAUACUUUAAUGCUGCUCGACUCGAUGUUGAUUCUGCAUCAUUUCAAGUCUAAAAUACUCAAGGAGAUGAGAUUCUUUCAUAAAUUAGGUACAUACCUGACAUCUGAGAGUGUCCUAAUCGUCCCAUCGUAUGUCCUAAUUUUAACAGUACCAACACCAAUUACCUUACUAGAUGAAUCAUUUCCCAUGCGCACAACUCCACCUUCAACCGAACUGUAUGUGGAGAACCAUUCUCUAUUGGGACACAUGUGGAAAGAACAUCCCAAAUCUAGGAUCCACUCGAACGUGAGCUUGGAGUUAUCACUCGUUGACACUAACAAGAAAUCAUCACCACUUUUAUCGAUCAAAUUAGCACUAGCUACAUCUUCCUCAUUACUCUCAGCAGCUCUUUUAUUUCGCAGUUUAUAACAAUCUGCUUUGACGUGACCUAACUUUUUACAAUAGUGACACAUCUCGUUUCUUUGAUGCCAUCAAAAUGGAAGAUUGCCUAUUUGCCUUACUAUUUAAAUGAAACUCAUUUUCGAGUUUGUCUCUACUCAACAAAUGACCCUUCACAUCUUCGAACGAGAGUUUGUCUCUGCCAUAAGGUCUCCUUAAAAGACUUGUAUGAAGGGGGUAAAGAGCAUAAUAAUAGCAUAGCUUGAUCUUCAUCAUCAAUAUGAACCUCAAAGUUCUUUAAAUCAUUUAAAAGAAUAAUGAAUUGACUGAUGUGAUCUCUAAGAAGCUCACCUUCGUUCCUGCGAAACGUAAAUAGACGUUGUUUCAACACUAAACGGUUAGCUAGAGACUUAGUCGCAUAAAGAGUUUCUAACCUUUUCCAUAAGGUGGAUGAGGUCUUCUCCAUCAAUACCUCCUGCAAUACCGUAUUCGCGAGGCACAACUGGAUUACAGAUAAGGCCUUUUCAUCAAGCUCUUCCCAUUCUGUUUUAUUUAGAUUCUCAGGCUUUUUUUGGUAACAACCUUUUUCAAACCGGAUUGAACUAGAAUUGCCAUCAUCCAAACUUGCCAUAGAUUGAAAUUGGUCUCACCAUCGAACUUCUCAAUUUCAAACCUUGUUGUUGCCAUAUCUAAAUGGGCUGAUUUAUGAAAAUUGAACUAGCUCUGAUACCACUUGUUAGGGAUCGACCCGAUUAAGCAACAAGUAACAAAAAAGUGAAAUAAUUUGAGAAAUUGAACACACAAAUUUAACGUGGAAAAACCCCUCCAAAGAGGAUAAAAAACCACGGGCAAAGAUAAGUUUACUAUAAUGGCAAAAGAACGAAGAGUACAAAAGAUGGAGAUAAAACUAAACUCGAAAAACCCAAAAACAAAGAACCCUCAAAACGUAAACACAAAUGGGUGUCAACUAAGGUUGUAAAAGAGCCUAUUUAUAGGCUAAAUUCAUAUGUCAAAUAAUAAUAAAAUAAUCUAAACUAAUCAGUGUUUGACUGAAAUAAAUAAACAGAGUUUAACUAAAAGAUUAUGUUUUAAAUUUGACUGAAAAUAGGAGUCAUACUUAACAUAUUUCAUGCCUUUAAACCUAACUAAUUGUUUGUACUUAAGUAUAUUUUUUUCUUUUUAAGACAUUGUAGCGAACAUUUUUAAUAUUGUAUUAGGACAUAGACUAUGUUGGAAUUAGGUGCUUUUAAUCUCUUGUGGUGGAGUUUUUGUGUGUUGGUAUGGCAGGAACAUGUUUUAAAACGAGGAAAUAAAUGAGUGAAGUUUUGUUAGGGAAAAAGUGCAAACAGUUUGCCAACACAGAUGUCGUGGCAAUGCCGGGAAGACCAAGUUCAUAUUUUUUGUGCAGCAAUCCCGGUUCAAACUCAAACUUGUAUGAGAUAAAUCCCCCUAAAAGAGGAGAAGAUAAUCACAUUGCUGUUAGCUGACCCUAGCCUAAUCUAUCUAUUAAAGCCAAUGAAAAGGAUCUCACAAAGGGUAGAAAAAAGUGAGAGAGAUCCUUAGGGAUGAAUAAGGGUUUGGCUGCGCAAAAGAACAGAAGUCGAAGGGAAUCAUUCUUAGCCAUCACAGAACGUUGUGCUGCCAAAGUGUGGACUAGGCAAGUGAAAGAUGUUUCCAAAAGUUCUUCUGUUAUUUCCAUUAGUGUUCCUUCCAAAGAUUGAAUUGAAGUAGUUGAACACAAUGUCGGAUAAUAUUUUGGUUUGAAAUUUUAUUUCCCAGCUUAUGAGCUAAAUCUCAUAAGGUUAGGAUUACUUUCGAUGAAACCUUAAAUUUUUUUAUAGAUGAAGUAUAUAUCUAAUUUACAUUAUUGUUUCAUUUGAUUGUUCUAAUUUCUUAAUUAAAAUGCAAAUGAUCUCUAGACAUAGAAGACUGUUCGCAUACUUAUAAAUUGAUUGUAAUUAUAAAAGGGUUGGAUUAAAAUUAAAUGAAAUGAGCAGGUAUUUGAUAGACACUUGUAGUCGACUCUAGACAUAGAGUCACGAUCAUACAGAAGAAGCCCAUGCAAGAUAUCGAAAAAGCCUUUAGACACCAGGCAAGGCAACUUGAGGUUUUUCUCUCACGAGAGGCAGACCAUUUUAGAACUCUUCUGUGUUGUAAAGUAGAUACAAUUUUGCCAAGACAAUAUUGACAAUGAGGGUUGAUUCUGGGUAAUCCCGACCUUCCAAAUCCACUUCGUAUAUCCUUUAAUCUUUUUCAUAAUAUCUUUGCCACAUAAUUAUUAGUUAUUUAUUUGUUCAUUUACAUAAUAUUCCCAUAGUAAUUCUCAUAAUUGCCAUUAUGUUUCUACUCUCGGUUGGCCAUAGCAUUACUAAUUAUUCAUUAAUUCCACAUAUUGAUUACAUCAUUAAUCUACUCAUUGUCAUUGCAUAUUUAUCAUUGACUUUGUCAUAGCAUUAAUUGCAUUUUAUUAUAAUAACUUGACCAAUUUUGUGCCUCAAUCCGAUUUUCGUGGGAACAAUACUCACUCAUCACUUUAUUACUUGAUUCAACGUGUAUACUUGCACAAAUCGCAUAUCAUUUCACAUGCGACAGUGUCCAAUUUAACCUUUUGAGAUAUAAACUCAAACAAACUCAAUUAAUGGCUUUAAUCAACCCACCAAGAAAUAAUAAUUGGCAAAUUGAAGGAUGAAGAAUGAAUUCCCAUGACUCCUUAAAGAAAAUUGAGAAGAAAACUGCUUCUAAAAAUUACAAGAAAUAAUCUUGCACAAAGAAACUUACCCUCAGAGUUGGAAAUUUUAGUAAUGAGCAAAAACAAUUGUGUCUCUAAUGAACAUGAAGGGGCCUUUACAUAGGAUAGAUAAGUACAUCCAAAUAAAAUUUUGAAGUAUAUUAAAACUUUAAUUAAUGUAAGAAAAAAAGUAAUUUUCAACUAAAAUAGUCAUAAUUUCUAUAAUAAUCCCGUCUAGAAAUUCUGCUCACAUAGCCAUCACUAAAAUAGUCAUAAAUUGAGCUCUUGAACUCGAAAUUGAAUGAAUAAAAGUGUGUUUGAAAGUUAAGUAAUAGAUCUUAGAACUCCAUCAAGACAUAUCAAUCAAAAAAUGUCUGGAUCCCAUCCAAAAAGUCAUUGCAAGUUAACUAAUUUUCCAAACUUGAAAAUUGACAGCUUCGGGGAAUGGAAUUUAAUAAAGUUCACCCCAUCUACUCAAGUAUAAACUUGCAGUGGUAAAAAGUAAAAAUAAAUAAUCUAUAGAGAAACUAGUUGAAGAAUUUAUGACAAUUUAUUUAGAUCUUUUUUUCUUCUAGCCUUUGCAAACUUGAAGUUUCCCUUGGUGUGAGAGAGUUGUUCCUUACCCUCUAAGUUAUUUUUUUUCUUUUCCUUUUUUUUUCUUUCUCUUCGAUCUUGUCACCUAAGGGUGUUCAAAUGAUUGAUUCAGUUAAUACCCGAACAAUGCUAUCAUUAACUGAAAUUUUGAAACCUUAAUCGUUAAUGAAACCAAUUUUUUGUUGAAACCUAUUAACCGGCCGGAUUGAUUUCGGUUAAUUCAGGCGGCUAGCCGGAAUUUAUACAUUAUUUUUUUCAAACAAUUUUAAAACAAAGAACAAUCCAUGACAACUUUUUCCUUGUUUUUUAUUCAAAAAUUAUUAAAAGAAUUUUAAAAAAUAACAUAAUAACAACACUAAAUUAAAAACAUAAUAGCAUUCAUUACAUUACAAAGCAUAAUUUCUUUUUUUUUUUACUUUUUGUUGACUUUUUAGUUUAAUUUUAGUUUUUUUUUUCAAAUAUUUUUAGUUUUCAUAUUUUUGUUAAGCUUAUUAUAAGAAAACUUAUAAAUCCAUUAGUUUUUAUAUAUUAGGUUUGUAUAAUGUAUUGGACCUAUCUCUAACAUAUUGGGCCUAUAAUAUAUUUUUAUUGAUUUCGGUUAAUCAAUUAAUUUGGUUAAUUAGUCGAUUUCAAACUAAACUAAUCGAUAAACAAAAUUUUCUAAAACAUUUAACCAACUCCCAACCAAAUUAGAUUCGUUGAUCGACUGCUUAAUCAAAUUAAUCAUAUGGUAGAAUGGCAUGUUUUUGGAAUGGCUAUUUGGCAUUAUUGGUAUAGGUUUAAGUUAUGAUCUAAAGAUGUUGAAUUGAAUUAAGUUUGAUAUGUAUACUAUGAUGUCUUCAUUGGCAUAUUGGUUAGAUAUUAAAGGAUGGUUGAUUUGGUAUGUUUUGAAAAUGGUUCUUGGUAUGUUUGAUCUAAGUUGAUUAAAUGAACUUGUAAUGUUGAAUGGUAUAAUAUUUGUUGUUACAUUAGUUAGUCUUAUAGGUUGAUGGAAUUGGUAUGUUUUAAAUGUGUUUAAAAUGUGUUUUGAUUAUUUAAAUGUUUGUGGAAAUGGUGUGUCUUGGUGUACAAGAUUUGAAAUUGAAAUGGCUUGAUUUAGAAAGCAACUUAUGCUGCACACCGCCUAGGACAUGGGUUGUCACAUGGCUGUGUGUCAUUAUUGUUUUAGGUACAGGUUUCACACAAUCUAAGACUUGGCUCACGACAUGGCUACGUAUCAUAAGUCAAUAUGUAACACGGUUUGGUACAUGGCCUGUAACACGACCGUGUGUCCAAACUUCAAAUGUUUACACGUCCUGGGCUAUGUCACACGACUUGGCCACAUGGCCGUGUGACCCUUGUUUUAAAGUUUUCUGAAAUUUUCUAUUUUAUUUCAAAUUGAUCCUAGAAUAUUCUCAAACUAUUUUUAGGGCCUCGUAGGUUCAAAUUAAGGCCCACAAAUGUAUGCUUGCUAUAAUUAAGUUGUGCUAAUUAAUGUUAUUAAUUAAAUGGCAUGAAUAUUUUAUUGUAAGUUAAAUUUUUUAAUUUGUCCUAUAAUGCUCCGUAACCCAAAUCAAGUGACGGAGAUAGGUUUGGGUGUUACAAUUUUGGACUGUAAAUUUGUUUUGAGGCUUUGUUCUUUGGUUCUUGCAAUGUUUGUUGGAUUUUAGUGUUUUAACAUUAAACUGCAAAAUUGUAUGAUUUAACAAACUAAAAAUUAGGUUUUCAAAAUUAAAACUCUAGAAAUUUUCAUUACAAAGAUUAAGUAAUCACUUAAGUGUUUUCCCAUAAAUAAUUAAAUGGUUUUUAACAAAUGUUUUCCUUAGUUUUGGGAAUGAUAUGCCAACAUUAGUACUUUUAAAACACAUGGUUUUAAAUAAGGGUUUUCAAACUUUGGUUUUUUAACAUUUGUGAGAGGUUUUUGCCAAAUUUUAUGUUUUCAGAAUGUGUAACUAAGUUGAUUUUAAUUAGUUUUUCAACGAGUUUAUGUAAUUCCUCAAAAAUCCAGUCAUAGCAUCUAGGCCGGGUUUGGGGUGUUACACUAACAUUACUAAAGUUAAUCUUAAUCUAUUUAGUCUAGAUCUAAACAUUAAUAUUCUCUUCAAAGAAAAUCAAGAUUAUCAAAUUAUUACAACUUGGUAGGCAGACAAUCUUAUUAAAUAUGCAUAAAAGUUAAUAAAUAGUUAGCGAAGAUUGAAACAAUCAAAGAAAAAAUAAAUUAAUUAACUAAGAAAUAGGAUCCAUUAUUGUUCCAAGAAAAUAGAGUUUAGUUCAUAUUGAUUGAGAAAAUCAAAAGGGAGAUUCAAAAAACACUUGUGAUAAGGGGAACAAUGUCAAUAGAUCAUAUUCAAGUUGUUCGACUCAAGAAAGAAAUAUUUGGAUCUAGCCUGAAAAGAAGAAACCAAACAGAUUUAGGAAAAAAAGAAAAAAAAGAAAAAAACUUAAAUAAUAAAUUUAAGAAUAAAUAAUAAAUAUUAAAAAUAAUAAAGAAAUAAAGAAAUUAUAGAAUAAAUAGUGGAAGAUGGAAUGAAUAAACGAUGGAUAUGACAUAUAGAUGGAUAAGUGUCUGAUAAUUCUUGAAAAGAGUUAUAUUUCAUGCCUUUAGACCUAACUAAUUGCUUGUACUUAAGUACAUUUUGUUGCAUUUUAAGAUAUUUUAGUUAGUAUUUGUAAUAUUGCAUUAGGAUUUAGAUUGUGUUGGAAUUAGGUGUUUUUAAUCACUUGUGGUGGAGUUUUUGGUGUGCUGGUAUGGCAGGAACAUUAUUUAGAACGAGGAAAUAAAUGAGUGAAGUUUUGCCAAUGCAAAAGUGCAGAUAGUUUGCCAGCACAGAUGCCGUGGAAAUGCCGAGAAGACCAAGUCAACAUUUUUUUGUGCAACAGUCCCAGUUCAAAUUCAAACUUGUACCAAAUAAAUCUCCCUAAAAGAGGAGAAGAUAAUCACAACUUGUUAGCCAACCCUAGCCUAAUCUAUCUAUAAAAGCCAAUGAAGGGGAUCUCACAAAUGGCAGAAAAAAGUGGGAGAGAUCCUUAGGUGUGAAUAAUGAUUCAGCUGUGCAAAGGAAAGGAAGUCAAAGGCAGUCCCUUUUAGCCAUCACAGGACGUUGUGCUGCCGAUGUGUGGACUAGGCAAGUGAAAGUUGUAUCCCAAAGUUCUUUCGUUAUUUCCAUUAGUGUUCCUUCAAAAUAUUGAAGUAGUUGAACACAACGUUGGAUAAUAUUUUGGUUUGGAAUUUUAUAUCCCAGCUCAUGAGCUAAAUCUCGUAGGGUUGAGAUUACUUUUGAAGAAACCUUAAACUGCUUUUAUGAAUGCAAAUGAUCUCUGGACAUAGAAGACUGUUCGUAUACUUAUAAACUGAUUCUAAUUCUAAAACGGUUGGAUUGGUUGGAUUAAAAUUAAAUGAAAUGAGCAAGCAUUCGAUAGACACUUGUAGUAGACUCUAGACAUAGAGUCACGCUCAUACAAAAGGAACCCAUGCAAGAUAUCUAAAAAGCCUUUAGACACAGGCAAGGUAACUUGAGGUGUUGCUCUCACGAGAGGCAGGCCAUUUUAGUACUCUUCUGUGCUUUAAAGUAGAUAUGAUUUUGCCAAGGCAUUAUUGAAAAUAAGGGUCGAUUUUGGGUAAUCUCGACCUUCCAAAUCCACAUCGUAUAUCUUUUAUUCUUUCCCAUAGUAUAUUUGCCACAUCAUUAUUAGUUAUUUAUUUGCUCAUUUACAUAAUAUUCCUAUAGUAAUUCUCAUAAUUGUCAUUACAUUUCUACUCUCGAUUUGGCACAACAUUACCAGUUAUUUAUUAAUUCCACGCAUUGCUUACAUCAUUACUCUACUAAUUACCACUGUAUAUUUACCAUUGACUUUCCCAUAGUAUUAAUCGUAUUUUAUUAUAAUAACUUGACCAAUUUUGUGCCUCAAUUCGAUCCUCAUGGAACGAUACUCACUCAUCACUUUAUUUGUAACAUCCCAAACUUGGAUUAGAAGUUAUGACUGAAUCCGGCGAUAUCACAUGGAAAGGGAUUUGAAGACAAGAUUGUCGAGUUUAAAAACCAUUAUAGAAAGUUAGCUUUUAUUUAAUUCGGGAAAAAAACUAGUUGAUUUUCUUUAAAACUUGUCUCUUAGCAGAAGCUUUUGUAACCAAUUAAUUUACGAAAAAUCGUUUCUAUUUACAAAAAACUUUAGUAGGAAAAACUAUGUUUUGUGGAGUUGCAGUUUUUAAAAGAAACCCAUAAAAAAAGUAUAAAGUCCCAAAUUUAAAACCAACCAGUCCAUAGUCUAGAAGAUACAUCAAAAACUCCAAANNNNNNNNNNNNNNNNNNNNNNNNNNNNNNNNNNNNNNNNNNNNNNNNNNNNNNNNNNNNNNNNNNNNNNNNNNNNNNNNNNNNNNNNNNNNNNNNNNNNNNNNNNNNNNNNNNNNNNNNNNNNNNNNNNNNNNNNNNNNNNNNNNNNNNNNNNNNNNNNNNNNNNNNNNNNNNNNNNNNNNNNNNNNNNNNNNNNNNNNNNNNNNNNNNNNNNNNNNNNNNNNNNNNNNNNNNNNNNNNNNNNNNNNNNNNNNNNNNNNNNNNNNNNNNNNNNNNNNNNNNNNNNNNNNNNNNNNNNNNNNNNNNNNNNNNNNNNNNNNNNNNNNNNNNNNNNNNNNNNNNNNNNNNNNNNNNNNNNNNNNNNNNNNNNNNNNNNNNNNNNNNNNNNNNNNNNNNNNNNNNNNNNNNNNNNNNNNNNNNNNNNNNNNNNNNNNNNNNNNNNNNNNNNNNNNNNNNNNNNNNNNNNNNNNNNNNNNNNNNNNNNNNNNNNNNNNNNNNNNAGUUCUACACUUACGCCCAUAUAAUGCUUCAUACGGUGCCAUUCGUAUACUUGACUGAUAGCUAUUGUUAUAAGCAAAUUCAACCAAUGGUAGAUAUUUCUCCCAACUGCCUUUCAAUUCUAAAAUACAACACCGGAGCAUAUCUUCAAGAAUUUGAAUCACUCUUUCCGAUUGCCCGUCAGUUUGCGGAUGAAACGCAGUACUGAAAUUCAAUUUUGUACCCAAGGCUUCCUGCAACUUUAUCCAAAACCUCGAAGUAAAUCUCAGAUCUCUAUCCGAUAUAAUAGAUUUAGGCACCCCAUGUAAUCUCACUAUUUCAGCAACAUAUAAUUCUGCCAACCUGUCAAGUGAGUAAUCAAUGCGUAUCGGAAUAAAAUGAGCCGACUUUGUCAAUCUAUCAACAAUUACCCAAAUAGCAUCUUUCUUCUUUGGAGUUAAAGGCAAUCCUGUCACAAAAUCCAUCGUAAUACUAUCCCACUUCCACUCUGGAAUCGUUAUCGGUUGAAGUAAACCCGAUGGUACUUGAUGCUCAGCCUUCACUUGUUGACAGAUUAAACACUUUGAUACAAAUUCCGAGAUAUCCUUUUUCAUGCCUGGCCACCAAUACAACUUCUUCAAAUCAUUAUACAUUUUCACACUACCCGGAUGAACUGACAAGUCACCACUAUGUGCCUCACAUAAAAUGGUCUGAAUUAACUCAUCAUUUCUUGGUACACAUACUCUAUCCCGGAACAUCAAGCAAUCAUCUGAACCAAUUUGAAAAUCUGAGUCAACACCUGCUUCACACUGAGCUCUCUUGGCUUGCAAUUUACUGUCAUUCUUUUGAGAUUCCCGAAUUUACUGAAGAAAUAAUGGUCUAGCUCUCAAUUCAACCAACAUUGAGCCAUCAUCAGAUAAAGUUAACAUCGUACCCAUAGCUCUCAAAGCAAAUAAAGAUUUUCUGCUCAAGGCAUCAGCAACCACAUUAGCUUUCCCGGGGUGAUAAUCAAUCACUAGCUCAUAGUCUUUGAUUAGCUCGAGCCAUCUUCGUUGCCGCAAAUUCAAAUCUUUUUGGCUCAUCAAAUACUUCAAACUCUUAUGAUCAGUGAAGAUUCGGCACUUUUCACCAUACAAAUAAUGACGCCAAAUUUUUAAAGCAAAAACAAUGGCAGCCAAUUCUAAAUCAUGCGUCGGAUAAUUCUUCUCAUGCGGUUUCAAUUGUCUCGAAGCAUAAGCUAUUACUUUGCCCUCUUGCAUUAACACACACCCAAGACCAUUCAACGAUGCAUCACUGUAAAUUACAAACUCCUUCCCGGACUCAGGUUGCACCAACACUGGCGCCUCAGUCAAUAAUGCCUUCAACUUUUCAAAACUCUGUUGACAUUUAUUGGUCCAUUCAAACUUGACAUUCUUCUGCAGUAACUUAGUCAUAGGAGAAGCAAUCAUCGAAAAUCCCUUGACAAAGCGUCUGUAAUACCCAGCUAAGCCCAGAAAGCUUCUAACUUCUGUCACAUUCUUUGGUGGCUCCCAAUCAACAAUUGCUGAAAUUUUGCUUGGAUCAACCCGAAUACCUUCACUUGAAACUAUAUGUCCCAAGAAUCCAACCUCACGAAGCCAAAACUCACUUUUGCUGAAUUUAGCAUACAAUUUCUUUUCUCUCAGAAUCUGCAACACAGUUCUUAAAUGUUCUGCAUGCUCAGAUUCAUCCCGAGAAUAGAUUAAAAUAUCAUCUAUGAACACCACCACGAACUUAUCCAAGUACGGCCGAAAAAUUUGGUUCAUCAAGUCCAUAAAAAUAGCUGGAGCAUUUGUUAACCCAAAAGGCAUUACCAGAAAUUCAUAGUGUCCAUACCUUGUUCUAAAGGCGGUUUUCGGCACAUCAGACUCUUUAACUCUUAACUGAUAGUAACCAGACCUCAAAUCAAUCUUAGAAAACACUGUUGCCCCUUUUAAUUGAUCAAAUAAAUCAUCAAUUCUCGGCAAAGGAUACUUGUUCUUUAUAGUCACCUUGUUGAGCUGACGAUAGUCAAUACAAAGUCUCAUAGAGCCGUCCUUUUUUUUCACAAAUAACACAGGAGCACCCCAAGGAGAAAAACUCGGUCUCACAAAUCCUUUAUCUGUCAACUCUUGUAACUGAGCUUUUAAUUCCUUCAACUCAGUCGGAGCCAUUUGAUACAGUGCAAUAGAAAUCGGUGCAGUACCAGGUAACAGAUCAAUAGAAAACUCAACUUCUCUAAUCGGAGGUAACCCAGGCAAUUCCUCUGGAAAUACAUCUGGAAAUUCACAAACUACCGGCACUGAUUCAAGCUUCGACCCAGUAAUAUCCGUGUUUAGCACAUAAGCAAGAUAAACUUCACAUCCCUUUCUCAAGUAUUUCUGAGCAGACAUGUGCGAAAUCACCAUAGGCAACUUAUUCGGCUCCUUUGUUUCAACCCGGAGAAUUUCACCGUUUUCACAAUUUAAUUCAAGAAUUUUCUGUCUACAAUUUCCCUUGGCAUCAUGCAAUAUCAACCAAUCCAUCCCCAAAAUAACAUCAAACUCAUCAAAUGGUAACAACAUCAAAUUAGCCGGGAAACAGUGGCCUUGAAUCAUCAGGGGACAAUUCUUGCAAACCUUAUCGACUAAGACAUAUUUGCCUAAAGGAUUUGAUACUUUAACUACAAAUUCAGUUUUUUCAACAGGCAAUUUCUUACUAGACACCAAAUUCAUGCAUAUAUAUGAAUGAGUAGAGCCGGGAUCAAUCAAAGCAAUAACAUCAAUAUCAUGAAGAGAAAAUGUACCAGUAAUCACAUCGGGAGAUGAGGCAUCCUCUCGAGCGCGUAUAGCAUAAGUCCUAGCAGGCGCUCUAGUUUCUGAUCCUCCAGCUGUAUCUUUUAUCACACUCUUACCACUGGCUUUGCUUCCCACAUUUCUCGGUGGUCUGCCUCUACUGACAACAUCACCCGAUCCAGCUCUUUGUAAUCUUUCUUCUUCUAUUCUCUCAGGGCAGUCUUUUACAUAAUGCUCUUGGGAACCACAUCUGAAACAAGCUCGUUUAAAUCCCCAACACUCACCAGUAUGUCGCCUGCCACACUGUUGACAUUCAGGUCUGGUGUUUCCUACAUUACCCACACUUGCCACUGAGGUAGCUCGAGUUGUAGUUCCGGAAUAUGACCUCCCUCGGUCUCUGCGUGAAUACCCAACUGAACCGGUUGGUCGUGGAUCCAUCCCUUUAAACUUCUUCGGGUGAGAUUGAAAUGUUCUGCCCAUUGACCUCUUCCUUACAUCUCGAGCUUCCAUCUCUGCCCUUCUCUUUUCUCUACUCAGCUCUUCAGCUUUGCAAGCACGAUCAACUAAUACCACAAAUUCUUUUAACUCUAAAAUUCCAACAUGUAAUCUGAUGUCUUCAUUUAGCCCCUCUUCAAAUCUUUUACACAUAAUAGCCUCCGUAGGCACACAUUCCUGGGCAUAUUUACUAAGCCGGACAAACUCCCGUUCAUAUUCUGCUACUGACAUUCGGCCCUGUUUCAAUCCGAGAAACUCUUUGCGCUUCUGAUCAAUAAACCGUUGGCUUACAUAUUUCUUUCUGAAUUCUUCCUGAAAGAAGUCCCAAGUAACUCUUUCUUUUGGAACCACCGUUAUUAAUGUUUUCCACCAACGGUAUGCCGAAUCCUUCAAUAAAGACACAGCACAUUUCAAACAUUCCUCAGGAGUACAAGAUAAUUCAUCAAAUACCUGGAUAGUAUUUUCAAGCCAAAACUCGGCUUUUUCCGGAUCAUCAUCAACAUUGGCCCUGAAAUCUUCAACCCCAUGCUUUCGAAUUCUAUCAACGGGUGGUUUACUUGAUCUCACCAAUUCAGCACUUCGUGGAGCUACGGGGACCGGCGGAGGAAUAGGAGGGGGUGGAGGAGGUGGAACAUUCGGAUUUACACGGACAUAUUCUGUAUACCAAUCACUCAUCAUUCGGAGGAAGGCUUCUCGAGCCUCAUCCUGUCCAUGUGUCUCAUGUCUACUCUCUUCAUGCGCGGUCCCUUGUGUGGGAACCGGCGUGUUACUUUCAACAUCAUCUGCCAUACUUCGAUUAGGAUCCAUUUACUAUAUAAAACAAAAUUUUAAAUUGUCAGAAAUCAUCACACUAUCACAAUAUAUUGAUGGCAUGUAUAGACUGACUUUCACACAUAUUUUAUUGGUCCGAGAACUGACUAAACCGUAGCUCUGAUACCACUAAAAUGUAACACCCCUUACUCGUAUUCCGGCUCGGAACAGAGUAUGAGGUAUUACUAAGUUUUUUAAAAAAAAUUUCGACAGCAUUUCUUCUUAAUUUUGCUUAAACCUCCUGCAAAUUUAAAUCACAAUCCAAUAUAUAUAUAUCAACCAAACUCAUUUAUAAUAAUACUCACAAUUUAACUAUUAAUGAACACCACAUUUUAAAUCAAACCAUAACAUAUAUUUACAUGAUGAUUCCAUAUUUCAUAGGUCGUCUAUACAUGCCAUAAUUUUCCGGAACGAUAGUAGCAAAAUACCCCAAGUGUGAAGGAUAGUGUGGAUGAUUGUCUGACUUCGUUCCAAAUUUCCGAGUUGUCGGAAGUCACUAUAAUCAAGGGAAAAAUAAAAUCGAGUAAGCAUAUAGCUUAGUAAGUAAACACAUGAUAAAUAAGUAAUUACUCACAUAACUACACCAAAAUAUAAACUUAUUCAUGAAUAACUUCAUUGUUUAGGCAAUUUCCAGCAAACUGUUUUUCUGCGUCAUAUUCGCUAAUUUAUUUUUAUCCGGAGCUACAGGGCUCCAAAUUGAGUUUCGUAAAUUUUCCCUGAAACUAGACUCAUAUACCAUUUCACCAUAAAAAUUUCAGAAUUUUUUACCCAGCCAAUUAGUACAUUUUAUUCAUUAAAACUUCCCCUGUUUCACUGCCCAACGGUUCUGACCCUUCCUCAAAAAAAUUCACUUAACUCUCUGUACAAAAUUUUAAAAAUGGUUUCGCUUGUUUCUAUUAAAAAUAGAGUCAAUAAGGAAUCCAGGAAUAUAAAUUUCACACCAUAAUUAUUUUUGUACAAUUUUUGGUGAUUUUCCAAAGUUAGAACAGGGGAUCCCGAAAUCAAUCCAGCCCUGUUUCAGUAAAAUUCAGAUAUCUCCAAAAAUACAACUCUUUUGCUUAUUCUAUUUAUUUCAUAUGAAAAUAGACACAUUCAGCUUCAAUUUCAUAUAUUAUUCAGCUUCCCAUUCAUUUUCCACCAUUUAUGGUGAUUUUUCAAAGUUACCCAUCUGCUGUUGUUCAACACAGUUUAUAACUAAAUCGUUCCUUUUUUCGUUUUUGAUAUUUUCUCCCAUCUCAUACAUGGAUCGAUUUAGUAUCCAACUCAAUAUUUGCCCCAUAAAAAUUUCCACCAUAUGGCAAUAUUCACCUUCCACACUUUUUCGUUGAGCACUCGGAAUGUUAACCGUUAUUGGUGGAUCUCGCACUUAGCACCACCACUUAAUCGGGGAAUCAGCACUUAGCAACCCCUUGGGGGAAUCAGCACAUAGCAACCCCCUUUUUAUUUCAGAGAUACGGUGGAUAUCGCACUUAGCACCACCAAUGAACCGGGGAAUCAGCACUUAGCAACCCCUCGGGGGAAUCAGCACAUAGCAACCCCCUUUCACAUUUCAAAGAUACGGUGGAUAUCGCACAUAGCACCACCAAUGAAUCGGGGAAUCAGCACACAGCAACCCCUUUAUGUACAACAUACUUCGGCUUAUUCCGAGUGUUCAACCCAUAAAUCAUAUAUUGCAACCCUUUACCACAUUUCCCGAUUUAACAACAUUUUUAGGAUAUGGCCAAACAUUUAUUUUAAUUCCAAAUAAAUCUCAACAUAUAUCAAUUAAUGUCAAAAUAAUACAUCAAGUCACGUGUUUACUUACCUCGGUGCAAAAUAUCGUAAUUUUGCACUUCACUUCACUCCACUAUCUUUUCUUUUCCUCGUUUGAGAUAAUCUUCACGUCUUUCUUGAUCUAUAAUAGCAAAUUUAACUCAUUUAAUGUUCACAUUCAUUAAAAUAAUCCACCACCCAACUUUUUGAAAAAUUACAAUUUUGCCCCCAAACUUUUGCAUAAUUACACUUUUGUCCCCAAGCUCGGAAAUUAAACUUCAUCACUUAUUCUUAGGUUUUAUGACAUGCUGAACAUUUUUCCCUUCUAUGGCAACAUCAAAUUCUCACUCUAACAUACACUUAUGAACAAUAAUUAUUUUUACCGAUUAUGCCUAUUUACCCGUUUUCGCUUAAAAUCGCUUAGCAAAAGUUGUUUAACAUAAUUUAUAGCUUCAUAUUCCACCAUAAAACAGAAAAAUAAACACAUUUCACCUAUGGGUAUUUUUCCAAAUAUGAGCCCUAACACGAAUUAUUGCUAGAAUAAGCUAAAUCGAGUUACGAGGAUUCCAAAAAUGCGAAGAACAUUAAAAACAGGGCUAGGAUGCACUUACUAUGAGCUUGAGAAAGCAAAGAAAACUUAGCUAUGGCUUCCUUCAAAUUUCGGCAGCAACUAAUGAGGAAGAUGAUGAUUUUUGUCAUCUUUUUCCCAUUUUAUUUUAUUUUAUUACCAAAUGACUAAUAUGCCCCAUUUAAAAAAAUCUAUUUCUCUCAUUUCUUAUGUCUAUUUUUGUCCAUCAACUAACUAAUGGUCUAAUUACCACAUAAAGACCUCUAAUUUAAAAUUUCAUAUCAAUUAGAUACUUCUACAUAUAGAACUCAACUUUUACACUAUUUACAAUUUAGUCCUUUUGACUAAAUUGAGUGCCCAAACGUCGAAAUUUUCGAACGAAAUUUUUACGAAAAUUUUCCGUGAAAUUGUAGACCAUAAAAAUAUAAUAAUAAUCAUAUUUUCCCUCGUCGGAUUUGUGGUCCCGAAACCACUAUUCCGACUAGGCCCAAAAUCGGCCUGUUACAUAUAGGCUAUUAAAAUGGUGAAAUUAUAUUUUUACAAUAGUAAAAAUUACAAUUUAAUUUCACCCCUAAAAGGAUUUUUUGGCUUCGACCCUAAUAAAAUCUUUGGCAAAAGAUUAAAAUAAAAUUAUACCGUGAAUGGAAAAAGAAACUAAGAAAAUCCAAUCUAACAAAGAAAAUAACUUUGUUUAGCAACCUUUGUUUGAUUAAAAAUGUUGAAUUAAAAAUUCCAGAAUAGAUUAAAAAUUAUACCGUGAAUGGCAAAAGAUUACAAUUUUUUUGGUAAUAUUUUAAAAUUCCAGAAUAGAUUAAAAAUGUUGAAUUAAAGAUAAAAUUAAUAACCACAAGUGUACUCAUUACUCACCAUCUCUGUUAAAAAUGAUCGAUGUUGUUUAGCAACCUUUGUUUGAUUUUCUUCAGCUCAACCACAACAUCUUUCAUAUCUUUUCUUUCUUCCGGUAACUCAGCUGAACAAUUCAAAGCCAACUCCAUGAUAGAUGAAAUACAAUUUGCUUUAACAACAAUGUACUCAUCCUCUCUUCUUAAUAAAUCAACAUCUGCAAUUUCUAUCGCUCCUUUCGGCAAUGAACUUUCCAUCCAAUGCCUUAUACUCUCUUCUUCAACAAAAACAUUACCAGUUGGCUUUUUCUUUGUGAAAGUUUCUAUAAGGACGAUCCCAUAACUAUAGACGUCAGAUUUUAUAGAAACGAUUCCUGCUGAUCCAAAUUCUGCAUUUCAAGUAUAAUUACAACAUCAUUCAUCCUCAAUUAUUUCUAAAAUGCUUAUUCAAAUAUAUAUUCACAUCCACAUGAAACAAAAAUAUAAAAUGCAAAUUAGGAAAAUAAUCAUACAAAAAUAAAAAAUAAUUCACCUGGUGCCAUAUACCCGAUAGUUGCAAGAGUCAUGGUUUGCUUCAUUACUUCACCUUCUCCCAACAAUUUGGCAACGCCAAAAUCUCCAACAUGUGCAACCAUGUCUUCAUCUAGUAAAAUAUUGCUUGGUUUUAUGUCACAAUGAAUAUAGGUGUUGGAUGUCCAUUGUGGAGGUGUUCUAUGCCUACCGCAACAUUUAUCAUUAUGUCGACCCUUUGUAUGAUAUCAAGGAAACAAUUUUCAGAAUGUAACCAUUUCUCAAGGUUUCCAUUAGACAUGUAAUCAAGCACCAAGGCUUUGAAGUCAAGACUUGAGCAGCAAGUAAUGACCUUCACAAUAUUACGAUGAACUAUAUUACGCAUAGCAUCACAUUCAAUGUCAAAACUCCUAAAUGCUCCCUCUGUUUGCAAAUUGAAAACUUUUAUUGCAACUUCCAUUCCAUCUGAAAGCCUCCCUUUAUAUACAUAUCCAAAACUCCCUGAACCAAGCAUAUUGCUUUCCUCAAAUCCAUUAGUUGCUCGUGAAAGUUCAGCAUGUGAAAUUCUUCUCGGUGUCUUCAAAGACAACAAAUCAUCUUUAAUUGGUAGAGCUGUACUCCUUCUUUGGCAUCUUCUAUACAUAAUAGUUAAGACUAUUAAUACUACGACAAUACCAAUUGUUGGUAAACCAUACCUAAAAGCAUGCAAUAUAAUCAUUUGGGAGUUUUUGUGGAUGUCGUUUUUACAAGGUGGGACUAGCAGUCUAGGUGGACCACAAAGUGCAUAAUUCUUUAUGAAUGAUGUGCUAGAAAAGUUUGAAAAACAUCCUUCGCUGGGAAUUUCCCCUUCAAGUCUAUUGAAAGACACAUUAAAAUACUUUAGAUAUAAAAGCUUCUCCAAAGAUUUGGGAAUGACUCCAGAGAGAUUGUUAUUGCAUAAAUCCAAGAAUUCCAAACUAAUCAACCCAUCAAAUGAUUCAGGGAUAUGACCAUGUAGUAUAUUAUUUGAUAAAUCUAAUGAAACCAAAGUUAUAAGACCCCCAAAUGUGGAUAAGAUAUCCCCCGUGAGAAGAUUCCUUGAUAAAUUUAGUUUCAGUAGACUCCUCAAAUUUCCGACAUCAAUAGCAUGUGAAUUGUGAAGAUGGUUUGAUGAUAAAUCUAUUUUUAAGAUAUCUUGAAGAUUCCACAAAGUUGAGGGUAUUGCGGAACUCAGUUUGUUGGAAUCUAAGUAAAGAUAUCCCAAAGAAGUAAUAUUACCCAAACAAGAGGGUAUGGAUCCAUGUAGCUUAUUCAACCCUAAAUACAUCUCGUAUAGUCUCUCCAAAUCACAAAAACUUUCUGAGAUGGGCCCUCCUAAUUUAUUAGAGGAAAGAUCUAGACCUUGGAGAUUUCGCAGUCCUCCUAUUGAUGCUGGAAUGAAUCCACUUAAUUUAUUAUGGCGAAGUUGUAAAAGCAAUAGGUUGGUUAAGUUACCUAUUUCCAUAGGAAUAAUGCCUUGAAGCUCACAAUUAGAGGCAUAAAAGUAUUGAAGGGUUUUUGAAAGGUUCCCGAUAUAAGUAGGAAGAACACCACUCAAUGGAUUUCCUGAAACAUCUAUUGUGCUCAAAUUCCUACAAUUCGUCAAAGAAGAAAGAAAGCUCCACUCAUGAUCGGUAGAAGAUCCUGUGAUCAAAUUAUUGUUUUUGAUUCGGAACCAUUCAAGGUGUCUUAAGUUGCCAAGCGUUUUAGGGAUUGGGCCAGAGAAUAAGUUAUGCGCCAAGUCUAGUUCCUUAAGCAUGGAAGCAUUGGAGAUAGAGUUGGGAAUGUUUCCGCUAAGUUUAUUUCUCCACAAUAAAAGAAUCUCAGGCUUUGGAGCAUUGGUGAUGGGUGGUAAAUUACCUGUAAAAUAUCAUCUUUUAGUAUACAUAUUCAUUGAAUACCAAAUUCACAAAAUAUAUUAUACAUUAAAAUAAAAACUGUAAAACUUUAAAUCAAUUAAGAAUAAAAUUUUGGCAUGGAAAAAUGUGAUGAAAUCAAUUACAAAGUUGAGACAUACUAAGAAGUUUCAAGUAGUAAUUAGUCUUGUGAUUUGUAUAGACAAAACAUAUAGAUUUGGGAAUGUGGCAUCUAAUCAAUCUUAAAAAUGAGACUGGCACUGAAUAAUAAUUAGUUAUGAUUUGGGAAACAAAAAGGUUAAAGCCAUUGUUUUUAAUGUAAACUGAUAUGAUUUUUAUUUAUUGGGUUAAUUAUUUAUUGUUAUUAAAUUAUAGUGUAAAAUUUAACGAUUAUUAUUUGCUCAAAAUUUCUGUAUUUUUCGUAUAUUUGAAAUUUAAUCUUUAUAUUUUUUAUUUUUUGUGAUUUAGUCUCUCUACUUUUUGAAUUGAAAAUUUUAGGUUCAUUUACUAACACUAUUAAAAAGUUUUUGUGUCUAGUAUGGCAUUUUGAAAAAUAAAAUAAACUUGAUAUCUAUGUUUUUAAUUAUUCCAAAUAUUGCUUUACUAUUUCAAGAUAAAUUAUUUGUGUCUAGACUAAUAUCUUAAGAACUAUUGUUGCAUGUUUAAUUAUCUAAAAAAUUAUCGAUUGAGUCUUAGCUUGAUUGGCAUGUGCGUUGUUGCCAAUGUAGGAGAAUGUGGGUUCAAGUAUGUUGAAGUGUAUUAUCUUCUUAUUUAUGAAUUAGGGAGUUGGUAAAGUACUAAAAUUUGAUAUAUUUUAAAAUAUUAAAAUUUAUUAAAAUAUUUUUUAUAAAAAAUGAUUCUACCACAAUAUACAAUUUUAAUAUCAAAUUUUUAAUUUUUUUUAAAAAUGUUAGCGAAUAUAUACUUUAUUUCAAGUUAUGCAAUUUUUACUAGUUUUUAACUUUUUUUCAAAUUUUUAUCGUCUUUUAUAAUUUCUAAUAAUUUUUUAUAAUUUUUUUACAAUAUUUAACAAUUUCUAAAUUUUUUUUAAUAAUUUUAUUAUGUAUUACAAAUUUAAAAAUUAACAAAUUUUUAUAUUUUUAAAAAAAUUAUAUAUUUAUAAUGUAUUUAUUUUUUAUAAUUUUAUUUGAAAUUUUAAAGAUUUUUUUGGUUUGUUUUCUAGAUGAUGAUGCCAUCAUGAUGCUAACAUAUUAUGAUUAGAUAUCUCAAUCUAUUCUUUUAACGCCCAGUGAAUGAAACCAAGAACACCUAAUGUUAAAGUGGGUAAAAACACAUUAAGGACCAAAGUUAAAAAAAGAAAAAGAAAAAGAGCAAUAUGCUGUAGGGAAUAAACUGUGCAUUAAGCCAUUAAAAAUAUAUGUAUAAUAUAUAUAAAUGCAUGGAUUUUGAGAAACUUUUGAACUGAUAAUUAUAUAGUCUUUGUUGUUUACUAUAUUAUUGAAUUUGUUAUUUUAAAUUAAUUUUAUUACUUUUAAGAUUUAUAUAAGAAUUUUGGUUUUACUAAAAUAUUUGCUUAAAUAAGUUCACUUCAUAAGAAAAUUUAGCAUCCUUAUAAAUAACAAUUUUGAUUCUAUUAAAAAACUUAUUUUAAAAAAUUAUAUAAUCAAAAUUUAAAAUUUAUAUUGAAUUACUUUAUACUUAAAUUAUUAUUAGAAACUUUAUCAUACACAUACGUGUAUGAGAACCACGUAUUUAGAACAUAAAUUUGUGUUUUAAAAUAACUUAUGAUAAAUAAUGAAAUGUAUAAUUUGAAACUAUUUAAUAAUAACACAUAGCAUAUCUACCAUAUUAAAAUAAAAAUAGAUUAAAUUGUAAGUAAAACAUAAUUUAAACAUAUGAACACAUCAAAUUAAGAAUACUAAAUGAAUAAAGUUAUUUAUAAUGAUAUUGUUGUCAAUUCCUAAAUUGGUGUCGAGUUAAUCUGUGACAUCAUAAAUUUAAGUGAUAAAUUUAAGGAUUUAUGUAUUGAUGUGGAUUCAAAUAUCACCAUAAGUUUUUUAAAAAUAAAAAACUAAAAUACCUUAAAAUACUAUAACUUAUAUUAAAUACGAAAGAGUAUUUUUGUAAUUUUCCUAACCGAGUUGGUGCCCGGUUGACUCAUGACACCAACUCAAUUAAAAGAUUUAAUAAUAAUAUAGAUAUUCACGUUAAAAAAACAAAAAAAAAGUACUUUAGUUCCAAAUAAUUAUAUAACAAGUAAAUUUAUAAUUGAUGAAUAAAUUUAUAGAUAAUAUAUUUAUAUGAUCUAAUAUAUUAUAUUAAUAUUAAUUAUAUAUCAUCUACAAUCUUUGAAGAUCAAUUUAUUAAGUAUCAAGAAAAGAAAAAAAUGAAAUUGAGUUAACACUAAAUCAAUUUUUAGAUUUUGUACAGAUGAUUUAAUGAUGAUAAAAAAAUUAUUAGCACUAUUUUUGAAUUAACAAAAAAUUAGUGAUAUAUUUUAAUUAUAUUUAUUAUUUAUUAUUUUUAAUAAUAUUUUUUAAAAUUAUAUGAAGUAAAAUUAUACUGUAUACUAAAUAUGGUACAUAUACUUUAAUUGUAACUUGAAAAUUUAUUAUAUAAAUUAAUAUAUUUUAAUUAUAUUCAACCAUUUGAAUAACAAAAUAAAAAAAAACUAAUUAGAAUAAUUUUUAGAAAAAAGAAAAAACAUUAUUUAAAGGCUAGUUAAAAAUCACGUGCAACAGGUGAUAUGAGAAUCUAUGUAUAUAAAUGUGUAUAUAUAUAUCGUUGUUUCAUUUUUUUUUUAAAUAAAUAUAUUUUCCACAUUGGUUUCUUUUCUUGUACAGACAAAGGAUUUCUAAUGAUUUUAAAAAAAAAAAUUUACUUAUAUAAAAUAGAUCAGUUUAUUCAGUAAAAUAAAUCAAUUCAUAUAAAUGUUAUUGUUUAUUAUCAGAUUGAAAUGAUAAAAGUAUAUGACAUAAAUAGAAGAAACAAAUUCAACACAAUGUUUUCCGAGUUUGGAAAAAAUUAAAGUGAAAAACAUACCUUCUAAUUUGUUGCCAUAUAGAGCUAUUACUUCGACCAUAGUUGAAUUAAAAAUACUUGAUGGAAUCUGACCUGCAAACAUAGUUGAAAAUUGAAGUAAAAAACAUACCUUCUAAACUCUUCAACUAAAAAUACUUUAAGCAUAUUUUUUUUCCCAUCAAAUUAACUAUUUUGCCUUGAAUGAAAUAAAAUGCUCUUACUUUUGUUAUCUAUUACAAAUCAAAUUCUUCUAUGAAAAAAUAUUUUAAAUUAAAGAAACAAAGAAAAUUCAAUAUCUUCUAAGUAAAGCACUUCAAGCUUGGGAAGAUCAUUAGGCAAACUACCUGAUAUGCCAGUGUUGGAGAGAUCAAUGAUCUUCAGAGAAGAAAUGUUGAAGAUCGAAGUUGGAAUCUGACCUGUGAGGCCUUUAAUUUCUUUAAUACUAAGCAGCUCCAAACCAAGAAGAUUACCGAUUUCCUCAGGAAUUUGACCUGCACACAUAUUUAGUCGAAAAAUCAAGAUGUCAAACUGCCUAUAUUGUUAGCAUAAGUCAAAGAGGUUUUCGUUUCUGCUCUACAGUAAUUUGGAGAUGUUAGAUUUAAUAUAUUUCAGCAUAUGUUUUUCAUCAAAUGAAAUAAAAAAGUUUUUCCUUUUGUUAUCUAUUAAAAAUCAAACUCUUUUAUAAAAAAAUACUUUAAAUUUAAGAAAUCAAGGAAAUUGAUUACCUUCUAGAUUAUUAAACCCCAAAUAUAAUUUCUGGAGUUGUGUUAGAUUUCCAAUACUUCUUGGAAUGAUCCCCAUAAAUUGAUUAUAGGACAACGACAAACUUUUAAGGUUGCUGCAUUUGCCCAUGCCAAAUGGAAUGUUACCAGAUAAUUCAUUCCAACUCAGGUAAAGCUCUUCAAGCUUGGGAAGAUGUUGACACAUAUCAUUAGGCAAACUACCUGAUAGGCUAUUGCUGGUGAGACUAAUAGAUUUCAAAGAAGAAAUCUUGAAGAUGGAAGAUGGAACCUGGCCAGAUAAUUGAUUCAAUUCCAAGUUCAAGAUCUCUAGGUUAGACAUGUUAACAAGUGUUUCAGGGAUUGUGCCUGUAAAGUUAUUAUUUUUCAUUUUCAGCGUUCGAACUCUCUGUAAGUUCCCAAGCCAUGAUGGAAUUUCUCCAUUAAGACGGUUGUAGCUUAAUCGAAGGAUCCUCAAACGAUGCAAUUGGCCCAAUUCUUUAGGGAGAUAGCCAUAGAAAUGGUUGCUACUCAAGUCGAGUGAGAGUAGAAGUGAAAGAUUUCCAAGGUGUGGAGGGAUAGUACCCCUAAGAUUCAUGCUUGUAAGAUUCAAAGCUAUAACUCUUUUAUGGAGGAUGCCACAAGUAACACCAAUCCAAUUGCAAACAGAGGUUGAGGCCGUCCAAUUGUUUGCCAAGACAUUUUGAGGACCGGCAAUGUGAUCCUUAAACUCGAGAAGUGCAAACUGAUCGGAGUUGAGAUUCUUGACUGUCAUAGCCAAGCAAAGUACGGAACAUGGUAUGAAUAAAGCUAAGAGAAGAUGAAAGCCAGCGUUGUAGUUCAUGAUUGCAAGACGGAAUAAGGCAAGAAAAUAAAAAAAAGUAGGAAAAGGGAAGUUGAGCUGAUAAAAUAGUUUGGAUGAUGAAGAAAAGCCCAGAGAGCAUGCUUUAAUAUGUUUCAACCCUCGUACACUUGAUAAACUUGAUAAAUUUAAGACUACCCUAAAAAUUAAAAAGGAAAGCAAAGUUUUGAAGAAAUUUCAAAAUAAAUGUCAAGUCUUCUUCUUUAGAAAAUACGUACAAAGAAUCGAAUUUUCAAAAUUUCUCCUAAAUUUUCUUCACGUUACUCCACAUAAUCCAUUAAAAAUACUUAAAAAUAUAUUUUAAUAAUUACUAUAUAUUCUUUUAUUUAAUAAAUUGUUUAAAAAUGCUAUUAGUCCCUGUAAUUUAAAAGUUAAAAAAAAAAUCCAAUCCUCCUAUUUUUCUAAUUUGAAAAUUCUAGUCCAAUAAUUCUUAAUUCCAUUAAAAAAUUUCAGCUUAAUAGGUUUUUUAUUAUCAAUCAUAUGCAACAGUAUAUGAAUGCAGUCUACUCAGCAUAUAUCCAAGUUUACAGAUUUUAAUAGAAAAUACUUACAAUCCUAAUGGUAGGACUAAGUUUUUUAAACUAGAAAAGUGAGAAGACUUAAUUUUUAACUUUUUAAGCACAAGGAUUAAAUUUUAAAUGUUGUCAAAGUACAAGCACUAACAAAAUAUUUUGAUCUAAUAAAUGUAAAAAACUUUUUAAACAAAAUAAGGUUGAAAUAAUCUAUUUGUCCUUGUACUUUGAUAAAAUUUGAGAUUUAGUCCUUAUAUUUAAAAACUUAAAAAUUAAGUCUUAUUGUUUUUAUUUAAAAAUCUUAGUCCUAUCCUUAAUUUUAUUUUAUCAAAAUUGGUCAACUUUACAUAUUAAUUAGGUUUCCCUUAUAUGUCGCGGUAUCAAUCAAAACUUAAUUAAUAUCCAUCAAUAUCCAUCAAUACGUCAUACAUAAAAAAAGCAAGCAUAAAAUACAGUUAAAAGUCCUCCUUUUAUUAUUAAAUGUUUUAUUUUAGUUAUUUUAAUCAAAUAUAUCCAAAUUACAAUAGAGUUAACAUUUAUUGUGUAAAAAAUAUUUUAAAUUUUUUUUUCAAUUUUAGUUUAAUUCUAGAAGAAAUAUUUCAUUUAUAAAAUCAUAAAACUUUAAAAAUAUUAACUCUGUUAAAUAAAAAUUAUUUUUUUAAAUAGUAAAUGUUAACUUUAUUAACACAAAUGGGCCUCAGUAAUUGACAAGCUCUUCCACAAACUGUGGAAGAUUUGGGGAUAAAAGCUUCAAUAAUUAUGGAGUUAUAGUGUAAAUUUGCCACUAUAUUAUAAGUGUAUUGAAAUUUAUCACUAUAUUUUAUUUGAUGUUUAUCAUUACACUUUGAAAAUAUAAGUAAAUUUACCAUUUAACUCAGAUUUACCUUUGCAAGUAAACUUAAAAUUUUAUUUAAUUUUGUCACUAAAUUUGAUUUGUUCAAUAUAGAUUUUGGUGACUUAAAACUCACUAAAUUUGAUUUUUUCAAUAUACAUUUUGGUGACUUAAAACAAAAUUAAUAAAUAAUUAUUCUUUUGGAUAUCUUUUUAAUGUUUAAUAAUAAGUUAAUUUAUAAAAUAUACUGUCAUUGGACACAAGCCUCUAAGGCGGUGAACCACUAAUCAAAUUAAUUUGGAGAUAUCUUUUUUUCUAAAUAAAGUGAAUUUACGAGUUUUGUUUUCUUUUAAAAACAUUUUUAAUAUUUUUGUGGAUAUCAAAAAAUUUUUCAAUAAGAAAUUUUAAUUCACUCGAAAAGUUAGUGUUUUAUUUCAAGGGGUCAUAAUUAAUCAUUAGAUUUCCCAAUUUUAAAUUUUAAAUUUUUCGACAAUUGCGUAAUUAAUAAGUACCAAUUUUGAGUGUUGUAGGGCUAGUACAAUCUUCCUUACACAUAACCGACUCUUAAACCUACUCUUUUCUCUAGAAUUCAAUGCAAACAUCGAAUUUAUCUUUUGAAAAGAAUUUUAAAAUAAUAUAAAAGGUGUUUUUUUAUGACUGAUCACACUUAACAAAAAUUUAAAAAUUAUUAAAAAAAUUUCAUUUUGAAAUUUAAAGUGAUCUAAAAACAUAUUUUUAAGUGCUUUGGACCAUCUGUUGCUGAUUUCCUUAUUAUAUUAAAUGUUUGCAAUCACUCCUAAUAUAUUGUGCUUGAGUUGUGACAGAGCAAAUCGCCAACGUGCCAUAUUGAUCUAUUGAUGCUGAAACUGAAGUUUUUGUUAUAUUGAUAGAGCUUGUCCUUCAACGCAUACAACGUGUUUGUUAUUUUUCUCCCUUCAAAUUGUAUGAUCUUAUUUAUUUAAUGAAUUAAUGAAUUUCCCUUUUAAAAAGAUAUAUUUUUAAAAUUAAAUACUUUAUAAAAUAUUUAAAACUACUUAAAAAAUUGUAAGCCUUAAAACAAUCAACAAAAUAUAUUUUUCUCUAAAAAAAUCAAUAAAAAUAUGUUUAAAAUUUUAUAUGAAAUUAAAUUUUUUUUAACAAUAAUAUAUUUUAAAAUUAUAGUAACGCUAUAAAAUAUAUAUAUACAUAUAUAUAUAUAUUUACUAAUUAUAUACACCUUUCCAUACAUCCUUUUUCUACAUAGAAUUUCAAAAGUAAAUGUGAAUUAAUGUAGGCGUAAGAAGACUUACAGGUAAGUCACCCAACGAAAGUGUCCUAAACCGACUUAUGGAAGAAUCAAACAAUAAUUUUGUAUCGUAUAAUAUAUUUAAUUACAUUUAUUAGUUUAUCAAUCAAAACUUAAGUAGAAUCCAUCAAUAUUUCACACAUCAAAACCCAAACAUAAAAUUCACUUUUAAAUUAUUCGGGGAAUAUUUGUAUUAUAGGAAAUGGAUUAAAUUAGACUUUUAUUAUUAAAUGUAUUAUCUUAAUCUUUGUAUUAGGUAUGAAUGAUAUCUCUUAGAUUGAAGCUAGAGCUAUUCUUGAAUGAUUGAAAUUAAGAUUAAGAUGUGUUGAGAUGGAAAGUGGCAACACAAUGCUGAUUGAUGCUAUUUGUAAUGGGUUGGCUACAAUAAGUAGUGCUGCUGAAGUAAGACAAAUUUAUGAUUGGUGUUCCAAAAUUUUGGGAAGUCAAAUUUUGACAUUUUCAGCGGAAUGCCAAUAAAGUUGUUGAUUGCAUAGCUAUGGCAGAUGGAGGCAUAAUUGAGCAGCUGGUUAUCUUGAAAGAUCCUCUGCAUUAUGUGAGAUACUAGCUUGAAGAAGAUAUUAGACGGUCACUGGUGACUGAUGAUAAUUUUCAUUUGGACUGAUGAGCGCUUAAUUUUCUAAGCUUAUGGUCAACCAAAAAAAAUAAAUAAAUGCGUCUAAAUUGUAAUAGAGUUAACAUUUAGUGUUUAAAAAAAUCUUAAAAUUUUUUUUUCAAUUGCAGUUCAAUUCCAAAAAUAUCGAUGAUGAACCCGAACAUAAAAAUUACCAAAAAAAAAAACACAUCUAUUAUCAAACCAACAAUCCAUGUCUAAACUUAAAUUAACAAAAUUCGCCACCCAACCCAAUACACUAUUUUAUAUAUAUAUUAGAUUUAUUCUAGAUGCGCAUGUUUUAUUAUAUUUAAAAAUUAAAAUAUAUGGUUGACUGAGUUUUAGCUGAGUUGAUAUUGGUAUUAUUGUUAGUGUAAGAAAAUUUGAGUUUAAUCGUGUUCAAAUGUGUUUUAUCCUCCAAUUUAAAGGUUAGGAAAAUAUUAUUGAUAAUUAAAUUAUACCAACUUGAUGAUAUUAAAAAAAGGAUGUAUAAAAAAUAUAAGGGAGAAAAAAAAAAGGAGAAACAUAUUCAUAUUGAUGGGCUCUUUCAAUAUUAGACUUUUUUUCUCUCACAAGUAAAAGUAGUUAUGGAGAGGAUCAUGUAAAAUAAUAGCCUGAAUAAUUUUAAACGUCUCAUCAUUGCAAAAAUGAAAUAGUAGAAAAGAAAGAGUAGACAUUCUAUGAAAUUUAUAAUUCCAACCGUGAAUAAAAUAUAAAUUUUAUGAAUGUGGACAAGCAAUUUUAUUUAACUUUUUUUAAAGUCAUUUUGUUUGUUUCCUAAUCACCAUGAAAUUACUUGUCACAAUUCAUCUUUUUAAAUGAGAAACAUUUUCCACAAUUUGCCAUCACUUUAACAUACACUAACUUUUCUAUGAUUAGUCCUUUGUUUGCUUUGGGUGCAAUCUUCCAACUAGCCUCAUCCUUGGUUUUACUUUCCAACAUUUAGUGUAUUACGAGUUUUGUUUUCUUUAAAAAAUAUUUUUGUGGAUAUUAGGAGAUAAUGAAAUUAUUUUACUAUGAAAUUUUAAUAAAACUGGAAAAUAAGUCAUUUAUUUUAAGAGAUCACAAUUAAACAUUAGAUUUCCAAUUUUUUAAUUUUAAUUUUUUUUGACAAUUGCAUAAUAUUUUGAGCGUUGUAGGAAUGCCAUAACCUUCCCUACGCAUAAUCGACUCUUAAGUAUGAUGGAUCCUAGACCUUCUCCUCUAUUCUUGUACCACAAAUUGCUUCGAGUGUGGGUUCGGAAAAUCACAAAUUAAGCACAAAACCAAAAAUGAUUUUGUAACACCCCAAACCCAGCCUAGUCAUUAUGGAUUAAUGUAGACCUGAGAAGACUUAAUUACAUUUAUUAGUUUAUCAAUCAAAACUUAAUUAGAAUCCAUCAAUAUUUCACACAUAAAAAACCCAAACAUAAAAUUCACUUUUAAAUUAUUUGAAGAUAUAUUUGUAUUAUAGGAAAUGGAUUAAAUUAGUCUUUUUAUUAGUAAAUGUAUUAUUUUAAUCUUUUUAUUAGGUAUGAAUGAUAUCUCCUAGAUUGAAGGCAGAGCUAUUCUUAAAAGACUAAAGUUAGGAUUCAGAUGUGUUGAGAUGGAAAGUGACAACGCAAUGUUGAUUGAAACUAUUUGUAACGGGUUGACUACAAUAAGUAGUGCUACCGAAGUAAGACAGAUUCACGAUUGGUGUUCCAAAAAUUGGAAAGUCAAAUUUCGACAUAUUCAGCGGAAUGCCAAUAAAGUUGUUGAUUGCAUAGCUAAGGCAAAUGGAGGCAUAAUUGAGCAGCUGGUUAUCUUGGAAGAUCCUCCGCAUUAUGUGAGAUGCUAGCUUGAAGAAGAUAUUAGACAGUCACUGGUGGCUGAUGAUAAUUUUCAUUUGGACUGAUGAGCGCUUAAUUUUUUAAGCUUAUAUUCAACAAAAAAAAAAUUAAAUACGUCUCAAUUGUAAUAGAGUUAACAUUUAGUGUUUAAAAAAUAUCUUAAAAAUUAUUUUUUCCAAUUGCAAUUCAAUUCCACAAAUAUCAACGAUGAACCUGGACAUAAAAAUUACAAAAAAAAAAAAACACAUCUAUUAUCAAACCAGCAAUCCAUGUCUAAACUUAAAUUAACAAAAUUUGCCACGCAACCCGAUACACUAUUUUAUAUAUAUACUAGAUUUAUUCUAGAUGCACAUGUUUUAUUAUAUUUAAAAAUUAAAAUAUAUGGUUGACUAAGUUUUAGUUGAGUUAGUAUUGGUAUUAUUGUCAGUGUAGGAAAAUGUGAGUCUAAUUGUGCUCAAAUUUGUUUUAUACUCCAAUUCAAGGGUUAGGAAAAGGUUAUUGAUAAUUAAAUUAUACCAACUUUUAUGAUAUUAAAAAAAGGAUUUAUAAAUAAUAUAAGGAAAAGAAAAAAAGAGAGAAACAUAUUCAUAUUGAUGGGCUCUUUCAAUAUUAGACUUUUUUUCUAUCACAAGUAAAAAUAUCAAAGGUGAUAAUAAUUAAAUUAUAAAAUUUAAAUUGAGAAAAUAGGGGAUUGAAUUUAUAACUUUUAAAGUAUAAAGAAUGAAUUUAUAACUAACAACAUAUUUUAACCACACAAUAAAAGUAGUUAUGGAGAGGAUCAUGUAAAAUAAUGACCUGAAUAAUUUUAAACGUCUCAUCCUUGCAAAAAUGAAAUAAUAGAAAAGAAAUAAGUGUUGGGUGUAGUGGCAAUGUACAUUAUACUUCUAAGGGGAGAUCAGGGUUUUAUACAAGGGAAGAAUUUUAAACCUGCUUUUUUCUCUAGAACUCAACGCAAACCUCAAAUUUAUCUUUUUAUAAGAAUUUUAAUAUAUCUAUAUAAAAGGUGAUUUUUUUGCCGAUCACACUUAACAAAAUUUUAAAUUUUUUUUUUUGAAAUUUAAAGUGAUCUAAAAACAUAUUUUUAAGUGCUUUAGACCAUCCUGUGUUGAUUUCUUUAGUAAUUUGAUUUGUUCAAUAUAGAUUUUGGUGACUUAACACAAAAUUAAUAAAAAAUAUUUUUUCAGAUAUCUUUUUAAUGUUUAAUAAUAAGUUAAUUUAUAAAAUAUACUUUCAUAGGACACAGGCCUCCAAGGCGGUGAACCACUAAUGAAAUUAAUUUUGAGAUACUUAAAUUUGUUUUCAUCAAUUAAGAAAUUUGAAAAAUUGUUGAGACCUCAUGAUUAUCUUUUAUAAUUUCAGGCUUAUCACCAAAAAACUAAAAAACAAAAUCGUCGACAUUAAAUUUGUUGGCAUGCAAUCAAUUUUAAGAUGGUUUUUGGAGUUAUAUAUCACUUUAGCAUGGACUUACUUUUCUACAGUUAGUCUUCUCCAACAAGUUAAAUAUUUCAAUUUUAACAACAUUGACAGGUCUUUGGGGUAGGGUCGAGCAAAACUCAAUAGAAAUAGAUGAUAUAGAUUGAGUUAGCUCGGCCAAGUCGAGUCGACUUGUUCAAAUUAGUUAAAUUAGUAAAUUUUAGGGUGCAGUUAGAAUUUUUUUUUGUUUUGAGAUGCUAAGAUUAAAAAAUUUCAGUUGCUAAAACAAAAAAAUUGUAUUUAAAAAAAGGCAUAAAGAAAGGCUGAAUGACAAAUUGCCCAAAGCCCAUGCCCCUAGCUAUACGCCCCUGGUAAAAUCAAUUUUAAAAUUAGUUAUAAUAGUUGAAGCGAUUGAUUAUUGAGGAAUGAAAUACAUAGUUCAACAAAAUAAAUAAGUUGACAAAUUUUGACAAAAAAAAUCAAAAAUAAAAUAAUAGAAAAGAAAGAGUAGCCAUUUUAUGAAUUUAUAAUUCCAACCGUGAAUAAAAUAUAAAUUUUAUGAAUGUGGACAAGCCAUUUUAUUUAUAAUUUUCUGUGUUUUUCUUCUUUUCCUGACUUUUUUUUAAAGUCAUUUUCUUUGUUUCCUAAUCACCAUGAAAUUACUUGUCACAAUUCAUCUUUUUAAAUGAGAAACAUUUUCCACAAUUUGCCAUCACUUUAACAUACACUAACUUUUCUAUGAUUAGUCCUUGGUUUGCUUUGGGUGGAAUCUUCCAACAAUUAGUGUAUCACGAGUUUCGUUUUCUUUAAAAAAUAUUUUUGUGGAUAUUAGGAGAUAAUGAAAAUUAUUUUACUAUGAAAUUUUAAUAAAACUUUAAAAUAAGUAAUUUAUUUUAAGAGAUCACAAUUAAACAUUAGAUUUCCAAUUUUUUAAUUUUACAAUUUUUUGACAAUUACAUAAUUAAUAAGGUACCAAUGUUGAGCGUUGUAGGAAUGCUAUAACCUUCCCUAAACAUAAUCGACUCUUGAGCAUGAUGGAUCCUAGACCUUCUCCUCUAUUCUCGUACCACAAAUUGCUUUGAGUGUGGGUACGAACAAUCACAAAUUAAACACAAAACCAGAAAUGAUUUAUUACUUUUAAUAGCAAAGUAAUUCUCUCUCAAUAGAAACCAAUAGAAUUGUAAUUCCCAUAAAAUAAAAUUUAUUUUCUGAAAUAUAUUCUCACUACUUUCUAGCAGAGUAACAAUAUUUAAAACUUAUGUCUUGUGUUAAUAGCUUUACUAGCACUAUCUAUUUAUAGGGAGAGAGAUGAGAGUCCUGGUUGAAUUAGUAAAACACGAAUAAUAUUUAUUUCAUAGAAGACAAUUUCAUAGAAAACUUAUGUCUUGUGUUAAUAAUGUUGAAUUUGUAUGUACAAGUUUCUAAUACACUUGUUGGGACAUUCUUUGACUUUUAUCUAUUCUCUCAAAAAGUUAAAGUUCAAAGUUGCAUUAAACUCAAAUAAGAUAACCAUUAGCAAACCAGCUCACAAGCCUGCUCAAGCUAAUCCUACAAGUCAUUCCACUUCAUCAUCAAGCACCAAUGUUCUUGCUUAUCCUUAUGGAAUUAAACAAAAGAAAAAAGCUCUUUAAGAGUUAUUUCAAUAGACUUCUUUAAUGGUAAAUGACAAUCCACUCUAUUGAUGCUUCUUCGCCCAACUCAUGAUUUAAAAGAAGUUUAUACUCAUGGAUCAAGUGUAGCUCACCAGUUAUCAUUAAGGAGAAAAAAGAGUCAAUCAAGUGAAAAUUAUAUUCCAACAUCCCCCCUGAACCAAAUUUUAGAGUGAUGAAUGUCAUGACAACUGACACUACAUUCUUAGAAGAAUAAGUAGAUCUCUAGCAAAAACGAUGGAGAGUCUUACUACAAGCAUAAAAGGAAUGGAUGAUCAAAUUGAACAUCUUAGAGGAAGUAACCAAACCUUUUCCUACGAAACUCAACAUCCUCUUCACAAAGUUGUUGGAAUCAAAAUUGUUGAAGGACUUUAAAGUGUUUCUUUAGAUCAAGUUAAGGAGCUCAUUAAAGAAACCAUUAAAGAUCAAGUCAAAAGUGUUGCUCUACCUUCAUAUACAUACUUGAAGCCAUACAUUUGAAGGGCUUAUCAUUUGAAUAUGCCUGAACAUUAUCCACCUCCAAAAUUGCAAUAGUUUGAUGGUAAAGGAAAUCUAUGUAAACAUGUCGCUCACUUCGUGGAAACUUGUGAUUGCGUCGAUGUAACACCCCACUCGCGACCUAAUCGCUGGAUUCGAGAAGAGAGAUACCGAAAUCAUGUUGGAAAAAUCUAGUUUGAAAAUGGUUUUAUUUAUAGAGGAAAAUAAAAAUUUUGAAAACUGACUCGGUUUGUGAUAUUUAUGGCAAUAAAUGUUAAACUGAAAUCAUAAAUGUGCUUUUGAAUAAGCAAAUCCUUGAUGUUUUCUAGCUUUAAACCAAAUUAUCUUCUUCACUAUUCUCAUACCACAAAAUGCUUUGAAGUGUGGACUUGAACCAAUUGAAUCAAAACACAAAACUUGAAAAAGCUUUUUAUUCUUUUCGGGGUGAAACCUAAAAUUUUCUCUUAUUUAAUAGAAACCAGUAGAAAUGUUUAUUUUGGAAAAAUAUAUUUAAUAGUUAAGAAUAAAUUCUCCUUAUUUUUCAAUAGAGUAACAAUCUCUCAAAGUUGUAUAUAAAUCCCUACUGAUGCCAGAUAUUUUUAAGAAGAGAAGAUAGAACCCUUGUGGAAUUGUAGAAGCUUAUUUCAACUAGAAAAAUAACUUCCUACUUAGAGUAGGAGCAGGUUGGAUGGCAUCCCCUGUCGCCCCUUCGUUUUCCAUGAAGGGAUUUUGGAUCUCUCUCACAUUAGAUCCAACUAUGAGUGCUUUUCGAGCAUUUAGACUCAGUACUUUGUAAUUUGACCCAACUCAAUUCUAUUUUUUUAUUUCCCAAAAUAAACUUCAAUAUUUUAUAUUAAAUAAUUUUCUCAUCCAAAUUUUACCCUCAAUAGAAUUUUUGAGAAAAUAUAUUUAAUAUUUCACAAUUCAACUUGUUCAUUAUGAUCGAAUGAUUUAUUUUCAUUUUCUAGAUUUUAUAUAGCUGAAAAACAUAAACUCAUUCUCCUGAUCAUUUUUAAGUAUAUUCAUCUACAUUUGAAAAUGAAUCAUUUCUCAUUUUCGUUUCCAAAUGAUUUCAUUUCUCCAUUUCGAAGAAAUGUAUAAUCAUUCCUGAAUGUUUGUCAUUUCUUUAUUUCUAUUCAUUUCGAUUCAAACAUGCAAUUCAUUUAUGGUUUCAACGAGCUAGUGAAGGGACUAAUUGGACAUAUACAAUUAGGGCUCAAAUGAUUUAUAUUUGAAGUUUCAACUUUUCAUCUAUUAAUUAUAAACUCAUUUAGUCAUGAAGUCAUUCCACUAUAGUAUCAUGGCUGAGCUUGUGGUUCCCCAAACUUGGACGAGACAGUCUGACCCAAAAUUUGAAACUUACAUUAGCCACCAAAAUGAUUCUCUGUUAAAAUACUACAAAACAGACCAACCAACCAUGCAGGCCACACAUUUUCAACAUAAAUCAUAAUACAAUUAAUCCUAAUUGCAUGCCUUUCUAAACAUACCAUAAAAAAUGAAGAAAAAAAAUUCAUAUUUAGGUCACCUGUGAACCCACCCACUUAGAAACCUAGUAGCACGCAUCAACUUGGCGAGCACCAGCUGAAGACCUCCUCGCGACCCCCAGCUCAUUGCUAGCCCUACGAACCACUAGUUUGCUACUACCCUGUGAUCCCUAAAUAUUGGCAAACCUAGACACACAACUCCCCUUUUAUUUUAAUAGACUACUCAAGUCGUUGGCUCACUUGCGAACUCCUCUAUUUAGUGAACCUACCUAAUAAGGCAAACUCACUAUCCUGACGUACGCAUUAACUAUGGAGAACCUUCUAUUGCUUGGCGUACUCCCUCCUAAUGGCAAACACUAGGUUAUAUAGGGCUAGUCUAUACUAGCGGACUCCCUAUACUUUGGCGAACACUCUAUUAGGGAACUUAUGGUUUUUGGUGAACACACUUUUGUUUGGCGAAACCUACCUUUGGUGAACUCACCCCUAUUGUUGAACACUGUGUUAUGGUAAGGUCCUAUUCCCUUAUGACCCCUGUCUCACACUAUGCUAGGUUGGCUCGUAAGUAUUCUUUCAAUGCGUUAUUACUUCUAUAACAUGCAUUCUAUGUUAUCACUUUAUCUCAACCAAAAAAUUGGUUCAAGGGCGUACCUCAAAAUUCGGCGAACUCCUUGUUUUACAUAAGUAUGUUAGUUCAUCAAUUUACCUAGCAAAAUCAUGUAUUAUAAUCCAAACAAUCAAGCAUUCAAUCAAGCACUUAUAAAGUCUAAAAAUCCAAAAUUUAAAUAGUUCGUAAUAUCUGUUUACAACUUGUCAAAGUUUAUUUAAAAAUUCUAGGUCUACAUCUGAUUCCUUAGGAUAGUCCCACAUUGCCUUCAACUAUAGGGUUUGUAAAAACAAAUCACGUACUCGAAUGGAUUUGCCUUAUGUUGCAUCACUAGAUUGCCAUGCUUCACAACUAGUCACGUGAACUACUUAUCUGCAAGAUAUAUGCAAGGAGUGUGAGCUUAUUGAAGCUCAGAGAAUGCUUAAGCACACAACACAUAAAACACAUCAGUCAUGCUAAAAUUUAGACAUGUUGUAACAAUUCACAUAAAAUAUAAUAAUCAUGCUCGUCAUAGUAAAAUAAUGGCAAUUUGUGAAUAUGAAACAUAAUCAUAUUAUAUAUGCAUUGGAUAAGUAGAUCUUUAGAAUACUCCAAAUGACAUAGAGAGUCAUGCGCUAUCUUUGAUAAGUGUAGUAUGAAUGCUCACACUCUCCAAACACUCCAUACUAUCCUCAAAAUUGGAGCUAAGCUCGACAUUCCCUUAUCUCUCCAAUGCUAUCUUCAGGCCAUAAUGCCCCAUCAUAUAGUAAAAAUGGUGAGUACUCACAAUCCUAUGACAUGCCAAUGAUAUCUAACGGUUUCAAGUGUUCACAAUGCCAACAUAUGAUUUUUAUUUCAUUCACUUUACACAAUUUAAAAGGCCCACAAUAUAGUAGAUCUCACAUAUAAUAGUUCUUAAUAACACAACUCACAUUUUUGUAGGGCUCGCAUGAUACAUAAGUUCGUAAUAACAUAGAUUCGCAUAACACUUAUGGCUCACAUAUAUUUAGGGCUCGAAUGCAACAUUUGGGUUUCCAUAUAUUUAAACUAGCAUAAUACAGGGGCUCGCGUAACAUGUUUUGGCUUGCAUGUAAUAUAGGGCUUGAUCACAUAUAUAGGUUUGCAUGAUCUUAGGGUUCGCAUCACAUAUAUAAGUACGCAUGAUACAUGGGUUCACUCAACAUGUAUAUAUAAACUUGCACAUCAAAGUAUAGGCUCGCAUGCAUUAAGGUAAUAGAUUUUGCAAACAAUUUAGAGCUAGCACACAUCUUAGGCUUGCAUACAUACAUGUUAGCAAGGUCUGCAGGUCACAAAUCGGGGCUCGAAUAACUAUAGAGGCUUGCAUAGAAAUAUAACAGUGUUCGCAUAUCAUUUUAAUCAGCUUCACACAUUAAAUCAGAUAGUUUGUAUGCCUUACUUGGCUUUCAUUAGCAUGCGAACUCUUGUUUUUGACGUAGUGUGUAAGGACACUCACUAGUUGUUUGUUGAUACUGUCAAACCUAUACCACAUUUUGCUUGACUUUUUCCUUGCUUGUAGAUGCACCUUUAUAUUGAGAGGCUUUGCAUAAAACAAGAAAAUAUACAGAUUGCUACUUUCACAAACAUAUUAACCUUCUUAACUAACAUAGCAGCUCACCACUUCUAAAUUUACCGAACUCACCUCAUGUGACCUUAAACUUUUAGUUACUUUAUUUUAGUUCAAUUAAAUCCCCAAUUAUUACUUCCUAAUCUCAUAAGUAAGGUUUAAUUAUAGAUCUAGGCCAUUAAUUUUAGUCAAUUCUUAAAAUCAACAUUUUUCAAAAAAUCAUGCUCAUUUUCUAUCUCAAGAAGAAAAAUCACUUGAUUCAUGCAAUUCCUUUAAGGAUUUGUUAAAUCAAGUUUAUAAACCUCUUAAUUAUGCCAAAAUGAGUUAAAAAUUAUUUUAAAAUCAUGACUUAGCUCACUAUUAUGAGAUUCACCAUUUUUUUAUAUAAACCAAGCUUUAAAGCCAUAGAUCCAAUGAUUUCUCUUGAAACUUCAGGUGCAGUGCACUAACUAUGAAUAAUGUGGACUGAAUAUGUUUUUGGUACUCCAUGGAACUCCUCCUUCAACCACAAAAUCCCAACCCAAUUUAUAUGCAAUAUGUCACACAAUCUCAUACAUAAUCCUAUCUUAAUACUUUUCACAUUCAUUUGACAUGCUCAGCAUGUCCUCAAUAAUCACAUACUUUCAUACUUUUAGAAAAUGGAAACAGUGUUCCAAAGUUUCAAUUACCAUUGUGUUGGUAUCAAUCAAUAUCAUUCAAUUACACAUACUUUAUAGAUUUCCAUUGUGUUUAAAUAGCACCCUUUUCAAUACACAAUAUAAAAAAUAUCUCAUGCAUUUAAUCAUACAUAAGCUUUAUAUCUCAACACAUUAUAUCAUUCAGUCAAACAUUCUCAUAUCUUAUAAUUCAAAUAUGCAAUUACAAACUCAAUCAAACAUUCAUACUAUCAAACUAGCAAUUUUGCCAACAUGUUAAUCUUUUAAGGCUCAAAACAUAAUUGGUUCAGCCACUCACAAAAUCAAUAAUUUGGCUAUUAAGCCAAUCCAAUCAACAAGCUAAUUUAUCACAUAUAACAUGAUAUUUAACAUUUUCAAAAAAAAUUAUAAGUUUAGGACCCACGCAUUAUUUUUUGCUUCCUCGCAACAUACUAGCGAAUCUUCCAAUCUUCCUUAAUAAUUCCUUAAACGAACCUAAACCAAAAUGAAGCAUAAAUUCAAUCAAUUUACCAUUAAGCCAACCCCCAAACACCCACUUGUGAGUUCAAACUGAUCAUUGAAAUUAAAACUACUUUAUGAAUCCAAACUAGUUAGAUUCCUUAAACUGUAUCGAUGCAAAUCGUACGUACAAUCGUUCUUCACCUUUAUGGAUGAUUGGGGGUGUUUGGGUCAGCACCUAAUUCAAUAAUAUACUGGAAAAUCAGUAGUUAAUCAAUGAUUAACUUUCUUUAUUUAACCAAUUCAUAACCUUUACCCAACAACUAUGCCAAAAUAACAAACUAGUUUACAAUUAAUCGUACUUAUACUUCUCAAAUUAUAAGAUUCGAAUGGCUAAUUGAUCAAGAAUGUCUUUUGUAACAUCCCAAAAAUUAGGUUAGAAGAAAUGAGAUUUUGAAACCAAGAGUGGUCAUCCCUCGAUUAUGAGUUUAUAUCUUGGAAAAUUUGACAAGUAAAUUGAUCUGGCUUAAUGGUUAAUUGCUAUGGUUAUAUGUGUUAGGUUCUGGGUUCAAAUCUUGUUUUUGGAAAAUUUGUUACUUUUCUUAAACCCUUACCUUGAAUGUUUGGCUUUUAAGUUAAAUUUAGUCAAUUGAGGUCAAGAAUGAGCCUGUUGGUUUAAUGGUUAAGUUUCUGCAUAAUCCUUGGUCUUGUGUUCGAAUCUCAGCGAAAGCAACAGGGAAUGUUUUGUUUUUGAAUUUUUUAUAAGGUAGUUAGUUUCGAUUGGUUAUUUAAAGCCUUCUAGAAACCUCCGUUGCUUUUACUUUUAUUUUGUUCUUUCUUUUUCUACAAUGUUUUCUAUCAUUUUGUUUUCGAUCUUCAGUUUCCUCAUUUUGGUUUUUUAUUUUCAAGCAACCUUCUUUUUGUUAUGUUACGUUACACUAAUUGUGUAUAAGGUUUAACUUCUCCUUCUAGUUAAUUUGCUGGUUGGUAAGUUCAAUUUAAAGUUUUGGUGUCGAAAGUUCUUUAACAUAACUUCAAUUUUGGAAUGUUAGUUUCUAGUGGUUUGACUGCGAAUUAAUCGUUUGUUAGGGAAUUGCUUGUCGUUUAGGGACCUGAAUUUAUCCUUGUUACUCCUACAUCGAGUUCGUAUCAAGUGGGUAUCAAAAAUAUCUUCUUCUUCAAAUUUUAGUCGUCGAAGAAUAGGACUAUCAAUGCCACAUGGUCAUGCGCAAACUAUCUAGGUACAAUCUGUAUUCUAUUAAGUUUGUUGGUAUGCCUCUGCAUUACUCUAUUGAUAAAGAAUAUGUGACAUUUGAUUAUGUUAGAUUGGUUGUUACUGAUUCUAAUUUAUAACCCUCUGUUUUACUUUAUAGAUGUGGAAUACACAAUAUCUGAAAAUGUUAGACUAAUUGUUACUGAUUCUGAUUUAUUGUCGUGCAUGUGACUUCAUGGCAAAUAUGAUAUGAUCUGUUGAGGUUUGAUAGGUCUAUUUUCCAAAACAUGGACUCUCAUGUCUCCUAAUUCUGUUAUUGAAAGAUAUCAUAACUUACAUGCUCAUCACUCUGAUUCUGCAUAUGUAUGUCAUGACACGUUGCAUGGGAUUUGGGUUGAUGUGAAAGGUAAAAGUUACUGGCAGUUAAUGAUCCGCAUUAUCUGAGGUUUAUCCUCAAUUCUGUUUCGGCAGCUUAGUUGUACUAUAUUAACUUGACCACAUGUAACCGAUAUGGCAGUCUUAACUACAAAAUUCUAGUGGCACCAUCCACAGUUAUCUGUUGGUGUGAUUUGGCUAGACGAGUUCUGAGGGAACUCUAUUUUGGAUUGUAGUGGAGUUUUGGUAGGAUGUUUUCUGAUAAUUCUGCAUUCUGAUCUAUUUGAGAAAUACAACAUCUUCAUAACACAUUUUCUACUUUGCUCUAUUCUGUUCUAUUCUGUUCUGCUCUCUUCGGUUCUAUUCUAUUUGAUUUGUUAUGUUCUGCUUCAUUCUGUUGUGCUUGGUUCUAUUGUACUAUCGUUAUGGAAAUUUUCAUGAUAUUCUCGAUCUAUUCCAUACUAGCUAUAAAACUAUUAUUAAGUUCUUUGAGUUACUUUGAUUUAUAUAAUAAAAUCUAUUUAUUUGUAUCUAAGUUUGGUUAUACGCGACGCUUGGUAGUUCUCCCUUUGUCUUAUCUUAAUCUAUUUAGGUGGAUGUUUUACAUUGAUAUAACUAUGAUUUGAUCUUUUAGGUUGUAAUUUGUUUUUGGACUUGCAUUGCUUUUCUUUUGAUAAUCUCAUCAAUAUUUGUCAUUUUCUUACACAAAAAUAAAAAAACCACCUAAGUCGACUAAAAUGAAUUUCUGGUUUUCAAUGUUAAAAUUUUGAAAAGAAAUUAGUUUUCUACAUGUUGGUGUAGCUCGUCCAAAUUUGACUUAAACUUCUAGGUUGGGUUUGGGGUGUUGUAUCUUUCCAUAAUUAACAUGUGAUUAAUCUUUUAUUAGGAGGAUUCAAGAACUCAACUUAAUGAUGGAAAAAUAUAGGUAAGAACCAAGAAACAAAACAACCCCCUUUCUUGCACACAGGCGUACGCACCACCACCCAUGGUGGCCAAAAUUGGGGAAGAAUUUUAAAAUGGUUUGAAAUCUCAUUAAAAUCUAGAAAAAUACAAUUGAAUUCAUUUAAAAUCCCCCAAAUUCCAGAUCUAAAAAUUUUUCUUUUUAAUUGACAAAAUUAAUUAAGAAUUUGAAGAGAAAAGAGAUCUUCCCAAGCUAGUUAAAAGAAACGACAAUGACACUUUCUUGGCAAUGUUCAAGAUUGAUCUUGGGUUCAAGAUUUUAGAAUUGGGGAUGAUUUAGAUGAGAAAAAAUGGUAGGAAUAGAGUAAAGGAGAUGGUGUACAAUCUUGAUGCAAAAAGAAGAAGAAAGAGUUGGUAAAUGGGAGGUGUAGGCGACGACAACAAUAGGAGAAAGAAAGAAAAUUAAAGAGAAAAGUGGAGAGGAAGAUGGUGAACGGAUAGAGUAGGGAAAAUUUGAAUUAAAGGCUGAAAAAUACAAUAAAAAUUUCUAUUUAUACUUAGGGUUCAAGGGUAUGGAUCGCACAUACAUUUAAAAAAAUAAAGGAUUUUACGAAAUUUAAAAUUUCGUAAAGGAAAGGAUUCGAAAUUGGGACCUCAUUUAAUUUUCAUGUGUUCUCAUAUUUCUUUUAACCAUUAUGAUAUUUUCUCAUUCUUAAAAUCAUUUUACAAGAUUUAGUUUAAAAAUAAGGCAUGCCACAUUCUAGGGUUUAAGGCAAAAUUAGCAAAAUAAUAAAAAUAGUGAGAGAGAAGGGAUUUGAACUUGGGUUUCAUGGAAUGUUUGACUAACACUUAUCCAACAAACCAACACCUUAUUGAUUUCCUAAAAAUGCAUAGAUAAUCUCAAAAAUUAAGGCAUGACCACUCUUUCUCGAUUCACAAACCCGAUUAUGCUAAACCCUAAUUUUUGGAAUGUUACAAGGUAAGUUUGUAGUGUAACAAUAUAUAUGUGUGUGUUUUAGGGAUACGAUUGGCAUGCCAAUAGGGUUAGUAUGCAUGCUUGUACUGGAUCACACUUUGGUUCUUCUCUUUACACUUUGGUGCCUCUCUUUGCACUUCAGUGCCACUGUAUUUGCACUACAGUGCCUCUAUUAGCAUUUCGAUGUUUGGGGGAAACCCAAGUAUCGAAGUCAUUUUGCUGUAGUUCAACAUGCUGUGAAAUUUUAUGUUUAAAUGUUAAAUUACUCUUGAAUUUGAUUUAUAUACAAUGAUAUAUUUGUGUAUCUAUGUACAUAAGCAUUGAUUGCUUUGGUUUGAGCCAUUGUUUAUAUUGAAUCAUAUGAGAUGAAUGUUUUGAUUACUAUAGUUUGAGAAUAAAUAUUAAUUCCUUGGUGUAAUUAUAUGAUUCAUAUGUCUUUAAACAUGUUAUCUAAUUAUGUUUAUGGUGUGUUUAGAGAAUUAAAUUAUUAUAUGAGUAUUUUCCAGGUAUUCAAUGUUGUUUCAUUUGGUUUAAUGGGUAAAUAAAGCUUUAAAGGGUAUGUGAUUACACGAAAUGCACUACGAUAUUUGAGCAAUGAUAUGGAUCAUGAUGAAAUGUUUAAUUGAAAAGGAAAUAUGGUUUAGUAUAUAUAUAUGAGUGGUGAAUUAUGAAAGUGAAAUAUAGAUAUGUUAUAUACCAUGUUUUAUUCAAAUUAUAUAUGAUAUGUUACACCAACUAACCUUGUGAGGUGGUGGGUAUAGGAAAGGAAAGUUGGCUUAAAACAUAAUGAAAUUAUGCCUGCCUUUUUAACAUAAAAUAUUCAGUAAAUUAAGUUUCCUUUAUAUGAACUUACUCAACAUUAGUUGCUUGCAUAGUUAUUUUUCUUUAUUUUAUAGUUCAUCAGAAGCUCGACCGGUUGGAAUCAUGUCAAAGCACGAUCACACUAUCCAUUCAACAUUUUGAUAGCUUUUUUUAUUUUGGUAAAUGGUUAUAAAUGACAUGUAAUAGGGUUUAAAUGUCAUUCUAGUGAUUUGACUUGUUUUGAGUUGUGUCAAACUUCUUGUGAUUGAUGUUGUUAGUUGUUGGCAUGUAAAUAAUGGUGUAAAUAUGUGACAGCCCAAAAUUGACCCUAGUCGGGAAGUGGUUUCGGGACCGCUAAACCGAGUCACCGAAAGGUUUGAAUGUGAUGUUUAUUAUCUAGAAUAUGUAAUAAUGAAUGUGUGAAAAUUUCAAGCUUCGAUUUAGUCGAUUGCAUGCGAGUUUAGUCAAUAGGACUUAUAUGAGAAAAACUUUAAAAUGUGAUAGGUCAAUGCAUGAGGACCUAUUAGUGCAUGUGGAAGAAAAAGGGGACUUGCAUGUCAAAUUCCCCCUCCCUAAUAUGUAGUGGCCGGCCAUGCUAUGGGUGGAAACAUGUCACCAACAUGUUGUGUUAGUGAUGUAUGGUAAGGAAAAUAAAAUAUUAAGCAUGAUAAUUAAAAUAAAUUAAAGAAAGGAAUUAAACAAUGAAAAGGAAGGGUGAUGAAAAAAAUGGUCUCAUCCAUACCCCCCCCCCUUGUUGCCGUGAGUUGAGGAAAGAAAACAAAAAAAAAUGUGUGUUCAUUCUUGAACACCUUUGGCCGAAUAGAGGAAAGAAAGGAAGGGGAAGAGCUUGAGAAAAUCGGCUAUGGUGGUUUGCUAGACUAAGGUAUGUUUGAUGUUGUUCUUGAGAUGCAUGCAUGUUUUAGUAGUUGACUUGAGUUCUAAAAACCCAUGGUUCAAUUUUGUGGAUUGAUGAAGAUUUUGUGUUUUGCCAUUGAUGAGUGCUUGAGCUUUUUGAUAGUUGUUGAUGAAAAGUGAAAGAUAUGUUAAAGAUUAAUAUGUUUUGUGUUGAAGUUUUUGGUGAUUUUGAGUAGUUAGGGCUAUAUUACAAAAACAAAUUUUUGAAGGACUCAAAGGUGAAAUAAAUGAGAUGUAUGGACUUAUAUGGGCACUAGGAAGAUUCGGCCCUUAAGGAGUGUGACCAAACUUUGUGUAUUUUGUGUUUUGUGGAAUAAAGACUAAAUUGUGAAAGUGCGAAAUAUUAGGGGUAAAAAUGUAAUUUACCCAUUUAUGCGUUAUUAGACUAAAUUGAAUGAAAAUAUGUUAAAUUAAGGCUUGGCAAGCUAGCUAUUAAGGUGAAAUGCUAAUGUUAGUAUUUGAUUCGGUAAUAAUCUGUUUGGGGACAGCAGCAGUAAGGUGAUUUUGGAAAAUCGCCAUAAUUUGUAGGAGUUGAAUUAGAAGCUGAGUGAAUUAUGCCAUUAAAGCUUGAAGAGUCUAUUUUCUUACAAAAGAAACUAUGAAAACAAAAGAGUUACCGAUCUUGAGAUAUUUGAAGUAUUGUGGGGCUGAGUCAAAAUGACUACUAGAUUCCCUGUUCUGUUUUUAGAAAAUCAUUAUAAAUUGUACAAAAAUUAUUAUAAGAUAAAAUUUAUAUGCUUAGACUCCUUAAUGAGUCUAGUUUCAAAUGAGAUCAAAUACAACACAUUUUGAAUUCUGUAAAAUGAGAAAUUUGAUUCGUAGUGAAGAGUGGUCAGAAUAGUCAAACAGUGAAACAGGGGAAACUUUAAGAAAAAUCUGGUAUUGAUUGGCCAAGCCAAAAAUUCUGAAAAUUUUAUGGAUGGAAGAUAUAUGAGUCUAUAUUCAGGGAAAAUUAACAGCUAGUGAUUUGGAGUUUUGUAGCUCCAGUUAUAAACAAUUUAGCGACUACUGCUCAGGAAAACAGCUCGUAGUGAAUAUGUGAUUUUGUUGUAAACAUUAAUGAAAAUUUGCCAAUGAGUUAUUUAUUGACUAUUACAAAGCUUACUAUAAUCUAUGUGUGUGAAAGUCAAAUCAAUAUAUAUAUUAUUCUGAAAGUAAUACUUGAAUAGUCGAUUAAUGACUAUUUUAAGUUAUUGAUUUGGCUCAAGGAGUUAAAGGAGGUGAAUCGAGCAAAGGCAAAGAAAAGGUUAUCGAGUAGCCGAGUUGGAACCGUCUUACCCAACACGAGGUAAGUCAUUAAGCAUGUAGUUGGUAUUAUUUCAAUGGUCAUAAUGUUUAUGUAUUGAUGCUGAAUGGAAUGAAUAAAUAUACAUAUAUAUAUAUAUAUGUGCAUGUACGUAUGUGAUGAUGAGAUUGUUGAAUGAAAGAAAAGAGGUAAGAUGUACUGAGUUGUUGAUCUCGGCACUAAACGUGCGGGAUAACCAUUUAUGACCAUGAGAUUGGCGCUAAGUGCGCGGGAUUAAAUUGUACAGCACUAAGUGUGCGAUUUGACUAUGUUGCACUAAGUGUGCGAAAUGAAUAUGAUGCACUAAGUGUGCGAAUUGACCAUGCGGCACUAAGUGUGCGAGUUUGACUAUGUAGCACUAAGUGUGCGAUUUGAUUAUGUAGCACUAAGUGUGCGAGUUGAUUAUAUAGCACUGAGUGUGCGGACUCGAUAUACAUUCGUGAAUCAUUAUGGACACUAUGUGUGCGACACUAUUGAGUCGAUCGCGGACAGCGGAUCGGGUAAGUGUCUUGAGUACAUGGCUAAUAGGUGCUAUGCUUAUACUUGGUGUUGAGCUCGGUAAGUUUGAACCUAUGUGACAAAUAUACUUGAAGUCACGUACAUAAAAUUUAUCGUAGGAUUGGUGAAAGGCCGUUUAGUCGUUUGAUUGUAACGAAAAUAAAUUGAUUUAUGAAAAUGCUUCAAUGUCCUAUUGAUGAGUAUAUGGAAUGUGAAUGCAUGAAUUGAUAUGAAAUUGAAUUGAUAGGUUGGAGGAACUAUGGUAUGGUUCGGAAUGGAUGGAGUAAUUAGCCUCGUUCCAUUUUGUUUUCUCUUGUGAUAAUGUUAUUGAUGGAUGGUAGUGCAUAGCUUAUGACUUACUGAGUUAUAAACUCACUCGGUGUUUCCUUGUCACCCAUUAUAGGUUGCUUGGACUCAUCUAUUUUUUUGCGUGGUCGGGCCGUCAUCGAAGUCAUCACACCGGAUAGCAAGUUUUGGUACUUUCUUCUUAGUUGGCUUAGAAGAACAUUUUGGCAUGUAUAAGCUAUUACGUUGUGUUUGAACUUUGGCAUGUAAACUUUAAGCCAUGUGAAAAUGGCACGAAUGUUCGAUUGAGUUGGAUCAAGGGUAGGCAUGAAAUGGACCUAGUUACUUUCGUAACAGAUGCUGGCAGCAGCAGUGUCAUGAGAUUGAAAAAUCAUUAAAAAUAGUAGGAGUGGAAUUAAUUGAUGAAUAAAUUAUGUAAUCGAAGCUCGAUGAGUCUGUUUUCAUGAGGAAGUAACGAAAAGAUCAUAUGGGCAGUAUAUUAAGAGAUAAUCAGAUUUUUGUGGGACAGGGCCAGAACGGUUUCUGGAUUCCCUUCUCCGACUUUGGAAAUUCAUUACAAAUUAACCAGAGAUAAUUAGGGGUCGUACCAUAUAUGUACAGAUUCCUCUCUGAGUCUAGUUUUCAUAGAAAUAAACGGCAUCAGUAUUGGAGCCCCGUGCAGGGAGAUAUCCAAGUCGGAAUGGGAAAAGGUCAGUGUAGUCGACCCCUGCAACUGGGGAGACUUUGACUAAUAAACUGUACUAAUUGGCCCGACCAAAAAUUCUAGAAAAAAAUACAUAGAUGGGCACAUGAGUCUAGUUUCUGGGAAAAAUUACGAAACUGAUUUUCGAGUUAGGAAACUCAAGAUAUGAUUUUUAAAACGACUAGUACACGGAUUGGGCAGUGUCUGGAAAAUAAAUUUUGUAAGGGGUUAAAGCCAGUUAACACCUCGUGUUCGACUCCGGUGUCGGUUUCGGGUUCGGGGUGUUACAAAAUAUGUGUGGUUGGACCCUUAUGCAUGCUUUAUUGAUUAAAGAUAUCAUAUGGUAAAAUGGCAUGUUUUUGGAAUGGUUAUUUGGCAUGAUUAAAAUAGGUUUAAGUUUUGAUCUUGAGACGUUGAAUUGAAUUAAGUUUAAGAUGUAUAUUGUGAUACCUUCAUUGGCAUAUUUGUUAGAUAUUAAAGGAUGGUUGAUUUGGUAUGUUUUUGAAAUGGUUGUUGGUAUGUUUGAUCUAAGUUGAUUAAAUGAACUUGUAAUGUUCAACGGUAUAAUACUUGUUGGUACAUUAGUUAGUCUUAUAGGUUGAUGGAAUUGGUAUGUUUUAAAUGUGUUUAAAAUAUGUUUUGGUUAUUUCAAUGUUUGUGGAAAUGGUGUGUCUUGGUGUACAAGAUUUGUAAUUGAAAUGGCUCUAUUUAGAAGCAACUUCUGCUGCACACUACCUGGGACACGAGUUGUCACAUGGUUGUGCAUCAUUAAUGUUUUAGGUGCAGGUUUCACACAAUCUAAGACUCGGCUCACGACACGGUCUGGGCUAUGUCACACAGCUUGGCCGCAUGGCCAUGUGACCCUUGUUUUCAAGUUUUCAAAAUUUUCUAUUUUAUUUCAAAUUGAUCAUAGAAUAUUCUCAAACUAUUUUUAAGGCCCCGUAGGUUCGGAUUAUGGCCCGUAAGUGUAUGUUUGCUAUAAUUAAGUUGUGUUAUUGAAUGUUAUUAAUUAAAUCACAUGAAUAUUUUAUUGUAAGUUAAAUGUUUUAAUUUGUACCAUAAUGCUUUGUAACCCUAAUCUGGCGAUGAAGACUAGUUUGGGGUGUUAUAAUUUUGGACUGUAAAUUUGUUUUGGGGGCUUUGUUCUUUGGUUAUUGCGAUGUUGGUUAGAUUUUGGUGUUUUAACAUUAAACUGCAAAAUUGUAUGAUUUAACAAACUAAAAAUUAGUUUUUCAAAAUUAAAACUCUUGAAAUUUCAGUUGCAAAGAUUAAGUAAUCACUUCAGUGUUUUUCCAUAAAUAAUUAAAUUUUUUUUAACAAAUGUUUUCCUUAGUUUGGGAAAUGAUUUGCCAACAUAUGUACUUUUAAAACACAUGAUUUCAAAUUCAAAUUCUCAAUUUUAAAUAAGGGUUUUCAAACUUUAGUUUUUUUUAACAGUUGUGAGAGGUUUUUGCCAAAUUUUAUGUUUUCAGAACAUAUUAGUAAGUUGAUUUUUAAUUUGUUUUUUAAACGAGUCGAUGUAAUUCCUCAAAAAUCCAUUCAUAGCGUCUUAGUCUAGAUCUAAACAUUAAUAUUCUCUUCCAAGAAAAAUCAAGAUUAUCAAAUUGUUACAACUUGGUAGGUAGACAAUCAUAUUAAAUAAGCAUAAAACUUAAUAAAUAAUUAGCGAAGAUUGAAACAAUCAAAGAAAAAAUAAAUUAAUUAACUAAGAAAUAGGAUCCAUUAUUGUUUCAAGAAAACAGAGUUUAGUUCAUAUUGAGUUGAGAAAUCCAAAAGGGAGAUUCAAAACAAACUUGUGAAAAGGGGAACAAUGUCAAUAGAUCGUAUUCAAGUUGUUCAACUCGAGAAGGAAAGAUUCAGAUCUAACCUAAAAAGAAGAAACCAAACAGAUUUAGAAAAACAAGAAAAACAAAGAAAAUAACUAAAAUGAGAAAUUUAAGAGUAAUUAAUAAAUAUUAAAACUAAUAAAGAAAUAAAGAAAUUAUAGAAUAAAUAGUGGAAGAUGGAAUGAAUAAACGAUGGAUAUGACAUAUAGAUGGAUAAGUGUCUGAUAAUUCUUGAAAAGAGUUAUUUUUCAUGCCUUUAGACCUAACUUGUAAUGCCCCAAAAAUCCCUUAUAUAUUUAUUUUCGUAAGUUUGUAACAGAAAUAUCUGUUAGCUUUAGUGGUUAUAUGCUUUGGGAGUGUUUAGGAGGUCCCAAGUUGAAACCUUAGCUUGGGCAAUUUUUUUUUGUUUUAAAUGAAUAAAACUCUAUCUUUGAUUAGUAGGCUUAUAAAUAGAUGUUGGUAAAAAAUGUCAGAAUGGUUUUACUGGUUUAGUGGUUAAGUGGGGUGUAAAUAUGCAGGAGCUCUUAUGUUCGAAUCUUUGUGCGAUCAAGAGCAUUUAUUUUAUUACUUGUGUCGUGUAGGUAUUUUGGUCCAGCCAAAAUACUGAAGAGGUUGACUAAGGGUUGGUUUCGGUUGUUGAGAGGUUUAUGGUGGGUUAGUAGAGAGGAUUUUAAGGAGAAAUUUUAGAGAUAUGAAGAGAGAGUUAGUGCCGAAUUGAAUUUCUUUUGCUUUCUCAAAUUUCAGCUGGGGUUUGAUUUUUCUUUUCAAUUUGUUUCUAUUGACUGUUUUCCAUUCUAGAGGGUCAAAUAUUGCUGAGGGUUCCUACUAGUUUCUUUUUUUUCUUUUUCUCUCUUCUCUCUUUCGACUUUGUUCUUCCCAACUGCAAAAGUGCUCUUCCCUAAACUGUUACUACCGUCUACUUUCUCUUUUCCUCCCUUGCUUUUUUUAUUGUCGAAUUUUGGGUUCUUUAUGCAUUUAAUUCUAAUGUCAAUUUAUCACUUCUCUACCAAAAGAUUAUUAUUUUCUCUCAUUGAUUUUCGUUUGGUUCAUCCUUGCUACCAGAAGUGUGGUUGCCCUUCUUUCUUGGUUUCGUUUGUCAUCAUCUGCUACAUGUUCUUUAACACUCUUUUGGUAAGUGUUCGUUUCUUCACCGCUCAGUUACUUGAAGUUAGUUUUUAAAUGGUUGUGUAUUGUUUUGAAUAAGAAUCUGAUAAAUCGUGUGUUCCAACCCUAUUUAGAUCAGUUCAUGGUGGUGUUUAUUGAUGAUAUACUGGUGUAUUCGAGAACUAAGGAUGAGCACGAUGAACACCUCAGAGUGGUUCUACAGAUUCUACGAGAAAAAGAACUGUACGCCAAGUUUAGUAAAUGUGAGUUCUAGUUAAGUGAAGUAACGUUUCUGGGACAUGUGGUUUCUACUGAGGGGAUUAGAGUUGAUCAUCGAAAGAUUGAGGCUGUCUUGGAUUGGAAGCAGCCUAAGACUGUAUAUGAGAUCUACAGUUUUCUCAGAUUGGCAGGGUAUCGACAAUUUGUGUAAAGGGUUUUCUCUAAUUGCCGUACCCUUGACUAAGCUGCUACGUAAAGGCUUACCGUUUAACUGGACUGAUUCAUAAUAAGAGAGCUUUGAGAAGCUCAAGACUGUACUGACUGAGGCCCCUGUUCUAAUAUAGCCAGAGUCUGGAAAAGAGUUUACUAUUUACACUGAUGCAUCACAUGUCUGUUUAGGAUGUGUGUUGAUGUAAGAAGGUAAGGUGGUAGUGUACACGUCUCAUCAGCUUAAGAAUCAUGAGGUGAAUUAUCUUACGCAUGACUUGGAGUUGAAGUGAUUGAGUAUAAUAACAUUUAACAUAUUAGAGCCAAUUGGUUGUCCAUAAACAUAAAAAGGUGACCUUAAUGAGAUACGCCAUAGACUCAAAAGUGUAUCAUUUACACUGAUCACAAGAGCCUCAACUACCUCCUCACUCAUAAGGAGCUGAAUCUUAGGCAACAUAGAUGGAUUGAGAUGCUUAAGGACUACGACUGUACUAUUGAAUACCACCCUGGUGAGGCUAAUGUGGUGGCUGACGCACUAAGCCGUAAAACUAUGACUGAACUGAGGGUGAUGUUUUCUCGCCUUAUUUUAUUUGAUAAUGGUAGUCUGUUGGCCAAACUUCAGGUUAAACCGAUUUGGAUAGAGUAGAUUAAGUGUAUACAAGUAGAGAAUGAGUUGUUGGGUCUUCGUUUUUGACAGGUUGAGAGUGGGAAUACCAAGGAUUUUAGACUGAAUAGUGAAGGGGUGCUCUAUAUCUGUGGGAGAAUCUAUGUAAAGACCUUCGUGAGUUAUACUAGUGGCCAGGUCUUAAAUGAGAAUUUACUAAAUUUUUGGCUAAGUGUCUGACAUGCUAGCAGGUUAAGGCUGAACAGCAGUUACCUUCGGGAUUGUUGCAGCCAGUCAAGAUUUCAGUUUGGAAGUGGGAGCAUGUAACUAUGGAUUUCAUUAGUGGGUUACCCCUCACACCCACUAAAAAGGAUUCGAUGUAGGUCAUCGUGGAUUGAUUGACCAAAUCCGCCCACUUCAUACCAAUUUGUACUGAUUACUCUCUGUAGAAGCUGGCUAAAUUGUAUGUGUCUGAAAUAGUGAGAUUACAUGGGGUACCGAUUUUAAUAAUAUCUUAUAGGGAUCCUCAUUUCACAUCUCGGUUCUGGAAGAAGCUAUAUGAAGCUUUGGGUACAAGAUUGGAGUUUAGUACUGCGUUUUAUCCUCAGACUGACGGUCAGUCAGAGAGGGUGAUUCAGAUACUAGAGGAUAUGUUGAGAAGUUGUGUGAUUGACUUUCGAGGUAGUUAGGAGGAUUACUUACCGCUAGUAGAAUUUGCAUAUAACAACAACUAUCAGUCUAGCAUUCAAAUGACACCCUAUGAGGCAUUAUAUGGUCGUAGGUGUCGCACACCUUCAUGUUAGACUGAGUUAGGCGAGCAGCGUAUUUUGGGGCCUGAACCAGUUUCUGAUACAGAGGAUAAAGUUAGACUAAUUCAGGACCAACUGAAAGCGAUAUCUAAUAGGCAUAAGUCCUACACCGAUCUAAAGAGUCGAGGGAUUGAGUAUUCUGUGGGGGACUUCAUUUUUCUCAAGGUCUCACCAUGGAAGAAGGUAUUAAGGUUUGGUCGUAAGGGCAAGUUGAGCCCUAGUUUAUUGGGCCCUAUCGCAUACUAAAACGUGUGAGAUGAGUUGCCUACCAGUUGGAGUUACCUCUAGAGUUAGAUCGGAUUUAUGACGUGUUCCAUGUCUCUAUGUUGAGGUUACCGCUCUAAUCCUACGCAUAUUAUUCCUAUUAAGGAAAUCAAGGUUAGGCUAGAUCUAACCUUUGAGGAGGAGUCAAUUCAGAUAUUGGAGUGAGAUAUAAAGGUUCUAAGAAGAAAAUUCAUCCCACUAGUUAAGGUUAUUUGGCGUAACCAUAGCACUGAGGAGGCCAUAUGGGAGUCUAAGGAUGUAAUGCUUUAGCAGUAUCCUCACCUAUUCUGAUCAGGUAAAUUUUCAAGGCCAAAAUUUUCUUUUAGGGGGUAGAGUUGUAGCGCCCCAAAAAUCCCUUAUAUAUUUAUUUUCGUAUUUUUUAUACAAAUAUCUGUCAGCUUUAGAGGCUAUGUGCUCUGGUAGUGUUUGGGAGGUCCCAAGUUCAAGCCUUAGCUUGGGCAAUUUUUUAGUUUUAAAUGAAUAAAAUCAUAUCUUUGAUCAAUAGGCUUAUAAAUAGAUGUUGGUAAAAUAUGUCAGAAUGGGCAUGCUGGUCUAGUGGUUAAGUGGGGUGCAAAUAUGCUGCAGGUCUUGUGCUUGAAUCUCUAUGUAUAGAGCAUGUUGUUAAACUGUACUACAUGCAUAUAUGAUACCAUGAUAUGACAUGACAUGAUUGUGUGGUGCAUGGCAUGGGGAUAGGUUAUUAUUGAUCGAAGGAAGUGUACUGGAAGGCUUUGAGCCUAACUUACUGGCAGCUCAGCUGCAUAUUACUGUAUAGUGUCGCCAUUGGUACUACUUAGAGUGUAGGGAUGGGUGGGUUGAUUAUAUCCCCACAUGAAGUGUAGGGUUGGUCGGAGUUGGUGUGUAGAGGUUGGCUAGGUAGGACUUGUAUACUGCAUAAUCUGUUAAUGUACUGAUUGCUAAUAUUGUAAUGGGCCAAGGCCCAAAUGCAUGAUUACUUUUGUACUAAGAUGGGCUAAAGCCCAAACCAAUACUGUCACUGAUACUGGAAAGGGCUUAGGCCGGACUGAGUUUAUUCUGUUUUCUGUCUGAUUAUUUUGUGUACUGUCUAUUUGUUUGCACUAGGAAUAUCACACUGAGUUUUGAAAACUCACCCUUUCUGUUAAUCUGUGUAGGUAAUCCCCAGUCGUAGGUAGAUCGGUGUGGCGGAGGAUUCAGCGGUGGCCACACGACUCCUUUUUAUUGUUUCGUAUCUAAUGAUAUUUAUUUUUAAGUCUUUAUUUGGGGUUUUUAUCUGUAAUAAUUGCUGCUAUGGAUUUUUUAUUUAAAUUUGGAUUUAACACUACUUCAUGUUUACAUCUGCUAGAGGUAGAUAUAGCACGGAUUUUUGAAAAGAAAUGCAUGUGUUUUAGCAAAAUACCCCAAUGUCACAAACUGUUUUAAAAAGCUUCCGCAACGUAUAAUGAUUUGCAAACUAACAAUUGAAUAAAAAUCACUAUUUUGGGAUUAACAAAAGAUAACGACGACCUCUAAUCGAAAAAUGUUUUAAGCAAAGUUACCAUUUUUCAACAUGAGCUUCGGUUUUGAAAAAUACCACCAUGUGACAUCGCCAAAUUCGCCCGUAACAUCCAGGCUGGGUUUGGGGUGUUAGAUAACUAAUUGCUUGAACUUAAGUACAUUUUGUUGCAUUUUAAGACAUUUUAGUUAGCAUUUCUAAUAUUGCAUUAGGACUUAGAUUGUGUUGGACUUAUGUGUUUUUAAUAUGGUGGAGUUUUUUUGUGUGUUGGUAUGGCAAGAACAUAUUUUAGAACGAGGAAAUAAAUGAGUGAAGUUUUGUCAGGGAAAAAGUGCAGACAGUUUGCCAGCACGGAUGCCGUGACAAUGCCAGGAAGACCAAGUAAACAUUUUUUUGCGCAACAGUCUCAAUUGAAAUUAAAACUUGUACCAGAUAAAUCUUCAAAAAAGAGGAGAAGAUAAUCACAAGUUGUUACUUGACACUAGCCUAAUCUACCUAUAAAAGCCAAUAAAGGGGAUCUCACAAAUGGCAGAAAAAAGUGGGAGGGAUCCUUAGGUGUGAAUAAGGUUUUAGUUGCGCAAAGGAAAGGAAGUCGAAGGCAGUGCUUUUUAGCCAUCACAGGAUGUUGUGCUACCGAAGUGUAAACUAGGCAAGUGAAAGUUGUUUCCCAAAGUUCUUUCGUUAUUUCCAUCAGCGUUCCUUCAAAAUAUUGAAGUAGUUGAACACAAUGUCAGAUAAUAUUUUGCUUUUGAAUUUUAUUUCUCAGCCCAUGAGCUAAAUCUCGUAGGGUUGGGAUUACUUUUGAUGAAACCUUAAACUAUUUUUAUGGAUGCAGUAUAUAUCUAAUUUACUUUACUGUUUCAUUUGAUUGUUCUUAUUUCUUAAUUAAAAUGCAAAUGAUUUCUAAACAUAGAAGACUGUUCGCAUACUUAUAAACUCAUUCUAAUUCUGAAAGGGUUGGAUUGGUUGGAUUAAAAUUAAAUGAAAUGAGCAAGUAUUCGAUGGACACUUGUAGUAGACUCUAUACAUAGAGUGACGAUCAUACAGAAGGAACCCAUGCAAGGUAUCUAAAAAGUCUUUAGACAUAGGCAAGGUAACUUGAUGUUUUCCUCUCAUGAGAGGAGAGCCAUUUUAGUACUCUUCUGUGCUUUAUAGUAGAUACGAUUUUCCCAAGGCAUUAUUGACAAUAAGGGUCAAUAUUCGGUAAUCCUGACCUUCGAAAUCCACAUCGUAUAUCCUUUAUUCUUUUCCACAUCAUUAUUAGUUAUUUAUUUGUUCAUUUACAUAAUAUUCCCAUAGUAAUUCUCAUCAUUGUCAUUACAUUUCUACUCUUGGUUUGACACAACAUUACCACUUAUUUAUUAAUUCUAUGUAUUGCUUACAUCAUUACUCUACUAAUUGCCACUGUAUAUUCAUCAUUGACUCUCCCAUAGCAUUAAUCGUAUUUUAUUAUAAUAAUUUGACCAAUUGUGUGCCUCAAUCCGAUCUUUAUGGGAACGAUACACACUCAUCACUUUAUUACGUGAUUCAACUGUAUACUUGCACAAAUCGCAUAUCAUUUCACACACGAUAGUGUUCAAUUGAACCCUUUGAGAUAUAAACCUAGACAAACUCAAUUAAUGGCUUUAAUUAACCCACCAAGAAAUAAUGAUUGGCAAAUUGAACGAUGAAGAAUGAAUUCCCAUGACUCCUUAAAAAAUUGAGAAGAAAAAUACUUCUAAAAAUCACAAGAAACAAAUCUUGGACAAAGAAACUAACUUUCAGAGUUGGAAAUUUUAGUAAUAAACAAAAACAAUUGCAUCUCUAAUGAACAUGAAGGGCCUUUACAUAGGCUAGAUAAGUACAUCCAGAUAAAAUAUUCAAGUAUCUUGAAACUUUAAUUAAUAUAAGUAAUAAGUAAUUUUAAACUAAAAUAGUCAUAAUUUUCGUCAUAAUCCCGUCCAAAAAUUCUGCUCACAUAAUCAUCAUUAAAAUAGUCAUAAUUUAAGCUCUUGAACUCAAAAUUGAGUGAAUAAAAGUGUGUUUCGAAGUUAAGUGCUAGAUCUUAGAACUUUAUGAAGACAUAUCAAUCGAAAAUUGUCCGGAUCCCAUCCAAAGAGUCACAGCAAGUUAACUAAUUUUUCAAACUUGAAAAUUGGCAACUUCGGGGAAUGGAAUUUAAUACAGUUCACCCCAUCUAUUCAUGUAUCAACUCGCAUUGGUAAAAAGUAAAAAGAAAUAAUCUAUAGAGAAAAUAGUUGAAGAAUUUAUGAAAAUUUAUUCAAAUCUCUUUUUUUUCUAGUCUUUGCAAGCUUGAAUUUUCCCUUGGUGUGUGAGAGUUGUUCCUUACCCUCUAAGUGAUUUUUUUUCUUUUUCUUUCUCUUCGAUCUCGUCACCUAAGGGUGUUCAAACAAUUGAUUCAGUUAGUACCCGUGCAAAACUAUCAUUAACUGAAAUUUUGAAACCCUUAAUCAUUAAUCAAACCAUUUUCUUUUUUGAAACCUACUAACCAGCUUGAUUGAUUUGGGUUAAUUUGAGUGGUUAACCAAAAUUUAAACAUUGUUUGUUUUUGUUCAAACAAUUUUAAAACAAAGAACAAUCCAUGACAAUUUUUCCUUGUUUUUUAUUCAAAAAAAUUAAAAGAAUUAAAAAAAUAACAUAAUAACAACACUAAAUUAAAAACAUAAUAGCAUUCAUUACAUUACAAAGCAUAUAUAUAUAUUUACUUUUUCUUGACUUUUUAGUUUAAUUUUCGUUUUAUUUUCCUAAUAUUUUUAGUUUUCAUAUUUUUGUUAAGCUUAUUAUAAGAACACUUAUAAAUCCAUUAGUUCUUAUAUAUUGGGUUUGUAUAAUGUAUUCGACCUAUCUCUAAUAUAUUGGGCCUAUAAUAUAUUUUUAUUGAUUUCGGUUAAUCAAUUCAUUCGAUUAAUUAGUCGAUUUCAAACUAAAAUAAUUGGUAAACAAAAUCUUCAAAAACCUUUAACCAACUCCAACCAAAUUAGAUUCAUUGAUCAACUUCUUAAUCAAAUUAAUUAGGUUUGAUAAAUUAAUUCGUUAAAACUGAAAAAUGCACACCCCUAUCAUCACCGUUGUUUUUAGGGAUUUUAAUCAUGUUGCUCCACCUGAUGCAGAAGUUGAGGUGGAAUGAACUACUUGCUACCAAAAUUUUUGAAUUAUAGAGCAUGCUCUACCGCAGUGAAUCAAAUUCGGUGGAGUGGAAGACUUUUCUUUACUACUUUAUGCUCUAUGCUCCAAGUCUUCUAUUCUUCUUCUGAGACCUAAAAUGGGAAAAAAAAAGAAGAAACAAGUCUAAACUAACUUUGAAAAUUAGAAAUUCUCAACAAAAUUGAAAUAAAAUAUAAUUAAUCCAUAAAAACUAUAAAAAAUACAAUAAAAACGAACCUAAAUACUAAAAUUACCUCCUAAAAAGCUAUGGAAACUAUACUAAAAUAAUUCUAAAUAUGAUAGUUAUCAAAAAUGACAUGAGGAAGCCAAUCGAGUAGAUGCUUUCAACUAUUGCAAAUACCAUUAGUCGAUUAGCCAUCAUCUUGAGAACAUCAUAGAGUUGAAAGAAAAAAUCAUACAACUCCAUAAAGAAGAAAAAAUCAUUUUUGAAAAAGAAUUGGCAUUAUCAAACUUGACAUCAAUGCUUUGGUUUCUCAAUACAAUAUUAUGGACAAAUUCAUCAAAUUUGGCUCUUUCAAUCCUAUUACACUAGCUCUAAGUAGAAGUAAGAUGGUGAGUUUCGAAGGGAUUGAGGGCAAUCAUCUAUUUUUGGAAUAUCAGAAUGGUCAUGAUUGGACUCUAGCCACAUGUCAAAGAAGCCAAUGAAAAGCAUCUCUCCUAGGUAUAAGCUUAUAUUAUCACAUUGCUCCUAAGCAUGAGCAUAAAUCGUUCAUCCAGAAUGAUGAUGAUCCUAAGCAUAAGCUUAAACUAUUCAUCUAAUGCUCCUAAGAUGGAGCUUAAUCUAUUCAACCUAAACGAUCAUGCUUUAAGCACAAUCUUAAACUAUUCACAAAAAAUAAAUGAUGAUCCAAUGAAGCAUGAGCUUAAACUAUUCAUACAAAAUAAGCGAUGACCUUCUAAGCAUGAAUUUAAAUUGUUCAUACAUAAUAAAUGAUGAUAUUACUAAGAACAAGCUUAAACUGUAGUCUAAAAAAUAUUGAACUAUAUUAUAACUUGAUCUUUUAAAAAUGAAGGUACGUAGAUAGCUUGGUUUCAUUGCCAAGUUCAGUCUAAUUAAAUAUGUUUAUGGUGUGUUUAGAGAAUUAAAUGAUUAUAUGAUUAUUUUCCAGGUAUUCGAGGUUGUUUCAUUUGGUUUAAUGGGUAAAUAAAGCUUUAAGGGGUAUGUGAUUACAUGAAAUGAACUAUCAUAUUUGAGUAAUGAUAUGGAUGAUGAUGAAAUGUUUAAUUGAAAAGGAAAUAUGGUUUAGUAUAUAUGUAUGAGUGGUGAAUUAUGAAAGUGAAAUGUAGAUAUGUUUUAUACCAUGUUUUGAUUCGAAUUAUAUAUGAUAUUUAAACCAACUAACCUUGUGAGGUGGUGUGUAUAGGAAAGGAAAGUUGGCUUAAAACAUAAUGAAAUUAUGCUUGGUUUUUUAACUUAAAAUAUUCAAUAAGUUAAGUUUCCUUUAUAUGAACUUACUAAACAUUAGUUGCUUACAUAGUUAUUUUUCUUUAUUUUGUAGUUCAUCAGAAGCUCGACCGAUUGGAAUCAUGUUAGAGCAUGAUCACACUAUCCAUUCAACAUUUUAAUAGUUCUUCGUUAUUUUGGUAAAUAGUUGUAAAUGACAUGUAAUGGGGUUUAACGGUCAUUCCAGUAAUUUGACUUGUUUUGAGUUGUGUCAAGCUUAUUGUGAUUAAUGUUGUUAGUUGCUGGCAUGUAAAUAAUGGUGUAAAUAUGUGUGAUCGGACCCUUAUGCAUGCUUUAUUGAUUAAAGAUAUCAUAUGUUAAAAUGGCAUGUUUUUGGAAUGGUUAUUUGGCAUGAUUGGUAUUUAUGAUCUUGAGAUGUUGAAUUGAAUUAAGUUUGAUAUGUAUAUUGUGAUACCUUCAUUGACAUAUUGGUUAGAUAUUAAAGGAUGGUUGAUUUGGUAUGUUUUUGAAAUGGUUGUUGGUAUGUUUUCUCUAAGUUAAUUAAAUGAAUUUGUAAUGUUGAAUGGUAUAAUAUUUGUUGGUACAUUAGUUAGUCUUAUAGGUUGAUGGAAUUGGUAUGUUUUAAAUGUGUUUUGGUUAUUUCAAUGUUUGUGGAAAUGGUGUGUCUUGGUGUACAAGAUUUGAAAUUGAAACGGCUUGAUUUAGAAGCAACUUAUGCUACACACCGCCUGGGACAUGGAUUGUCACAUGGCUGUGUCAUUAUUAUUUUAGGUAUAGGUUUCACACAAUCUAAGACUCAGCUCACGACACAGCUGUGUAUCACAAGUCAGUAUGUAACACGGUUUUGUACAUGGCCUGCGACACGAUCGUGUGUCCAGACUUCGAAUGUCCACAUGGUCUAGGCUAUGUCACAUGGCUUGGCCACAUGGCCGUGUGACUUUUGUUUUCAAGUUUUCCAAAAUUUUCUAUUUUAUUUCAAAUUGAUCCUAGAAUAUUCUCAAACUAUUUUUAAGGCCCCGUAGGUUCGGAUUAAGGCCCGUAAGUGUAUGUUUGCUAUAAUUAAGUUGUGUUAUUGAAUGUUAUUAAUUCAAACACAUGAAUACUUUGUUGUAAGUUAAAUGUUUUAAUUUGUACUAUAAUGCUUCGUAACCCUAAUCUGGCGAUGGAAACAAGUUUGGCGUGUUACAAUUUUGUAUUGUAAAUUUGUUUUGGGGCUUUGUUCUUUGGUUCUUGUGAUGUUGGUUGGAUUUUGGUGUUUUAACAUUAAACUGCAAAAUUGUAGGAUUUAACAAACUAAAAUUAGGUUUUCAAAAUUAAAACUCUGGAAAUUUUUGUUGCAAAGUUUAAGUAAUCACUUAAGUGUUUUUCUAUAGAUAAUUAAAUGGUUUUUAACAAAUGUUUUCCUUACUUUUGGAAAUGAUCUGCCAACAUUAGUACUUCUAAAACACAUGAUUUCAAAUUCAAAUUCUCAGUUUUAAAUAAGGGUUUUCACACUUCGAUUUUUUUUAAACAUUUUUGAGAGGUUUUUGCCAAAUUUUAUGUUUUCAGAACGUGUAACCAAGUUGAUUUUUAAUUAGUUUUUCAAAGUAGUCGAUGUAAUUCCUCAAAAAUCCAGUCAUAGCGUCUAGGCCGGGUUUGGGAUAUUAUACUGACGUUACUAAAGUUAAUCUUCAUCUAUUUAGUCUUGAUCUAAACAUUAAUAUUCUCUUCAAAAAAAAUCAAGAUUAUCAAAUUGUUAAAACUUGGUAGGCAGACAAUCAUAUUAAAUAAGCAUAAAACUUAAUAAAUAAUUACCGAAGAUUGAAAUAAUCAAAGAAAAAAUAAAUUAAUUAACUAAGAAAUAGGAUCCAUUAUUGUUUCAAGAAAAUAGAGUUUAGUUCACAUUGAGUUGAGAAAACCAAAAGGGAGAUUCAAAACAAACUUGUGAUAAGGGGAAUAAUGUCAAUAGAUCAUAUUCAAGUUGUUCGGCUUGAGAAAGAAAGAUUCAGAUCUAACUUGAAAACAAGAAACCAAAAAGAUUUAGAAAAACAAGAAAAAACAAAGAAAAUAACUAAAAUGAUAAAUUUAAGAAUAAAUAAUCAAUAUUAAAAAUAAUAAAGAAAUAAAGAAAUUAUAGAAUAAAUAGUGGAAGAUGGAAUGAAUAAACGAUGGAUAUGACAUAUAGAUGGAUAAGUGUCUUAUAAUUCAUGAAAAGAGUUAUAUUUCAUGCCUUUAGACCUAACUAAUUGUUUGUACUUAAGUACAUUUUGUUGCAUUUUAAGACAUUUUAGUUAGCAUUUCUAAUAUUGCAUUAGGACUUAGAUUGUGUUGGAAUUAUGUGUUUUUAAUAUGGUGGAGUUCUUUUGUGUGUUGGUAUGGCAAGAACAUAUUUUAGAACGAGGAAAUAAAUGAGUGAAGUUUUUUCAAGGAAAAAGUGCAGACAGUUUGCCAGAACAGAUGCCGUGACAAUGCCAGGAAGACAAAGUUAACAUUUCUUUGCGCAACAGUCUCAGUUGAAAUUAAAACUUGUACCAGAUAAAUCUCCCUAAAAGAGGAGAAGAUAAUCACAAGUUGUUACUUGACACUAGCCUAAUCUAUCUAUAAAAGCCAAUAAAGGGGAUCUCGCAAAUGGCAGAAAAAAAUGGGAGGGAUCCUUAGGUGUGAAUAAGGUUUUAGCUGCGCAAAGGAAAGGAAGUCGAAGGAAGUGCUUUUUAGCCAUCACAGGAUGUUGUGCUACCGAAGUGUGGACUAGGCAAGUGAAAGUUGUUUCCCAAAGUUCUUUCGUUAUUUCCAUCAGCGUUCCUUCAAAAUAUUGAAGUAGUUGAACACAAUGUCGGAUAAUAUUUUGCUUUUGAAUUUUAUUUCUCAGCCCAUGAGCUAAAUCUCGUAGGGUUGGGAUUACUUUUGAUGAAACCUUAAACUAUUUUUGUGGAUGCAGUAUAUAUCUAAUUUACUUUACUGUUUCAUUUGGUUGUUCUUAUUUCUUAAUUAAAAUGCAAAUGAUUUCUAAACAUAGAAGACUGUUCGCAUACUUAUAAACUCAUUCUAAUUCUGAAAGGGUUGGAUUGGUUGGAUUAAAAUUAAAUGAAAUGAGCAAGUAUUCGAUGGACACUUGUAGUAGACUCUAUACAUAGAGUGACGAUCAUACAGAAGGAACCCAUGCAAGGUAUCUAAAAAGUCUUUAGACACAGGCAAGGUAACUUGAUGUUUUGCUCUCACGAGAGUCAGGCCAUUUUAGUACUCUUUUGUGCUUUAAAGUAGAUACGAUUUUGCCAAGGCAUUAUUGACAGUAAGGGUCGAUUUUGGGUAAUCAACUUUCCAAAUCCACAUCGUAUAUCCUUUAUACCUUACCAUAGUAUAUUUGCCACAUCAUUAUUAGUUAUUUAUUUGUUCAUUUACAUAAUAUUCCCAUAGUAAUUCUCAUAAUUAUCAUUAGAUUUCUACUCUCAGUUUGCCACAACAUUACCAAUUAUUUAUUACCUCCACGUAUUGCUUACACCAUUACUCUACUAAUUUCAACUAUAUAUUUAUCAUUGAGUUUGCCAUGGCAUUAAUCGUAUUUUAUUAUAAUAACUUGACCAAUUGUGUGCCUCAAUCUGAUCCCCAUGGGAACGAUACUCACUCAUCACUUUAUUACGUGAUUCAACUGUAUACUUGCACAAAUCGCAUAUCAUUUCACACACGACAGUGUUCAAUUGAAACCUUUAAGAUAUAAACUCGGACAAACUCAAUUAAUGGCUUUAAUCAACCCACCAAGAAAUAAUGAUUGGCAAAUUGAACGAUGAAGAAUGAAUUCCCAUGACUCCUUAAAAAAUUGAGAAGAAAAAUACUUCUAAAAAUCACAAGAAACAAAUCUUGCACAAAGAAACUAACUUUUAGAGUUGGAAAUUUUAGUAAUAAACAAAAACAAUUGCAUCUCUAAUGAACAUGAAGGGCCUUUACAUAGGCUAGAUAAGUACAUCCAGAUAAAAUAUUCAAGUAUCAAGUACAUCCAGAUAAAAUAUUCAAGUAUCUUGAAACUUUAAUUAGUAUAAGUAAGAAGUAAUUUUAAACUAAAAUAGUUAUAAUUUCCGUCAUAAUCCCAUCCAAAAAUUCUGCUCACAUAAUCAUCAUUAAAAUAGUCAUAAUUUGAGCUCUUGAACUCAAAAUUGAGUGAAUAAAAGUGUGUUUCGAAGUUAAGUGCUAGAUCUUAGAACUUUAUGAAGACAUAUCAAUCGAAAAAUGUCUGGAUCCCAUCCAAAAAGUCACCACAAGUUAACUAAUUUUUCAAACUUGAAAAUUGGCAGCUUUGGUGAAUGGAAUUUAAUAAAGUUCACCCCAUCUAUUCAUGUAUCAACUCGCAUUGGUAAAAAGUAAAAAGAAAUAAUCUAUAGAGAAAAUAGUUGAAGAAUUUAUGAAAAUUUAUUCAAAUCUCUUUUUUUUCUAGUCUUUGCAAGCUUGAAGUUUCCCUUGGUGUGUGAGAGUUGUUCCUUACCCUCUAAGUGAUUUUUUUUCUUCUUCUUUCUCUUCGAUCUCGUCACCUAAGGGUGUUCAAACAAUUGAUUCAGUUAAUACCCGUACAAAACUAUCAUUAACUGAAAUUUUGAAACCCUUAAUCAUUAAUCAAACCAAUUUUUUUGAAACCUACUAACUAGCUUCAUUGUUUUCGGUUAAUUUGAGCGGUUAACCAAAAUUUACACAUUGUUUGUUUUUUUUCAAACAAUUUUAAAACAAAGAACAAUCCACGACAAUUUUUCCUUGUUUUUUAUUCAAAAAAAUUAAAAGAAUUAAAAAAAACAUAAUAACAACACUAAAUUAAAAACAUAAUAGCAUUCAUUAUAUAUAUAUUUACUUUUUCUUGACUUUUUAGUUUAAUUUUAGUUUUUUUUUUCCAAAUAUUUUUAGUUUUCAUAUUUUUGUUAAGCUUAUUAUAAGAAAACUUAUAAAUCCAUUAGUUUUUAUAUAUUGGGUUUGUAUAAUGCAUUGGACCUAUCUCACAUAGUCAUCAUUAAAAUAGUCAUAAUUUGAUCUCUUGAACUCAAAAUCGAGUGAAUAAAAGUGAGUUUCUAAGUUAAGUGAUAGAUCUUAGAACUCUAUGAAGACAUAUCAAUUGAAAAAUGUCUGAACUCCAUCCAAAAAUUCACGCAAGUUAACUAAUUUUUCAAACUUGAAAAUUGGUAGCUUCGGUGAAUGGAAUUUAGUAAAGUUCACCCCAUAUAUUGAUGUAUCAACUUUCAUUGUAAAAAGUAAAAAGAAAUAAUCUAUAGUGGUUAGUGUUUUAAUGGGGGUUUUGUGUUUACUCUCGGUUAGGGGAAGGGCAAGAAGAGUUGGUACUCCUGCAGCAAUUUGAGCGUUAAGGGUGUCUGUUCGUCGGCGGUAAGGUUUCAAAUUCUUUGUUGGUUAUUGUAAGGCUCCGUUUGUGGAAUGGUUUUGGAUUGAGUUUCGUAAGUGUACUGAAUUUGGGCUUCUGGAUGCUAUUUCUUAGGUUCGAUGGUCUCGGGGGUGCUUGUGCAUCAAAACGAUAUCAGGUGUGUACCCGAAAUGCAGAAAAUCGAGCUUCGAUGAAAUCUAAAACACCUUACUAUCGACACCACAAGGGCAUGUGCCUGGCCGUGUGGUUGGCUGUGUGUAGGACACGGUCAUGUGUUUGACGAGGGUAGGGUCGUGAGGAAGACAUGGCCGUGUGACGAUGUGGGCCCGCAGGCUAGGCCAAGUUAGGCUUGUGGGUUUUGGGCCACAUGUGCAUGUGGGUUUUGGGCCAAGCCAUGUGAACCACAUGGACAGGGCUAAUCUGGGUGUGUUGACCACAUGGGCAUGUGGGCCCGAAAUUCUAAAAUUUUUCGUAGGGUCUCACAGGUCAUUUUGGUCGACUUUGUGCCUACCGUAGGGUCAGUAAGGGCUAACCAAACCCUAAAACUAUGUGAUCUGUUAGUUUGAUAUUUGUUCUAAAUAUGAUACUACUAUGCAUGUCUGAUUAGUCUGGUGUAUAUAUAUAUAUCUGAUAUAUAUGUAUGAGCAUGUGAGCAUGAUAACUCUGAUUAUAUAUAUCUGAUUGAGGUGGGAUUUCUAUAUGUGGAGGAAGUGUUCUAUAUGGCGGUCAUCGCCUAUGUUCUGGCAGCUUGGCUAUACAUUAUCUGACAUGUAUCGUAAUGGCACGAUAUGGUGUGUAGGGAUUGGUGGGUGUUUUUAACCCCACAUGAUGUGAUGGGAUGGUCAGAGUUGGUUUGUAGAGGAUGGAGUUAGGAUUCUGUAUUUCUAAUAUGCAUAUAUGUUCUAUUAUUUGAAUCUAUAAAGGACUUAGGUCUGAAUCUGAAUCUGAAAUUGUAUCUGAUCGUGUAUGAGUUUAUUGCACGUAUUGCAUGUAUUUUUCUGUUGGGUUACACACUGAGUUUACGAAAACUCACAUUUGUUUGUCGGUUUUGUUUAGGUAAUCCACAGACUUAGACGGGUCAGUGUUACGGAGGCUCAGUGGUGACCACUUGAUUGAGAACUAUUUUACUUAGUAAAUUAUGUUUUAUUUAUAAUUUCGAUUUCAUUUGAGAGUUUGUAAUUUUUGGGACUCUCCGGACUGCUGGUUUUUAUUUUGGUUUUGGAUGCGAUUUUAGACUCUUUUGUUGCGAUGCAUAAUGGAAAACACGGUUUUAUGAAAACAAAGGUUAUUCUGAAAAUACGAACUGGAUUUCUAAAAUAUAACGGUUCAAAAACUUCUGCUAAAAAUCAUGUUUUGGUAAAUAAAUGAAUUAAGUAACACUUUCAAAAAUGGUUAUAAAGAAAUAUGAACUAUGAAUCUUUAAUGAUUUGACAAAAAGACCUUAUUUUCAAAACCAUACAUUGUGACCACUCCAGAUUCAGCUAUAACGUCUAGACCGAUUUGGGGUGUUACAGUAAGGAUGAAAAUUUAAGGGGGAGUGAGCUAUGGCGCUUAGUAUGAGUUCAUUCACAAUAAAUUCAAUGCAAACGGUUGGUAGGACACAUUAAAUAAUAUCACAUAAAAUAAUCACAGUCAGAUAAUAGUUUAGAAUGUCGGUUUUACAAUUUAACCACCAAUAUUAUCACAGUAUUCACAGUUGUAAUUUCAGAAUAUCAAAUUUUCACACCAUUCACAAUAUUUAGAUAUAUAUAAAUAUAUCAUAACAGAAUUCCAGAUUUGUAUGCACAUGAUUUAGAAGAUGCCAUACAAUUUCGGGUUUUAACAGAAUAAAUCCUACCCCACGUUACAUACCAUAAUGGGAGUUCCCCUAAACUCCCUUCUCCAACACACUGGGUACCACUACUGGUUUACAAAUAAUAACUAUCAUUUGGCUGUGGACACACAGCAAUCCCCCACAAUUGGAUUCUAGAUUUGGUUGUGGGUUCACAGCAAAAAAAUCUACAAAUGAAGCAUGCUUUUGCCUGUAGAUUAUACAACAUAUACCCAUAGUUGGAAUCUGCCUUCGGCUGUGGACACACUGUAACACCUCAAACCUGACCUGGACGUUAUGGCCGAAUCUUGAGGAAUUACUUUAACUCGCUAGAAAACCCAAGAGUUUACUUUGAAAUCAUGUGGUUAAACUAGUGUUCACUUUGAUAAAUCGUUUUCCAGUUUUAGGGAAAAUUAUUAUUAAAACUACUACUUUAUUACAAUAAAAAAUUAAAGUGAUUGUAUCAUUUUGUAACGGAAUCUACUGAGCUAUAAGGUUUUGAAAAUCGUGGUUUAAUUUGCAACAAAUCAUUUUGCAAAUAGAAAUUUAAUACUACUUAAUUUGGAAAAGCAUGCUAAAACGAAAGCAAAGUCCAAACUAAUUUACGAUUUAAAUUCUUAAAAGUCCAAAUUAAACAUAAAGUCAAUUUAAACCAGUUUAUCGAAAGUGUAACACCCCAAACCCGGCCUAGACAUUAUGGCCAAAUCUGGAUGUGUUACAAAAAAAAAGUUUAUAAAACGACUUCCUUGUUAUUGGCAAAUCAUCGCAACCAUUAUUACAUAGUAUGUCUGAUUUGUUUGGAGAACUUUUUGAUAUACUUAUUUGAUUUAAGAUCGUUGCUUGCUUAUGCCUUUCUAUUAAACCGAAUGUUUUGCAGUGGAGUUUCUUUAAAAUGUCAUAUUUUGGCAAAUCAAAUUGUUUCUUGAAAAUCGUUAUUUCAGAAAAGUUGUCAUUUUCAGGAAAACUAUUUUAUCGGUUGUUACGCUUAGAAAACCAAAAUAAAAUCCAAAACCAAAAAUAGUCCCAAAAAGUCCAAAGAGUCCCGAAAUUACAAAACUCUCAAAACCAGAAAAGUUUGAACUAAUUUUAAAAGAAUGAAAAUUUAUAGAAAUAUGGUCAACAUUGAGCUUCCGUCACACCGACCCACAUAAAUGUAAGGGUUACUUGAACAGAACAAACAAAUAGAGAGUGAGUUUUGAAACUCAGUGCGUAACGCGAAUAUAAACAAAAAUUUAGAAUCAAUCUAAUGCAUAACAGAUACAAAUGUAAACCUUUUAUAGAAUAAGAAUUAUACAGAUACAAAUGUGCAAAAUCCUACCCUCGUCCUCUACACACCAAUUCUGACCAGCCCAUCACACCACGUGGGGUAUAAAACACCCACCUAGCCAUACACACGGUAUAGUGUUUAUACGACACUUUUCAGAAUAAUCGCAGUAGAGUUGCCAGUAUAUAGGUGAGAUAUUUCCUCACACAGAACACUUCCUCCUCAUAAUACAAAUCCCGCUCCAUAGCCAGAUACAGACAGAAUAUUAGGUAAAACAAAUUAACAGAUACCAGAGUUAACAUAUCAUGCAUGAGCGUAUAACAAAUAUUACACAUGCUUGUACAUAACAGAACAAACCAUACAUACCGUAUUCCAUAAUACUCAUAUAAAUGUUAUUUUUUAAAUUGUAACAAAUAUUAUUAUUAAGAUGUUUUUCUUUUUAUAUUUUUAUAAAAAUAUAUUAAAAAACAAUUAGAAUAAUUUUAAGAGAAAAAACACUCAUAAAUAGUAGAAUUUAAUCUAAAAAUAUCAAAGUUUUAAAGCCUCAACUUUAACAUUUCAACCAAAAUUCCAUUAGUAUAUAAAUAUUUCAUAAAUAUAGAUUUUAUAUAAAAAAUUUAUGUUAACUUUUUUUUAACCCGCAUCACAAGUAUACCAUAUUUAGAGAUAUUCAUAGCUAGGCAGCCCACUUUGGGUCAAGCUUGAGCUUAGGUUUUAUCUCAAGUUGGCCCAAUUUAACCUAUUUUACUAUUUAAAAAUAUAAAUAUAUGUUAUAUUGAUAUUUAUAUAUUUCUAUAAUUAAAUUUUAAAUAAAUUUAUUGUUAACUUCUAAACAUAAAACAAAGAGAACUUUCACCCAAGUUAUAAGUUUGUGGUUAGACAGCCGACUUUCGGGGCAGGAUUCAGCUUACGUUUUUAAUCUUGGGAUUUAACAAUAAUAAAAAAUUUAAAAAUAAUAUUCUAUUAAUAUUUAUAAAUUUUAUAAAUUUAAAUUUAAUUAUAUUUUUUAAACAGUAAAAUGAACCAUUUAUAUGGGCUAAUUAGAGUUAAGUUUGGUUUGAAUCAAGGCUUAACUUUGACCAAAUCCAACUAAAAACACCUCUAACAAUUAUCUAGUAUUGUUUUUAUGAAUUGAAUUUUAACUUCUAAUUUUCAAUUUUAUUACAAAAUUUCUUUGCGGACGAUAAGAAAAUAACAUAUUUGUAACUUCUUCACUCCGACGUAAAGGUUAAGUCUGAAUUUGGAUUACAUCGGCCAUAAAUAUGGCCUAGCAGGAUUAUCGGAGUUUUUAAAAAUAGACAUCUUUAAAACGUUUGUUUAAUUUAUAAAAAAGCUUAUUUAAUUUCCAAAUUAUUUAUUACUUGAAAUCUUAAUUACAUUUUAAAAGCAGGAAGUGGUAACUAUUUAUUUUUAAUAAAAAUCGGGGUUCAUGUAUAAUUCAUUAAUAACCGUAAUUCGAAAACAUUAAAACUUAAAUUAAAUGUCAUGCAAAACAAAACAAACUUAAAUCUAAAUCUCAUGCCACAGUGCAAAACAAUUUAUUGUAGUCUUAGAAAAUAAAAAAAAAUCAUAUAAUGAACCUAAAAUAAUUUUUUUUACUUUAAUAAUGUGUCAAGACCUUACAAAUGUCACGCCCACGUUCAAUCCUGGUGGGUUAUCUAUAAGGAUGAAAAUUUAAGGGGGGUGAGCUUUGACGCUUAGUGUGAGUUCAUUCACAAUAAAUUCAAUGCAAACGGUUGGUAAGACACAUUAAAUAAUAUUGCAUAAAAUAAUCACAGUCACAUAACAGUUCAGAAUGUCGAUAUUACAGUUUAACUACCAAUAUUAUCACAAUAUUCAUAGUUGUAAUUUCAGAAUAUCAAAUUUCCACAUCAUUCACAAUAUUAACAUAUAUAUAAAUAUAUCAUAAUAGAAUUCUAGAUUUGUAUGCACAUGAUUUAGAAGAUGCCAUACAAUUUUGGGUUUUAACAGAAUAAACCCUACCCCACGUUACAUAUCAUAAUGGGAGUUCGCCUAAAAUCCCUUCUCCAACACACUAGGUUGUGGAUAAACCAAUACUCAUCCGCAGAUAAUAACUAUCAUUUGGCUGUGGACACACAGCAAAUCCCCACAGUUGGAUUCUAGGUUUGGCUAUGGGUUCACAGCAAAAAGUCCUGCAAAUGAAGCCUAUUUUUGCAUGUAGAUUAUACAACCUAUACCUGCAGUUGGAAUCUGCCUUUGGCUAUGGAUGCACUAUAACGCCCCAAACCUGACCUGGACGUUAUGGCUGAAUCUUGAUGUAACGCCCUAAAAUUUCUAAUUCUAUUAUUGUAAAAAUAUGACACAAAAUAUUUGUCUGCUUUAGUGGUUAUGUGUUCUGGGAGUGUUUGGGAGGUCCCAAGUUCACGUCUUUGCUUGGGCAAAUUUUGGUAUUUUGAAUGAAUUAGGCUUUACUCUUGUUCAGUAGGAUUUUAUUUGAUUGUUGGGAAAAUUAUAUCAGAAUGGGCUUGCUGGUCUAGUGGUUAAAUUGUGUGUUAUUAUGGUGAAGGUCUUGUGUUCAAAUCCUUAUGUAGGCAAAGGUAUUAUUAUUAUUAUUUUUGCUCAGAUUUCGGGAUAUAGUUGUGUAAUAGGGGGAUUCUGAGUAGUGGAUGUGUAGUGGGAAUUAGGGGAGAAGAUUAAGGGGUUUCGGGAUUUUAUUUUAUUUUUUCCCAGAACGGAAUUUUGACUCUCUUUUCCAAAAAAAUUCUGUCGUCUAUUCUUCUCCCUCUCCUCUUGUCGAUAUUCUCUAAGUUUUUUCAUCUUUCUCUUCUUUUUCUUCUUCUUGAUUUUUCCCUAAUCCAUUUAUUUUUCCUUCAUUUUCGCACGCGAUUAGUGCUCGCUUAGUUUCGGUAAGCGUUUCUCUUUGUUUUUAUCAUGAAUCUCCUAGGGACUAAAGUGGUAAUUUUUUUCUCUGCGAUUUGGGCAUAAGGGAAGGCUCGGACUGGUGAAUUCAGUAUUCUCAUCUUAUCAAUAGUUAAAUGGGGGGUUAUCGUUGGUGGUAUGUUGGGUUUCUGUUCGUUCUUGGUUGUCAAUUCGCUUGUAAAUCCAUUAAAUUGAUGUUUAGUAUCUUGAUUAUAGGCUUUGGAGUGCUUGGGGACUGUUUUAGCAUCAAACAAAACCAGGUGUGUACCCGAAACGCAAAAAAAAAGGGAUUCGGUGAAAAGUUAAAAUUGCUUGCUAUUUGGACAGCAGCAGUAGACUAAUUUUGAAAAAUCACCAUAAAUUGUGGAAAUCGAAUUAGAGGAUGAAAAAAAUAUGAAAUUAAAUCUUAUUGAGUCUAGUUUCUCAUAGAAGAAACGGUGUAAGUAAUGGAAUUGUAAAUCGUGAGAUAUAAUAAACUUUGUGAGACAAGGUUAGAAUAAAUUCGGGUUCCCCUGUUCUGAUUUUGGAAAAUCAUCAAAAAUUGGAGAAAAGUAAUUAGGAAUUAAAAUUUACAUGUUUAAAUUAUUAAUGAGUCUUUUUUUUCAAUAGAAACAAAUGGGAACUUCAUCCAAAUUUUGUACUAAAAGAUAAUUAAUUUUUAGCAAAGAAGGGUCAAAGCUGUCAGACAGCAGAACAAGGGUAAGUUUGAAGAUUUUACUGUACUUAUUAGCUGAACCAAAAAUUCUAAAAAUUUUAUGGUAGAAAGGUAUUUGAGUCUAUUUUUAAAGACAUCAAGCGAAUUUUAAUUAGAAAUUCUGUAGCACAAGAUAUAAAUAAUUUAGUAACAGUGACUCAAGUAGAAAGCUUUGAAGGAACACAUAAGUAAAUUGUGAUAACAUAUAUGAAUAUUUAGCUAACACAGGUUACACUGAAAAUGGAUCACGUGGCCAAGGCCAAUUUGGGCCGAGUGGGCCACGUGGGCGUGUGAGCCCAUUUUUUUGAAAAAUUCUGUAAGGUUGCACGGGUCACCCAAGUCGACUAUGGACCUACUGUAGGGUCAGUAACCUUUACUUAGACGCCUAUAUGUGUGAUCUGUCUAGCUGAUUUCUAUAACGAGCAUGACUUAUAAUAUCUAAAUGUAUGUACUAUUAAUUGCAUAAUGGCAUGGCAUAUUUUGUAUGUUGCAUUGCAUCGGGGUGGGUUGAUGAUAUUUGGAGGAAGUGUCUAAAGGGAUAUUAAGCCAGUUAUCUGGCAGCUCAGCUGCAACCUUCUGAUUAUGUGUCGAUUUCAGUAUAGCAUGGUGUGUAAGGAUGGGUGGGUUAAUUUAAUCCCUACAUGGUGUGUAGGGUUGGACGGAGAUGGUGUAUAGAGGCUGGUGGGUAGGAUUCUAAUUUACUAUAUCUACAUUCUGAAUCUGAUAUGGGCCAAGGCCCUAAUGUAUUUCUGAGACUGUAUCUGAACGGGCUAAGGCCCAAACUGAUUGUGUGAUGGGCCUAGGACGCAGACUGUAUCUAACUGAAUUCUGUUGAUUAUUUGUAUGCAUGUUUUCUAUGGGGAUUACACACUGAGUUUGAGAAAACUCACCCUUUCUCUGUUUAAUCUAUACAGGUAAUCCCCAAACUUGAUGGGUAGGUGCAGCGGAGGAUUCGACGGUGGCCACACGUAAAUUUCAGACUGUUUUCUGUUAAUGCCUAGAAUUUAUUAAUUAUUUGGGGUUUUUGAUGUAUCUUCUGGACUAUGGACUAGUAGGCUUUAAAUUUUAGACUUUAUACUAUUUUUUAUGUUUUUUUUAAAACUGCAACUCCACAAAACACGGUUUUUUUCUAAAAAAUAAGGAUUUUCGUAAAUAGAAAUGAUUUUCCCUAAAUUAAUUGGUUACAAAAGUUUUCUCUAAGAGACAAGUUUUAAAGCAAAUCAACUAGUUUUUUUUCAUAAUUAAAUAAAAGUUAACUUACUAUAACGAUUUUUCUUAAACUCGACAAUCUUGUCUUCAAAUCCCUUUUCAUGUGACAUCACCAGAUUCGGCCAUAACGUCUAGGCCGGGUUUGGGGUGUUACACCUGAUGAGUUACUUUAAAUCGCUUGAAAACCUAGAAAUUUACUUUGAAAUCAUAUGGUUAAACUAGUGUUCACUUUGAUAAAUCGUGAAAGUAUGUGAUUAUUGAGGACAUGCUGAGCAUGUCAAAUGAAUGUGAAAAGUAUUGUGAUAUGACUAUGUAUGAGAUUGUGUAACAUAUUGCAUAUGCAUUGGGUUGGGAUUUUUUGGUUGACGGAGUAGUUCUGUGGAGUACCGUCGGCAUAUUAAGCCCGCAUUAUUCGUAGUUAGUGCACUGCACCUGGAGUACUGAGGGGAUUGGUAAUUUUAUCGCAUAUUAUAUGUUAUUGGUGAUUGUAUAGCACUAUUUGAUAUCCGACAGAUUUUUUGCAUUAUUGAUUAUUCGGUGGUUUUACCACAUUGAGCUAUGCUCAGAAUGUUUUAGAGUUUGGUAGACGGGUUCUAGGGAACACGUGGUGUGUAGCGGAUGGUAUGGGUAGGAACCUUUUUGCAUUGCAUCAUGUGCACGACAUAUUCGAAUGUUAUUGGUUUAUGCUACGUAUUGUAUUUUUUUGUAUUGAAUGGUAUCAAAAUUAAUGAUUGUCACUCGAAUGAAUUAUGAACUAUGCUCAUACACUGUUUGACAUCAAUUUAAUAAUGGCUAUGUAACGAUAUGAAAUUCCUAUAAUGGUUUUAUUUUCUUCUAUUAAAGCUAAUAUGUUUCACUGUAUUUGAUAUUUAUGUUUGUUUAAAUAAUUGUUCGACUCACACUGAGCUUUUCAUAAGCUCACCCCUAAUAGUGUUAAACUUUUCACGUAAACCUCGAAAUUAAGACCAGACUUGGCAUUCGAAGAAUCACCUUGGACCUUGAAUUAUUUUUCUAAUAAGUAUUAAUCAAUCUCUAAUGGUUUUGGUUUGUAAUUUUUAAUUAUAUCUAGUCUGUGGCUUGAUAACUUUUCUUUUGGGAUUUUUGCAUGCAUGGAUUACUCAAGCAUAAUAACCGGAUAAUGCAUGAUAUCAGGCUUAAGUAAAAUUUGAUAUUGUUCCCUAGAUUCUGCUACAUUGCAAAGGAUUUGUUUUUGAAAAACAAAUUGAUAAGGUAACUAAGUUUUUAAAAUGACUUGAAAAAUGGUUUUUCCCCUAGAUUAGUUUAACAUCAAAUUUUUUUUAAAGGAGAGCAACAAGCAAAUGGUUUUUCUAAAACAACACUAUCAACAAUAAAAUGAAUUCUAAGUAUACACAACCUAAUGAAUGAAUGCUUUUAAGCUAACUUAAAGUACAAUUAUGGUUUUCUCUAAAAUGAGUUUAUUUAAGGUUUUCAUAAGUAAUGUAAGUUAGCUUAGCCAUUUCGGUGGCUAAUGUAGCCUUCUCAUUCUAGCCAUAACGUCUAGGCCAGGUUUGGGAGGUUACAGUAUUGAUAGGAACUGUGGUAUAAAUUUUAUUUUGGACAUUCUUAAAGUGUUAUUUGGACUAAACUUUAGAAACUAUGGAUUUUAUACUGAGCCUAAAUUUACGAAGUUCAUGCGUGGUUUUUACGAAAAUGAAACUAAUAUGAAUUUUUAAAACCAUGAUUUUUUUUAAAGCUCCAAUUUGAAAUUGUACAAGAAAUGUCAAUUUGAAUUAUUUUUGAAUGUUUUUUUAUGCCAAUAAAAUAUUGUUUCAAAACAUAGCUAAGUAUUAUUUAAUUUCGUAAAGACGAAGCAAACUCCAAACAAUCUAAAACUUUAAGGACUAGUUUGUAAUUUUUGUUUUUCCUCAAUUGUCUCUGGUUUGAUUCAAUUCUUGAUCUAUACAAUUAUUCCAUUCAAUUCAUCAAUAUUAAACAUUUAUACAUUAUGUCAUGUCAUGAAUGAACCUAGAUAAAUUCAUUUUUUGAUACCCUUAAAGUUUUACAUUUAUUUCAAUUUAGUCUCUAAAAUCGAAAUAGUCAUAACUUUAAAUUCUGAACUUCAGUUUGAAAAUCGACCUCAAUUUCAUUUUAGACUGUCUGUUAAAAAUUAGUGCAUCUUACUGGAUUUUUUAAUUUACUUGUUUUCUUUAUCAAAUAAGUUGGUUCCUAUUAUAUAGGGAUAUGAUCAGAUUAUGUUUUGUUAGUUGAGGUUUUAGUGGGCUAUUAGUUGCAGGUUUUUUAACUUUAACGUUACAUGUAGUUAAGCUAUUUAUAUGUCAUUUUAUCUAAUGUAAUUUUGUGUGUUUUUUUUAGUAAUCAAAAACGUUCUUUAAUACUUUAAGCUUUUCUUGUUAUUAUUUCUUUCAUUACCUCGGUCAUUCUUUUUUGUUUUAUGGUGUCAGUGCCAGGUUAUUCAUUGGUUAAUUGUGUGAAAGGGUGUUUUGCUAGUUGCUGCAAUGGAGGUUUCAAAUGGAGGAAAUAAUCAGAUUGGUAUGGAGAAGCUUGUAGGCACUAACUACAAGUAUUGGAGGAUGUGUAUGGAGGCAUUUCUUCAAGGCUAGGACUUGUGGGGAUUGGUUGUUGACCUGAUGCAACAAUCCCUCCCAAUAUUCUCGAGAAUGCCAAGUCACGAAGGAGGUGGAAGGUCAAAUGCGGUAAAGCUUCAUUGAUCAUGUUCAUGAUGUUAACUCUCCAAAAGAAGUUUGGGAAACGCUUGAAAGGUUGUUUACCAAGAAGAAUACUGCAAGGUUGCAAUUGUUGGAGAACGAAUUGGCCGGGUUAAAACAAUGAGGUAUGUCAGUUUUAGAAUAUUUUUUACGAGUUAAAAAUAUUUGUGCUGAAAUUUCAGAGAUAGAUACGGAUGAGAAAGUUAGUGAAGCUCGUUUGCGUCGUUAUCUUAUCCGCAGUUUGAAGAAGGAGUAUGGGCCUUUUGUCACUUCUAUUCAAGGGUGGUCGACACAGCCUUCGGUGGAGGAGUUAGAGAAUUUUCUCUCUAAUUAAGAAGCUUUGGCAAAGAAGAUGGUGAAAAGUUUCGAAUCUGAUGCCAGUCUCUUCUCAAAAGGGAAGCCAAACAAGAAGAAUGAGUCUGGAAAUAAAGGCAGAUCUGAAGACUCUAGUUCGAAAAAAGAUGGCAACUCACAAAGCAAAAAGUCUUUCAAAUGCUUCAGAUGCAGAAAGACUGGACAUAUCAAGAGAAAUUGCCGUGUGUAGAUUUCCAAGGCCAAUAUCGUGUCCACGGAAGAAACCGAUGAUCGACUCAAAUGGGAGCAUUGCUUUACUGUUGAAGCUAUUGAACAAAAGUCAUCAAAAGCUUUUGUCAAUUAUGCUGAUAACAAGAAGGAGGAGUGGAUCAUUGAUUCUGGUUGUUCUCACCAUGUAACCGGAAAUGAUACUUUGUUCUUAGAGAUGCAUGAACACCAUGGAGAUCGAGUUAUUGUGACUGCAGAUAACUCCACUCAUCCGGUAGCAAAAGAGGGCAUUGUGGUGAUCGAUGUUGUCGACGAUACGAGAACCGAAAGUGUCAAAUUGACUGAUGUGUAUCAUGUUCUAGAUGAAGCUUAUGUGAAGAAAACAAGCCAAACCGAUAACGCUGCUAUUUGGCAUGCUCGAUUGGGUCAUGUGGGGUACCAAAUGCUGCAACAAAUUUAUUCGAAAAGGUUGUUAGAUGGGAUGCCGAUCUUGAAGAGUGUACGUGAAGAUGUGAUUUGUCAAAGCUGUCAAUAUGGUAAAUCUCAUCGUCUUCCUUUCAAAAGCUCAUCAAAUCGGAGAUCUUCUUUGCUCGAAUUGGUUCAUACAGACUUGACGGGACCAACGAGAACACUGAGUUGUAGCAGCCACUGUUAUGUUAUGGUUUUGGUGGAUGAUUACUCAAGGUUCUCUUGGGUGAAAUUUUUGAAAGAGAAGAGUGAAGCAUUAUCCAAGUUUGUGGAGUUCAAAGCUGCUGUUAAAAAAGAGUUUGGAAAGAAGAUUAAGUGUCUUCGAAGUGACAAUGGCGGAGAAUACAUGUCCAAUAAUUUUUUUCAGUAUUGUGUUGACAACGGCAUCUGUCGUCAAAUGACUUGUCCAGAUACUCCAUAGCAGAACAGAGUUGCAGAAAGAAAGCUUGGUUAUCUUGCUUCGAUUUGCCUUUCAUGGCUGCAUGACAAGAAUCUUCCUCGAGAGCUUUGGGCGGAAGCUGUUCUUUGUGCAUGUCAUGUGACAAAUAGGCUGCCUCCUUGGCCAGGUACACAGAAAUCUCCUUUUGAGAUUUUAUAUGGUGAAAAGCCAAAUGUGAAUUAUUUUCGAGUCUUCGAUUCUAUUUGUUAUGUACAUGUUCCGAAAUCGAAAAGAACUAAACUUGAUCCGAAAGCAAAAAAGUGUGUAUUUGUUGGCUAUGAUUCUUAUAGGAAGGGAUGGAGGUGUAUGGAUCCGGAUACAAAGAAGUUUACUACUUCGAGAGAUGUCGUGUUCGAUGAAGUAUCAUCUUUCUACUCCACUCAAAGAUUUGCUGCAGAAAAUAUUAUUCUUGAAGAUGAUGAUGAAAACUUGGAUGAGCUAUUUCCAAGAGUUAAUUUGCAACCAUUCAUUGAUGAUGAGUUGGAAAAUGAAUCUCCAACACCAACUCCAAGUCAAAAUGUUCAAUGACAUGAAGGUGGUUAGCAACAGAGUGAGGAGGUCUACUAGAGAAACGAGACAACCUGAGUAUCUCAGAGACUAUGAGGUGCAGCUUAAUCAUUGUAGUAUCACUUCUUGUUUCUUUGUUUGAGCGUUUGAUGAAGAACCAGUAAGUUAUGAGAAGCCAAAAGCCAUUCAAAAUGGGAGGCAGCCAUGAAAGAAGAAAUUGAAGCUUUAGACAAAAAUGAGACGUGGGAGUUGGUUCUUAAACCAGAAAAUUGUAAGCCGAUCACUUGUAAAUGGGUUUUUUGCGUGAAGAAAAAAUUAGAUGGCACCAUUGAUAGAUUUAAAGCUCGUCUGGUGGCUCGUGGUUUUUCUCAAAAUUAUGGAUUGGACUACGAGGAGACGUUUAGCCUAGUAGCAAAGAUGGUGACGGUGAGAUCGAUUAUUUUGCUUGCUGCGUUUAAAGGUUGGAGACUAUGGCAACUUGAUGUAAAGAAUGCUUUCUUUACGGAGAUUUAGAUCGUGAAGUAUUUAUGGAGCAACCUAUUGGCUUUGUCUCUAAGGAAUUUCAAAAUCGUGUUUGCCGUUUGAAGAAAGCGUUAUAUGGCCUUAAGCAAGCGCCACGAGCAUGGUAUGGUAAAGCUGCUCAAUAUCUCAUUUUUUGUGGCUUUAGAGUUUCUGAAUCAGAUUCUAGUUUAUUUAUAAAAUUGGAAUCAGGUGCACAUCUCUUGGUAUUAUUAUAUGUUGAUGAUAUGAUAAUAACUGGAGAUAAUGAAUCAGAAAUUUGUAAUUUGAGGAAUGACUUGUCUGUUCGUCUUGAGAUGAAAAUUUUGGGGGAGAUUGGAUGUUUUCUUGGUCUAGAAGUGGAAAAAUCAGAUCAAAGUUGUUAUAGCCCGAUUUUGGGUCUAGUCAGAACAGUGGUUUUGGGACCACAAAUUCAACAAAAAGAAAAUGGGUAAAAAAUAUUAUUAAUUUAGUAAGUAUAAGUUAAAUGUGAAGUUAGGAAAAUUUUUUAAAUACUGAAUAGUGCACUAGAAAUAAAUAUUAAAAUAAUUAGAAUCGAAAUGAGGUAUCAAGACCUCGGGGAUUUUAAACCGAGCCAUAAAUAUUUUUAUAAAUAUUUAUGGAGUGUUAAAAAGUUAGUAUUAAAGUUUCGUUAGGAAAUUUUAAAGUUCCGAUAAUUAAUUGAACAAAAAGGACUAAAUUGUAACAAAUGCAAAAUUUUGGGAAAUGAUUAAGUAGCUUAAAUGAUAAAAGGAAGAGGGCUUAAAAGGCAAAUAGACCCAAGGUUUAUUUGGGCUGGACGGCAAAGGCAUGAAAUCAGCAAGAAAGUAAGGAGAAUUAAGGGCAAAAUUGGAAUAUUGCAAAAUUUGCUUAAUAAAGUUAGGACCCAAGUGGAAUUAUCUAGAUUUCUCUUCAUUUUUCUGAAUUCUCAUCAGCAAAAACACCAUGGAAGGGCUUCUUCAAGCUGGUUCUUCAUAUUUUUACUACAAGUAAGUUCAAUUCUUGACUAUUUCUUGAAAUUUUUGUAUUUUUAUGACUUUUACAAUUAGGCUCACUUGUUAAAUUCAUUAGUUUUUGAUUUUAUGAAAGAAGUUGAAAGUUGAUAUGAAUAUGUGCUGGAAUUAUAUGAUGAUUUAGCAUGGAAUUAGAGCUUUAAAUUGUUCAUAUGCUGAUUUUAUUGAAAGAAUUGAAUAGAAAGUGAAUGUUUGGGACCUAAUAGUAAAAGAGUUUGAAGAUAGAAUUAUAUGUGGAAAUUCUGAAUUUCAAUAGUUGUGUAACAACUUAUAAUGUCUAGGUAAAGUAUUAAUUCAGAAAAUUGGAUUAAUUGAGGGGUUAAUUGAGAAAGGACCGAAUUGUAUAAACUGUAAAAUUUGGGGCAAAAUGGAAAUCAACAUUUUGCACUAAAGCAGUUUUGGACAGCAGCAGUAGUGUAACUUUGAAAAAUCACAAAAAAUUGUAGAGAUUGAAUUAGAGGAUGAAUAAAAUAUGAAAUUAAAUCUUAUUGAGUCUAGUUUCUUAUAAAAGAAACGGUGUGAGCAAUGAAAUUGUAAAUCAUGAGAUAUAAUAGAUUUUGUGAGACAAGGUCAGAAUGAAUUCGGGUUCCCCUGUUCUGACUUUGGAAAAUCAUUAAAAAUUUUACAAAAAUUAUUAUGAGUUAUAAUUUAUAUGGUUAGAAUCCUUAAUGAGUCUAUUUUUAUAAGAAACAAACAAAAACAGCAUCCGAAUUCUGUACAAUGAGAUAAUUAAUUUUUAGUGAAGAGUGGUCGGAACUGUCAGACAGCAAAACAGGGAAAAAUUUAAAGAAUAAACUGUACUAUUUGGCUAAACAAAAAAUUCUGAAAAUUUUAUGGAAAUAAUAUAUGUGAGUCUAGUUCCAGGUAAAAUUAACGGAUCUUAAUUUGGAGCUUUUUAGCUCCGGAUAAAAAUAAUUUAGUGACUCUAACUCAGACAGACAGCCUAAAUUUUUCAUACAAGAAAAUAGUGAAAGUAUGAAUAAUGUUGUUUAAAUGUGUUAUACACAUUAAGGAUGAGGAAUGGAGAGGAGGUGGAGGAAAAUUGGGAAAUAUAUGAAUGGUUUAUCAUGUUGUUAGUUCCAAAAAGAGUUAUGUUUCAAUACACUAGCUUGCAACUAUGGUUGAAUGAUAUGUUUAUAUCUUGUGUGAUGUGCAUAGGAAACAAGUGUGGAAAGAUAAUGAAAUAGUAAGUUCAUAUGGCUGAAAUUUAAUGGUUAAAUGUUAAUUCCAUGAAUUAUAUGAUGUAUGAUGAGAUAUUUUUAUUGUUGAAAUAAGAAUAAAAUAAAAGUGCGAAAGCUGAAUAAAUGAUCAAAUUGAGCGGAACGCCGGAUUUGAGUACUUCUGAUCAAGUGACAAAGUGAUAAGUGAUAGCUUUAGCUACACUUAUUUGAUCAAGAACAAGUGAUAAGCGGUGACAAAGUGAUAAGUGGUAGCAUUAGCUACACUUAUCUGAUCAAGUGAGAAAGUGAUAAGUGGUAGCAUUAGCUACACUUAUCUAAUCAAGUGAGAAAGUGAUAAGUGGUAGCCUUAGCUACACUUAUCUGAUCAAGUGACAAAGUGAUAAGUGGUAGCCUAGCUACACUUAUCUGAUCAGGGACAGGUGAUAAGUGAUCAUACGUAAGACCAUAGUUAUACUAUGGCAAAGUGAAAGUGAAGUACUCAAUUUUCCGUGACCGUUCCCUAAUUUGAUUAAGGAUGGUAAGUGACAAAUGAGCCCAAAAGAAUUAAAGUAAAUGGAUAAGUGGUAGUAUAUUUAUAUCAGGACGAUGUUGUUAUUCAAGCUAAAGUGAUAUUUUCAUUGCAAAAUUGAGAAUUUCAUAAAUGUGUUAUUGAAUGGUAUAAUCAAUAAACAUUGAGUUAAAUGGUAAAUACGUAAUAGUGUUGAACUUGAUGUCAUUGAAUUGUAUGUGAAUUAAAUGGAAAUUGCUAGUGAUAUGAUGUAAAUUGUGAGCAUGAGAAAUUGCGACUUGAAUGAAAUGGAAAUGAAGCAUUGAAUUGCAUGAGUAUGUAUCGGGUCUCAUAGGCCCUAAUUAUUAUGAUUAUAAUAUUUCGAGGAUAUAUUGUGAAAAGUUAUAGAAGCAUGUUAAUUAUUUUGAAAGUUUAAAUUUAUAUGAAAUUUUAUAACUCGGUUAAAUAUGCUUACAAGUGCAUAUGUUUUGGUGAUACCUCGUACCCUAUUUCGGCGUUGGAUACGGGUAAGGGGUGUUACAAGGUUACUUUGUUUCUCAAAAAGGCUAUGCAAGGAAUCUCUUGGAGCUUUUCGGUAUGGGGGAGUCGAAAGAAAAAGCUACUCCGAUGGAGCCGAAUUUGAAGUUGAAGAAAGAUGAUGGGAGGCCGUUGGAAGAUGCAAGGAAGUUUCGACAACUUGUUGGAAGCUUAAUCUAUUUGACCAUUACAAGGCCUGAAAUUUCAUACUCUGUUAGUGUUGUUUCUCAAUUUAUGCAAAAUCCAACAAUUAUUCAUAUGGAUGGAGCAAAGAGGAUUUUGCGUUAUGUUAAAGGAACUAUUGGUUAUGGUCUUCUAUACAAGAGAUGUGAUAGCUUUAUGUUGAGUGGAUUUACUGAUGCUGAUUGGGCUGGAGAUACAAACGAUCGUCACUCGACUUCGGGAUAUUGUUUCAGUAUCAAUUCAGCAAUGGUUUCUUGGUGUAGCAAAAAGCAAGGUGUUGUUGCUUUGUUGAGUAUCGAAGCCGAGUAUCUGGCAGCAACUAUGGCUGCACAAGAGUGCAUUUGGUUGAAGAGGUUGAUUGGAGACAUAUGCAAAGUUAAUUAUGCUGUAAAAAUCAAGUGUGAUAAUGAAAGUGCUAUUAAGCUUGCAUCGAACCCGGUUUUUCAUGCUCGAACGAAGCACAUCGAGGUUCGACAUCAUUUUGUUCGAGGAAAGGUUCUAAGUGAAGAGAUUGAGCUUGUAAACAUUCGCACCAACGAUCAAGUGGCUGAUAUUUUCACUAAGGCUUUGGUGAAGCCUAAGUUUCAUCAAUUUAGAGAUGCUCUUGGAGUUCUUGAUCGUAAGCAUGCACUAAGGGGGAGUGUUAAAAAUUAGUGCAUCUUACUAGAUUUUUUAAUUUACUUGUUUUCUUUAUCAAAUAAGUUGGUUCCUAUUUUAUAGGGAUAUGAUCAGAUUAUGUUUUGUUAGUUGAGAUUUUAGUGGGCUAUUAGUUGCAGGUUUUUUAGCUUUAACGUUACAUGUAGUUAAGCUAUUUAUAUGUCAUUUUAUCUAAUGUAAUUCUGUGUGUUUUUUUUUUAGUAAUCAAAAACAUUCUUCAAUACUUUGAGCUUUUCUUGUUAUUAUUUCUUUCAUUACCUCGGUCAUUCUUUUUUGUUUUACUCUCUACUAUCCAUUAUUAUCAAAAUUUCACAUCAAUUUCACAAUUUAUUUACUUUAGUUAUUAUGUACAAAAUUAACAACCAAACAUCACAAUUUAGUCAUUUUUCAUAAUUUAAGCUUAAAAUCUAUAAAUUUAACACCAAUUUCUUCAAGAAAUCAACCAUGAAAUCUAUAAAAAAAAUUUAACAGUUUUGCAAAUUGAUACAUAGGUUAUUUAAAUCAAACUCUCAUGACCUCAGAAACACAAAAAAAAUUAUACGAAAAUGAUUUAGAAAUGCAUACCAAUUGAGGACCGAAAGCUUGAAGCUCAAAAAUGGCUUUUCCCCUUGAGGUUUUAUGUUGAUUAGAUGAAGAAGAAGAAGAAAUAAAGAUGACAACUUGCACUAAGUCACCUUUAUAUACUUAGAUUAAAUCUUAAUUAAUCAAAUUUAAUUAAUUAAAUCUUAAUUAAUUAACCUUAAUCACAAUUAAUAAAAAUUGGUGGAUGUUAACAUCAUCCUACACUAUUUGAUAUAACCAAAUGAUCUAUUUACCAUUUUGAACCUUUAGCUAAUUAGAAAUCUAUAGCGAUAAGACUUUCAAAAUUUAGUCUCUGUAUCUUAAUUAAGCAAUUAAUAGACAAAGUUGAAGGUUUAAAUUUUAAUGUUCUAUUAUACCAACUCUGUAAAUAUUCAUAUUUAAUAUUUACAGACCUGAAUUACGAAAAUGAGAUUUUGAAAUUGUAUUUUCCAGUACCACUGAAAAUCGGACAAUUACGUAACCUAUUUGCACCAAUGGGCCAAACAUGGCAAAUACUUGACAUGUAUGUCUUAAUAUCCUCAUCUAUUCUCUUCAAUAUAAUAACAUCCAAUAAUUGUUCCAUCCACUGUAACUAUCACGAAGAUUAGAUUGACCAAUACAGCCUACAAUUUGAAGAAGCGCGAUAUUUUCAUUCUAGAGAAAGAUAUAAUUGAAACAAAAUUGAAAUAAAGAUUUCAAUACAGAAUCAACAGACAUUCCAGCUAAUACUUAUCAAUUAUUUGCAGCUUUAUUGCUCCAACUAAGAUGGUUUUUAGUCGAAUAUGGUAAAUGAAAUCAAUGAACACCAGCUACUUGAUGAACGAGUGAAUCAAAGUCCUGAUAUGUGCCGGCUUAUUGGUGAAAAAAUACAUGGGCUAGUUUUGCAGCAAUUCAUGAUCUUACAUUUUAUAACCUUUGCUUACAAUUAUUCACUGACUAAUCAUUCAAUGAAUGUAGGCCUCAAAUUUAGCCACUAAACUUUAUUCUUUAUUUUUAGAUACAUAUUAUUUGAUCACUUCAUACAGCCUAUUACUCAUAAUAACUUCCAAUUUCCCUUCUUUAGGUUAGUUGCAAAUGUACAGCUUUUUCUAGAAGAAGAAAAUUGUCAAGAGCCACCUGUUCAAGAGAGGCGCAAACAAAAUGUAAAAAUACCUGACCUACUUACGGUACAGCCAAGUAAUCAUGUCUUUCUAUGCUAGAUCAUUAAAUCAAUGACUACAAAUUUCAUGCCAUGGUCGUGUAUCAUUUAUGCCAUUGAUGCUGCUAUUUUCUAUUCUAAUGCAUAAUAGGGAUUUAGUGUUUUUACCGUUAAAAUUGUGUCCUUUAAUUUUGGCUCUUUUCAGUUGUUGAUCAUGUCCACCUAUGCUUUAUUUUACUACUAUUGCUUUCUGUAAUGAUAGAUGAUUGAAUCGGUAGAAUUUUAUUAAUCCUCAACAUGUUUUAUCUUGACAUAUGGAUCCUAAGCAUUCCUUGGAUUGUGCCCUUUUUGUUCAUUUAUUUUUUCUUGGAACCUUAUUACAUGUUGUACCACUCCAGCUUUUUGGAGACAAUGAAGACGACUAACUGCUGAAUUCUUUCUUCUGCAGAGGAACCAAUGGCACGAGACUCAAAAAAUCCUACUCUUUUUUAUACCUUCCUCACCUCUUUGUGACAUUAUAGCUGAAAAAUGAUGUAUGCUAAUACAUGAAAUGUUUCCUCUUGCCUUUCUUUUUGUAGUACUAAAACUACAAAUAGUGUUUGCAAAACUCUUUAGAGAAAAACAAAUGUCUGUAAAUCUCUUUACCCGUAAUCUUAUCUUUUCCUCAUUGUAAUAGUUGGAAAACUUUUUAUUUGAAAACGAUGUCAACUACUGGGAUAAGUUAUUGUAAGCAUCUUAAGUGUUUCAUAUUAAAAACAAACACUGUUAUUGUUUAUUUUGUAGUCUAAAUUAUGAUAAUUUCUGCACAAAAUUCACAUAAAUGGUUACCCUCCCGAAGCAGAGCGAGGGUGAUGCAUACUAGUUAUUAAGAAAACAGGACCUUGUAGGGCUUAACUGUUGAAUCAAGAAAGAAAUUUCUUUUAAUGCCUUCAAUUGUAACAUCCCGAUUUUGGGCCUAGUCGAAACAAUGGUUUCGGGACCACAAAUCCGAUGAGGAAAAUUUUAUUUUUACUAUAUUAUUAUGGCCUAUAAUUUCACGGAAAGAUUUCUUGAAAAUUUCGUUCAAAAAUUUUGACGUUAGGGCACUCAAUUUAGCCAAAAGGACUAAAUUGUAAAAAGUGCAAAAGUUGAGUUUUAUUGGUUAAAGGUACUUAAUUGCUAUGGAAUUAUAACUUAGGGGUCCUUAUAUGGUAAUUAGACCAUUAGUUAGUGAUGGACAAAAAUGAACAUAAGUGAAAUAGGAUUUUUUUUAUGUAAGGGUAUUUUAGUCAUUUAGUAAAUAAAUAGAAUUAAAAGGGAAAAAUAUGUAAAAAAAAUUGUGUUCAUCAUCUUUGCUAGGUGCCAAAAUUUGAAGGAAGCCAUAGCUAGGGUUUCUUCACUUUCUCAAGCUCAUAAUCGAGAAGAACGAAAUUUGGAGGUAGAUCGGGGAAAGAAAAAAAUUGAGGACUAAAGUGUUAGAUUUGAUCACAUUUUUGUACCGAGGUAAGUUUACAGUAAAUAAAUGCAAUAUUUCAAUAAUUAUUAUUAAUGCUGUAUUUUUUAGCAAUUAUGUAUUUAUUUCAUGAAUAUAUUUAAUGUUGACUCAAGUAUGAGAUGACAGAGAAUUAGUGACACAAGCCUCAUUGAAACACUAGGAAUGUAUUGGAUACAAAUGCCAUGACAUUUGGGUAAAGAGGUCCCAUGUAAGACCAUGUCUGGGACAUGGCAUUGGCACCGAGAUGAGAGGUCCCCCGUAAGACCAUGUCUGGGACAUGGCAUGGGCACCGAUAUGAGAACUCCCAUGUAAGACCAUAUUUGGGAUAUGGCAUUGGCAGUACAGGAAACAUCCCAUGUGAGACCAUGUCUGGGACAUGGCAUGGGCACCGAUAUGAGAACUCCCAUGUAAGACCAUAUCUAGGAUAUGGCAUUGGCAGUAUGGGAAACAUCCCAUGUGAGACCAUGUCUGGGACAUGGCUUUGGCAUGUUAUUAUCAGAUAUGAGACCCAAGUAUCCUUAUUAUUCCAAUGUGACUCAACGGGCUAGAAAACAGAUUAUGUUCUACGAAAGUUCAAGUAAAAGUAUAAUUAGCAACUUCAGGUGAGUUAUAAGAGUUAAGAACAUAUUAUGUUAUUAGUGAGAACCAAUAUUUUAGCAAGAGAAGAGUAAGUUGUAAUCUUAAGCUAUCUAAGUAGAUAAGUAAGUAAACAAGUAAAUGAGAGUCAGUAAAGAGAAAACUUAAGAACAUGAUACUUGUAUAUCAUUAUUUAUGUUAAAUGAUGUCAUUUAUUUAUUUGUAAACUUACUAAGCUUUAUGCUUACUUCUUUUAUUUCUUUUUCUUUCAUAUAGUAUUAUCAAGCAUAGUCGGGAUCUUGAAGACGUCGGAGAGUGUUCACACUAUCAACCACCACAACUCGGUAUUUUAAGACGAUAAAUAUUUUGGGCUAUGGCAUGUAUAGGGACUUGGUCAUUUCAAUUGUAUAUUCUUAAAAUAUGACCAAAAGAUGAUAUGUAAAUGCUUGAUGAUGAAUAGUUAUUAAAAUGGCUAAGUAUGAAGGUGUUUGUGGUUAUAAAUGUCUAGGUUAUAAAUUAUGCAUAGAAAUCAUGAAAGAGUAAAAAUUUGUAGUGAAUCAGUUUUGAGACAGCAGUAGUGACGUGAAUUUGAAAAAUCACCAAGGAUAGUAGAAAAUGAAUUAGAGAGUGGAUGAGAUAUAGAAUUAAAUCUUAUUGAGUCUAUUUUUAUAGAAAAAUAACAGUGUAGACAAAGAAAUGAUAUAUUCCGAGAUAUUUGCAUUUUAGUUAGACAAGGUCAAAGUUGUUUUCGGAAUCCCCUGUUCUGAAUUUGGAAAAUCAUUAAAAAUUGUAAAAAAAUAUUUAUGAGUUUUAAUUUAUAUGUAGAGAUUCCUUAUUGAGUCUAUUUUCUUUAGAAAGAAUUUAGAACACUAUAUGAAGUAUGUACAAUGAGAUAAUUUAAUUUUAGUGACAAGAGGUUAGGACAGUUGAUUAGUGAAACAGGGGAGACUUUAACUAAUAAACUGUACUAAUUGGCUAAACCAAAAAUUCUGAAAAGUUUACAGUAAAAAUUUAUAUGAGUCUAGUUUCAGGGAAAAUUUAUGGAUCUCAAUUUCAAGUUUCAUAGCUCGAGUUAUAAUUAAUUUAGUAACUAUUGUGCAAGUGAAUAGACUUACUAUGAACAGUGAAUUAACUUUUAAAACUAAAUUUUUAUGCCCCGAACUUUUAAGUUAGUCAAGUAACGCCUCAUGCUCGACUCCGGAAAUGGACUCGGUUAAGGGGUGUUACAUCAAUUUUUUUUAAAGCUGAUUUUUUUUUUUACGAAUUAAAGUUUUGAUUGUAUGUUAAUUGCUUGAGGGAAGGUCGGAUACUUUAUUAUCCCUAUUUUUAUUUGUUAUAUAUUUUAGCCAUAAUGAUUUUUUUGGCUCUACAACUUUACCAAAAAAAUCAUAUUAUCUUUCAUUUAAUUUUCAUCUCUUUUAACCCUUUAACUUGUAUUUUUUUAUCAAAUCACCCCAAAAUGGAUCGAAAACUUAACAUUUGUAAACUUUGAUGAUGUGGCAUACACAUUAAUUGUCACAUGGAUGACAAGUCAACAUUUUUUAAAAAAAACUUAAAAAUAUUAAAGAAAAUAUUUUUGAUAUUUUUAAUGAUUUUUUUAAUUAAAAAAGUUUUUAUAUAUUUUUAAUUUUUAAAAAUUAAUUAAACACAAACAUAGAAAUUCGCAUCUAUGUGUCACAGGCCACAAAUUAAAGCCUGCGACCAUUUCGCAUAGAACACCCCAUAGAGGUCAAUUUAUUAAACGUGGUUCAUUUGACCCGCAUGAACUGGCUCGAAUCGUGGAACCCGUAGAGAAACCCAUCUACUUUAAGCCUUGGUGGUCUAGUGAAAUACUCCAAUAAAACUAGAGUUACUAGGGUAAAUAAUGUAAAUCUUAAAUGGAUAAGAUUGUAUAGAGUUUAAAUUCCUUAUAACUCUCAAUUGUAGAUAAGCGGUAACAUUAAUCAUCGAUGUAACUCAAUCUGUAUCGUUGCUUCUAGGAAGCUCAACUAUAACUAGAGGUCUCCCUCUUCAUUUGUAAUCAUUCCAUUCAUAGUUGUGAAUAUAUUUGAGAGCAUUUACUCAAACACCUUGUGUGCAUUGCUUUUCUUUGGCUAUUCUGCUCUUUCGAGCUUCUGUCUUUGAGUGUCACAUCCCAAAAUUGGGCCUAGAAGAAAUAGGGGGAAAAUUGAGUUUUAAUUUUUUUUUAACAUAGGGUAAGGGAAGUAGAAUGCCUUAAAAUUAAUUUUUUGCUAUAAAUCUAAUAAGAAUGAGUUUGUUGGUUUAGUGCUAAGGUCAUAGCCUACCUAUAGGUUCCAAGUUUGAACCCCUUGGUGAGCAUUCAACCAAAAUAUUUUUAUUUUCUUGUUUUUACCGCACCAAAAGUGACGAAUUUUAAAAUAACCCAGCCCAAAAACUAUAUUUUUUUAAAAUUUAGUCCUUAAUUUAAAAUUUUUCCCAAACCUACAUAAAUUUUUAAAACCUAUUCCAAUUAGGAAAGAUAAGUAUUAUAAAUAAACAAUUUCAAAACAAACCCUAGAAUUUCAUCUAGCAAUUUUUCGAGAAAACAUCCAUAAACACUUUAUUUUCCAAAUCAAACUUUCAAGCGAAAGGAAUCGAAAUCUUCAAAAUCAUCCCUCAAGUAGAUCUUCAAUCUCUUCUCCAACACUAAGGUUUUAAGUCUUCAAAAUAGGUGUGGGAACUAAACCUAAAUCUUUGUGUAUAAUUGAAUCUAAUAGCAUGUAGAGAACCAGUAUUGGCGAACCCUAGGAAAACCCCCCUGUAUGUGCGAUCAUGUAGGUGCGAGCCUGUAGAUGCGAAACCCCUUACACAUGAAAACCCCAUGCAUGCGAACCCUUACGUGAAACCCCCCCUUUCAUGCGAACCCUGUAUGAAUACCAUGCAAACCCUAGGUUGUUAUGUGGAUACUCAUACUGUGAACACAUGUGCACAAACAUAUAGGAAUAUUCAUGUGAACCCUACUAUUAGAUGCGAACCCCCUUAUACGUGAAAACCCCCUUGCAUGCGAACCCUAGUUAGUAUACAUACGAGUCUCAUAUUUACAUGCGAACCACUACUAGUGCGAGUCAAUUAUAUGAUACCACAUGCGAACCCUACUAUUACAUGCAAACCUUUAUACAUGUUAUAUUCUAACUUUUUUUGUUAAAAUAGGUGAGACUUGUCUAGUAUUACAGACGACCCUACAUAUACCUAAUUUGCGAACUCAUAUGUUAAAAGUAUGCAAAACUAUCUAUGUUUGUUAUGUGAACUCACAUGUUAGCAGUAUGUGAACCUAUAUAUAUCAGUUAUGCCAACUCACAUGUUAGCAGUAUAUGAACCCAUAUGUCUGUUAUGCAAACUCACACGUUGGCAAUAUGUGAACCCUAUAUACACCUUUAUGCAAACUCACACAUUAACAGUAUGCGAACCCUAUAUACGCCUUUGUUGAUGUUAGUUCCCAUGCAUCUUGUGGUGCAGCAAUCGUGGCCAUGCAGGUCACAUGGAGAAAAGAAGCAGCACAUGAAGGCAGUAACUGGAGCUUGUGGAUGCUGUCCAAAUUCAACUUAUUUUGUUGGUUUGAUUUUAUAGUUUGUAACUUAGUUCUUUUGGAACUUUCUUGGUAAAACUUUCGAUGUAUUUUUUAUGUUGAUUGACUGAAAAUUCAGCAAAGCAACUUAUGCAAGCUAGUUUAGCAAUUUUCAAUGUAUUAAGUGGUGUUAGGUAAGUGUUUAGGUAGUAUUUUGACUUGUAAGCUUAACUCAUGUUUGAUAUAUGUAAUGGCAACUUGCCAAUGCCUUGUUAAUGAAAAAAUUCAGCUUGUUUUCAAUUUCUGUUCUUAAAAACAAAAAGGUUUCUACUUUGUUUCUUCUCCAAGUCACGAGGCUUGCUGACAAAGCAAAGCUAAAUCAGCUUGCUCACUGCCUUUGACUCCAACAGCCUUUAUACAAACUCACACGUUAGCAGUAUGCGAUCCUUAUAUACGCCUUCAUGCAAACUCAUACGAUUAGCAGCAUGUGAUCCCUAUAUUUAUGCGAACCCUUCUAAUAACAAAUAUGCGAACCUUAACUUGCGAACCCUAGGCAGGAACCCUACACUCGCAAAGCCUUCUUCUGAACCUGUACAUAUGCUAGAUAACCAAGCCUAUUAGUUUACGUUAAAUCACUGUACAUAUGAGAUUGUUUGUUUACUUGCACAAAUUAUAUGUGUAUUUACUAUUCGAUACAAGAGUACCUAUCGACCUUUUGAUGAGAAUUCAGAGAUUAAUGAUGAUAAUUCCAACAAUCGGUGGAAGAACAAGUUAAAUCGAGAAUUGGUGUAAUUUAAGGUAAUAAAGAUUAAAUUUUCAGUAAUAAAUAUAAAAUUGUUAUGGAAAGAAAUGAUGGGUAAAAAAAUGAGAGUUUUAAACAGAAGAGAGGAAAACUUCAAUUUAGGGUUGAAGAGGAACUAAAAAUCCAUGUGAAAUUAGGAAAAAAAUAUUAAAUACCUAGGAUUAAAAAAUUUGAGGGGGCUGAAUGGUAAAAUACCCUUUUUGCUUAAAAAUGAAAAGAAAUGGAAAUGGGGAUUGAGUUUGGCAUGACUUGAACCUUGGAAGCAAAGGAAAAAAUUGCAAAGGCCAUACCAUUUGGGUUGCUACCUACAUUUGGCAUAUUUUUACACUAUUUAAUAUAUAUCCUAGCUUAGUUUUGAUCAUAGGUUGUUGAAAAAAAAACAAGGGGUAAGAGUGUGGCUUCAACCUUAGUUCUCUAGUUAGUAUACUAAGCUCUUAACCAUUAAGAUUAAGGCUCAUCUCUUAGUCAAUUAAUUCAUCUAACUCUAUAUAUUUUGGUGUGUUACAUCUUGAAUUAAAAAAACCCAUAAAAUGCAUGUAGACUUGUAUUGCUUGGUACUUGGUAGUAUAUAUGUAGACUUGUAUGUUGAUUAAGCCACCUUAAUUAAGACCAAUGUGUUAGACUUGUCUAUGCAUUGAACAAUUUAGAAGAAAAUGAAGAAAAAGACUCUAAAAGCACUUGAAAACAGAUAAAACUCAUAUGUCAUUGACUAGUUAAAUGUGGUCACCCAUAAUAGACCCUGUAUUUGACUUUUUGUUGAGGGAGAUUGACUCCUUUGGGAGAAGUCUCCUGAGUGUUGUUUGUCAAGCAGUCAGGGUUGUCCUAAACAACUAAAGGUAUUGUCCCCAUGUCGAGAUUUUAUCCCUAGCCUCUGCAAAAUAAUCAUGGAGAAUAUGUGCGAGAGAAUUCAAACACCAACCAAUGCAUGUGUAGCCUUUACCUUGCCACCAUCUUUGGGAACCCAUAAGGAUAAAAUCCCAACGAGAGAAUAGUAUCAUCUAUUGAGGGGUCUGUCAACCCAAUAAAUGAAAUUUAAAUGCAUACUUUUUUUUUAAUGAAAGUAAAUAUCAUAUUUAAUUAGAGAAAAGCAAUGAAAAAUCCAACAAUAAAAUCCUUAGCAAAAGAUUAAAACACAAUUGUACCAUAAAUUAAAUAAGAAACUAAAAAAAUUCAAAUCUAACGAAGACAAUAACUUGAUUCCUCAAAGCCACCAUAAACAGUAAUUCAUACGAAGGCCUGUUGCUCAUUUUAUAGGUUUCCAUUUUGAUUUUGCAAAAGAAGUUUGAAUUCCGAAGCGAGCCUAGUACAUGAGAGAAAAUUGUCGAAACCGUCUUUUUGAAAACAAAAAUUUAGUUGUCGACUUUAAAAAUAAAACUGGAGUCGCCACCGAUCCUUUAUUAGGGUGUGAUCGGCUCACCUUAAAAAUUAUUUUGGUCUACGAGCUUUAAGAAAACGAGUCCGGGAGUAAGUUACGCAUGAGGAAGGGUUAGCACCCUCGUAACGCCCAAAAUCGGUACCAAAUCGAUUAUUUAAUGUCUUAGUGUCGUGGACUAAAAAGAAGUUAAAAAAACCAAAUGAUGAAAUCAGAAAAGGAUAAUCAAUUGUUCAAGACAUGUAAAGAAAUCGAGUCCCAAUACGUUAGGGUACAAUUUCUCAAAAUUCCCGAACUUUGAAUAUCGCUUUUAUUUUAUGCGAAAACAUUCAUUGUGAGAAAGUAACAUGCCACACCCAAUACGUUAGGACACGACAAGUUAAGUUCCAAAAAAUGAUUUUUAUACUCAUGCAUUUUGAAUAAAAAAUAUUCUCGAUUAUUUAAAAUUAACAAAGAAAAUCGGAACCCAAUACGUUAGGGCUCAAUUUUCUCAGAAUUCCAAAUACCGAAUUGUGCCUUUUAUUCGAAAAUUCUUAUUUCGAGAAGUCAAAAUAUCAUGACCAGUAAGUUAGGACUUGACAUUUUUUGAUUCCCGAGAACAAGCUUCUAUUUGAAAUUUGCAUGAAUUUAUUUCAAAAUAAAUACCUGGUUUUCUAAAUUCACCAAGAAAUAAUCGCAAUCCAGUAAGUUAGGAUACUGUUUUUCUCGAGAAUCAUGAAUGCCAAAUAUUUUGGAAUUUUAUAAAAUAUGAUGAUUUUAAUGCUUUGACAGAACCAAAAUAUAUUUUCUUUAAAAAGUGUAGAAAAAUACUAAUGUAUCACAUAAAAUCAAUAUUUUAAUUUUAAAUUAUAUGCAUAUAUGUAUUUUCAAAAUAUAAGUAUGAUACAUAAAUAAAUUUUGAAAAUAUAAGUAUGAUACAUAAAUAAAUUUUGAAAACAUGUAUAUGCACAUAUUAAAACAAGUAUAUAUAAGUAUACACAUAUAAAAUAAAAUAAUGAAUGAGAUAUGUAUAUCAAAAUAAAAAUUAUCAAAAUUUCUACAAAAAAAAAUCAUGUAUGUAUAUACGUAAUGAAAAUUGUAAAAAUAAAAAUAAAAAAUAUGCAGAUGUGUAUAUAUUUACAAAAAAAAAUUUAAGUAUACAUGCUUUAGUAAAACAGAAAUAAUAAUAGUAUAUGAAGAAAUUAGGAAAAUGUGUAUAUAGAUGUACAUAUAUAAAAAAAAUGCAAAAAUAUAUUUACAAUAAUUUUGAAGGGCGUACGUGUAUAUCAAUAUCUAUUUAUGCAUAUAUAUUAUAAAAUAUGAAAGAAUAUAUAACUAUAAUAGAAAUAUAAAUGUAUAUACGUAUAUAUGUAUAUAAAAGCUAAAAAAGAAAUAAUAACAAUAUAUAUAUAUAUAAAUAUGUAUAUGUAUUAGAGAAAUAUUUAAUAUAUAUAUCUAUUAGCAUACAUAUGCGUAUGUAUGUAAGUAUAAUUAUAAUACUAUAUAAUAUAAUAAUAAUAAUAAUAGUAAUAAUAAUAAUAAUAAUAAUAACAAAAACUACAAAAAAAACCUUAAAAAGCACCAUUAAGGAUUAAACUGAGAGCUAAACGAAGUUAAAAGGCCAAAUUUAAAAAUAGAAAACACCAGGAAGGACAAAGUGAUACGCGCGCCAUGAGAGGAGGACUUAAAAAACAAUUUUCCCAAGUCGCUGAAGCACUGUGCAGUGACAUGGAUUAAAUCGUCACGCGAGCAAAAUAUUUGGGCCGAAUUUAAAAAGGAAAAAAAACUUGAUUGAAACACGUAGCAAAAGGGGAAGGGCUAAAAUAUAUAACAAAAAAACACAAAAAGUCAAUCUGGUAAAUCGAUGUUGGGUACUCUAAUUUUAGGAUUCAGAAGGCUUAAGAGUGUUUUCGCAUCAAAAUCGUACUAGGUGUGUCCCCAAAACACAAAAAGUCAGGUUUCGAUAAAAGCCGAAAAUGCAUCCAGUCGAUGCCACACGGACGUGUGCCUGGUCGUGUGGCUAGCCGUGUGUGAGACACGACCUUGUGGUGGUGUGAGUGUAGCGGUAUGGGCCACACGGGCUAGGCCAGUCUGGGCAUAUAGGCCCACAAUUUUAAAAUUUUCCUUAAGGCCACAUGGUUCGUUUCGAAUGAUUGUGGACCUACCAUAGGGUCGGUAAUGGCUAAUCAAACACUAAAUUAUGUGAUAUGAUAUUUUGAUAGUCUGCAUUGUGUAGGAUAUCGAUAUGUACAUCUGUUCUAUUUAAGUAUAUAUAUGCUAUCUGUAUAUGAGCAUGUUAUGCAUAAUAUUACUGUAUCUAUUAUUUCUAUAUUCUGUAUCUGUGAUUGUGGUGGGUUUUGUAUAUGUAGAGGAAGUGAUCUGUAUGGUGACACUUCCCUUAUAUUCUGGCAGUUGAUUGUAUAUUAUCUGUAAUGUGUUGUAUUGACACUAUAUGGUGUGUAGGGAUGGGUAGGUGUUUUAAACCUCAUAUGGUGUGAUGGGAUGGCCGAAGAUGUUGUGUAGAGGAUGGGGGUAAGAUUCUACAUAUCUGUACUACUUAUCUCAUUCUGUUAUCUAGAUUUGGAAUGGAUAUAAGUCCGAAUCUGGAUCUGACUGUAUAUAAGACUUCUGUUUGUAUUGCAUGUCUAUUUUUGUUGGGUUACACACUGAGUUUAUGAAAGCUCACAUAUGUUUGUCUGUUCUAUUCAGGUCUAUAGACUUAGGCGAAUCAGUGUGACGGAGCCUCACAGUGACCACGAGAUCGUAAACUGUUUAAGAUUAUGGUUUUUAUUUAAUUUAAGGAUUAUUUCUAGAAGUUUGUAAUAAUUGGACUUUCUAGACUAUUUGACUUUUAUUUCAAUUUUGGAGGCAUUUUAACUUUUAUGGCCACGUUUGACCAAAAUCACGGUUUUACUAAAAUAAAGGAUUUUCUAAAUACAUGAAUUAGAUUUCCAAGAUUCAAUGCUUUUUGAAAACUUCGACCUUAGAUUAUGUAUUGGAAAAUUAAUUAAUUAAAUAACGCUUCUAGUAACAAAUAGUACACUUGGGGUAUUUAUCAAAUGACUAAAUAAAGCUUUAUCAAAAUAUCACUGUUUUCAAAACCAUUCCAUGUAACACUCUUGGAUUCAGCCACAAUGUCUAGGCCGAGAUUAGGGUGUUACAUUUAAUGCUAUCAGAGCCAGGUUGCAAAACUCAAGCUAUGAAUUUUGGGUUUCAAAAAUUAUAUUUUGAAAAAGAACAGGUUUUCAAAUAAUUUGGAUCAUUCUGAGUAAGUAUGUGGUACACUGAGUCUAUGGUAUUGAUCCUGUAAGUACUUUUGAAAUUAGAUAGAACUUUCUGAAAACAUUGUAGUUAGUACUUUCUAAAACUAUACUGAAUUAGUUAAAAAUAGAAACCUCUGAAAUAUGUUCAAACUUCUGCUAAUUUGAGCAUAAAAUAUCUGUUAAUAAAGAUUGGAACUGAUGCAUAAAAUUUUGUAAUGUAGAUAAAUUUGAAAAUAUACGAUGAGCAAUUGUGGAACUCACGGUCAUGGUAUUCGUGGGCGCGUAGGGUCGUAGGGGGCUGGAGCUGAGUCUUUUUCUCUGGGCAGUAUGCCAAACUUAGAUAUGAGUGAGACACCGGUUUCACCUGCCAUUGAGACAAGGUCUCAAAGUCGCUUGGCUAGGGACGACGCACUGUCUCAAGCCAUGUUGAGGGUUUUGGAGAGGGUCACUAGACCUCAUUCUGGAUCUGUGGGUCGAUAACUGAACGACUCCGAUCCAAUAGAGCUGAGCUGUUUAGGUGUGUCAUUGGAGUCACCCCUACUGUGGCCGAGUAUUGGUUGGAGGCCACUGAGAGGAUUAUGAACGACAUUGACUGUACUCCUAAGUAGAAACUUAAGGGUGCAGUCACUUUACUUUGUGAUGAGGCAUAUCAAUGGUGGUUGUCGAUUGAGGAGGGUACUCAACGGGACUGUCUGAACUGGGAUUAUUUUAAGACUACCUUCUAGGGGAAGUAUGUGGGUGCGAGCUAUGUUGAUGCUUGUAGGCGUGAGUUCAUGAAUCUCACGUAAUGUGAUAAAUCUGUGGCUGAGUACGAGGUUGAGUUUCUGAGGUUGAGCCGCUACGCUUGAGGCAUAGUGGCGACUGAAUAUGAGAAAUGCAUAUGUUUUAAGGAUGGCUUGAGGUAUAAUCUGAGGGUAUUGAUUGCUCCACAGAGGGAGCGAGAGUUUUCAGUUCUUGUGGAUAUGGUGAAGAUCGCCAAGGAGAUUAAAUGCAUAGAGCGCUAAAAUAGGGAUCAUGAGUGAGGCAAGAAUAAGAGGGAUUCAGAGCCCUCUAGUUCUGUUUAGAGGCCUAAGAAACAGGUCAGACCUGAUUGGCUUGUUAGAGUAGGGGUUCCUAUUGCUUCUACUAGGAUUUAGCCAUGUGGUGAUUGUUUUAGGCGCCAUUCAGGUGAGUGUUGGAGGAGGUUAGAGGCUUGCCUGAGGUGUUGGUAUUUGGAGCACCACAUUAGAGAAUGUCCACUCCAUACGGAUUAGAUGCAAGCUUCAGGACUGAGUUUUAUAUAACCUCAGAGGGCAGUUCAACAGCCACCUAGGGGCCGUGGUCCGACUAGGGGUGGUAAUGGUAUGGGCCGAGGACAAAGAGCACUGGGAAAAGGUGUUAGUCAAACUGAGGCAAGGCAGCCUGCACUGGUUUAUGUUGCUUGAUGCCAAGAGGAUAGAGACGCUCUUGAUGUGAUCACAGGUACGUUCUUUAUUUUUGGUGUUCCAUAUACUACUCUGAUAGACAUAGGUUCUACUCAUUCCUAUGUAGGUAGUACUAUUUCCAAAAAUUUAUUGAUUUCUGGUGAGGGUACUUCUAGUGAAAUUAUUGUACUGAGUCCGUUGGGGCAGUCUGUUCGAGUAAGUAGACUUUAUAGGAAUGUACAUUUGGAAGUACAAGGGAUUGUGUUUUUGGCAGAUCUGGUAAGGGUAGUUCUAGUGAAAUUAUUAUACUGAGUCCUUUGGGGCAUUCUGUUCGAGUAAGUAGACUUUAUAGGAAUGUACCUUUGGAAGUACAAGGGAUUGUGUUUUCAGCGUUUUAUUCACAUAAAAGCAGCAAAAUUUAGCGGCGUUGUCUACAGCGGCAUUUUUUACGGUGCUUGUGAAAGCGCCGCUAUAGGCCUAAAAACACCGCUAAAAGCUUGUUUUGCUGCAGUGAAUUAAUAUUAUUAUAAGUGUAUUUUCACCUUUUCAUACUUUUAUAUAAUCUUUAAGUAAAACGAUUGAAAAUUAUUAUUUGAGAAUCAAACACAAGAGUAACAAUAUUCAUAUAGAAAACGCUUACCACUCCACUAAUAAUCAUUUGUUGAUGUAUUUUUGGUAAAAAGACCCCUCCAAUCCCUCUUAAUUUCACAAUUGCUCAAAUUAGUCCCUCUCAUAAAAAUUGGAGCAAUUUAAUCCCUAUCAAUUUUGAAAGUGAGUAACUAAGGACAAUUAAUUAUGGUGUUAAAUUCUUCCAUCAAUUGUACAUAAUUUUGAUUGGUAUAAGAAUAAAUUUAGCCUUCAAUGUUUAUAUAUUUUGUCAUUUUGGCCAUAAUUUAAAAAAAAUUCAAGAAAUUGAACCUCAACAUUUACAUAUUUACACAAACGUUGCGGGAAAAUUUUGUUAAAUUAAGACCAAAUUGCAAGUGUAAGUUUUGAGGGCUAAAUUUAUUAUUAUACCAACCAAAAUCAUGUACAUUUUAUGGGAAAUUAACAUCCUAAUUAAUUAUUCUUAGUUACUCACUUUCAAAAUUAAUAGGGACUAAAUUACUCUGAUUUUUUUAGGGUGACCAAUUUCCUCAAUUUGGAAUUUGAGAGAGACUAUUGAGAUCUUUUACAUAUUUUUUUAUAAAUAUAUAUAUUUAAUAUAAAAUAUAUUUGUUCACACACAUCGUGAGUAUGAUAAAAUAUUUUUAUUGUUAAUUAGUUGGUGUCAAAAAUUAACUCGACGCCAACUCAAUAUUAAUGAUAACAAUAUGAUAAAUAAUUGAUUUAUUUAAUAUUCUUAAUUUAACAUAUUGAUAUAAAUUUUAAGACAUGCUUGUCUUGAAGAAUUGUGAUUAUACUUUUCGAGUAUUGACUCAGUUUUCCACAAUUGUGGGUCUCUAUUUAAGACAAACAAUUUCAACAUUUCUUCAUAUUGUUUAAUCCAAAUGCAUUAAGGAUUUUCUUAUAUCAUUGUUUCAAAAAUGAUAAAAAAAAACAACGUCGACAUUGAAUUUGCUGUUUCACAUUCAAUUUUUGGAGAAGUAGAAUCUUCUAACUUAUUUUCCAUCAACUUCACUUCAAUUUUCAAUCACAAUCAAUUGCAUUCAAGAGCACCACAUAUUUUUUGGAUGAAACAAACCUAUCAAUUUUAAGAUAAACGGGUCUUUAGGGUUAUUAAUUGAGGGCCUUUUCCACAAUUGUCAUCGUUAAGCAUUUUUCAAUCUUGUCUACUGUGAAUAUCGUUUUUAAGCAUUUUUCAUUGAAAUAACGAUUAAUAGACAAAUAAUAUUCAAGUAAAACAAUUUUUGUAUAUUGGUUUGAAAGGUUUUCUAAAUAGUACAAGGACCUGAAACAGAACCACUGGACAAAGCUAACCAAAUCUAAGAGUUGGAAAUAUUUGGGAAUGAAUAGUUUAAAUUGUGAUUAUUUCUUCGGGUUCCUGUCAAAGAUAUCAGCUGAGCAAGAAGGCAGGGUAAUGUGCCAAUGAUAGAACCUUGAUGAACAACGAGCAAAUGUCAACCUAAGCAUUAAAAGGGGAUCAUUCUCAAAAAAUGACAUUCUACAUGUAACGCCCCAAAAUUUUAAUUUUGGGUAUUGUGAAUGUAUGACACAAAUAUCUGUCUGCUUUAGUGGUUAUGUGUUUUGGGUGUGUUUGGGAGGUCUCAAGUUCAAGUCAAUACUUGGGCAAAUUUUGGUAAUUUUAUGAAUAAGCCCUAUCUCUGGUUAUAGGCUUUUAAGUAAAAGUUGGCAAAUAAUUAAUAGAAUGGGUCUGUUGGUCUAGUGGUUAAGUGGAGUGUUGGUGUGAAGAAGGUCAUGGGUUCAAAUCUUUGGGACGGCAAGGUAAGUCGUUUUACUCUCCAUCUUUCUGACGUUUUCUCUCCCCCAUGUCUGCCGAAUUUUUUUUCUUUCUUCUUUACUUGUUACUCGGUUAUCUUUUCUUUUCUUUCCUCUACUACUGUCGAAAUUCCCUUGUUUCCCCUAAACCAUUCUUUCCUCUUGAUUUCGUAGCUUUAAGCAGCACUUGUUCAAAUUUAGUAAGUUGUUGGGUAUCAUUUUAAGAUAUUAUUUUGUAUUCAAUAGUCUAAUUUUGGGGUGUUGACAGUAGCAUUUCACGAGGAUUAAGGCUCUCCUCGUGAUUUUUGCAACGUACCGAUUUUAAGUUUUGCGGUAAGUGUUCAUCAUUUUAUGGGUAAGUAUUUUGGUUUCGGGAUUUUAAUUACUCACAAGGUAAGACUGAUUAUGGUGUUAUUUGCUCAAUUAUACGCUUAGGAGUGCUCGGGGACUAUUUUAGCAUCAAACAAAACCAAGUGUGCACCCGAAUCGCAAAAAUAAGGGAUUCGGCGAAAAGCCGAAAUUGCUUGCUGUUUGGACAGCAGCAGUAGGCUAACUUUGAAAAAUCAGCAUAAAUUGUGGAAAUCGAAUUAGAGGAUGAAAAAAAUAUGAGAUUAAAGCUUAUUGAGCCUAGUUUCUCAUAGAAGAAACGGUGUAAGUAAUGAAAUUGUAAAUCGUGAGUUAUAAUAGACUUAGUGAGACAAGGUCAGAAUGAAUUUGGGUUCCCCUGUUUUGACUUUGGAAAAUUAUCAAAAAUUGGAGAAAAAUAAUUAGGGGUUAAAUUUUACAUGCUUAAACUAUUAAUGAGUCUAUUUUCAAUAGAAACAAAUGAAAAUGUCAUCCAAAUUUUGUACUAAGAGAUAACUCAUUUUUAGCAAAGAAGAGUCAAAGUUGUCAGACAACAGAAAAGGGAUAAGUUUAAAUAUUUUACUGUACUUAUUAGCUGAACCAAAAAUUUUGGAAAUUUAUGGUAGAAAGUUAAUUGAGUCUAGUUUCAAAGACAUCAAACGGAUCUUAAUUCGGAAUUCUGUAGCUCAAGAUAUAAAUUUAUGUUUAUCUUAUUAUCUUUCUUAUUUUAGAAUUGAUUACAUGAAAGUUAAUUGCUAAUAUUAUUAGUUAAUUAUUAGUUUUCUUCAAAUCAAAUUAAACCCCGAAAGGUAUCUCUUUUUUUAUAUUAGUUUUAGUUAUCCAUUAAAUUUGUUUCUUUGUAGUAAAAUUAAAUUAUAGAAAUAACAUUAAAAUUUUAAAUAAAAAUAAUUCACAAUAAUUUAUUAUUUAAAAAACGCCCUGAAAUUUAAAAUUAUUGCUAUAAAUAUAUCAUUAAAUUAUACAGAAUUUAAUUUUUCUUUCAAAUACUAAAGUUAAUAAGGAAAGAGAAUAUAGUACAUAUCAAUAAAACUAUUAAAAAAGAAAUAUUGUUUAAAAUCAAUAGCGUCUAAAAAUUGUCAGAAUGAAAUAUUUGAUUUUAUAAGAUUUCAUUACUCUAAAAAAAUAAAAUAUGACAAUGCUUAAAAAUUUUAUUAAAAAAAGUUUUAAAUUUUAUAUAAAAUUUUAAAAAAUAAAAAAUAGUACUAAAAAUUUUUAUAAGCAAAUUUAAAUAUUAAUUAGUAAAUUUUUUUGUAAUAUUUAUAUGUAUUUUCAUUUUUAUAAAUACUAUUAAAACUUUUUAAAAAAAAAUUGAAUGCUAUUUAAAAACAUUAUUAAAAAAUAAAAUAUUAUAUGAAAGUUAAAAUGACCUAAAAACAUAUUUUAAAAAUUUAAAUACUUUAUACAAUAUUUAAAACUGCUUAAAAUUUCUAAACCCUAAAAAAUAAAUAAAAUAUAAUUUUUUUCUAAGAAAUCAAUAAAAAUAUAUUUAUAAUUGAACUGUCAACAAAAUUGUGGGAAAUAUUUAAAUUUUAUGAAAUUUUAAACUUAAACUGUCAAUAAUAGAAAAUUGCCUGAGUGACUUGGGAUAAGAGGUUCAACAUUUCUGGAUCGCAUUGCAUUUAAGGCGGGUCUUUAGGGUUAUGCUUUAGUUUUUUAGAACAUUUUCCACAAUUUGCCAUCAUUACUUGUGAGUGAUUUGUGGGGUAAGAGGUUGAACACUUCUGGAUCACAUUGCAUUUAAGACUGGUAUCAUUCAUAAAUUAUAUAUCUACAACAAGAAUGGUAGCCUCUUAUAUUAUAUUCAUGUAUCUAUUUUGCAUCUUUCAUUAUAAUAUGAUUUAGUAAUUUUAAUAUUUUUAUAGAAUAAUAUGCUUUAAUUUUUUUUGUAUCAUUCAUAAAAAUUAUAAUAAACUUACAAAAUGAUUUAAUGAUAUUUAAUUAUUAACGGAAAAAAUUUAUAUCAUAUAUAUUCUGUAUAUAUUAAGAUUUUGAAUGAUUAAUUAUAUAUCUACAUAUUAUAAUAAAUUCAUCUUUCAAAAUUUUCCUAAACUAUAUUCAUAAUAUUAUAAAUAUAUUAUAUCAUAAAUAUUCUUUCAAAUGUUUUUUAAUGUUUAAUAAUAAGUUAAUUUAUAAAAUAUUCUUUCAAUAAAUUAACGUGAUGAGAUCGUUAGGUGCUUGGAUUUGGUGACGGGGACGAGGAGAAAAGGGAUGGAAGUGAAGAGAAAUGUUGGGAAAUUGAAAGGGUUAGCAAGGGAGGCCUCCGUGAAAGGUGGUUCUAUAGAUGUGAACCUUCAAGCUUUUGUGGAUGAUGUUGCUCAAGGUUGUUGCAAGUAAAUUUAAAAAUAUUUUUUUAAUUAUUUUUUGUUAAAAAAUAUUUUUUUCUAUGUAGCAUGCCACAUUAGCAUACUACCAUGUGGUAACUUCUAGUGAUUUUCGUAUGUAACAUUAGACAAAUUAAUCGUUAAAUCGUUCAACUGACAGAUUUCGUUAAAGGAAGAGGUCAAUUGAUUUUUUUGGAAUCAUUGAGUACUCAAUUGGUGCACUAUUUUCAUAAAGACUAAAUUAAUUUUUUUAAUUUGUUAUCGCUGAGGGCUACAGUAAUAAAAAAUUUUGAGGUAAAAUUAGAAUAACGUCCCAAAAAUCUUAUAUUUAAUUUGUAAAAUUUUACCAUUAAUAAGUAUUUGUUUUAGUGGUUAAGUAUUUGAGUCGUGUUUAUAAUAUCUUGGAUUCAAGUCCCUACGUGAAUGGAUUGUUUUUUUUGUUUUUAAUUUUUGCAUGGGUCGGGUAGGUGGUUGAGUUUGAGUCCAUUUCGAACUUUGGAAAAAGGUGGUUAGUUAUCUGAGAUGGGUUAGUGUUAGUAGAUUUGGAUUUGGUUUAUUUUAAAAUUUAUUAAUUAAUUUGUUAAAAAAUUAAAUUAGUUUUUUCCUAAUUUUUGGCUCACCAUUCUUUCUCUUGUUCUUCUUUAUUCUUUCUUUUUCUGCUACCUUUCAAAUCACGUCGAUUUGUUCCUAUUUUGCUUUUGAGUUUUUCUUUUCUUUCCUUUACGCUCCUCUACGAUCGUGUCUUAAUUCCUUCAUUAUUUUCUCGUUGUUGGCGUUGCUCGUUCGAGAGUGGGUUAGUUUCCGUUUUGAUGUGUUUUUACGAGGUUAGUAAAAGAAAUGCGUUAAUUUUUGGAUUAUGGAGUUGAUCGUUUUUAAUCAAUUCUCCAGUAAGUUGACUCCUUUGCUGUUGUUAUGUGCUAGGUUAAGAGAUUAAUUCUGAUUUGGGCCUGCGUGGUUGUGUAGAUUUUCCAUGUGAAUUCGUUUGGUAUUUUUAGGAUAAAUCAUUCUUUAAGUCGUAUUGCUACCAUCGCUAAUGUGAUGUUUUAAUUUAUGCAUUUAGGAUUUGGUAGUUUUAUGGGUGUUUUCGUAUAAAAAUCAAACCAAGUGUGUAACGAAAAACCCGACAACAACGAGCGACGAAAGUCAAAAAAUUGCACUGUCGACACCACACGGCCGUGUGUCGGGCCGUGUGACAAGCCGUGUUUCAGACCGUGUGCGACACACUGUUUGGGCUAGUUAAGCCGUGUGGAACACACAGGUGUGUGUGAGGACGUGUGCCACGCCAUGUGAGCCACACGGGCUGGCCAUUUAGGCCGUUUGAGACCAAAAUACUAAGGGCACGUUUGGUUUGCUGUAUUGGAUUAGAGGUGUAUUGGAUUAGAGGUGUAAUGGAAUAGAUGUGUAAUAGCAAAUCAACUGUUUGGUUGAAUGUAAUGGAAUAGAGGCGUAAUAGUAAAACUGUGUUUGGUUGAAUGUAAUAGAGGUGUAAUAGCAUAAUGGAGAAAACUAAAAUGACCAGAAUACCCUUAGCAUAAAUUUGUUUUGGUAAAUGAUUAUUGUUAUUGUUAUUUAAAUUUUAAUAAGAUUAUUUAUUAUCAAAAAUAAAUAAUUUAAUCAUAUUUAAACAUAAUUAUUAUUUAAUAUAUUUUAAUUAAAAUAUAUAAUUUAAUAAAAUUCUUAAUAAUUAGCAGAAAUUUGUUUUGGUAAAUUAUUUUAUUUAAAUUUUAAUAAGAUUAUUAAUAUCAAUAAUAAAUAAUUUACUCAUAUUUAAACAUAAUUAUUAUUAAAUAUAUUUUAAUUAAAAUAUAUAAUUUAAUAAAAUUCUUAAUAAUUAAUAUUCUUAUAUGAAUUUACUCAAAUCAUAAUAUAUGAUACUGUAAAAUAUAAAUUAAAAUAAUAAUUAUUAAAUAUAUUUUAAUUAAAAUAUAUAAUUUAAUAAAAUUCUAAUAAUCAAUAUUCUUAUAUGAAUUUACUAAAAUCAUAAUAUAUGAUACUAUAAAAUAUAAUUUGAAAUAAUUAAUAUUAAAUAUAUUUUUAUUAAAAUAUAUGAUUUAAUAAAAUUUAAAAUAAUUAUCUAGAUUCAAAUUUAAGAAUUAUUUACAUGAACAAAAAUAUAAUAUUUGUUUCUAAGUUAAUUAUUUUAAUAAAAUAAUUAAAUAUUUAUAUAACGGUGUUCUCAUCUUUUGGUAUUUUUAUAUGCAAUUUUAAAGAUUGAAUCCAAACUUAAAAGAAUAUUUAUUUGUAAGCAUUUCACCGGUUUACUUCAACUCAAUUAUUGAUUAAUUUUUAAUAAACAUAAAUUCAAUCACUAAUUCUCUUGGCUCCUCUGUUUCAAUAUAUGAAACAUGACUCAAUCACUAAUCCUCAUAACUCAAAGGUGAGCCAGAUGGUCCAUCAGGGGGUGCAGAAGCAGCAUGAGUCAAAGCAACUAUGGCAUUUUUCCAGAAAGAGGAGCCAAGAGAAUUAGUGAUUGAUCUUAACAAUGGCAGAUCAUUAAGAUCCCGGGUCUGGCUGUCCAACCGAUCAACAUAGACUACAACAUCGGGGGGACACUUCUUUAUGUAUUGCUUUAUAGAAGCUAGGACUUUGUGAUUGGCACCUUGCUCCAUGGCAGAAGAUUUCAAACCUGGGGUAUCAAUGAUUCUCAGUUUAACACCAUCUACCAUUCCAGUAAUCUCUUUCACUACUGUAGUGGCAGGUUCAAAUGCAUGAAUUGAGGUCUUUGACUCACCAAAGAUUGAAUUUAUUGUGGCACUCUUGCCCACCCCAAUCUUCCCAAGCACAAGCAUGUUUAUGGAGAAGCUUAAAUCAUCUUUACCCUCUGUUUCAAGUUCCAAAGCUUUCCUCUUCGCAGAAUCAACACUAAACAGUUCACUGGUUUGUCUCCUUGCAACAUGUGCCAGUCUAUAAAGAACCUGUGCUGCUAAAGAAUCUUCAGUAGAAAGUCCGAGCCUUUGAAGAAUCCUCAAAAAUUUGACUCUUAUAAGCUGUAACUUUUCCAAUUUUAUUUUAUCUUCUUCUGUCAAGUUGUUGUCAGAAUCUCCCCUACUUGUUACAGCAGGACUAAAUAUGUUAGGCCUGUUUGAUCGAGGUGCGGAUGUUGCAUUUUGCAGUGAGGAUCCUAAGCCUGCAGGACGUUCAACAGUGAAAAGCCUAGAUCCAUCUUGAGAGGUUAUAGUAAUGUUGCCGCCAUCAGAGCCAGCACCAGUUGCUGCUUUCAAGAGGGCUGCCAAAGCAGCAGAAUCAAAUAACUCCUUCCCCUCUCCUUCUUCAUCCGUAUCCCCUUCUUCAUCUGAAUCAACAGCAUUUGUCUGUAUAUGAUUAUGAGAAGUAUCAGCACCCGAGUGAGAACCAAUGGCAGAUCCUCGUUCUAGCUCCUCCAAGAAUUGCUUAGCAGCUUCAGCAUUCUUAAAGAACAUACUUUCAGCCUCUCCAUCAGUCUCUGAGCCUUCAUUCUAAUGCUGCUUCUCUUCCAUUUCACCUUCAAAACUAACUUUUCCAGCCACUGUAGUUUGCUCUACUGACUCAGGCCAAUGAGAUUCUUCUCCUGGCAGGGUUACUGACCUUUUGCUUUGAGAAUCACUAUCUAAAUUCUCUGUUUCAUGAGCUGCCAUUAUUUCUGUAGGUUGAGCAGAACUAUCCUUUGCCUGAAUUCCAUCUCCACCCCCUCCAUCUACUUUCUCAGCAAAUGCUUGUUCCAAAAUAUCUAUGAUCUCCUCAUCUUUGAGAUCAUUUAGCUCAGUCCCAGAAUUGUCUUUACCAAGCAUAACCCCACUGGCAAUAUCAGCUUUAUUCUCAGCAUCAACAGCCAACUCGUCUCCGCCGGAAAACUUCGAACCAUCAGCAUGAUUCAAGCCGUUAUCCAAGCUCGCAUUAUCGUCAACUGGAACCACCUCUGUCUCCUUCAUCACCAAUGUCUCAAUGCCUAAAGCAGCUCCAGUCAAAGGUUUCGCAUCGACAGCCAACUCCUCUUCGCCAGAAAAUUUCGAACCAUCGACUUCAACUACCUGAUGAUCUACUGUUUCUACAAUCAUAGGAUUGAAACCCUUAGCUCCACCAUCUAACACCAAAUUAUUCUCAAAAAUCCCAAUUCUACCUUCCUCUCCACUUUCCAUUGAUAAAACAGAUUGGUCGACUUCUCCAAUGGAACCCAUUUCCACCUUAUCGUCCUUUUCACCAUUACCAACACUAUCAACAUCAACCUUCCCCAUCGAACCCUCACCUCUAUAUUCCUCUAAACCAUUAUCGCCAUCCCCAAACGAGUCCUCAUUCAAAAUCACAUUCGAACCAUCAGAACCAACAAAAGGGGCAUCACUAACAUCCCUCACGGUCGGAAUUACUUCAUCAGGGUCAGCCAUAAAUGGCCUCUCGGGUACUGUUUCAAACUUCCCCUCACCAUUCUCGUUACUAUCAUUAGUUUUACCAUUCCCAUUAUCUUCCAAAGUACGUUCACUUACUGAACUAGUUACAAACUCAGAAUCAUCAUUCGAAGUUAAAGAAGAAGAAGAGGAAGAAGAACCUGGAGAGGUAGAGAGCGACUGAGAAGUGAUUUCCGGGGCAGAAAGCAAGGCGUCCAUGGUUGAAAGAGAGGAAAGGGAGAUAGAGAGAAUUGGGUUUUAGGAUAUGGAAUGAAUUUUGAGUGGCACACAGAGGGAGCAAAUCGGCAGAAAGGGUAAAACAGGGAGGGGAAACCGAAGGGGCAACUAAUCUGCAGAAAAGAGGGGGAUUAGAAAUCGGUGGUUUUCACCGAUUAGGAAGGUAAAGGAUUACACCCGUAUUAGAAAUACAUCAAACCAAACGAUGGAAUACAGUCGCAUUAGGUGGGGCCCACCGAUUAGGGGUGUAUUGGCUAUGCCAAUACACCCAACCAAACAUGGUGUAAAUUUUUCCCUAGGGUUAUACACAUCGUUAUGAUCGAUCGUAGGCCUUUCGUGGGGUCGAUAUAUAAUCAAAUAGACUGUAAAGUAUGAAAUCCGGUCAACUAAUAGUAUAAAUUCUGAUAUCUGUUCAUAUAUUUGAGAUGUUAUUUGUUCAAUAAACCUUGUAAUAGGCUAUGAGAAACUUGAGAAAUAUUAUGUAUGCUUUGUAUCUGUUAUGUCAUACAUGUAUAAUGUAUUAUGUCUGAUUUUGUUCUAUUCUUUUCUGUAUUUGCAUCUGGGGUGGGUUAUAUUAUGUGGAGGAAGCGUUUCUUUGAAUGGCGAUAAUUCGCCUAUUACACUGGCAGCUCAGCUACAAAUAUUCUGAAAAGUGUCAUAUCAACACUAAGUGGUGUGCAGGGCUGGAUGAGUGUUUCAUACCCCAUAUAGUGUGUUGGAAAGGUCGGAGAUAGUGUUAGCGGAUGGGGGUAGGAAUAUAUGUCUGUAUCUGUACUGCUCUAAUAUGAAUAUGUUCUGCUAAAUCUAUCUUAUACAAAAUAAAUAUUUAAAGUUAUUCGUUAUACAUUGAGUUUUGUAAACUCACUUUCUAUUUGUUUGAUAAUUUUAGGUAUUCCUCAGACUUUGGCAAAUCGGUGUGAAAGAACUUGGUUAAAUUGAUUUAGUUUCAUUAUCUAUUAUAAUUAAAUUUUGGGUUAUUGUGUUUCAUUAUUUUUGGACUGUUGGGAAUUUUUGGAUUGUUUUGGUUUUUGAGAUUUUAUUUUCAAUUUUUGCAUGAUACUAUUAAAAAUGUUUUAUUGGAAAUGUUUGUUUUCCUGCAAAACAACUAAUUUCAGACAAAUAAACUUAGUUUUCCAAACAUAAUGAUAUGAGAAUUUUCGCUUUUAAGUAUUCAUUUUAGAAAAUGUAAGCAAACAUCGUUUCAACUAUAAAGUUAAGUUAGAUGUAUUUUUCUCUUAAAUCGAGGUUUAAGUAAUAAAAGUUUACGACAUUUUUCCAAAUUUUACAAAAAAUUGGAUUUACAAUUGUUUUAUGUAACAUCUCCAGAUUUGGUCAUAACAUCUAGUCGGAUUUCGGGUGUUACAUUUAGUGAUAUCAGGUCAGGUUGCAAAACUCAGGCUGUGAACUUUUUGGUUCAAAAUUUUGUGAAAACUAUUUUUCGAGUAAAGUUUGUCGAAACCACUUUUUCGAAACAAAAAAUAGCGUCGACUUAAAAAAUGAAAAUUGGAGUCGCCACCAGUCUUUUUUAUUUAGGUGUGAUCGGAUCACCUCCUAAUUUAAUCAUUUAAAUAAAAGUUAAAAUUUACUAAAACGAUUAAUGGGUUUAAAAAACCUUUUUCUUUACAAACAUUAACAAUAAUAAACGAACAUCGAAGAAAUAGAAAAGAAAAAAGAAAUCGAAAAGAAAAAAAAUUAGAUUUCAAAUCACCUCUCAAAAAUUUAAUUGCUUUCUGAUUUCUUUGGUAUCUUUUUUUACUGAUUUCUUAUUGUUCGCGUAAAAAACUUACAAAGGUCUUUUCUUCCGUUUUAUAGGCAAAAUAUGAAAUAAAUAAAAAAAUACAAUAUAUGUUUUUUCUGUGUUGCUUUUCGUCCUAUUUGUAGGUACGAAGACCAGCUAGCGCUGUACAGAGGCGGUGCAGCACGUGCUUGGCUGAGGUGACUAGAGGCGUGCGGUGGCUGGGUCUGCUGUGUAGUUUAGGGUUUCUGUUGAUUUUUGGUUAUUGGGCUGGGGUUUAAUUUGGGCUUGGGAUUGUGUUUGAUUUUUAAUCUGUAAAUGGACUUUUUAAUAUUGGACUUUUAUUUUUUAUUUGGAUUAUUAUUAUUUUUUGUGUAUGCGGGUCCGGGCUCUACAAAGUUCAUUUCUGGAUUAAUCUGAAAAUUAAUUAUGUGAAGUACCGAGUCUCUGACGUUGAUCCUGUAAGUACUUCUGACUUAGAAAAAUUUUAGUUUAGAAAACUCUAAAAUGAUUAGAACUGUAGUUGGAUAGUUAGAGACAGAAACAUUUCUAUAAAUUCUUUUGAUAACUUUUUGAGUAUAAAAUAUCUACUAAUAAAUACUAAAAUUGAUACAUAAAAUUCAUAAUAUAGGUAAUAUAUACGAUGAGUACUCGUGGAACACAUGGACGUGGUAACCGUAGGCGUGGCAGGCGCCGAAGAGGGGCUCGAGCUGAGUCAUCCUCGAUAGGUACCUGAUAGGCUAUCGCUGGAGAGAGCAAUAGUCUUGAGAGAAGAAAUUUGAAGAUCGAAGUCGGAAUCUGACCUUUAAGGCCUUUAAUUGCUUGAAUAAUAAGCAUUUCCAAACUAAAAGGAUUACAAUUUCUUCAAGAAUUUGACCUGCAGACAUAGUUGAAACAUGAAGGUGUUAAAUUACCUAUUUUGUUAGUGUAAAUCAAAGAGGCUUUUUAUUUUUAUUUUUCGUUGUGAAAUAAUAUGGAUAUGUUAGAUUCUAAUCAUAUUUAAGUAUAUAUUAGUUCUUGAAGAGUUCUUAUUUUUGGUAUUUAUAUUGCAAAUAAUUUUUUUAAAUUAAGAAAAAAGGGGGGAGGGGCAAAUGUGUUUAAACUAAAGACAUCAAGGAGAGUUGUGUCAAAUUCCCAAUGCUUUUUGGAAUGAUCCCACUAAAUUGAUUAACAGACAAUUCCAAAAUUUGAAAAUUGCAGCAUUUGUCUAUACUUGAUGGAAUAGAACUUGAUAAUUCAUUUCUACUGAUCAAGUAAAGCUCUUUAAGCUUGGGAAGAUGGACACACAAAUCAUCAGGCAAGCCACCAGAAAGACUAUUAUCACGUAAAUGAAUCCUUUUCAAAGAAGAAAUGUUAAACAUGGUGCAACCUGGCCAGGUAAUUGAUAAAAUUUUGAUUUAAUCCCUUAAAAAAUAUAAAAAUAUAGACUAUUAAAAUGGUAAAAUUACAUUUUUACUAUUGUAAAAAUUACAAUUUAAUUUCACUCCUAAAAAGAUUUUCUGGCUUCGACCCUAAUAAAUUCUUUGGCAAAAGAUUAAAAUAAAAUUAUACCGUAAAUGAAAAAAGGAAACUAUAAGAAAAUCCAAUCUAACAAAGAAAAUAACUUGAUGUCCAAAAGCUACCAUAAACCGUAAUUCAUGGGAAGGCUUGUUGCUCAUUUUAUUGGUUUCCAUUUUGAUUUUGCAAAAGAAGCUUGAAUUUUGAAGAGAGCCUACUACGUGAGAGCAAAAGAAAAAAAAAUUGUUUAUUAAUUUUUAGGAAUACCGAAAUAUUAUAUAUAUGAUUAAAAAUGUUGAAUUAAAGAUAAAAUUAAGUGUGAAUUAAUAACCACAAGUGUACUUAUUACUCACCAUCUCUGUUAAAAAUGUUGGAUGUUGUUUAGCAACCUUUGUUUGAUUUUCUUCAGCUCAACCACAACAUCUUUCAUAUCUUUUCUUUCUUCUGGCAACUCAGCUGAACAAUUCAAAGCCAACUCCAUGAUAGAUGUAAUACAAUUUGCUUUAACGACAAUGUACUCAUCCUCUCUUCUUAAUAAAUCAACAUCUGCAAUUUCUAUCGCUCCUUUAGGCAAUGAACUUUCCAUCCAAUGCCUUAUACUCUCUUCUUCAACAAAAACAUUAUCAGUAGGCUUUUUCUUCGUGAAAGUUUCUAUAAGGACGACCCCAUAACUAUAGACGUCAGAUUUUAUAGAAACAAUUCCUGCUGAUCCAAAUUCUGCAUUCAAGUAUAAUUAGAACGUCAUUCAUCCUCAAUUAUUUCUAAAAUGCUUAUUCAAAUAUAUAUUCACAUCCACAUGAAACAAAAAUAUAAAAUGCAUAUUAGGAAAAUAAUCAUACAAAAAUAAAAAAGAAUUCACCUGGUGCCAUAUACCCGAUAGUUGCAAGAGUCAUGGUUUGCUUCAUUACUUCACCUUCCCCCAACAAUUUGGCAACGCCAAAAUCUCCAACAUGUGCAACCAUGUCUUCAUCUAGUAAAAUAUUGCUUGGUUUUAUGUCACAGUGAAUUAUAGGUGUUGGAUGUCCAUUGUGGAGGUGUUCUAUAGCUACCGCAACAUCUAUCAUUAUAUCGACCCUUUGUAUGAUAUCAAGGAAACAAUUUUCAGAAUGUAACCAUUUCUCAAGGUUUCCAUUAGACAUGUAAUCAAGCACCAAGGCUUUGAAGUCAACACUUGAGCAGCAAGUAAUGACCUUCACAAUAUUACGAUGAACUAUAUUACGCAUAGCAUCACAUUCAAUGUCAAAACUCCUAAAUGCUCCCUCUGUUUGCAAAUUGAAAACUUUUAUUGCAACUUCCAUUCCAUCUGAAAGCCUCCCUUUAUAUACAUAUCCAAAACUCCCUGAACCAAGCAUAUUGCUUUCCUCAAAUCCAUUAGUUGCUCGUGAAAGUUCAGCAUGUGAAAUUCUUCUCGGUGUCUUCAAAGACAACAAAUCAUCUUUAACUGGUAGAGUUGUACUCCUUUGGCAUCUUCUAUACAUAAUAGUUAAGACUAUUAGUACUAGGACAAUACCAAUUGUUGGUAAACCAUACCUAAAAGCAUGCAAUAUAAUCAUUUGGGAGUUUUUGUGGAUGUCAUUUUUGCAAGGUGGGACUAGCAAUCUAGGUGGACCACAAAGUGCACAAUUCUUCAUGAAUGAUGUGCUAGAAAAGUUUGAAAAACAUCCUUUGCUGGGAAUUUCCCCUUCAAGUCUAUUGAAAGACACAUUAAAAUACUUUAGAUAUAAAAGUUGUUCCAAAGAUUUGGGAAUGACUCCAGAGAAAUUGUUAUUGCAUAAAUCCAAGAAUUCCAAACUAAUCAACCCAUCAAAUGAUUCAGGGAUACGACCAUGUAGUAUAUUAUUUGAUAAAUCUAAUGAAACCAAAGUUUGAAGACCCCCAAAUGUGGAUAAGAUAUCGCCCAUGAGAAGAUUCCUUGAUAAAUUUAGUCUCAGUAGACUCCUAAAAUUUCCAACAUCAAUAGCAUGUGAAUUGUGAAGACGGUUUGAUGAUAAAUCUAUUUCUAAGAUAUCUUUAAGACUCCACAAAGUUGAGGGUAUUGUAGAACUCAAUUUGUUGGAAUCUAACCAAAGAUAUCUCAAAGCAGAAAUAUUACCUAAACAAGAGGGUAUGGAUCCAUGCAGCUUAUUCAACCCUAAAUGCAUCUCGUAUAGUCUCUCCAAACCACAGAGGCUUUCUGGGAUAGGCCCUCCUAAUUUAUUAGAGGAAAGAUCUAGACCUUGCAGAUUCCGCAGUCCUCCUAUUGAUGCUGGAAUGAAUCCACUUAAUUUAUUAUGGCCAAGUUCUAAAACCAAUAAGUUGGUUAAGUUACCUAUUUCCAUAGGAAUAAUGCCUUGAAGCUCACAAUUAUAGGCAAGAAAGAAUUGAAGGGAUUUUGAAAGGUUCCCGAUAUAAGUAGGAAGAACACCACUCAAUGGAUUUCCCGAAACUCCUAUGGCUUUCAAAUUCCUACAAUUCGUCAAAGAAGAAAGAAAGCUCCACUCAUGAUCAGUAGCAGAUCCUGUGAUCAAAUUAUUGUCAAAGAUUUUGAGCACUUCAAGGUGUUUUAAGCUGCCUAGCGUUUUAGGGAUUGGGCCAGAGAAUAAGUUAUGUGACAAGGAUAGAAUCUUUAGCAUGGAAGCAUUGGAGAUAGAGUUGGGAAUGUUUCCGCUAAGUUUAUUUCCCCACAAUAAAAGAAUCUCAAGCUUUGGAGCAUUGGUGAUGGGUGGUAAAUUACCUGUAAAAUAGCAUCUUUUAGUAUACAUAUUCACAAAAUAUAUAAUACAUUAAAAUAAAAACUGUAAAACUUUAAAUCAAUUAAGAAUAAAAUUUUGGCAUGGAAAAAUGUGAUGAAAUCAAUUAGAAAGUUGAGACAUAAUAAGAAGUUUUGAGUACUAAUUAGUCUUUGUGAUUUGUAUAGACAAAACAUAUAAUACACUAAUAAUUUUUUAAAAUAUUGUAAAACUUGAAAUAAAAUAAAAAUAAAAGUUUGGCAUGAGAAUGUGGCAUCUAAUCAAUCUUAAAAAUGAGACUCACACUGAAUAAUAAUUAGUUAUGAUUUGGGAAACAAAAAUGUUAAAGCCAUUGUUUUUAAUGUAAACUGGUAUGAUUCUUAUCUAUUGGGUUAAUUAUUUAUUUUUAUUAAAUUAUAGUGUAAAAUUUAAAUAUUAUUAUUUGCUCAAAAUUUUUGUAUUUUUCGUAUAUUUGAAAUUCAAUCUUUAUAUUUUUUAUUUUCUGUGAUUUAGUCUCUCUACUUUUUUUAUUAAAAAUUUUAGGUUCAUUUAUUAACACUGUUAAAAAGUUUUUGUAUUAGUAUGACAUUUUGAAAAAUAAAAUAAACUUGAUAUCUAUGUUUUUAAUUAUUCCAAAUAUUGUUUUACUAUUUCAAGAUAAAUUAUUUGUGUCUAGACCAAUAUCUUAAGAACUAUUGUUGCAUGUUUAAUUAUUCUAAAAAAUUAUUGAUUGAGUCUUAGCUUGAUUGGCAUGUGCAUUGUUGCCAAUAUAAGAGAAUGUGGGAUCAAAUAUGCUGAAGUUCAUUAUCCUCCUGUUAUGAAUUGGGGAGUUGGUAAAGUAUUAAAUUUUGAUAUAUUUUAAAAUAUUAAAAAUUUAUUAAAAUAUUUUUUAUAAAAAUCGGUUGUACCACAAUAUACAAUUUUAAUAUCAAAUUUUUAAUAUUUUUAAAAUAUUAGCGAAUAUAUACUUUAUUUCAAGUUACACAAUUUUUACUAGUUUUUAACUUUUUUUAAAAUUUUUAUCGUCUUUUAUAAUUUCUAAUAAUUUUUUACAAUAUUUAACAAUUUCUAACCAUUUUUAAUAAUUUUAUUACUUAUUAAAAAUUAACAAAUUAACUAUUUUUUAUUUUUUUAAAACAAUUAUAUAUUUAUAAUGUAGUUAUUUUUUUAUAAUUUUAUUUGAAAUUUUAAAGUUUUUUUGGUUUGUUUUCUAGAUGAUGAUGCCAUCAUGAUGUCAUCAUAUGCCACAUGGCAAUUUAUGAUUAGUUGAAUAUCUCAAUUUAUUUUUUUAAUGUCCAAUGGACUAAACCAAGAACACUUGAUUAUGUUAGAGACUACACUAGGAAUGUUUGAUAACAUUAGGUACUAAAGUAGGAAAAAAAAAAAAAGGAGCAAUACGAUGUAGGGAGUAAACUGUGCAUUAAGCCAUUAAAAAUAUAUCUAUAAUAUAUAUAAAUGCAUGGAUUUUGAGAAACUUUUGAAAUGAUAAUUAUAUAGUCUUUGUUUUUUUACUAUAUUAUUGAAUUUGUUAUUUUAAAUAUUUUUUUAUUACUUUUAAGAUUUAUCAUAUGUAUGGAUAAGAAUUUUGGUUUUACUAAAAUAUUUGGUUAAAUAAAUUCACUUCAUAAGAAGAUUUAGCAUCCUUGUAAAUAACAAUUUUGAUUCUAUUAAAAAAUUAUUUUAAAAUAUAUAUAAUAAAAUUUUAAAAUUUAUAUUGAAUUACUUUAUACUUAAAUUAUUAUUAGAAACUUUAUCAUACACAUACGUGUAUGAGAACUAUGUAUUUAGAACAUAAAUUUGUGUUUUAAAAUAACUUAUGAUAAAUAAUGAAAUGUAUAAUUUGAAACUAUUUAAUAAAAACACAUGGCUUAUCUACAAUAUUAAAAUAAAAAUAGCUUAAAUUGUAAGCAAAACAUAAUUUAAACAUAUGAAUACAUUAAAUUAAGAAUACUAAAUGAAUACAGUUAUUUAUGAUGGUGUUGUCUUCAAUUCCUAAGUUGGUGUCAAGUUAAUUUGUGACAUCAUAAAUUUAAGGUUUUAUGUAUUGAUGUGGAUUCAAAUAUCACCAUUUUUUUUAAAAUAAAAUUUAAAAUAAAUACAUUUUCCACAUUGGUUUCUUUUCUUCUACAGACAAAGGAUUUCUAAUGAUUUUUUUUUUAAAAAAAAUUACUUAUAUAAAAUAGAUUAGUUUAUGCAAUAAAAAUAAUUUCUUUUUUAAAGUUUAAUAGAAAUUAAAAAACAAAAAAAAAAUCAAUUCAUAUAAAGCUUAUUGUUUAUUAUCAGAUUAAAAUGAUAAAAGUAUACGAUAAACCCAUACUUGACGGAAUGUUACCAGAUAAUUCAUUUUUAUUCUAGUAAAGCCCUUCAAGCUUGAGAAUAUGUUGACACAUAUCAUUAGGCAAACUACCUGAUAGGUUAUUGUUGGAGAGAUCAAUGGCCUUCAGAGAAGAAAUGUUGAAGAUCGAAGUUGGAAUCUGACCUGUAAGGCCUUUAAUUUCUCUAAUAUUAAGCAGUUCCAAACCAAGAAGAUUACCGAUUUCCUCAGGAAUUUGAUCUGCACACAUAGUCGAAAAAUCAAGAUGUGAAACUACCUAUUUUGUUAGCAUAAGUCAAAGAGGUUUUCUUUUCUGUUCUACAUAAUUUGCAGAUGUUAGAUUUUAAUAUUUUUAAGCAUAUUUGUUUUCAUCAAAUUAACUAUUUUGAACUAUUUUGCCUUGAAUGAAAUAAAAUGCUCAUAUUUUUGUUAUCUAUUACUAAUCAAACUCUUUUAUAAAAAAAAAUACUUUAAACUAAAGAAACCAAGAAAAUUCAAUACCUUCUAAGUUAUUCAACUCCAAAUAUAAUUCUUUGAGUCGUGUCAGAUUUCCAAUACUUCUUGGAAUGAUCCCCCUCAAUUUAUUAUCGGAAAAUGCCAAUAUUUUAAGGUUGCUGCAUUUGCCCAUACUUGAUGGAAUGUUACCAGAUAAUUCAUUUUUAUUCAAGUAAAGCCCUUCAAGCUUGGGAAGAUGUUGACACAUAUCAUUAGGCAAACUACCUGAUAGGCUAUUGCUGGAGAGAGCAAUAGUCUUGAGAGAAUAAAUGUUGAAGAUCGAAGUUGGAAUUUGACCUGUAAAGCCUUUAAUUGCUUGAAUACUAAGCAUUUCCAAAUUAAAAAGAUUACCGAUUUCUUCAGGAAUUUGACCUGCUGACAUAGUCGAAACAUCAAGGUGUUAAAUUACCUAUUUUGUUAGUGUAAAUCAAAGAGGAUUUUUAUUUUUCUCGUUAUGAAAUAAUAUGGAUAUGUUAGAUUCUAAUCAUAUUUAAGUAUAUAUUAGUUCUUGAAAGAAAGAGUUCUUAGUAUUUAUAUUGCAAAUAUUUUUUUUAAAAUUUAAAAAAAGGGGGGGGGGCAAAUGUGUUUAAACUAAAGAGAUCAAGGAAAAGGCAUACCAUCUAGGUUAUUUAACCCCAAGUAUACUUGUUUAAGUUGUGUCAAAUUCCCAAUGCUUUUUGGAAUGAUCCCACUAAAUUGAUUAAUAGACAAUUCCAAAAUUUGAAGGUUGCAGCAUUUGUCUAUACUUGAUGGAAUAGAACUUGAUAAUUCAUUUCUACUCAAGUAAAGCUCUUUAAGCUUGGGAAGAUGGACACACAGAUCAUCGGGUAAGCCACCAGAAAGACUAUUAUCACGAAAAUGAAUCCUUUUCAAAGAAGAAAUGUUAAAGAUGGAAGAUGGAACCAGGCCAGAUAAUUGAUUGAAUCCCAAGUUCAAGAUCUCUAGAUUGGAUAAGUUGACAAGUGUUUGAGGGAUUGUGCCUGUGAAGUUAUUAUUUCUCAUUUCCAACCUUUGAACUCUGUGCAAGUUCCCAAGCCAUGAUGGAAUUUCCCCAUUAAGACGGUUGUAGCUUAAUCGAAUGAUCCUCAAACGAUGCAAUUGGCCCAAUUCUUUAGGCAGAUGGCCAUAGAAAUUGUUGUUGCUCAGGUCGAGAGAAAAUAGAAAUGAAAGAUUUCCAAGGUGUGGAGGGAUAGUACCCCUAAGAUUCAUGUUUGUAAGAUUCAAAGCUACAACUCUUUCAUGGAUGAUGUCACAAGAAACACCAGCCCACUUACAAACAGAGGUAGAGUUCGUCCAAUUGUUUGCCAACACAUUUUGAGGAUCGACAAUGCGAUCUUUAAACUCAAAGAGUGCAAACUGAUAGGAGUUGAGAUUCCGGACUGUCAUAGCCAAGGAAACAAUGGAACAUUGUAUGAAUAAAAGUGAAAGAAGAUGAAAGCAAGUGUUGUAGUUCAUGAUGGCAAGACGAAAUAAGCCAGGAAAAGGGAAGUUGAAUUGAUGAAGAAAUACCCAGCCAACAUGCUUAAAUAGGCUUCAACCCUUGCACACUUCUCAUACAUAAAGUUCACUGCCAUUACAACAAGAAAACUCGUAUCUCCAUUCAUACCUAUCCAUACUUUAUUUGACUAACUUUUCCCUAACAGGUGUUCAGUAAGGAGACAAAUCACUUUGGAGCUAUUCACCGACUUCUCCAACCUUGGUUUCAAACUCCUAGCCCAUCAAUUCACUUUAAUUGAAACGAUAUACACGAGUCUUUCGGCUUAUAUUUUUAACUUACUACUUCUCUUUUUAAUUUAUUUUUUGUUACUUCUCAUAAUAUUUUUUGAGAAAUCCAAUAUUCCAGUCUGAAAUUUCUUCAUUGCCACGUCUAUCUCCUCGGUAAGUUCGUGGCUAGGCGGCCCACUUUGGGGGCAGGAUUGUAAUUUUAGUUCUAUCCGACUCAUUUUACUAUUUAGAAAUAUAAAAGUAAUAUUAUAUUAAUUUUUAUAUUUUUAUAAAUUUAAAUUUAAAUUUAAUUUUUAAACAAUAAAACGAGUCAUUUUUAUUUGCCUAGGCUAAAUUGAAUCAGGAGUGAAAAAUUUUUUAAUCAUAAUUUACUAUUAUUUUAAUUAAUUAAAUUUUAAUUUACUAUAACUAGUAGUUGCAAAAAAAAUGACAUUCCUUUAGAAAAAUGAGAACUUAUGAAGCAUUCAAUAAGAGUUGUUGGAAUACAUGGUAACGAAACCAUAAUUCGAUAUAAAACUAUAUAAAUAAUGUAAGAUUUGUGAUACCUAAAUUGUUAUGUUUUCUAUAAAUAUAUGGAGAUUUUUUAUUAGGAAAUAAUUUUAUAUAUCAACAUUUGUUAUUUUCUUUUGAUAGAAAUUUAAUUAUGUUAUCUGUAGAAAAAAAUAUUUAUAGAAAUAUCAUUAGUAGAAAAUCAUAAAUUUGUGUGUGGCAAAAAAUUUUCACCACCAAGAAAGGGACAAAUUAAACAACUUGAAAGUCAUUGGUUGUUUAAAAUAUUAGAUAAUAAUUUUAGUGAAGAAUCAUUAAAAUUAUGACAAAAUAACCCUAGAUAUUGUAGUAUUAAAUUAGAAAAUCUCAAUAAUAUUAUUAGAGUAAAACCUAUGAUGUAUCUAAACAAGAUAUAGAAGAAUUUGAUAUACAAAUUAAGGGUAGAAAUCAUACGGAAAUAAUAAAAAACAAGAAAAAGCUAGUAUGGUCAUUAAUUAUAAAAGAUUAAAUCAAAAUAUUAUUUUUUGUAGUUACUUGAAUUAAUCAGGAUAAACAAAAAAAAAUAUUUUAGUAAAUUUGACUGUAAAUCAGGAUUCUAGUAAAUCAUGCUAACAGAAAAAUCUAAACCUUUAACAGCUUUUAGUGCACCCAAUGGACAUUAUUAAUGGAAAGUGAUGUCAUUUGAAUUAUGCGAUGCACCACAAAUCUUCCAAAGACAAAUGGAUUUUAUAUUUAAUAAAUAUAAAAAAUUAUGGGUAGUUUAUAUAGAUGAUAUUUUGAUAUUUUCAGAUACACUAGAAUUACAUAAGAAAUAUUUAAAUAUUAUUUCUUAAGAAUUCAUAAAAUAUAGAAUCAUAUUAAACCCUAAAAGUAUGGAGUUAGAAAAAAGAGAGGGAAUUUUUAUAAUAGUGGAAAUAAAAAAUUGUCCUCAAAAGAUUGAAGAAAAAAAGAAGUUACAACAAUUUGUAAUAUAUUCCUCCCAAAUUUUCAGUUGCAAAUUUAUUACAGAAUUUCUUUGCCGACAAUAAGAAAAGAGCAUAUUCACAUUUUCGUCGCAAUUUCAACUAACAACCAAUCUGUUUCCCACUUUCCUUUUUCGGCCAAUUUCAAACGUAACUGUUUUUCGAAUUUUCCUCUUUAUUUCAUUAAUAAAAUGAUCAAUCUAUUUGUUUUUUAAAUAUAUAAUUUUAUUAAUAUUUUUUAAUUAUAAUAUAAGAGUUGUUGUUUAUUUAUAGUUUUAUUACAUUAUUUAAUCUCUUUUUUAUAUCAAGUUUUUAAAAUUAUAAUAUAAGAUUUAUUUUAUCAAAUUGUGGCUUAUCAAAUGUUCAUCUAUUUUAAUAAUAACUUGAGUUCGAAUCAUUAUCAUACCAGAAAGAGUUCCCUUUAUUCUUUAUCGUAAAUUUUAUAAGAAAUUAUAUUUUAUUAUAAUACUAUAUGUGUUAGAAUAAUAUUUUAUUGUGGAUGCCCAUAAUUCUCAAAGUUGUAACCUUGAAUGUAGUAACCUCAAUGAAAUUAUGAGGCUUUUAUAUUGUAAUCAAGCCUCUAUCUAUUCUUUGUAUUCUUUGUAGAAAAUAUGAAGUUGAUUUUACUUUAUUAAAAAAUUUAAAAUAAAUUAUCUUGUUUUUUUUUAAAUGAGUUAACCAAAUUAGCAUAUUUAUUUUGAUCUAAAAUUAUCCAAAAUAAUAUAAAAUAUUAUAUUAAUAAAAUUAAAACUAUGAAAUAAUUUUUUUUAAAGAUUAUUAUUUACUUUUAUCAAACAAUACAAUUAUAUUCAGUACUUAUAUUUACUAGUUUACCAAACAGUUUUCCAAUAUGAAUUCAACACUUAUCAAAUUCAGUAUUAAAAAUUCAGUGCUUAAUUUUUUAGCACUUAACUUUUCAAUUCAUCAAGCACGUCUAAUUCAAUUUAUACAAUUCCCUAUUUGUAUCUCUAUGAAUUUAUAAAAUCCUUCUCGCAUUUAGUUGUUGGGAUCUUUAUAUGAAGAUAGAUGCUUUUAUUUUUUAUUGGUUCAUUUUUAAUUGUAUUGAUUUAUUUAAUUUUAAUUUUGAUUAAUAUAUAUGAUUAUUGUGGAAUGGGAGUAAAAGUAUUUACUUCUCAUAAACUUUGAAAUAUUCACCCUGUCUACAUAUUAAUUAUUGUAAAAUUUGAAUUGAAAUUAUGCCAUAAAAGGUGGAGGUUAGAAAACCUCUUAUUGAGACCUUAUAAUAUUUUGUAAUUUUUUGUGUUAUGGUAUAUAAAAAAAUAUCUAACCAUAGUGAUUGAUUAGUAAUAUAAAUUUGUUAUUUGUUAUGUUUAAUAUAUAUUUUAUUUAUACUUAUUCAUUUUAUUUUUAUAUGAGUAAAUGAAGUGUUUGAAGAUUCGAAAUUUUUAUCAUCCAUGUUGAAAAUAAGUGCAAAAGUGUAUAUUAUUUAAAAUAAAUUACGCAUUCAUUAAUGUUAUGUGAUAAAAUCAUUACAUUUUCUGAAGAACUAAUAUUGCAUCAAACUGUAAAAAGCUCUUGAAGAGCUAAUAUUUAUCUCCCUGUGAUGCAAAAUCUUGUAAAACAUGAUAUUAUUUUUCAAAUCAAGAAGAUUUAUGUUGAAGGAAAUAUUUAUGUGUUUUACAUUAAAACCAUGGAUAGAAAUGACAUGAGACACUCAUGUAUUUGCAUUAUAAAUAUUCCUUGAAGGAAUACACUUCACUUGUAUGAUUGACAUAUGAGAUAAUAGCAAGAAGUUUAUAGUGUUGGUAUGGCCGGCUAGACCAUCUCAAGUCAAUAAUGAUGCAAAAUAAUUUGAAGAGAAUUUAUAUGAUUUUAUUGAAGAAUGAGAAGUUAUUUUCAUUUUGAUAAUUGUCAUCAACAAUAGUUCUUUGGAAAAAAAAAUAUUGAACUAACAUCAACUAAAGUUAGAGGUUGGUUCAUGGUUGCAUUUUUUGAUGAUAUCCAAAUAAUAUAUGAGCUCAUGUAUCACAUGUAUGCAACCCAAAGUUUACAGUAUUAUUUCUUGAAAUAAUUUGAUUCUACACAAUCUCUAUAGCAUGCAAUUUGUGCUAACAACACUGGUGCAUUAUAUCCUAAGCUUGAUUUUCGUAGUUUUAGCUGAGAUAAUAUUAAGUUGUCUAUGCCUAUAUAUAUUAUACUUAAUGGUUAGCAAAAUUAUGCCUCCAUUUAAUUGCUUAACCAUUAAUAUAAGAAUAGCUUUAAAAUAAGCAUGUAAUUUUAUUUGCAUCGAGCCAACAUGUAAGAAAUAUUUGUCCCAUGAGAAUUAGCUUUUAUUUAUAAGCCAAUAGGUUUCAUUUAUGACUAUUUGGAUGUAAAAUAUCUAUUUUAUAUUCCACCAUAAUGCACUAAGAUGGACCAUCAAGUAUGAAGUUGAGAAAAAUUAGAAUUUUUAUUUGAUGGUAAAAGUUGAAAAGAGAUAUAUAUUUAUAAUUUUGAAAAAAAUAGUCAUGUUGCAAAUUUUCUCAGUAUUAGAGGGAGACAAGUUGGACAAAUACGUAUAAUUAUGUCAUCACUUUUUGUGAUCCCUCACUAAUCUUAUGUGCACAAAGUUUGAAGGAAAAAAAUAAUUUGCUAGACAUGUUUAGUGAUGACAUUUAGAGAUUGUAUAUAUUGGAUGAUACAUAUACCAGCUAAAAUGUUCCAAAUAAUUAUGCGUCCUAGAAGGACAAAGUGAUAAAAAUAAUUUUUGGGCACGCUAGAAGGAUGAAAAACUAGUUGGUUCUAUAAAUAAAAAAAUUCUUGACAGAAAAGAGUAAGAAAUGAAUAUGGCCACACGUUAAAGGAGACGAGUACUCAUGAAGAGACCCAAGGUAUAACUUUUAAUAAAACCCCAAAAGAGGUUCAAUACAUGAAAUUAUGAAUAUAAUAAGUGUAAUAACCAAAUUUUUCCCGGGCCCAAUGCCAAACAAAUAAAACCCAAACCAAAUAAAUAAAAUAAGAGUCCAAAUUAUAGUCCGUUAGGGCCCAAUUCAGACCAGCCCACUAUUCAAUCAGACCAGCCGAACAACAAAAAAAAACCUAGUAGCCCACAGCCCAACUAAGCCUAAAAAAUUUUCAGCAAAAGAAAAAACCCUAGCUGCCAUGCUAGCCGCUGCUCCUGCCCUAGCCUCUGCCCACUAUCGUACGCCACCUCUGCCAUCACCAUUAGCCUCUGACACCUGCAAAACAGCAAACAACAUGCAACAACAGAGAAGAAGACGACAAGCAAAAAACAAAUCACUAAAGGACAAAAAUAAUGAUAACAAAUAGCCUUAGUUUGGCUAUAAAAGCAAAAAAAAUGAAAACUUUGUACUUCUUUGGCAAGAUUAAUACAAAAAAGAAAAGAUUUGAACUUUUUAGGGUGAUAUUUCAUUUUUUUUUACGCUUUAGAUCUAUUUUUUUAUUUCAUCUUCAUCUACGAAAAUAAUAGAAAAAAGACUUUGAUUUCAAGGUGAUAUUUUGUUGUUUUUUUAGAUCUAGUGUUUUUUUAUUUAUUUUUAUCUACAAAAAUAAAAAAAGGAAAAGAGAAACGUACCUAAUUCACCCCGUGGCUCCGUCGACGGAAGUCCCAUCGCCAUCGUCGGAAUCGGGCUUAAAAGGGGAAGGUUUUUAUUUUUCUUUACUUUUUUUUGGAUUUUUCGUCUCAAGAAAUGGACUAAGGGAGGGGAAAUGGCCAAAAUGGUCUUUUUCCGAUGAACUCUGGCAACCACAUGUGGCAGUUAACAGUGCCGGUGCUCGGUGGCUGCGGUGGAGCCAUGGUGGUGUCCCAUGGCCGGAUCUAGAGAGGAAGCCUUUAAGAGGGAGAGAGUUUCUAACAUUUUUUUUAUUUUCUAAGGCAGAAAUGAAUUUUUGAAAAAAAAAAGUUGGGUUUUAUAAGUGCGUGAAAUGGCGCCAUUUUGCGCAAGUGCACAUCGACGUCGAAACGACAUCGUUUACCCCUUUACCCGCUUGCCCGAGUCUGGCUCGAUGAAGGUCCGCAUAUUUUCAUGCCUGAUGGGUUAUUUCCCUGCCCGAUCCUUCCGAUUUUGGGCUUCUUCUCAAUCUGGUCCUGAUCCUACUUUUUCCCGCCUUUUAAAUUGUACCAUUUAAUUUCAUUUCAUUUUCAACUCGGUCCCUCGGCUGACCAAAGGAAAUGAUGCGCAUAAAGUUAAGGGAUAUUUUCCCUUUCAAUCCCCAAUAUUUUUAGAGCGAUGCAUUUUAAUCCCUAACCUUUCAUUCCAAUCUUUUACACAUAUUAUUUCAUUUUAUUCGUUUAUUUAUUGACUUAUCAUUUUUACCCUCUUUUUAUACUUAAAAAUAUAUAUUAUUUACACUAUUACUUGCAUUUUUUUACUAUUAAAUUAUUAUUUUUAAUGUAUUAUAUUCCCAUUAUUUUACCAUUUUAUUUAUUUUGAUACUUUCAUGUCACAUUUAUUUAUUUUAAUAUUGCCAUUAUUUAUUUUAUUUUAUUCUUAUGUUUUUUAGUAUUUUAUUAUUUCUUUUAUUGUUCACGGUUUUUUUUUCAUGUUAUACAUUUUUAUCUUUCUAAUCAUGCAUUUUUCCUUUUUUUAUUUUGUUUUAGGUUACGUUAUUUAUUAUUAUUAUUAUGAUAAUAUUAUUAUAAUUAUAUUACCAUUAUUAUAGAAUUCCUUUAUUUGUAUAUUCCAUUAUAACUAUUAUUAUUAUUAGUAGUCUUUAACUCACUUCUAUUUUUAUUAUUAUUUUUUAGAAUAGUAGUCAACAUGCUUAUCCUUAUUGUUAUUUGGUGUUGUUCUUAUGAUUUUAUCAUCAUUAUUGUUGUAUUUCAUUUUUUGUUCACUCUUUAAAUAUUUUGUUCAUAUAGUUAUUUUACACUAUUGCAAUAUUGUUGCAUUACGCAUUAUGUUUCUUAUAUAAUAAUUAUUUCGCUUUCACGCGAUGUUCGAAUCAAUUAAACAUGAAUCUUCUCAAUUAUUACAUUAAUUGUUACUUAAGUUCAAAAAGAAAAUUUUCAAAAUAAGGCAAUAUUUUGCGUUUUGGAAAUUCGAGAAAUCAUACCCUAACUUACGAGGUUUCGAUUUUCUCGUUAAACUUAAAUAGCAAAAUAUUCUUUUAAAUUUCAAAAUGCAUGCAAUUUCAAUAAAAAUCAAAGGCAAGCUUAUUCUCUAAGGUUCCAAAUAUCGCGUCCUAACUUACGGGAUGUGACAUUUCGUUACCUCGAGACGAGUAGGUCUUCAACUCUCUUUUCGAUUUAUUCGAGCGUUUUUAAUAACAUUAAUAAAAAGGGAUCGUAUUUUAAAUUUCUAUUCAAGUUUUCAACCUUGGACAUUAAGACAUUACUUAAUCAACUAGGUACCACCUUUGGGUGUAUUGAGGGUGUGUUUUCUAGAUUUUGUAGACCAAAUAUUAUCGUUUUUAGUAAAUUUAAAUUUUUAUUAAAAUGAUUAAAUUACAAGUGUUGACACCAUUUUUUUGAUGAAAAACGGGGUCGACUUGGGUUUUAAAAAAAAUGAAAAACGGGAGUCGCCACCAAUCCUUUUUGAUAAGGUGUGAUUGGGUCACCUUGAAAAAUGGUUGUUUUUAAUAAAUGAUUUGAUUUUAUUAAAACAACGGUUUUGGUCCAUGAAAUUUAGAAAACGGGUUCGGGAGUCGAUUACGUACGAGGAAGGAUUAGCACCCUCGUAACGCCCAAAAAUUGGUACCUAGUUGGUUAGCUAAUGUCUUGAUGUCGAAAAUUGAGAACUUGGAAAAAAUUAAAAAUACGAUCCUUGUAUUAAAAUGAAAAUUUUAGGAAAAGGGGGGCAUACUUCACGCUAAUCGAGAAAGAGAAUCAUAUCCAGUAAGUUAGGACACAAUGUCUCGAAUUCCCGAUACGCGAAUGAAUGCCAAAAUUUUACUUAUUUAAAAGACAUUUUAGCCGUCUCGAAUUUAAAAAUGAAAUCACGACCAGUAAGUUAGGACGUGAUUUUUUAAAACUUGAGUUUGAAAAGAUUCGUGCAUCUAGAUUUAUCGUGAAAAUCAAUACCCAGUAAGUUAGGGUACGAUUUUCUUGAAUUUAAACACGAAAUGCCAUUUUUUAAAACAAAUUUUGUUAUAUCGAGUGAAAUAAAAACACAAAGUCGUAGUAAAAAAAUGUGUAAGCAAAUUACAUUGUUAUGCAUGGCAAAAUCAUAAUGAAUACAAAAGUAUAAAAAUGAUACGAGCAAUAACAACAAUAUAAAAUAAAUAAAAGUCAAACCUACAAUAAUAUUAAAUAACAAUGUAUAUAAACAAAUAAAAUUAAAACAUUCAUUCAAAAUAAUAAUGAAAAUGAAAUAAAUAAAUAGUAAAUACAAAAUAAAACAAUAGUAAUGAAUAAAAAUAAUAUAAUAUAUAUAUGUAUGUUAGAAUUAUAAAGUAUAAAAAUAUACGUAUGUGUAUAUAAGAAUAUGUAAGCAUGUAUAUACAUAGAUUAUAAAAUAUAGAUAUUUAUAUAAAAAUGAGUAUUUGUAUUAAAUAAGUUGAAAAAAAAUAUAUAUAUACCUACAUAUAUAUAAAAAAUUAUAUAAUAAUAACAAUAUAAUAAAACACAUAUAUCUAAAAUUUACAUAAGUAAAUAUAAAUAAAAACAUACUAAUAACAAUAAUAUUAAUAGUAAAAUGAUAAUACAUAAAAAUGAUGAAGAAAAUAAUAAAAAUGCUUAAAAGGGGACUAAAUCGAAGUAAGAACCAAAAAAAAGGGGCAAAAUCGAAAUAAAGACAAGAGGGACUAAAUUGUAACGCGCGCUGAAAGAGGGGGACCAACAGGGUAACUAAACCAAAGCCUCAAAACGCUGCUCUGUAAAGGACUGAAAUGAGACAAAAAUAAAAUUUUGUGGCCAAAUUGCAAAUAUGCGAAAAACUUCCAUGAAAUCGCUACAAAAUCAAAGGGACUAAUUGCGCAAAUAGACCCUUAAACAAAAACGCGCGGAUCCUUGGGUGCGGGUCGGGUCGACGUGCGGAUCCCCUCACCAAAACGGCGUCGUUUUGUGUUUAAUAUAAAUAUAAAAAAAGGGCUAAAAAAACAGUUUCAUCAUUUUUGUUGAAAAACUGAGAGAAACCUCUCUCUUUUUUCCCUUUCUCAGGCUCAGAUUCCGGAGAUGGCCCGGCCUAGGCUUCUGGCGAAUCUCCGCCGUAGAGCCACCGUGUGUGGCGGCCGGAGGUCCAAAAUCGGACCUUUUCGGUCCCUUUUUGAAACUAAGAAUCCCUAGGGUACGGAUCUGGGACCAAACCCCCGAAAAAAAGAAUCGGAGACCUAAAGAACGAGGGGAAACCGCUCGUCUUCUCUCCUCCGGCGCGGCGCAGGUAAGGUUUCUUUUUCCUUUAUUUAUAUUACGUAAAAAACAUACAAAAAGAAAAAAAAGAAAAUAGAGUUUAAAAAAAAUCUAAAACAGAAAUGAGAGAAAAUCACCUCUCAAGUUUUCUUGUUUUUUAUUUCUUUUUGCUAAUAUCUGUUUCUUCUUUUUACAAAAGUUGAUGGAAGAAGAAAAAAUUACAUUUUGUUGGCUUUUUAUAGCCGACUUCUACUACUGCCUGUGUUAUUUGCUCUCUGUUUCUUUGUUUUGUUUCUUCUUUGCAGGUGACGGUGCAAGUGGUGGUGGUGACGUGACCGUGGCAGUGGCGGUGUGAUGUUGGCGGCGGCGGCAGGCCAAAGGUCAAUAGGUGUGGAGCCUAGGGUUUUAGUUUUUGAAACCCUAGGCAGAUUUUUUUAGGGGAAUUGGGCCUUAGCUAUUGGGUCGUUCGGGUUUGGGCGUUGGGUUAGGCUAGUUGGGCUUUGAGGUUGGGUUGUUUUGUAAUGUGCUUUGGUGUUUGGGUUGGUAGGUGGUGGGUAAGGUUUAUUGUUUUGGGUUCUUGGGCCUGGUUCUGUUUGGUUAGGGUAAUGGGCCAUUUGGGUCUGGGCAUAAAAUUGGGCUAUACAACAAGGUGACCCGAUUACACCUCAUCAAAAAGGAUUGGUGGCGACUCCCAUUUUCAUUUUCAUUUCUUUUUAAAUCAAAGUCAACCCGUUUUUAAAAAAAUGGUUUCGACAAUAAGAUAUAUUGAUUAGUUAUGUCAUAACUAAAGAUGAUGGAGUUGACAAAAGGAAAUUGUAGUUAACAACGAAUAAUCUACGUAGAACAUUUCAAUAUUAUGGAAAAAUGAGUAUUUACCAACCUUCUUUUAGUCAAAUUAUGCAAGCCUAAAAUUUUUAGCUUAAUUUGAGUUUGUUGACUAUGUCUAAUUCAAGUUUUAUUAUUAAGGACUAAAUUGUAACUUAAAAAAAUUAGAAUACCAAUUUAAAGAGACAAAAAUUCAAAACCCCAAAACCCACAUGGGCAUGUGGGUAAGUGACACAGGCGUGUGGAGACUGGAGCUAUCACACACGGGCGAGUGGGACAGAAAAAUAUGAAAUAAAUUAAUCCACUUAAAUUUCAAACAACCAUGCUAUACUACCAAACCAAAUAAUGCUAGAAGCUUUGAAUAGGGGUGAAUCGAAAAAAAAAUAAAAGAAUUAGAAUUAAAUUAUAAAAUUUUCAGAAGUUAUCAUGUAUUAAUUUAUUAUUUUUUAAAGGGUCUUAAUAGAAUUUUUUUUCCAUUUUGGUUUGGCCAAUACCCCUGUCUACCUCUUUCAAUUUGCUUCAACCCUAAACCUAAUAUUCGAUUUGUUGUGGAAGUUUGACGCAUAAAAAUUUCUUUUUUAGAGGUUUAAAUUAUAAAUUUUUGAAAGUUUAAAAUAAAUUUUCAUUUUUAUUAACAAAAUAUAAAAGAAAAAAAACAUGUGUAGACAAACCAAGAAACCUUUGGGAUCAUACGGGUGAUUUUGAUGAUGUUAAUGGUUAUUUUGAUGGAGAGGGUGAAAAAGAAACAAAUGAUUCAUAUAUAUAAUAUAAUUAUGAAAUUCAAGCCAUAUAUUGUAUGUUUCAUCCAUAAAAAUUUCAUGGGAGGUCCGAAGGUAAUUAAAUGACUUGUAGGCUUGCUGAAUUUCUUUGAAAGGCCCAAUGGCAAUUUAACAUUCACAAAAUAAUCUCUAAAUACUGUAAAGACAAAAUCAAAUCCACAGCAGCAUUAGAGUUGAUUAAGCUAAGCAUUGGCAAAUAUUACUUUGAUUUUGCAUGCAAUAUUAGCAAAACCCCCUCUUACAUUAGAUAAACAACAUACUCCAUGAAACAUUGAUAGCCCAAAUACAAAUUUCAUCGACAAAAAAGUCUCUUUGUUUUGUAGAACAUGAUAGUAAAAAUGUGGAGUUUCGUUCUUCUUAUUGGCCUCCUUUAGUUUUCCUUGAUCAACAACCACUAGCCAAAAACACAAUUAGAUUAGAUUAUGAAUGAUACUGACAUUAUUAAAUAUAAAACACUCUAAAUAACUCUAAAUAAAUGGAAAGCAGCAAAUUACCUGACGAGGCAAGCUAGCUCAAUUAAGACCAUUGUGUUAUACUUGUCUCUGAAUUGAAAAAUUUAGAAGGAAAUAAAGAGAAAGACUUAGAAAAUAUUUGAAAACAGAUAAAACUUAUAUGUCAUUUAAAAUAAAAAUUUUGUAUUUAAGCCGUUUAAAAUUUUUAAGAUUUUUGAAAUUUUAAAAUGAUAAAGGUAAAAUUGUACUUUGGCACACCAAAAAUGAUAAAACUUUGAUUUAAUCCUUUAGAAAUUAUAAAAAUAUAGGCUAUUAAAAUGGUGAAAUUACCUUUUUACUAUAGUAAAAAUUACAAUUUAAUUUCACUUUAAGAUUUUCUGACUUCGCCCCUAAUAAAAUCUUUGGCAAAAGAUUAAAAUAAAAUUAUACCGUAAAUGGAAAAAGAAACAAAGAAAAUCCAAUCUAACAAAGAAAAUAACUUAUGUCCAAAAGCUACCAUAAACCGUAAUUCAUGGGAAGAGAGCAAAAGUAAAAACAAAUAGUUUAUAUGAUUAAAAUUCCAGAAUAGGUUAAAAAUGUUGAAUUAAAGAUAAAAUUAAGCGUGAAUUAAUAACCACAAGUGUACUCUUUACUCACCAUCUCUGUUAAAAAUGUUGGAUGUUGUUUAGCAACCUUUGUUUGAUUUUCUUCAGCUCAACCACAACAUCUUUCAUUUCUUUUCUUUCUUCUGGUAACUCAGCUGAACAAUUCAAAGCCAACUCCAUGAUAGAUGAAAUACAAUUUGCUUUAACAACAAAGUACUCAUCCUCUCUUCUUAGUAAAUCAACAUCUGCAAUUUCUAUCGCUCCUUUAGGCAAUGAACUUUCCAUCCAAUGCCUUAUAGUCUCUUCUUCAACAAAAACAUUAUCAGUUGGCUUUCUCUUUGUGAAAGUUUCUAUAAGGACGAUCCCAUAACUAUAAACGUCAGAUUUUAUAGAAACAAGUCCUGCAGAUCCAAAUUCUGCAUUUCAAGUAUAAUUAGAACAUCAUCAGUCCUCAAUUAUUUGAUAAAUCUAUGUAUAUCCACAUACACGAGAAACAAAAAUAUAAAACGCAAAUUAGGAAAAUAAUCGUACAAAGAUAAAAAAAGAAUUCACCUGGUGCCAUAUACCCGAUUGUUGCAAGAGUCAUGGUUUGCUUCAUUACUUCACCUUCUCCCAACAAUUUGGCAACGCCAAAAUCUCCAACAUGUGCAACCAUGUCUUCAUCUAGUAAAAUAUUGCUUGGUUUUAUGUCACAAUGAAUUAUAGGGGUUGGAUGUCCAUUGUGGAGGUGUUCUAUAGCCACCGCAACAUCUAUCAUUAUGUCGACCCUUUGUAUGAUAUCAAGGAAACAAUUUUUAGAAUGUAACCAUUUCUCAAGGUUUCCAUUAGACAUGUAAUCAAGCACCAAGGCUUUGAAGUCAACACUUGAGCAGCAAGUAAUGACCUUCACAAUAUUACGAUGAACUAUAUGAAGCAUAGCAUCACAUUCAAUGUCAAAACUCCUAAAUGCUCCCUCUGUUUGCAAAUUGAAAACUUUUAUUGCAACUUCCAUUCCAUCUGAAAGCCUCCCUUUAUAUACAUAUCCAAAACUCCCUGAACCAAGCAUAUUGCUUUCCUCAAGUCCAUUAGUUGCUCGUGAAAGUUCAGCAUGUGAAAUUCUUCUCGGUGUCUUCAAAGACAACAAAUCAUCUUUAAUUGGUAGAGCUGUACUCCUUCUUUGGCAUCUUCUAUACAUAAUAGUUAAGACUAUUAGUACUACGACAAUACCAAUUGUUGGUAAACCAUACCUAAAAGCAUGCAAUAUAAUCGUUUGGGAGUUUUUGUGGAUGUCGUUUUUACAAGGUGGGACUAGCAAUCUAGGUGGACCACAAAGUGCAUAAUUCUUCAUGAAUGAUGUGCUAGAAAAGUUUGAAAAACAUCCUUCGCUGGGAAUUUCCCCUUCAAGUCUAUUGAAAGACACAUUAAAAUACUUUAGAUAUAAAAGCUUUUCCAAAGAUUUGGGAAUGACUCCAGAGAGAUUGUUAUUGCAUAAAUCCAAGAAUUCCAAACUAAUCAACCCAUCAAAUGAUUCAGGGAUAUGACCAUGUAGUAUAUUAUUUGAUAAAUCUAAUGAAACCAAAGUUAUAAGACCCCCAAAUGUGGAUAAGAUAUCGCCCGUGAGAAGAUUCCUUGAUAAAUUUAGUUUCAGUAGACUCCUCAAAUUUCCAACAUCAAUAGCAUGUGAAUUGUGAAGAUGGUUUGAUGAUAAGUCUAUUUCUAAGAUAUCUUUAAGAUUCCACAAAGUUGAGGGUAUUGUAGAACUCAAUUUGUUGGAAUCUAAGUAAAGAUAUCCCAAAGAAGUAAUAUUACCCAAACAAGAGGGUAUGGAUCCAUGCAGCUUAUUCAACCCUAAAUACAUCUUGUAUAGUCUCUCCAAAUCACAAAGGCUUUAUGAGAUGGGCCCUCCUAAUUUAUUAGAGGAAAGAUAUAGACCUUGGAGAUUUCUCAUUCCUCCUAUUGAUGCUGGAAUCAAUCCACUUAAUUUAUUAUAGUCAAGUUGUAAAAGCAAUAGGUUGGUUAAGUUACCUAUUUCCAUAGGAAUAAUGCCUUGAAGCUCACACUCAUCGGCAUAAAAGUAUUGAAGGGAUUUUGAAAGGUUCCCAAUAUAAGUAGGAAGAACGCCACUCAAUGGAUUUCCUGAAACACCUAUUUUUCUCAAAUUCCUACAAUUCGUCAAAGAAGAAAGAAAGCUCCACUCAUGAUCAGUAGCAGAUCCUGUGAUCAAAUUAUUGUCAAAGAUUUUGAGCACUUCAAGGUGUUUUAAGCUGCCAAGCAUUUUAGGGAUUGGGCCAGAGAAUAAGUUUCGUGACAACUCUAGUUUCUUAAGCAUGGAAGCAUUGGAGAUAGAGUUGGGAAUGUUUCCGCUAAGUUUAUUUCUCCACAAUAAAAGAAUCUCAAGCUUUGGAGCAUUGGUGAUUGGUGGUAAAUCACCUGUGAAAUAGCAUCUUUUAGUAUACACAUUCAUUGAAUACCAAAUUCACAAAAUAUAUAAUACAUUAAAAUAAAAACUGUAAAACUUUAAAUCAAUUAAGAAUAAAAUUUUGGCAUGGAAAAAUGUGAUGAAAUCAAUUAGAAAGUUGAGACAUAAUAAGAAGUUUUGAGUAGUAAUUACUCAUGAUUUCUAUAGACAAAACAUAUAAUACACUGAUAAUUUUUUAAAAAAUAUUGUAAAACCUGAAAUAAAAUAAAAAAUAAAAGUUUGGCAUGAGAAUGUGGCAUCUAAUCAUUCUUAAAAAUAAGACUAACAUUGAAUAAUAAUUAGUUAUGAUUUGAGAAACAAAAAUGUUAAAGAUGUAAACUGGUAUGAUUUUUAUCUAUUGGGUUAAUUAUUUAUUUUUAUUAAAUUAUAUAUAGUGUAAAAUUUAAAGAUUAUUAUUUGCUCAAAAUUUUUGUAUUUUUCGUAUAUUUGAAAUUUAAUCUUUAUAUUUUUUAUUUUCUGUGAUUUAGUCUCUCUACUUUUUGAAUUGAAAAUUUUAAGUUUAUUUAUUAACACUGUUAAAAAGUUUUUGUGUUAGUAUGGCAUUUUGAAAAAUAAAAUAAAAUUGAUAUCUAUGUUUUUAAUUAUUCCAAAUAUUGUUUUACUAUUUCAAGAUAAACUUUUUGUGUCUAUACCAAUAUCUUAAGAACUAUUGUUGCAUGUUUAAUUAUUCUAAAGAUUUGUUGAUUGAGUCUUGGUUGAAGUGCAUUAUUCUCCUAUUUAUGAAUUGGGGAGUUGAUAAAGUACUUUAUUUUAAUAUAUUUUAAAAUAUUAAAAAUUUAUUAAAAUAUUUUUUAUAAAACUUGAUUGUACCACAAUAUACAAUUUUAAUAUCAAAUUUUUAAUUGUUUUUUAAAAAUAUUAGCGAAUAUAUACUUUAUUUCAAGUUACACAAUUUUUACUAGCUUUUAACUUUUUUUAAAAUUUUUAUCGUCUUUUAUAAUUUCUAAUAAUUUUUUAUAAUUUUUUACAAUAUUUACAAUUUCUAACAAUUUUUAAUAAUUUUAUUAUUUAUUUCAAAUUUAAAAAUUAACAAAUUUUUAUUUUUUUAAAACAAUUAUAUAUUUAUAAUGUAGUUAUUUUUUUAUAAUUUUUUUUUGAAAUUUAAAGAUUUUUUUGGUUUUUUUUUUCUAGAUGAUGAUGCCAUCAUGAUGCCAUCAUAUGCCACAUGCCUUCUAAUUUGUUGUCAUAUAGACAUAUUUCUUCGAGCGUAGUUGAAUUAAAAAUACUUGAUGGAAUCUGACCUGCACACAUAGUCGAAAAUUGAAGUGAAAAGCAUACCUUCUAAGCUGUUAAACUAAAAAUACUUUAAGCAUAUUUUAUUUUCCAUCAAAUUAACUAUUUUGCCUUGAAUGAAAUAAAAUGUUCUUAUUUUUGUUAUCUAUUACAAAUCAAACUCUUUUAUGAAAAAACUAUUUUAAAUUAAAGAAACAAAGAAAAUUCAAUAUCUUCUAAGUUAUUCCACUCCAAAUAUAAUCUUCAGUGAAGAAAUCUUGAAGAUGGAAGAUGGAACCUUACCAGAUAAUUGAUUGAAUCCCAAGCUCAAGGACUCUAGAUUAGACAUGUUAACAAGUGUUUCAGGGAUUGUGCCUAUAAAGUUAUUAUUUUUCAUUUUCAGCCUUCGAACUCCCUGUAAGUUCCCAAGCCAUGAUGGAAUUUCCCCAUUAAGACUGUUGUAUUUUAAUCGAAGGAUCCUCAAACGAUGCAAUUGGCCCAAUUCUUUAGGGAGAUGGCCAUAGAAAUGGUUUCUACUCAAGUCGAGAGAGAGUAGAAAUGAAAGAUUUCCAAGGUGUGGAGGGAUACUACCCCUAAGAUUCAUGCUUUUAAGUUUCAAAGCUAUAACUCUUUUAUGGAGGAUGCCACAAGAAACACCAAUCCAAUUGCAAACAGAGGUUGAGGCCGUCCAAUUGUUUGCCAAGACAUUUUGAGGACCGGCAAUGCGAUCCUUAAACUCGAGAAGUGCAAACUGAUCGGAGUUGAGAUUCCUGACUGUCAUACCCCAGCAAAGUCCGGAACAUGGUACGAAUAAAGCUAAAAGAAGAUGAAAGCAAGUGUUGUAGUUCAUGAUAGCAAGACGGAAUAAGCCAAGAAAAUAAAAAAAAGUAGGACAAGGGAAGUUGAGUUGAUAAAAUAGUUUGGAUGAUGAAGAAAAGCCCAGAGAGCAUGCUUUAAUAUGUUUUGAAGAAAUUUCAAAAUAAAUUUCAAAAUAAAUUUCAAAAUAAAAAUUUAAAAAGGAAAGCAAAGUUUUGAAGAAAUUUCAAAAUAAAUUUCAAGUCUUCUUCUUUAAAAAAUACGUACAAAGAGCGAAUUUUCAAAAUUUCUCCUAAAUUUUCUUCACAUUACUCCACAUAAUCCAUUAAAAAAACUUAAAAAAUAUAUUUUAUUAAUUACUAUACAUUCUUUUACUUUCAGAAUAAUAAAUUGUUUAAAAUUUGCUAUUAGUCCCUGUAAUUUAAAAGUUAAAAAAAAAAUUCAAUCCUCCUACUUUUCUAAUUUAAAAAUUCUAGUUCAAUCAAUUUUAAUUUUAAAAUCUUUGUAUAAAAGGUGUUUUUUUUUUGUGACCGAUCACACUUAACCAAUAUUUAAAAAUUAUUAAAAAAUAUUUUUUUUUGAAAUUUAAAGUGAUCUAAAAACAUAUUUUUAAGUACUUUGGACAGUCUAUUGUUGAUUUCCUUAUUAUAUUAAGUGUUUGCAAUCACUCCUAAUAUAUUGUGCUUGAGUUGUGACAAAGUCGAUCAUCAAAUUGCCAUAAUGAUCUAUUGAUGCUGAAAUUAAAGUUUUUGUUAUAUUGAUAGAGCUUGUCCUUCAACGCGUACAACGUGUUUGUUAUUUUUCUCCCUUCAAAUUGUAUGAUCUUAUUCAUUAAAUGAAUUAAUGAAUUUCCCUUUUAAAAAGAUAUAUUUUUAAAAAUUAAAUACUUUAUAAAAUAUUUAAAAAUUUGUAAGCCUUAAAACAAUCAACAAAAUAUUUUUGAAAUUUUAUAAAUAUAUUUUAAAAUUAUAGUAACGCUACAAAAUAUAUAUAUUUACUAAUUAUAUGCACCUUUUUUAUUUUUUUUCCUAACAUAUCAUUAUUUUCAACACUAUCGUAAUCCUGUUUUGAUAAUUCCCUUUCCAUACAUCCUUUUUCUACAUAGAAUUUCAAAAGAAAAUGUGAAUUAAUGUAAACGUGAGAAGACUUAAUUACAUUUAUUAGUUUAUCAAUCAAAACUUAAUUAGAAUCCAUCAAUAUUUCACACAUCAAAAACCCAAACAUAAAAUUCACUUUUAAAUUAUUUGAAGAUACAUUUGUAUUAUAGGAAAUGGAUUAAAUUAGUCUUUUAUUAUUAAAUGUAUUAUUUUAAUCUUUGUAUUAGGUAUGAAUUGUAUCUCCUAGAUUGAAGCCAAAGCUAUUCUUGAAAGACUGAAAUUAAGAUUCAGAUGUGUUGAGAUGGAAAGUGGCAACACAAUGUUGAUUGAAACUAUUUAUAACGGGUUGGCUACAAUAAGUAGUGCUGCCGAAGUAAGACAGAUUCACGAUUGGUGUUCCAAAAAUUGGGAAGUCAAAUUUCGACAUAUUCAACGAAAUGCCAAUAAAGUUGUUGAUUGCAUAGCUAAGGCAAAUGGAGGCGUAAUUGAGCAGCUGGUUAUCUUGGAAGAUCCUCUGCAUUAUGUGAGAUGCUAGCUUGAAGAAGAUAUUAGACAGUCACUAGUGACUGAUGAUAAUUUUCAUUUGGACUGAUGAGCGCUUAAUUUUCUAAGCUUAUGUUCAACAAAAAAAAAUUUAAAUACGUCUAAAUUGUAAUAGAGUUAACAUUUAGUGUUUAAAAAAUAUCUUAAAAAUUAUUUUUUUCCAAUUGCAGUUCAAUUCCACAAAUAUCGACGAUGAACCCGGACAUAAAAAUUACAGAAAAAAAAACACAUCUAUUAUCAAACCAGCAAUCCAUGUCUAAACUUAAAUUAACAAAAUUUGCCACACAACGCCCGGUACACUAUUAUAUAUCUAUACUAGAUUUAUUCUAGAUGCACAUGUUUUAUUAUAUUUAAAAAUUAAAAUGUAUGGUUGACUAAGUUUUAGUUGAGUUAGUAUUGAUAUUAUUGUCAGUGUAGGAAAAUGUGAGUUUAAUCACGCUCAAAUGUGUUUUAUCCUCCAAUUCAAGGGUUAGGAAAAGGUUAUUGAUAAUUAAAUUAUACCAACUUUUAUAAUAUUAAAAAAAAGGAUUUAUAAAUAAUAUAAGGAAAAGAAAAAAAGAGAAACAUAUUCAUAUUGAUGGGCUCUUUCAAUAUUAGACUUUUUUUUCUAUCACAAGUAAAAAUAUCAAAGGUGAUAAUAAUUAAAUUAUAAAAUUUAAAUUGAGAAAAUAGGGGAUAAAAUUUAUAAGUUUUAAAGUAUAAAGAAUGAAUUUAUAACUAACAACAUAUUUUAACCACAUAAUAAAAGUAGUUAUGGAGAGGAUCAUAUAAAAUGCAAAAAUGAAAUAAUAGAAAAGAAAUAAGUGUUGGGUAUAGUGGCAAUGUAUAUUAUACUUCUAAGGGGAGAUCAAGAUUUUAGACAAGGGAAGAAUUUUAAACCUGCUUUUUUCUCUAGAACUCAACGCAAACCUCAAAUUUAUCUUUUUAAAAGAAUUUAAAAAUAUCUAUAUAAAAGGUGAUUUUUUACCGAUCACACUUAACAAAAUUAAAAAAAAAUUGAAAUUUAAAGUGAUCUAAAAACAUAUUUUAAAGUGCUUUUGACCAUCUUGUGCUGAUUUCUUUAGUAAUUUGAUUUGUUCAAUAUAGAUUUUGGUGACUUAAAACAAAAUUAAUAAAAAAAUAUUUUAUCAGAUAUCUUUUUAAUGUUUAAUAAUAAGUUAAUUUAUAAAAUAUACUUUCAUUGGACACAGGGCCUCCAAGGCGGUGAACCACUAAUCAAAUUAAUUUUGAGAUACUUAAAUUUGUUUUCAUCAAUUAAGAAAUUAAAAAAAUUUGUUGAGACCUCAUGAUUAUGUUUUAUAAUUUCAGGCUUAUCAACUAUUUUGAAAAACAACAAAACGUCUUACACCAAAAACUAAAAAAAUAAAAACGUCGACAUUAAAUUUGUUGCCAUGCAAUCAAUUUUAAGAUGGUUUUUGGAGUUAUAUAUCACCUUAGCAUUGACUUACUUUUCUACACUUAGUCUUCUCCAACAAGUUAAAUAUUUCAAUUUUAACAACAUUGACAGGUCUUUGGGGUAGGGUCGAGCAAAACUCAAUAUAGGCUGAGUUGGCUCGGCCAAGUCGAGUCGACUUGUUCAAAUUAUUUAAAUUCGUAAUUUUUAAGGUGCAGUUAGAAUUUUUUGUUUUGAGAUGCUAAGAUUAAAAUAUUUCAGUUGCUAAAACAAAAUAUUUGUAUUUAAAAAGGCAUAAAUUAAAUAAUUAAGUUUUUCGAGUUUCCAUUUAAUCAAAGGUUAAAAGGACUAAAUUGAAGCUUUUUAUUUUUAAGAAAGGCUGAAUGACAAAUUGCCCAAAGCCAUGCCCCUAGCUAUACAACUAACUUCUCUAUGAUUAGUCCUUCGUUUGCUUUGGGUGAAAUCUUCCAACUAGCCUCAUCCUUGGUUUUACUUUCCAACAAUUAGUGUAUCACGAGUUUUGUUUUCUUUAAAAAAUAUUUGUGGAUAUUAGGAGAUAAUGAAAAUUAUUUUACUAUGAAAUUUUAAUAAAACUGGAAAAUAAGUAAUUUAUUUUAAGAGGUCGCAAUUAAACGUUAGAUUUCCAAUUUUUAAAUUUUAAUUUUUUUUUGACAAUUGCAUAAUAUUUUGAGUGUUGUAGGAAUGCCAUAAUAUAACCUUCCCUAAACAUAAUCGACUCUUGAGCAUGAUGGAUCCUAGAACUUCUCCUCUAUUCUCGUACCGCAAAUUGCUUCAAGUGUGGGUUCGAACAAUCACAAAUUAAACACAAAACCAGAAAUGAUUUAUUACUUUCAAUAGCAAGGUAAUUCUCUCUCAAUAGAAACCAAUAGAAGUGUAAUUCUUAGAAAAUAAAAUUUAUUUUUUGAAAAUAUAUUCUCACUACUUUCUAGCAGAAUAACAAUAUGUGAAACUUAUGUCUUGUGUUAAUAGCUCUACCAGUACUCUCUAUUUAUAGGGAGAGAUACGAGAAUCCUGGUUGAAUUAGUAAAACACGAAUAAUAUUUAUUUCAUAGAAAACAAUAUUCCACCCUAAGUAGAUCAAGUUUGUAUGACGCAUGGAUCAAAGCUCAAUCUAGGAGGAAAAAAAUAAAGGAAUUUUCUUUGUAAAGAAAAUUUGAGAUUGUACUAUUUUCAAAGUUAUAAAUAAAAUUAUACGCCAAAUUUUUAAGUCAAUUUCAACUCCAAUUUUGUAUGCACAAAUUUCUAGUACACUUGGUGGGACAUUCUUUGACUUUUAUCUAUUCUCUCAAAAAGUUAAAGUUCAAAGUUACAUUAAACUCAAAGAAGAUAAUCAUUAGUAAACCACCUCACAAGCCUGCUCAAACUAAUCCUACAACUCAUUCCACUUCAUCAUCAAACACCAAUGUUCUUGCUUAUCCUUAUGGAAUUAAACAGUCUCAUUUUCUGCAUUUUGGGUACACACCUGGUUUUAUUUGAUGCUAAAACAGUCCCCGAGCACUCCAAAGCCUAUAAUUGAACAAAUAAUACUAAUUUAAUCUUACAUAACAUGAUCCCAAAUUGAACUUGUAUCGAGGUUUUAACCCAUAAGUGACUAAACCUUACCUUCAACCGAGUGAACAGUAAUUCCCACACAAACUAAGACUCCGAUUGAAGAUUACGAGCCAUUGAAUCCUCCCCUAAUUGGCAUAAACAAAACACUUCAAAAGAAAGUCAACAAAUGGAGACAAAUCACUUAUCUAAAACUUACCGAACGAUCACAGACAAACGUGAAGCGACACGAGGCAGAGUGGGAAAAGAAAAAUCAAGAGGAUGAAGGGUGAAAGAGAGCAGAAAUUCGGUAGCAAUGAAGAGAAAAACGGCAAGAAAGUGGAGGGAUUUUGGGGAAAGUAAAAAAAAAGAUGAAUAGAAUAUUUGAUAACUACCCCAAUCCCUUAUUUCUCUCUAUCAAACUCCCCACUAAAUCCACUACUCAAAUUUUUAGUCCAUCUCAAACUCUCCUGGACGCACGAGCAAAAAAUAAUGCCCAUGCCAAAAUUUAAACAAAAGACCUCCUUCACACCAACACUCCACUUAUCCACCAGACCAAUAGGCUCAUUCUUUUAAUUAUUUUCCAACUUUUACUUAAAAGCCUACUGACCAAAGAUAGGGCUUAUUCAUAAAAAUACCAAAUUUUGCCCAAGACCUGGCUUGAACUUGGGACCUCCCAAACACACCCAGAACACAUAACCACUAAAGCAGACAUAAAUUUUGUGUCACACAUUCACAAUACCCAAAAUUAAAAUUUUAGGGCGUUACAAAAACACAUUAAAUAAUAUCGCAUAAAAUAAUCACAGUUAGAUAACAGUUCAGAAUGUCGAUUUUACAAUUUAACCACCAAUAGUAUCACAGUAUUCACAGUUGUAAUUUCAGAAUAUCAAAUUUCCACAUGAUUCACAAUAUUCACACAUAUAUAAAUAUAUCAUAAUAGAAUUCCAGAUUUGUAUGCACAUGAUUUAGAAGAUGCCAUACAAUUUUGGUUUUUAACAGAAUAAAUCCUACCCCACGUUACAUACCAUAAUGGGAGUUCCCCUAAACUCCCUUCUCCAACACACUAGGUUAUGGAUAAACCACUAUUGGUUCACAAAUAAUAACUGUCAUUUGGCUGUGGACACACAGCAAGUCCCCACAAUUGGAUUCUAGAUUUGGUUGUGGAUUCACAGCAAAAAAAUCCUACAAAUGAAGCCUGCUUUUGCCUGUAGAUUAUACAACAUAUACCCGCAGUUGGAAUCUGUCUUUGGCUGUGGAUGCAGUGUAACACCGCAAACUCGACCUGGACAUUAUGGCUGAAUCUUGAUGAUUUACUUUAACUCGCUAGAAAACCCACGAAUUUACUUUAAAAUCAUGUGGUUAAACUAGUGUUCACUUUGAUAAAUUGUUUUCCAGUUUUAGAGAAAUUUCUUGUUAAAACUGUUACUUUAUUACAAUAAAACAUUAAAGUAAUUGUAUCAUUUUGUAGUGGAAUCUACUAAGCUAUAAGGUUUUGAAAAUCGUGAUUUAGUUUGCAACAAAUCAUUUUGCAAAUAGAAAUUUAAUACUACUUAAUUUGGAAAAUCACGCUAAAACGAAAGCAAAGUCCAAAAUAAUUUACGGUUUGAAAUUCUAAAAAGCCCAAAUUAGACAUAAAGUCUAUUUAAACCAAUUUAUUGAAAGUGUAACACCCUAAACCCGGCCUAUAUGUUAUGGCCAAAUCUAGAUGUGUUACGAAAAAAAGUUUAUAAAAUGACUUCCUUGUUAUUGGCAAACCAUCGUAACCAUUAUUACUUAGUAUAUCUGAUUUGUUUGGAAAACUUAUUGAUAUACUUAUUUGAUUUAAAAUCGUUGCUCGCUUAUGCCUUUUUAUUAAACCAAAUAUUUUGCAGCGGAGUUUCUUUACAACAUCAUAUUUUGGAAAAUCAAAUUGUUUCUUGAAAAUCGUUAUUUUAGAAAAGUUUUCAUUUUCAGAAAAAUUAUUUUAUCAGUUGUUAUGCUGAGAAAACAAAAUAAAAUCCAAAACCAAAAAUAAUCGCAAAAAGUCUAGAGAGUCCCAAAAUGACAAUACUCUUAAAACUAGACAAGCUUAAACUAAUUUUAAAAGAAUGAAAUUUUACAGAAAUGUGGACACCACUGAGCUUCCGUCGCACCGACCCACCUAAAUCUGAGGGUUACUUGAACAGAACAAACAAACAGAGAGUGAGUUUUGAAACUUAGUGUCUAACGCAUAUAUAAACAAAAAUUCAGAAUCAAUCUCAUGCAGAACAGAUACAAGUGUAAACCUUUUAUAAAAUUAGAAUUGUACAGAUACAAAUAUGCAACAUCCUACCCUCAUCCUCUACACACCAACUCCGACCAUCCUAUCACACCACGUGGGGUAUAAAAUACCCAUCCAGCCCUACACACCGUAUAGUGUUUAUAUGACACUUUUUGGAAUAAUCGCAGCAGAGUUGCCAGUAUAUAUGCGAGAUAUCACCUCACAUAGAACACUUCCUCCUCAUAAUACAAAUCCCGCCUCAUAGCUAGAUACAGACAAAAUAUGAUGUAAAAUAAAUUAACAGAUACUAGAGUUAACAUAUCACGCGUGAGCGUAUAAUAGAUAUUACACAUGCUUAUGCAUAACAAAAUAGAUCAUACAUAUUGUAUUCCAUAAUACUCAUAUAAAUGUUAUUUACGUCAAUCUCAAUCUAACAGAGUAGCAGAUUUCAUGCUUUAACGCUUAUACCACACAUAUAGACCCUAUAGAAGGCCCACAGUCGAUCGAGACAACAUGUAUGUCGCUAGGGAAAAAAUUUGUAAUUUGGGCCCAUAUACAUGUAUGAGCCCACACACCCAAAAUGGCCUUGCCCAUGUGGCUCACCAACCUAGCACUCAGCCCAUACGGUCCAAAAUGGCCUAGGUCGUGUGUCACACACAGCCGCAUGUUGCACACAGCCUACCACAUAGCCAGUCACAAAACUGUUUGGAGUUGAAAAGCCCAAUUUUUGGCUUUCGUCAAUCAUCAUUUUCUUACGUUUUCAUUACACACCUGGUUUGAUUCUGACGCAAAAGCAACCCUAUGUCCACCGAAACCUAAAAAUAGCAUUCCAACGCCCAAUUUCAGUGAACAUUUACAAAACUCAAACAAAAACUAUCCAAAAACAUAGCCUCACAAUAGCAUCCAACGCACUCGCACACUUAUCGUCAACAAAUAGGAAACACCCAACACUCAAUUCGUUGGCGGAGCACCAAUUAUGAUAAUGCAAAAAUUUUAUGGAUUCUCAACACUAUCGAUCCGAAUGUAAGAUUGAUGCUUUCCAAUUAUGAUAAUGCGAAAAUUUUGUGGGAUGGUUUACAUGAAUUUUUUUUGUUGUCAACGAUCAACGUAUUCAAUAAUUAAAAUAAAAUAUUAGUCGUUUUUAGAAAACCAAGACUAUGAGUGUUGUAGUUUAUUUCAGUAAAUUAAAGGUUUUGUGGGAUGAACUAGAUAAUCAUGAACCAUUGAUUUGUUGCAAGUGUGGACAAUGUUUAUGUAACUUAGGGAAGGCGCAUGAACAAUGUCGUGAGCAUGAUUGACUUCAUCAAUUACUUCUUGCUCUCUAUUGUAAUUGUUAUGCUCAAACUAGGUUUACACUGUUUUACCAAGAUCCUUUGCCUUCCUUAAAUCAGGCAUUCCAACAAAUUACUUAGGAGGAACAUGUACGUGGAAUUACACUGAUUAAGGAAGAGAAGUCUGAUAUUUUAGGCUUUGCUAUGCGUACAGAGGGUCAUAACAAAGGCCGAGCUAAUUGUAUUGAUAAGUCAACCUUGUUGUGCACUCAUUGCCAUCGCAAAAGGCAUGAGAUGGCUACCCAUUUUGAAUUACAUAGCCACUUGGAUUGGCGGCUUAAGAAGUAUGGGAAGCCAGAGAAGAAAAGUGAUGAUCGUGGUGGUAAGACAAGUGCCACAUCUUCCACGUAAGUGUUUUAUUUCAAAGGAUCACAAUUAAACAUUAGAUUUCUCAUUUUUAAUUUUUUUAUUUUUUUAACAGCUACGUAAUUAACGAGUACCAAUUUUGGGUGUUGUAGGGGUUCUAUAACUUUCCCUAUAUGUAAUCGACUCUUGCACCCACUUUUUUUUCUCUAGAAUUCAAUGCAAACCUUAGAUUUAUCUUUUUAAAAGAAUUUUAAAAUCUCUUUAUAAAAGACGAUUUUUUUAGGUGACCAAUCACACUUAAGAAAAACAAAUCGGUGGCAACUCCUUUCUAAUAAAUGUAAAAAACUUUUUAAACAAAAUAAGGUUGAAAUAAUCUAGUUGUCGUUAUACUUUGAUAAAAUUUUAGAUUUAGUCCUUAUACUUAAAAGGUUAAAAAUUAAGUCUUGUUUUUAUUUAAAAAUCUUAGUCCUAUCGUUAAUAUUGUUUUUUUUUGUCAAAAUUUGUCAAGUUGACAUAUUAAUUAGGUUUCUCUUAUAUAUCGUGGUAUAUGACUAACACAAAAUAAACAAGUUGACAAAAUCUACAAAAAAUAUCAAAGAUGAUAAUAGUUUAAUUAAAAUUUUUAAAUUAAAAAAGUAAGGGAUUAAAUUUAUAACUUUUAAAGUACAAUGAAUGAAAUUAUUGAAAUACAAGAACUAACAACAUAUUUUAAAAUAUUACUAGUAAAUUAUAUAUCUACAACAAGAAUUGUAACCUCUUAUAUUAUAUUCUUGUAUCUAUUUUUGCAUCUUUCAUUAUAAUAUGAUUUAUUAAUUUUAAUAUUUUUAUAGAAUAAUAUGCUUUAAAUAGUUUUUUGUAUAAUUUAUAAAAAUUAUAAUAAACUUACAAAAUAAUUUAAUGAUAUUUAAUUAUUAACCAAAAAAAAUGAUAUCAUAUAUAUUAUGUAUAUAUUAAGAUUCCGAAUCAUUAAUUAUAUAUCUACGCAUUAUAAUAAAUUCAUCUUUCAAAAUUUUCCUUAUAAUUAAAGCAUAAAUUAUAUUUAUAAUAUUAUAAAUAUAUUUUAUCAUAAAUAUUCUUUCAAAUAUUUUUUAAUGUUUAAUAAUAAGUUAAUUUAUAAAAUAUUUUUUCAAUAAAUUAAUGUGAUGAGAUCGUUAGGUGCUUGGAUUUGGUGAAGGGGGAUGAAGAGAAAAGGGAUGGAAGUGAAUAAAAAUGUUGAGAAAUCGAAAGGGUUAGCGAGGGAAGCCGCCAUGAAAGGUGGUUCAAUGGAUAUGAACCAUCAAGCUUUUGUGGAUGAUGUUACUCAAGGUUGUUGCAAGUAAAUUAAAAAAUAUUUUUUUAAAUUAUUUUUUUGUUAAAAAACAUUUUUUAUUUUUUAUGUGGCAUGCCACAUUAUCAUAGUAUCAUGUGACAACUUCUGGUGAUUUCUGUCUGUAACAUUAGUCAAAUCAACAGUUAAAUCGUUCAACUCACAGUUUUUGUUAAAUGAAGAGGUCAAUUGGUUUUUUUGGAAUCAUUGAGUACUCAAUUGGUGCACUUUUAUCAUAAAGGCUAAAUUAAUUUUUUUAAUUUGUUAUUGUUGAGGGCUAUAACAAUAAAAAAAUUAAUGUAAAAUGAAAAAAAUGUUAGAGCUAAAUUUGUCAUUAUAACUAAAAUGUAAAACCAAAAUUUUUUGAAAAAUGAAAAAAAUGGAAAAUCACAAAUUCUAUCACUUAUGUUUGCUUAAAAUUAUAGUUUUGGUCACCAAUCUUUUGAAGUAAAUAUAUGGUCACCAAUAACUCACCUUAAAGUUAUACCCCUACGCAAGAAAGGAUUAAAUGACAUUGGAAUACCAUAAAACUUGUAUCUUUUUUUAUUCAUCUAAUACCAUUUUAACAUUUUCAUUUUAAAAAAUUGACAUAUCAUUUUGAAUUUGAUCUUUUUCAUGGUAUCUCAAAUUCAUUUAAUCUUUCCCUCUCUAAAAAAGCUAAUGUAACACAUUAAUGACAUCAUUUCAAACAAAGUUUUAGGUCAAAUUAUUCAUCUAGUCCUUGUAAUUGUUUUUAUAGGUGAAUUUCAUUAUUAUUCUUUUAUUUUCUUAGGCUUAAAUACACAUUUACCCCUAAUUUUAUCCCAUUCUCCUUAAUUGGUAUUUAUGGUUUAGAAAAUUUUAUAAAUAUAUUAUUUUUUAAGAAAUUAUAAGAAGAUUACAAAAAUUCCAAAAUAAUAUAAAAAAGCCAAGGAAAACCUAGAAAUUCAAAAAAAAAAAAAAAACGUCGACAUUGAAUUUGCUGUUUCACAUUCAAUUUUUGGAGAAGUAGAAUUUUCUAACUUAUUUUCCAUCAACUUGACUUCAAUUUUCAAUCACAAUCAAUUGCAUUCAAGAGCACCACAUCUGUUUGGAUGAAACAAACCUCUCAAUUUUAAGAUAAACGGGUCUUUAGGGUUAUAAAUUGAGGGCCUUUUCCACAAUUGCGGGUGAUUCGUUGAUAAUAACCUCAACAUUUCUGUAUCACAUUUCAAUUUUUAAUUUUUAGAGAGAUGAUUGGGUUACAAGACUGGUUUGAAGUGAAGAUAUUUCAAAAGAAGAUCGAAUACUCUACCAAUAGUCAUAAUUUAAAAUUCAGGUUAUGUUUCAUUUCAGCUAAGUUAAAUGUUAAGAUUGAGGUUAAACCUUUUAGAGGUUGCUCACAAAAGGAUCAAACCUUUAUAAAAUUGCCUAAAUGAAGGUUAAACCUUUUAAAAUAGACAAAUAAGGGCCUAACCUUUUAAAAGGUGUUCAAAUAAGGGUUUCUCAAACGUUGUAUAUCAGGUUAUGUGUUUUACUCUAAACACAUCGACAUUUACCUAUUUUUUCUAUAAAUUUGGUUGAAGUGCAUGAAAAAUCCUUAUUUGAGCACUUUUGUAAAGGUUAAUCUCUUAUUUGACCAUUUUGAAAGGUUUGAUCCUUAUAUAAGUAACCUCUAAAAGAUUGAGCACUAAUUUGACAAGUUUGAGAAAUAUCUAAAUUUGUUUUCAUGAAUCAAGAAAUUAAAAAAGAAAUGUUGAGAAAUAUUUUAGAGAUUCUUAGCUUUGACAAGUUCCCUCCACCAUCUCCCUGCCUCCAGUCCCACCUCUUCUCUUAUGCUCCUUCCAGCUUCUUGCCUUUUGUGUGUUGAAAAUUCAAAGGAACAAAAUAUCAACCUACAUCAUAAGGCACGAUCGCCAGAACUUUACUUUCUAGCCUGUCGAUCCGAUCCAAUCCAAUGAAAGAAGAACAAGGAGUCUUAAGAUCUGUCAACUUUAUUUCAUUUUCAUUUUCUUUGUCAUUUUCUAUGUUUCAUGUCGAAUACAAUGAAAGAAGAACAUAGAAAAAUGUGGCCUAUUUAUUUCCCAAUCAUCAUGAAAUUACUUGCCAUUGACUUAGAAUUUUCUCACCAAUUUUCAAGCAAUCUGACAUGAUUUCUCAAUCACAAUUAAUUGAAUUCAAGAUCUUUUUAGAUGACACAAACAUUUCAAUUUUAACACAAACCAAUAUUUCGGUUAUACUUCAGUGCUUGACAAGCACUUUCACAUUUGUGGGAUAAGAACUCUUAACAUUUUAGGAUCACAUUUAAUUCAAUUGCAUUUAAGACCUCAUGGUUUUAUUCUAUAAUUUCAGUCUUAUCAGCCUUUUCGGAAACAAUAAAACGUCGACAUUAAAUUUGUUGUUGAUGCAUUCAAUUUUUUGAGGGGUCUUUGGAGUUAUAUGUGACUUUAGCAUUGACUGACUUUUUUAUAAUUUAUCUUUUAUAAUAAGGUAAAUAUAUUAAUUUUAAUAACAUCGACAUGUUUUUUAGUAGGGUCGAGCAAAACCCAAUUAAAAUCGAUGAUAUUGGCUUAGUUGACUCGGUCAAGUCCAUUAGAUUGAUAAAAUCAUUUUUAAAAUCAGUUAUAAUGGAUAAAGGUAAUUAAUUAUCGAGUAAUGAAAUACAUAAUCAAAUCAAUUGAUUUUGUUAGAAACUAAAAGAAAAAGGGCUAAGCUGAAAAUUGAUUGCCCUUUAUUAAAAUUAACGAAUCUGUCUUUUACGUAUUAGAUAAUAUGAACAUCGCAUAUAUAAUAAGAAAAAUUACGUAUGAUUAUUUAUUAUCAUAAAAGGUUAGUUUAAAUUUAAAGUAAUCUAAUAUGUUUAUUGAACUUCAACUAUUAAAUAAAGUAUAAGCUAAAUAAGUAUAAAUAUUCUAGAAACCAUUUCUAACUGAUGAUAGGCUAAUUCGAUUAAUUUAUAAAAACUAGAUAGUAGGGUUAUAGUCCUCAAACUACACCUAAUUUAAUAACAUUUAUAUUUUUUUUAGCCUUAAACAUUUAUAGUUUUUGUUAAUUUGGUCCUUACUCUUUAAAAUUACAUAAAAAUUGCAAAAAAAUUAAAAAUUAAUUUUUAUCAUGAUUUUAAUAACAUUUAUAUUUUUUUUGUGGUUUGGUAACUUAUCAACUUGACUCUUACUUGUAACCAACUUUUCUAACCUUUUUCGUACCCUUAACCUAAGUCCCGUUACAAUUUCUAAAGACCUCUUGAUUGGUGUAUCAUCUCGAUUUGUUUUUAUAGUGGUGGAGAUUUGUUUUUUGUAGUGGCAUGAUUGCCAGAACUUUACUUUCUAUCCUGUCGAUCCGAUCCAAUGAAAGAAUAACAAAGAGUCUUAAGAUCUGUCAACUUUAUUUCAUUUUCAUUUUCUUUGUCAUUUUCUAUGUUUCUUGUCACAUACAAUGAAAGAAGAACAUAGAAAAAUGUUGCCUAUUUAUUUCCCAAUCAUCAUUCUAACAGGCCGAAUUAGCCCAGGCCCAAACAUUAAUAAAAUGUCCAGAUUACAAAAUAACCAACCAAAAAUUAAAAGCCCAAAAUAAUAAAAUAAAACCCAUUACAUUAACCCAAAACUCCAGCCCAAUUACAUUGAAGCCCAAAAAAAUAGUUUUUAGAAACCCCUAGGGUUUCUGGAACAAUCCGCGCCGCUCCUCCAUCCGCUUCUCCACGCACGCUGCACCUUUCCACGUGCGCCUCCAGCUGGCAGUGUACCUCCAAUGCAACAAACAAAGCAACAAGCAGCAAAAGAAAUGGAAAAACAACAAAAAAAAAAAGAAAGGAGCAACAAUGUAUAACAGAUUGAUAACAAAUAAUAGAAAAAAUAGCAGUAAAUAGGAAAAAAAAUUAAAAAAUAAUGAGGGUAAUUUCAUUUUUUUCUCUGUUUUGGCUAUAAAGAGAGCCGGUCAAAAUCUCUAAAGGGGGAUUUAGAAAUCAAUCAGAAAACAAGUAUUUUGUACCAACAAUUAGAGAAAAAAAAUACAAAAAUAGGGAUUGAAGGUUUUUUUUUCUUUCGUUUCGAUUUAUUUUAAAAUAGCAUAGAAAAUAAAAAGAAGGCUUACCUUGCGACGCCUUCAGAUCCUCUCGAAAAGGGGCUAAAAGGCCCUAUGUGGCACAGAUUUGACCACUGUUCACGGUGGAACCGCAGCGGAGGCGCAGAGGAUUGGCAUCAAUUUAGGCAGGGUUUGAAACCCUAGCAGAGAAAAAAUUAGGGUUGAUAGAUUUUUUUUAAAAAAAUGGCAAAAUGUUGUUUUAAAAAAUUUUGUUUUAAAAAAAAUUGUUGCUUUUAUAAAGGGUGUAAAACGGCGUCGUUUAGGGCAUGUUUCGAUGGCCCCAAAACGGCGCCUUAUAAGGCAACCCCCGACGACCCGACCUGCUCCAUGGGGGAUCCGCGUGGUUUUUGUUAAAUGGGUUAUGUCUAACCCUGGCCCUUCUACUUUUUAUACUUGUUUUAAUUUGAUCCUCUUUUUAUUUAUUUUUAUUUCUUUAAAUUAAGCCUGAUAAUUUUUUUCCAUUACAUUUUAAUCCUUAAUGAAACGGCGCGUUUUAGAGGAGAAGGGAAAAUUACCCUUCUAGUCCCUUCUUGUUAUUCGAGUGUUCAGAAGGGUCCUUUUUUGUUUAUUUUUUAUUUGCCCCAAAAUUUUGUUUUAAAGCUUAAUUUAGUCCUAUUUUGUUAUUUUAGCUAUUUUAUUAUUAGAUUAAUUAAUUUAAUAUUAUUAUUACUGCUAUUAUUUUACCCCUAUUAUUUAUAUAUUUAUUAUUAUAACUAUAUCAUUAAAUCAAUUAGUUUUUACAUUAUUAUUUCCAUUCUGUUUUUUAUUUACUUACUUAAAUACUUUAAAUGCAUUUAUUUUAUUUCUUAUUUUUUUAUGAAAUUUCAAAACUUUAGACUAUUUUUUUGUUACUAUAACCCUAAUUUCAUUCAUUUUAUAAUAGUUUUUUUUUAAAAUAUUUCUUAGAUUAAUUCCCUCGAUGUUAUUUUGUAUAUUUAUUUAUCUUUUUAAAUUUUCGAUAUUGUCUUAUUGUAUUAUUGUUGUUACUAUCAUUAUUCAUUAUUAUUGUUGAUUUUAUUCUUCUUUGAUUAAUGUUUAUGUUAGAGUAAUAGGUGUUAUGUGAUCAUUGUUAUUAUAUGUUAUAAUUUGUUGACACUCGUAUUGUAGUCAUUCGUCAGCUUAAUAUUUUGAGUAACAUUUUAAAUAUUACAUUAAUUUUGACCCAAAUGCAUAAUUUUUUAAUAAGUAAUAUUUCGUAUUGUGGAAUUUGAGAGAUCAUUCCCUAACUUACGGGGUCUCGAUUUUUUUGAUAAAUCUGAAUAUAAGAACUAUUUUAAAAAAAUACGUUUUAAAAUUAUCUCGGGAAUUUAAAAAGAAGCGUGUUCUAACUUACGGAAUAUGAUCUUUUUUUAAAAAUCGAGAUAAUCAAAUAUCUUUCAAAUAAAUAAACUUUUCGUGUUUAUUCUCGUUUUAGGAUUUAAGAUAUUGUGUCCUAACUCACGGGACACAAUUCUUUUUCUCGAUUAACGUGAAAUACGCCCUUUUUAAUUUUAUCUUUUUAAGUGAUUUUAACAAAAGGAUUGUAUUUUAAAUCUCUUCAAAAUUUUCAAUUUUUCGACAUUGAGACAUUAACUAAUCAAUUAGGUACCAAUUUUGGGCGUUACAAGGGUGUUAACCCUUCCUUGUACAUAACCGACUCCCGAACCUAUUUUUCUGAAUAUUAUAGGCCAAAAUUGUUUUAAUAAAUUAAACCCUUAAGAGGUGACUCGAUCACAGCUCAUAAAAAUUAUCGGUGGCGACCCUUGUUUUAAAAAAGGUGGUUUCAACAGCUUGGCGACUCCGCUGGGGACAAAAAUAAGAGUCAAGCCGCGAGUUGAUUAUUUCUUAUCUUUUUGUCAGAAAUUGUGAAUUCGAUUUAAAUUUAUGAUCUUUUCAUUGCAUUUUAUGGUCUGCAUCAUUUUUAUAUGCUUGCUUUACUACUUCGAGUCUUUUAAUCUUCGCAUAUUGUAUUGCAUAACCGUUCGGUUAUACCCUUUUAAGCGGGAGUGAGAAAUUAUUCUUUCGUGAGGUUUUCACCUUCGUAUAGGAUAGUGGAUUACUUUCAGGAUACAUCCAUACCUAUGUCUUCGUGAGAUUCUCAUCUCCGUAUAGUCAUAGGGAAAUGUAUUCCCCUGAACUGAACUCAGUCCGUAUGAGCCUAUAAUGGGUGAGGAUUGAGGAAUCUGCUGGUUCAGGUACCCUUUCUUUAGAACUAAACCGCAUGUAGUGAGCCCUAAGAGCAUACCCUAGGUAGAACCACUCCAAACCCCUAGUGGUCACCCAAAUAGGUGCUCUAUUUAUUUUUGCUUGCUUGUUUUUGCCUUGUACUAACCUAUUUGUUAUGGUUAUGAGUGCAUUGCAUUUUUAUCAUAAAAAAGAUGUGUUGAUUCACGUUCAGUUGCUAAAUAGAGAGCUUGUCAUGGAAAACGAAUUUCUUGAUAAAGUGGAAGACAAUGCGGUUGUCCGGAUAUGGUCCAAGAAAAUGUGAAGAAAGAAGGGUGAUAGUCUAAUGGAGGACUACACGACCUUGCUUUGUUGCCUGAUGAUUCAAGUUGACAAAGAUUAUUCGAGAGUCUUCAAUGUCCCGACCUUUUUAAAGAAGCUAACGAGCGUCACGAGGAUGAGCGAGUAAUGAGUUGCGGCCCGGAUCAAGCAAAAAAAAGAUAGAGGAGACACCCUUUUUGAAGAGUUCACGAGAUUUAUCUUAACAUCUAGACGAAGAAAAAGAUCAAUCUCUUUGCCUAGAGUAUGAGGGCAAAGCCGUAUAUAUCCGCUUUAUGUAAAUAAAUUUGUUUUCUAGUAAAGUUUUUCUAAUAGGAUUGAAUCAGAAUCAACGUCUCUUUUUGCAUUCAUUCCAUUCAUCUGCAUUGCAUUUCAUUGCAUCUAGAAUUUCACAAAAGGACCCUAAUUAAUCGAAAUUGUUAUAGCUACCUUGAAAAACUAACGAAAAUUUACCAAUUAAAUAUUCCUAUGGUACCCAUUGCAAAACUAAAGUAAUGGAUCAAAUAUUAGAAAGAUUAGAACAAAUGCUGAAGGAUAAACAUAACUGCUUUGGCUUAGGGUACAAGCCAGAUACAAGACAAAGAAGAAAUAGGAAAGGAGAACACGUUUGAGCGGGGAUGAGGUCAAAUGGGAGGGAUUAUUCAUCCCAGGCGAAGAAUGCCAAGAGAAGAAAAUAUUGAAAACAUGUUGGGAAACGUUCACAUCAAUGCCAUAUACGAAGAAGCAAUUGAAGGAGUGACCUUGUUAGAUAUCCGCCCUUAUGAACCUAAGAGUGUGCUAAACAAUUGGACUGCAGAAGAAAUUCUUGUAGUGUUUAGAGCUUACUCAUAGUAAUGUUCAGAACACACUUGUUGCUUUUAGCCUAGAAGUGAUAAGAAUCCCUCUGUGAAAUAGGCUCAUGUAUAAACAUCAUUAUUUUAAUGAAGUACAUCUUUGCAUUCAUUUUGAGCAAAUAUUCUUUUAUUCUUUUCAUACGAGUAAUUAUUUUGGAUUCUUUAAUUCUUUUGGGAUUUUCUUCCAAAAUCAUUCUUUUAUUACAUCCAUAAUCAUACUGUACAAAUAAUGUAAUAGCCUGAAUUUUCAGUGGUGUCGGAAUGGUGAUUCAAGAUCACUAAGUCUGACAAAUGAGUAGAAAAUAUUAUUAAUUUAGUAAGAAUAAGUAAAUGUGAAGUUAGGAAAAUUUUUGAAAUAGUGAAUAGUGUACUAGGAAUAAAUAUUAAAAUAAUUAAAAUAAAAAAUGAGGUAUCGAGACCUCGAAGAUUUUAAACCAAGCCAUAAGUACUUUUAGAAGUAUUUUUAGAGUGUCAUUGAGUUGGUAUUAAAGUUUCGUUAGAAAAUUUUAACGCUCGGAUAGUUAAUUAACCAAAAAGGACUAAAUUGAAAAUAGUGUAAAAUUUGUUAAAUUGUGAUUAAAUAGCUUAAGUGAUUAAAAAGGAGGGAUUUAAAAGGCAAUUAGGCCCAAAUUAUAUGGGCUGGACGGUUGGGUAAGAAAAAUCAGCAGAAUGUAAGGAGAAACAGGGGCAAAAUUGGAAACUUAACAAAUUAAACAUAUAAAACAAAGACAAAAGUGAAAAAUCUAGAGAUCUGCUCACAAUUUAUCAGCAAAAAUGCCAUAGGAGGUCUGAAAGAAGCUGGUUUUUCAUAUAUUUGAAUCAUGUAAGUUUAAUUCUUGAUUAUUUCUUCUAAUUUUUGUGAUUUUGAUACUUUUACAAUUAGGUCCAACUAAUUAUUUCAUUAGUUUUUGAUUUCAUGGCUGAUUUUGAAAGUUACCAUUGAUGAGUGUUGGAUUUUUAUGAUGAAUAAACAUGGAAUUAAAGCUUUAAUUUUGUUAUAUGAUGAUUUUAUUAAGUAAUUUUGAUAGAAAUUGAUUUUUGGGACCUAAUUGUGAAAAAGUUUGGAAUUAGGGUUUGGUGUUGCGGUUUUGAAUAUGAAAGUCUAUGUAGUAGUCUAAAAUAGUUGGAAAAGGUGUUAAUUGAGAAAAAUUAGAUCAAUUGAGGGGUUAAUUGAGUAGGACCAAAUUGUAAAAACUGUAAAGUUUGAGGUAAAAGUGUAAUUUCGAAAAUUUAAGGGCAUAAAUUGUGAAGUGAAUUAGAAUAGAAUUAUAUGCUGAUGAAUGAAUAAAUUUGUAUUUUAGAUCGAGAACCCGAAGCAAGCCGAGGAAAAGAAAAAGUAGUUGAUUAGUCCCUGAACUUUUACAAAUUCUGCAAAUCGACCCAGGUAAGUUCAUAUGGCUGAAAUUUAAUGAUUAAAUGUUAAUUUCAUGAAUUAUGUAAUGUAUGAUGAAAUGUAUUUAGUGUUGAAAUGAGAGUAAAAUAAAAAUGCGAAAAUCGAAUAAAUGAUCAAAUUAAGCGGAACGCCGGAUUUGAGUACUUCUGAUCAAGAGACAAAGUGAUAAGUGGUAGCUUUAGCUACACUUAUCUGAUCAAGUGAAAAAGUGAUAAGUGCUACACUUAUCUGAUCAAGAGACAAAGUGAUAAGUGGUAGCUUUAGCUCACUUAUCUGAUCAAGUGAAAAAGUGAUAAGUGCUAUACUUAUCUGAUCAAGUGACAAAGUGAUAAGUGGUAGCUUAGCUACACUUAUCUGAUCAGGGCCAAAUGAUAAGUGAUCAUACGUAAGACCAUAGUUAUACUAUGGCCAAGUGAAAGUGAAGUACUCAAUUUUCCGUAACCGUUCCUUAAUUUUGAUCAAGGAUGGUAAGUGACAAAUAGGCCCAAAGAAAUUAUGGUAAAAGAAUAAGUAGUAGUGAGUUUAUACCAAGGAACUCUCCAAAGAUUGUGGUUGACAAGUAAACUUAGUAAUGGUGUAUAUUGUAUAAGUGUACAAAUGUUUGGUAAGAUUUAUGUUUGUGCCUAUGAACUUACUAAGCUUUUCUAUAAGCUUACAUGUGUGUGUUUAUUGUUUUUCUAGAUUAACGUAUUUAUACAUUCGGAGGAUCGGAUCUACUUCGAGAAUCACACUAUCCAGAUAUACUCCGGUAGAUUUUGUUAAACAACUUUUUGGAUUUAUAUGGCAUGUACAUAGAAUUGAAGUAAAAAGUAAUAGAAUGAAUGACUGAGUAUGCAAAGUAAAUUUGAAUGUGAUGGUUGUGUUAGAUAUUGAAAAAUACAUGUUUUUAGUUUGAAAUGGUUGAUUGGCUGAACUUCGUUAGUAUUCAAGUGAAGUAGUUGAAAUACUGGAAUUGGUUGUGAUUUGAAAUUUGCAGGGAAGGUUAGAUAAAUAUAAAGGGGUUAUAUUGAUUUUUUUUAAAAAUUUCAAUGGAAUAAUUUUUGGACAGCAGCAUUGAUGUAACUUUUAAAAAUCACCAAAAAUAGUGGAAAUAGAAUUAGAAGUUGAAUGAGAUAUGAAAUUAAAUCUGAAUGAGUCUAAUUUCACAUGAAAGAAGUAGAAUAAGAAAAAGAGUUAUAUAUUUUUAGAUAUUUGAAUUUUAGUGAAACAGGGCAAGAAUGUUUUUGAAGUCCCCUGUUCUGACUUUAGAAAUUUAGUAAAAAUUGUACAAAAGGAAUUAUGAAUUAUAAUUUAUAUGUUUAAAUUCCGUAAUGAGUAUAUUUUAAGUAGAAAUAAUUGGAACCACCAUAUGAAGUCUUUGCAAUGAGAUAAUUGAAUUUUAGCGACAAGAGGUCAGGAUAGUCAAUUAGUGAAAUAGGGGAGACUUCAACUAAUAAACUGUAUUAAUUUGCUAAACCAAAAAUUCUGAAAAAUUUAUGGUGAAUAUACAUAUGAGUCUAGUUUGAGGGAAAAUUUACGGAUCUAAAUUUUUAGUUUCGUAUCUUGAGUUAUAAUUAUUUUAGUGACUACUGCGCAUGUGGACAGCUUUGUUGUGAAUGGUGAAAUUAAUUUUUAAAGUAAAUUUUUAUGCCCCGAACUUUUAAGUUCAGUCAAGUAACGCCUUAUGCUCGACUCCGGCAACCGUCUUGGGUAAGGGGUGUUAUAAAUAAUUAUUCUUAAAUUCAUACAUUCUUUGUAUAUUAUUUUGUACCUACAAUAGGUCCCUAGAUAUUAACAACAUGAGUGACGUUGCUACAGACUCAGAAUUUCCUUUUAAACAAGACAUGUGUUUAGAGGGAUCCCAUGGCUUUGAAGAUGACGUAGACUGUGGCUUAUCUCUGAAUUUGUUAAGGAUGGUAAAACAAGAGGAGAAGCAAAUCCUACCUCACAAGGAAUCAAUGGAAAUUGUGAGCUCAGAAGGGGGAAAAGAGGUGAAGAUUGAGACUAACAUUGCCACAAAGACAAAGCAUGACCUCGUUGAGUUACUCCAAGAAUUUAAAGAUGUCUUCGCAUGGUCAUACCAGGAUACUCCCGGGUUAAGUACUGGCAUUGUAGUACACUACCUUCUUAUAAAAGAAGAUUGCAAGCCAGUUUAGCAGAAACUCUGAAGGAUGAUGCCUGAUAUUGUGCUAAAAAUAAAAGAAGAAGUUAAAAAGCAAUUUGAUGUUGGGUUCUUACAAGUGGUUAAAUAUUCAGAAUGAGUAGCCAACAUCGUCUCAGUCUCUAAAAAAGAUGGGAAAGUACGAAUGUGCAUAGAUUACAGAGACAUGAACAAGGCCAGCCAAAAAGAAAAUUUCCCAUUGCCUCACAUUGACACUUUGGUGGAUAAUACAGUAGGCUACUCACUGUUUUCCUUCAUGGACGACUUCUCUGGAUACAACCAGAUAAAGAUGCAUCCCAAAAACAUGGGAAAGACUACAUUCGUGACCCUAUGGGGAAUGUUUUGCUAUAAAAUGAUGUCAUUCGGAUUAAAGAAUGUGGGAGCGACGUAUCAAAGGGAAUGGUAACCUUGUUUCAUGACAUGAUGUACAAGGAAAUCGAGGUUUAUGUUGGCGAUAUGAUUGCAAAAUCCAGAACAGAAGAGGAACAUGUGUAGGCCCUAAGAAAAUUAUUCUUAAGACUGAGAAAGUUCCAGCUCAAGCUUUCCAACGAAAUGCACAUUCAGAGCUAGGUUAGGAAAGCUGUUAGGCUUCACAGUUAGUGAAAAAGGAAUCGAGAUCAACCCAGAUAAAGUCAAGGCGAUACGAGAUUUACCUCUACCAUGCACUCAGAAGGAAGCUCGAGGUUUCCUAGGAAGACUGAAUUACAUUGCUCGAUACAUUUCACAACUAACCGAAAAAUGUGACACCAUAUUAAAAUAAAAAUAGAUUAAAUUGUAAGUAAAACAUAAUUUAAACAUAUGAAUACAUCAAAUUAAUAAUACUAAAUGAAUACAGUUAUUUAUGAUGAUGUUGUUGCCAAUUCCUAAUUUGGUGUCUAGUUAAUUUGUGACAUCAUAAAUUUAAGUGAUAAAUUUAAGGUUUUAUGUAUUGAUGUGGAUUCAAAUAUCACCAUAAUUUUUGUAAAUAAAAAACUAAUAAGAUAACUUAUAUUAAGUACGAAAGGGUAUUUUUAUAAUUUCUCUAAUCGAGUUGGUGCCCGGUUGACUCAUGACACUAACUCAAUCAGAAGCUUUAAUAAUAAUAUAGAUAUUCAUGUUAAAAAAACAAAAAAAAAGUACUUUAGUUCCAAAUAAUUAUAUAACAAGUAAAUUUAUAAUUGAUGAAUAAAUUUAUAAAUAAUAUAUUUAUAUGAUCUAAUAUAUUAUAUUUAUAUUAAUUAUAUAUCAUCUACAAACUUUGAAGAUCAAUUUAUUAAGUAAAAAUGAAAUUGUUAACACUAAAUCAAUUUUUAGAUUUUGUAUAGAUGAUUUAGUGAUGAUAAAAACAUUAUUAACACUAUUUUUUAAUUAACAAAAAAUUAGUGAUAUAUUUAAAUUAUAUUUAUCAUUUAUUAUUUUUAAUAAUAUUUUUUAAUUAUAUGAAGUAAAAUUAUAUUGUAUACUAAAUAUGGUACAUAUACUCUAAUUAUAACUUGAAAUUUUAUUAUAUAAAUUAAUAUAAAUUUGAAUAACAAAAUAAAAAAAAACUAAUUAGAAUAAUUUUAAAAAACAUUAUUUAAAAGUAGUUAAAAAUCACGUGCAACAGGUGAGAUCAAUGGUCUUUAGAGAAGAAAUGUUGAAGAUCAAAGUUGGAAUCUGGCCUAUAAGGCCUUUAAUUGCUUUAAUAUUAAGCAGUUCCAAACCAAGAAGAUUACCGAUUUCCUCAGGAAUUUGACCUGCACACAUGGUCGAAAAAUCAAUGUGUCAAACUACCUAUUUUGUUAGCAUAAGUCAAAGAGGUUUUCUUUUCUAUUCUACAUAAUUUGCAGAUGUUAGAUUUUAAUAUUUUUAAGCAUAUUUGUUUUCAUCAAAUUAACUAUUUUGAACUAUUUUGCCUUGAAUGAAAUAAAAUGCUCUUACUUUUGUUAUCUAUUACUAAUCAAACUCUUUUAUAAAAAAAAUACUUUAAACUAAAGAAACCAAGAAAAUUCAAUACCUUCUAGGUUAUUCAACCCCAAAUAUAAUUCUUUGAGUCGUGUCGGAUUUCCAAUACUUCUUGGAAUGAUCCCCAUCAAUUGAUUAUAGGAAAAUGACAAAAUUUUAAGGUUGUUGCAUUUGCUUAUACUUGACGGAAUGUUACCAUAUAAUUCAUUCCGACUCAAGUAAAGCCCUUCAAGCUUGGAAAGAUGUGACACAUAUCAUUAGGCAAGCUACCUGAUAGGCUAUUGUUGGAGAGAUCAAUGGCCUUCAGAGAAGAAAUGUUGAAGAUCGAAGUUGGAAUCUGACCUGUAAGGCCUUUAAUUGCUUUAAUAUUAAGCAGUUCCAAACCAAGAAGAUUACCGAUUUCCUCAAGAAUUUGACCUGCACACAUGGUCGAAAAAUCAAUGUGUCAAACUACCUAUUUUGUUAGCAUAAGUCAAAGAGGUUUUCUUUUCUGUUCUAUAGUAAUUUGGUGAUGUUAGAUUUUAAUAUAAUUCAGCACAUGUUUUUCAUCAAAUGAAAUAAAAAGUUUUUCCUUUUGUUAUCUAUUACAAAUCAAGCUCUUUUAUUAAAAAAAUACUUUAAAUUCAAGAAAUCAAGGAAAUUAAUUACCUUCUAAAUUAUUAAACCCCAAAUAUAAUUCCUGGAGUCGUGUUAGAUUUCCAAUACUUCUUGGAAUGAUCCCCAUAAAUUGAUUAUGGGGCAACAACAAAUUUUUAAGGAUGUUUCAUUUGCCUAUGCUUGACGGAAUGUUACCAGAUAACUCAUUGCUAUGCAAGUGAAGCCCUUCAAGCUCGGGAAGAUGUUGACACAUAUCAUUAGGCAAACUACCUAAUAGGCUAUUCCUGGAGAGAGCAAUAGUCUUGAGAGAAAAAUGUUGAAGAUCGAAGUCGGAAUCUGAUCUGUAAGGCCUUUAAUUGCUUGAAUAUUAAGCAUUUCCAAACUAAAAAGAUUACCGAUUUCUUCAGGAAUUUGACCUGCAGACAUAGUCGAAACAUCAAGGUGUUAAAUUUCCUAUUUUGUUAGUGUAAAUCAAAGAGGCUUUUUAUUUUUUUUCGUUAUGAAAUAAUAUGGAUAUGUUCGAUUCUAAUCAUAUUUAAGUAUAUAUUAGUUCUUGAAAGAAUGAGUUCUUAUUUUUGGUAUUUAUAUUGCAAAUAUAUAUUUUUUUAAAUUUAAAAGAAGGGAGGGGGCAAAUGUGUUUAAACUAAAGACAUCAAGGAAAAGGCAUACCAAGUAUAAUUGUUUAAGUUGUGUCAAAUUCCCAAUGCUUUUUGGAAUGAUCCCACUAAAUUGAUUAAUAGACAAUUCCAAAAUUUGAAGGUUGCAGCAUUUGUCUAUACUUGAUGGAAUAGAACUUGAUAAUUCAUUUCUACUCAAGUAAAGCUCUUUCAGCUUGGGAAGAUGGACACACAAAUCAUCGGGCAAGCCACCAGAAAGACUAUUAUCACAAAAAUGAAUCCUUUUCAAAGAAGAAAUGUUAAAGAUGGAAGAUGGAACCUGGCCAGAUAAUUGAUUGAAUCCCAAGUUCAAGAUCUCUAGAUUGGACAAGUUGACAAGUGUUUGAGGGAUCGUGCCUGUGAAGUUAUUAUUUCUCAUUUCCAACCUUUGAACUCUGUGCAAGUUCCCAAGCCAUGGUGGAAUUUCCCCAUUAAGACGGUUGUAGCUUAAUCGAAUGAUCCUCAAACGAUGCAAUUGGCCUAAUUCUUUAGCCAGAUGGCCGUAGAAAUUGUUGUUGCUCAAGUCGAUAGAAAAUAGAAAUGAAAGAUUUCCAAGGUGUGGAGGGAUAGUACCCCUAAGAUUCAUGUUUGUAAGAUUAAUCAAAGCUACAACUCUUUCAUGGAUGAUGCCACAAGAAACACCAACCCACUUACAGACAGAGGUAGAGUUCGUCCAAUUGUUUGCCAACACAUUUUGAGGAUCGACAAUGCGAUCUUUAAACUCAAAGAGUGCAAACUGAUCGGAGUUGAGAUUCCGGACUGUCAUAGCCAAGGAAACAAUAGAACAUUGUAUGAAUAAAAGUGAAAGAAGAUGAAAGCAAGUGUUGUAGUUCAUGAUGGCAAGACGAAAUAAGCCAGGAAAAGGGAAGUUGAAUUGAUGAAGAAAUAGCCAGCCAACAUGCUUAAAUAGGCUUCAACCCUUGCACACUUCUCAUACAUAAAGUUCGCUGCCAUUACAACAAGAAAACUCAUAUCUCCAUUCGUACCUAUCCAUACUUUAUUUGACUAACUUUUCCCUAACAAGUGUUCAGUAAGGAGAUAAAUCAGUUUGGAGCUAUUCACCGGCUUCUCCAAUCUUGGUUUCAAACUCCUAACCCAUCAAUUCACUUUAAUUGAAACGAUAUACACGAGUCUUUCGGCUUAUAUUUUUAAUUUAAUUUUUGUUACUUUUCAUAAUAUUUUUUGAGAAAUCCAAAUAUUCCAGUCUGAAAUUUCUUCAUUGCCACGUCUAUCUCCUGGGUAAGUCCGUGGUUAGGCAGCCCACUUUGGGAGCAGGAUUGUAAUUGUAAUUCUAUCCGACUCAUUUUACUAUUUAGAAAUAUAAAAGUAAUAUUAUAUUAUUUUUUAUAUUUUUAUAAAUUUAAUUUUAAUUAUAAUUUUUAAACAAUAAAACGAGUCAUUUGUAUUUGCCUAGUCUAAAUUGAAUCAGGAGUCAAAAAAAUUUUAAUCAUAAUUUACUAUUAUUUUAAUUAAUUAAAAUUUAACCUACUACAACUAGUAGUUGCAGAAAAAAUGUCAUUCCUUUAGAAAAACGAAAAUCCUUUAGAAAAAUGAGAACUUAUGAAGCAUUCAAUAAGAGUCAUUGGAAUAAAUGGUAACGAAAUCAUAAUUCAAUAUAAAGCUAAAAAAUGUACCAAUCUAUAUAAAUAAUGUAAGAUUUGUGAUACCUAAAUUAUUAUAUUUUCCAUAAAUAUAUGAAGAUAUUUUAUUAGGAAAUAAUUUUAUAUAUAAAAUUUUUUAUUUUCUUUUGAUAGAAAUUUAAUUAUGUUAUCUGUAGAAAAAAAUAUUUAUAGAAAUAUUAUUAGUAGAAAAUCAUAAAUUUGUGUGUGGCAAAAAAAAUUCACCACCAAGAAAGGGGCAAAUUAAACAACUUGAAACAAGUCAUUGGUUGUUUAAAAUAUUAGAUAAUAAUUUCAGUGAAGAAUCAUUAAAAUUAUGACAAAAUAACCCUAGAUAUUGUAGUAUUAAAUUGGAAAAUCUCAAUAAUAUUAUUAGAGUAAAACCUAUGAUCUAUCUAAACAAGAUAUAGAAGAUUUUGAUAUACAAAUUAAGGUUAGAAAUCAUGCGGAAAUAAAAAAGAAAAAAAAGCUAGUAUGGUCAUUAAUUAUAAAAGAUUAAAUCAAAAUAUUAUUUUUUUAUAGUUACUUGAAUUAAUCAGGCUAAACAAACAAAAUAUUUUAGUAAAUUUGACUGCAAAUCAGGAUUCUAGCAAAUCAUGAUAACAGAAAAGUCCAAACCUUUAACGGCUUUUAGUGCACCCAAUGGACAUUACCAAUGGAAAGUGAUGUCAUUUCAAUUAUGUGAUGCACCACAAAUCUUCCAAAGACGAAUGGAUUUUAUAUUUAAUAAAUAUAAAAAAAUUCUAUGUAGUCUACAUAGAUGAUAUUUUUUAUAUUUUUAGAUACACUAGAAUUACAUAAGAAACAUUUAAAUAUUAUUUCUUAAGAAUUCAUAAAAUAUAGAAUCAUAUUAAACCCUAAAAAUAUAGAGUUAGAAAAAAGAGAGAGAAUUUUUAUAAUAGUGGAAAUAAAAAAUUGUCCUCAAAAGAUUGAAGAAAAAAAGAACUUCCAACAAUUUCUAAUAUAUUCCUCCCAAAUUUUCAGUUUCAAUUUUAUUACAGAAUUUCUUUGCCGACAAUAAGAAAUUAAGAGCGCUCUUUAAGUUGAAUAUAGUCCGUCAGAUAUGGCUAUCUAUAACAUGGAACCUUUGGUUUUCAAGCUGAAUAGGAGAAUUGAUUCACUUGAUAAGUAUGAAAAAUUGAAACUGCUAAAUUUAAGUGCACUAACUCUGGAUAUCAUCAUUAUUUUUCUGUACAUUAAAGUACCUGUUUGAUAUGCGAUUUCUGCCUCAAACUAUCAACAUCUUUAACAUCCUUUUGCUAUAGUUAGCAUGGGUACUUCCUUUUAGAUUAACAGUUAGGUUUGAACUGUGAAUUAGAUUUCUGUGGCUGCUGGGAUUGAAGAAGUUAGUAUGCGAAUGACAUUGGACAAAUUUGGCAAAGUCUUCUCCAUCAGUGAAGAAAACCCCUUGGCGUAUGAAAAAUGUUCACCAUCUUAGACAUUUGUUUUCUUAUUGUAAGAAUAUUUUUAACAUUGUAACUUUUAACAUUAUUGUAAGAAUAUUUUGAAUUAUACUUCAGUUAUCAAUUUAUAUCAUAUAUCUUUUGUUGAAUUUGAAGUAUAAUUUAUAUUUGCUGUUUUUGGUUAGAUUUCAUGCUAUAGGAAGGGUUGUAUAUGGAUAGAAAUUGAAUGUUACAAAUCUGCCAAAGUUAGUGGCGUUUUUUCAUAAGAGCUGCUAAAGAAUGCUAUUUUUGGCGGUGUUUGUAAUAAAAGAGCCGCUAAAGGUCAUGUUCUUUAGCGAUGUUUGUGGGUAAAGCGCCGCUAAAGAUCAUGUUCUGUAGCGGUGUUUGUGGAUAAAGCGCCGCUAAAGAACAUGACCUUUAGCAGCGUAUUUUCACAUAAACGCCGCAAAAUUUAGCGGCUUUGUCUAUAGCGACUUUUUUUGCAGCGCUUUAAGUUUUAGCGGCGCUUUUAGGCCUAAAAAAGGGCCGCUAAAAGCCUGUUUUGCUGUAGUGAGCAUAUUUACAUUUUCGUCCCAAUUUCAACUAACACCCCAUCUAUUUCCCACUUCCCUUUUUCGGGCAAUUUCAACUAACACCUUCAUAUCAAACAUAACUAUUUUUCAAUUUUUCUUCUUUAUUUCAUUAAUAAAAUUAUCAAUCUAUUUGUUUUUAAAUAUAUAAUUUCAUUAAUAUUUUUUAAAUUAUAAUAUAAGAGUUGUUGUUUAUUUAUAGUUUUAUUACAUUAUUUACUCUCUCUUUUCUAUCAAGUUUUUUAAAUUAUAAUAUAAGAUUUAUUUUAUCAAUUUGUGGCUUAUCCAGUAUUCAUCUAUUUUAAUAAUAACUUGAGUUCCAGUCAUUAUCAUACCAGAAAGAGUUCCAUUUAUUCUUUAUCGUAAAUUUUAUAAAAAAAUAUACAUUUUAUUAUAAUACUAUAUGUGUUACGAAUAAUAUUUUAUUGUGGAUGCCCAUAAUUUUCAAAGUUGUAACCUCUAAUGUAGUAACCUUAAUGAAAUUAUGAGGCUUUUAUAUUGUAAUCAAGCCUCUAUUUAUUCUUUGUAACUUAAACAGAAGCAUAUUUUCUAUUAUAUUGAUAUUUUUUAUAGAUAUAUAUAUAUAUAUAAGGAAUCAAAUAAAAAGUUAUUUACCUUUCUAUUAUAUUGAUAUUUUCUAUUUGAUUUGUUCUUUUCUUUCACUAUUCCAUAAUAUAUUAUCAGUACGAUUUUAACCAAGAGUAACAUGUUAUUAGAUUGUGUCAAAAUUUUGUUGAGAAUCAUUAGAUUGUUUCCUUUUUCUUCUAUUUAGCCCCAAAUUGCACCCCUACACAAAAUUCAACAAAAACAUGGAAAAAUUAGUGGUGCACUCUCAUAAAUUAACCAAUUUAAUUACAUAAAAUAUGUAACUUUAGCAUUUUAUCAAUCAUGUUCUUUAGCGGCAUUUGUGGGUAAAGCGCCGCUAAAGGUCAUAUUCUUUAGCAGCGUUUGUGAUAAAAGUGCCACUAAAUAUCAUGUUCUUUAGCGGCGUUUGUGGAUAAAGCGCCGCUAAAGAACAUGACGUUUAGCAGCAUUUUUUUACAUAAACGUUGUAAAAUUUAGCGGCGUUGUCUAUAGCGACGUUUUUUGCGGUGCUUUCAAAUAGUUUUAGCGGCGCUUGUAGGCCUAAAAAAAUGCCGCUAAAAGUCUGUUUUGCUGUAUGAGCAUAUUUACAUUUUCGUCCCAAUUUCAACUAACACCCCAUCUAUUUCCCACUUCCCUUUUUCGGCCAAUUUCAACUAACACCUUCAUUUCAAACGUAAUUGUUUUUCGAUUUUUCCUCUUUAUUUCAUUAAUAAAAUUAUCAAUCUAUUUGUAUUUUAAAUAUAUAAUUUUAUUAAUAUUUUUUAAUUAUAAUAUAAGAGUUUUUGUUUAUUUAUAGUUUUAUUAUAUUAUUUACUCUCUUUUUUCUAUCAAGCUUUUUAAAUUAUAAUAUAAGAUUUAUUUUAUCAAAUGGUGGCUUAUCGAGUAUUCAUCUAUUUUAAUAAUAACUUGAGUUCCAAUCAUUAUCAUACCAGAAAGAGUUCCAUUUAUUCUUUAUCGUAAAUUUUAUAAAAAAAUAUAUAUUUUAUUAUAAUACUAUAUGUGUUAGGAAUAAUAUUUUAUUGUGGAUGCCCAUAAUUUUCAAAGUUGUAACCUCUAAUGUAGUAACCUCAAUGAAAUUAUGAGGCUUUUAUAUUGUAAUCAAGCCUCUAUUUAUUCUUUGUAACUUAAACAGAAGCAUAUUUUCUAUUAUAUUGAUAUUUUUUUAUAGAGAUAUAUACAUAAGGAAUCAAAUAAAAAGUUAUUUACCUUUCUAUUAUAUUGAUAUUUUCUAUUUGAUUUGUUCUUUUCUUUCACUAUUCCAUAAUAUAUUAUCAGUACGAUUUUAAUCAAGAGUAACAUUUUAUUAGAUUGUGUCAAAAUUUUGUUGGACUUCAAGUAUUGGAAUUUAAUUGUUUAAGUUAAGAAUCAUUAGAAUCAAUGGCUAUUUGAGAUAUGCUUGAGGAUGAUCUCAUUCUCUUCAUCACAAAGGUGGAGGUUAGAAAAUCUUUAUGUUUAAACAUUUAUAGCUUUAAAGUUAUUUUAACCUCUUAUUGUGACCUUAUAAUAUUUUGUAAUUUUUUGUAUUAUGGUAUAUAAAAAAAAUCUAACCAUAGUGAUUGAUUAGUAAUAUGAAUUUGUUAUUUGUUAUGUUUAAUAUAUAUUUUAUUUAUACUUAUUCAUUUUAUUUUUAUAUGAGUAAAUGAAGUGUUUGAAGAUUCGAAAUUUUUAUCAUCCAAGUUGAAAAUAAGUGCAAAAGUGUACAUUAUUUAAAAUAAAUUACGCAUUCAUUAAUGUUAUAUGAUAAAAUCAUUACAUGUUCUAAAGAACUAAUAUUGCAUCAAACUGUAAAAAGCUCUUGAAGAGUUAAUAUUUUACCUCCUUGUGAUACAAAAUCAUAUACAAUAUGAUAUUAUUUUUCAAAUCGAGUAGAUAUAUGUUGAGGGAAAUCUUUAUGUGGUUUACAUUAAAACCAUGGAUAGAAAUGACAUGAGAUACUCGUGUAUUUUUAUUAUAAAUAUUCCUUGAAGGAAGACACUUCACUUGUAUGAUUGACAUAUGAGAUAGUGGCAAGAAGUUCAUAGUGUUGGUAUGGUCGUCUAGAUCAUCUCAAAUCAAUAAUGAUGCAAAAUAAUUUGAAGAGAAUUUAUAUGAUUUUAUUGAAGAAUGAGAAGAUAUUUUCAUUUUGAUAAUUGUCAUCAAUACUAGUUCUUUGGAAAAAAAAUAUUGAACUAACAUAAAGUUAGAGGUUGGUUGCAUUUUUUGAUGAUAUCCAAAUAAUAUAUGAGCUCAUGUAUCACAUGUAUGCAACCCAAAGUUUACAGUAUUAUUUCUUGAAAUAAUUUGAUUCUACACAAUCUCUAUAGUAUGCAAUUUGUGCUAACAACGUUGGUGCAUUAUAUCCUAAGCUUGAUUUUCGUAGUUUUAGCUGAGAUAAUAUUAAGUUGUCUAUGCCUAUAUAUGUUAUACUUAAUGGUUAGCAAAAUUGUGCCUCCAUUUAAUUGCUUAACCAUUAAUAUAAGAAUAACUUUAAAAUAAGCAUGUAAUUUUAUUUGCAUAGAGUCAACAUGUAAGAAACAUUUGCCCCAUGAGAAUUGGCUUUCAUUUAUAAGCCAAUAGGUUUCAUAUGACUAUUUGGAUGUAAAAUAUCUAUUUUAUAUUCCACCAUAAUGCACUAAGAUGGUCCAUCAAGUAUGAAGUUGAGAAAAUUUAGAAUUUUUAUUUGAUGGUAAAAGUUGAAAAGAGAUAUAUACUUAUAAUUUUGAAAAAAAUAGUCAUGUUGCAAAUUUUUCUCAAUAUUAGGGGGAGACAAGUUGGACAAAUAAGGAUAAUUAUGUCAUCACUUUUUGUGAUCCCUCACUAAUAUUAUGUGCACAAAGUUUGAAGGAAAAAAGUAUUUGCUAGACAUGUUUAGUGAUGACACUUAGAGAUUGUAUAUACUAGAUGAUACAUAUACCAGCUAAAAUGUUCCAAAUAAUUAUGAGUCCUAGAAGGACAUAGUGAUAAAAAUAAUUUUUGGGCACGCUAGAAGGAUAAAAAACUAGUUCAUUCUAUAAAUCAAAAAAUUCUUGAAAGAAAAGAGUAAGAAAUGAAGCUGGCCACACAUUAAAGGAAACGAGUACUCAUGAAGAGACCUAAGGCAUAACUUUUAAUAAAACCCCAAAAGAGGUUCAAUACAUGGAAUUAUGAAUAUAAUAAGAUAUCUCGAUUAGUUAUAUCAUAACUAAAGAUGAUGGGGUUGAUAAAAGGAAAUUGUUGUUAACAACGAUAAUCUAAGUAGAACAUUUCAAUAUUAUGGUAAAAUGAGUAUUUUGAAUGAAAAUAUACUUGAAAGUAUUUAGAUGGGAACAACUCAUCAAAAUAAAUAGACGUUUCUAUUAUAACUUAUGAAAUGUGUCUCGGACAUGAAGUCCAAACAUUCGACAGGUGUAAAGCCAAGUGGAGUAUAUGUUAGCAUAAUAGUGAAAAAAUACAAAUCAUAAUAUAUAAAAUUGACUUGUAAGACAAACUUUCCCAAGACACUUGAUUUUGAUUAUGAAAAAUGAUUAAUUUGUGAUCUUAUCAAUUGAACAUACUUUGUAUAAUCAACAAAUUAUUAAUUAACCUCAUUUAACCAAUUUCCUUCAACACAUUUCAAAUCAAAUUAAUGUGUUGAGCACGCCCUUAACCCUUUUUCUUGAUUCAUUGCAUAGUCUAUUUCCAAGUACCAUAAUCAUCAACAUUUCAAUAUAUAAAGUCAUAACAUAAUGAAUCAUAGUUAGAAUUUUUUUUACCCUAUUAACCAAGUAUGGAACAAAAAUAAAAACCUAAUUUGUCAAGCUCAUUCAAUCAGCUUAUAUAUUAUAAGAAGAGCCUAAGUAUAAAUCCUAUACAUGAUUUCAAAUUCAACUAUUUAUAUUUGAGAUUCAAUUUAAAAUUCAUACUGAAAUUAUCAAAUUAACUCGUAAGCUACUCACGCUAAACAUUAAGGUACUCGAAUUCAAGUGGCUAGAUAUCAUAAACACUUUUAGCUUGUAAAACUAUUUCUAAGGGUCAGCCCAGAAUCAUGGUUGAACCCAAAAUCUGGUAACAAAAAUUUAAUUGAGCCAUCAGCCUAAAACAAAUAAGGCUUAAAAGGUUGGCACCCGAACAAUCAAAGAUAAACACCACCAUAUGCCACUCCCUGAAUCCGAUACAUACAAUAACACCCUUCACCACUUUUAUUCUUCUCCUUUUUUUUAACCUCAAUUUGGAUGGUCGCAUUUCUCUUUUUAGUGCUUUAUAGGGUUUGGGCUUUCAGAAUCCUCAGAGAUGCAAUUCAUGGAUCCCUCUAAGAAAUGCAAGCUUGAUGAAAAUGGUAUUAUUUCAACGGCAUCAGAACCUGACCCAAUCACCAAACUAACCCCACAAGAUGGCCGCAAGCUAAUCGAGCAAUUUAUCGUCGAUCAACUCCUUGACGUCCUCCAAGAUGCUGUUUGUUGUCACCUUGAUGUUCUUUCCGCCGUACACUCUAUUGCCGAUCAAGAUCCAUCUCAAAGGAAGCUUUUCAUCCGUGGUUGGGUUGGGAUACUACAACCCAACCCAACCCACAUUAGCAUACUACCAUGCGGUAACUUCUAGUGAUUUCUGUCUGUAACAUUAGACAGGUUAACAGUUAAAUCGUUCAACUGAAAGAUUUCUUUGAAGGAAGAGGUCAAUUGAUUUUUUUUGGAAUCAUUGUGUACUCAGUUGCAUUUAAGACGGGUAUCAUUCAUAAAGUAUAUAUCUACAUCAAGAAUGGUAGCCUCUUAUAUUAUAUUCAUGUAUUUAUUUUGCAUCUUUAAUUAUAAUAGGAUUUUUUUUGUUUAUUUAUAGUUUUAAUUAUAAUAUUUUUUAAAUAUGCCAAAGUAAAUUAUGUACCAAUUUUAAACUUCUCCUAGGUAAUUUAACGUAAGGGCAUUUAUGUUAUUUUACCACUUAUGAUAAAACUAACCUAAUUUUAGAUCUAAGUGUUUACCAACCUUCUUUUAGUCAAAUUAUGCAAGCCUAAAAUUUUUAGCUUAAUUUGAGUUUGUUUACUAUGUCUAAUUCAAGUUUUAUUAUUAAGAACUAAAUUGUAACUUAAACAAAUUAGAAUACCAAUUUAAAGAGACAAAAAUUCAAAGCCCCAAAACCCACACGGGCAUGUGGGUAAGUGACACAGGCGUGUGGAAACUGGAGCUAUCACACACGGGUGAGUGGGACUGAAAAAUAUGAAAUAAAUUAAUCCAUUUAAAUUUCCAACAACCAUGCUAUACUACCAAACCAAAUAAUGUUAGAAGCUUUGAAUAGGGGCGAAUCUUAAAAAAAAAUAGAAGAAUUAGAAUUAAAUUAUAAAAUUUUGAGAAGUUGUCAUGUAUUAAUUUAUUAUUUUUUAAAGGGUCUUAAUAGAUUUUUUUUCCCCAUUUUGGUUUGGCCAAUACCCCUGUCUGCCUCUUUCAAUUUGCUUCAACCCUUAGCCCAAUAUUCGAUUUGUUGUGGAAGUUUGACGCAUAAAAAUUCCUUUUUUAGAGGUUUAAAUUAUAAAUUUUUAUUAACAAAAUAUAAAAGAAAAAAACAUGUGUAGACAAGCCAAGAAACCUUUGGGAUCAUACAGGUGAUUUUGAGAUGUUCAUGGUUAUUUUGGUGGAGAGGGUAAAAAAGAAACAAAUGAUUCAUUAUAUAUGAUAUAAUUAUGAAAUUCAAGCCAUAUAUUGUAUGUUUCAUCCAUACAAAUUUCUUGUAGCAUUAAAUGACUCGUAGGCUUGCUGAAUUUCUUUGAAAGGCCCAAAGGCAAUUUAACAUUCACAAAAUAAUCUCUAAAUAGUGUAAAGACAAAUCAAAUCCACAGUAGCAUUAGAGUUGAUUAAGCUAAGCAUUGGCAAAUAUUACUUUGAUUUUGCAUGCAAUAUUGGCAAAACCCCCUCUUACAUUAGAAAAACAACAUAAUCCAUGAAACAUUGAUAGCCCAAUACAAAUUUCAUCGAGAAAAAAGUCUCUUUGUUUUGUAGAACAUGAUAGUAAAGAUGUGGAGUUUCGUUCUUCUUAUUGGCCUCCUUUAGUUUUCCUUGAUCAACAACCACUAGCCAAAAACACAAUUAGAUUAGAUUAUGAAUGAUACUUUCAACUAUGACAAUAUUAAAUACAAACCACUCUAAAUAACUCUAAAUAAAUGGAAAGCAGCAAAUUACCAGACGAGGCAAGCUAGCUCAAUUAAGACCAUUGUGUUAUACUUGUCUCUGAAUUGAAAAAUUUAGAAGGAAAUAAAGAGAAAGACUUAGAAAAUACUUGAAAACAGAAAAAAAAAUUAUGUCAUUUAAAAUAAAAAAUUUCUAUUCAAGCCAUUUAAAAUUUGUAAGAUUUUUAAAAUUUUAAAAUGAUAAAGGUAAAAUUGUACUUUGGCACCCCAAAAAUGAUAAAACUUUGAUUUAAUUAUUUAAAAAUUAUAAAAAUAUAGGCUAUUAAAAUGGUGAAAUUAUAUUUUUACUAUAGUAAAAAUUACAAUUUAAUUUCACCCCUAAAAGGAUUUUCUGGCUUCGCACCUAAUAAAAUCUUUGGCAAAAGACUAAAAUAAAAUUAUACCAUGAAUGGAAAAAGAAACUAAUAAAAUCCAAUCUAACAAAGAAAAUAACUUGAUGUCCAAAAGCUACCAUAAACCGUAAUUCAUGGGAAGGCUUGUUGCUUAUUUUAUUGGUUUCCAUUUUGAAAGAAGUUUGAAUUUUGAAGAGAGCCUACUACGUGAAAGCAAAAGAAAAAAAAAUAGUUUAUAUGAUUAAAAUUCCAGAAUAGAUUAAAAAUGUUGAAUUAAAGAUAAAAUUAAGUGUGAAUUAAUAACCACAAGUGUACUCUUUACUCACCAUCUCUGUUAAAAAUGUUGGAUGUUGUUUAGCAACCUUUGUUUGAUUUUCUUCAGCUCAACCACAACAUCUUUCAUAUCUUUUCUUUCUUCUGGUAACUCAGCUGAACAAUUCAAAGCCAACUCCAUGAUAGAUGAAAUACAAUUUGCUUUAACAACAAUGUACUCAUCCUCUCUUCUUAAUAAAUCAACAUCUGCAAUUUCUAUCGCUCCUUUAGGCAAUGAUCUUUCCAUCCAAUGCCUUAUACUCUCUUCUUCAACAAAAACCUUAUCAGUUGGCUUUUUCUUUGUGAAAGUUUCUAUAAGGACGAUCCCAUAACUAUAGACGUCAGAUUUUAUAGAAACAAUUCCUGCUGAUCCAAAUUCUGCAUUUCAAGUAUAAUUAGAACAUCAUUCAUCCUCAAUUAUUUCUAAAACGCUUAUUCAAAUAUCUAUCCACAUACACGUGAAACAAAAAUAUAAAAUACAAAUUAGGAAAAUAAUCAUACAAAAAUAAAAAAAAGAAUUCACCUGGUGCCAUAUACCCAAUAGUUGCAAGAGUCAUGGUUUGCUUCAUUACUUCACCUUCUCCCAACAAUUUGGCAACGCCAAAAUCUCCAACAUGUGCAACCAUGUCUUCAUCUAGUAAAAUAUUGCUUGGUUUUAUGUCACAAUGAAUUAUAGGUGUUGGAUGUCCAUUGUGGAGGUGUUCUAUAGCUACCGCAACAUCUAUCAUUAUGUCGACCCUUUGUAUGAUACCAAGGAAACAAUUUUCAGAAUGUAACCAUUUCUCAAGGUUUCCAUUAGACAUGUAAUCAAGCACCAAGGCUUUGAAGUCAACACUUGAGCAGUAAGUAAUGACCUUCACAAUAUUACGAUGAACUAUAUUAAGCAUAGCAUCACAUUCAAUGUCAAAACUCCUAAAUGCUCCCUCUGUUUGCAAAUUGAAAACUUUUAUUGCAACUUCCAUUCCAUCUGAAAGCCUCCCUUUAUAUACAUAUCCAAAACUCCCUGAACCAAGCGUAUUGCUUUCCUCAAAUCCAUUAGUUGCUCGUGAAAGUUCAGCAUGUGAAAUUCUUCUCAGUGUCUUCAAAGACAACAAAUCAUCUUUAACUGGUAGAGCUGUACUCCUUUGGCAUCUUCUAUACAUAAUAGUUAAGACUAUUAGUACUAGGACAAUACCAAUUGUUGGUAAACCAUACCUAAAAGCAUGCAAUAUAAUCAUUUGGGAGUUUUUGUGGAUGUCAUUUUUGCAAGGUGGGACUAGCAAUCUAGGUGGACCACAAAGUGCACAAUUAUUCAUGAAUGAUGUGCUAGAAAAGUUUGAAAAACAUCCUUUGCUGGGAAUUUCCCCUUCAAGUCUAUUGAAAGACACAUUAAAAUACUUUAGAUAUAAAAGCUUUUCCAAAGAUUUGGGAAUGACUCCAGAGAGAUUGUUAUUGCAUAAAUCCAAGAAUUCCAAACUAAUCAACCCUUCAAAUGAUUCAGGGAUAUGACCAUAUAGUAUGUUAUUUGAUAAAUCUAAUGAAACCAAAGUUAUAAGACCCCCAAAUGUGGAUAAGAUAUCGCUCGUGAGAAGAUUCCUUGAUAAAUUUAGUCUCAGUAGACUCCUAAAAUUUCCAACAUCAAUAGCAUGUGAAUUGUGAAGACGGUUUGAUGAUAAAUCUAUUUCUAAGAUAUCUUUAAGACUCCACAAAGUUGAGGGUAUUGUAGAACUCAAUUUGUUGGAACCUAACCAAAGAUAUCUCAAAGCAGAAAUAUUACCUAAACAAGAGGGUAUGGAUCCAUGCAGCUUAUUCAACCCUAAAUACAUCUCGUAUAGUCUCUCCAAACCACAAAGGCUUUCUGGGAUAGGCCCUCCUAAUUUAUUAGAGGAAAGACCUAGAAUUUGGAGAUUUCUCAUUCCUCCUAUUGAUGCUGGAAUCAAUCCACUUAAUUUAUUAUACCCAAGAUCUAAAAGCAAUAGGUUGGUUAAGUUACCUAUUUCCAUAGGAAUAAUGCCUUGAAGCUCACACUCUGUGGCAUGAAAGUAUUGAAGGGAUUUUGAAAGGUUCCCGAAAUAAGUAGGAAGAACGCCACUCAAUGGAUUUCCUGAAACAUCUAUUAUGCUCAAAUUCCUACAAUUCGUCAAAGAAGAAAGAAAGCUCCACUCAUGAUCAGUAGCAGAUCCUGUGAUCAAAUUAUUGUCAUAGAUUUGGAGCCAUACAAGUUGUCUUAAGCUGCCAAGCGUUUUAGGGAUUGGGCCAGAGAAUGAGUUAUCUCCCAAGUCUAGUUCCUUAAGCAUGGAAGCAUUGGAGAUAGAGUUGGGAAUGUUUCCGCUAAGUUUAUUUCCCCACAGUAAAAGAAUCUGAAGCUUUGGAGCAUUGGUAAUGGGUGGUAAAUUACCUGUAAAAUAGCAUCUUUUAGAAAACAUUCACAAAAUAUAUAAUACAUUAAAAUAAAAACUUUAAAUCAAUUAAGAAUAAAAUUUUGGCAUGGAAAAAUGUGAUGAAAUCAAUUAGAAAGUUGAGACAUAAUAAGAAGUUUUGAGUAGUAAUUAGUCCUUGUGAUUUGUAUAGACAAAACAUAUAAUACACUGAUAAUUUUUUUAAAAUAUUGUAAAACCUGAAAUAAAAUAAAAAAUAAAAGUUUGGCACGAGAAUGUGGCAUCUAAUCAUUCUUAAAAAUAAGACUAACAUUAAAUAAUAAUUAGUUAUGAUUUGAGAAACAAAAAUGUUAAAGAUGUAAACUGGUAUGAUUUUUAUCUAUUGGGUUAAUUAUUUAUUUUUAUUAAAUUAUAUAUAGUGUAAAAUUUAAAGAUUAUUAUUUGCUCAAAAUUUUUGUAUUUUAGGAUUUUAGGAUCGCAUUUAAUUCAAUUGUAUUUAAGACCUCAUGAAUUUAUUCUAUAAUUUGAGUCUUUUCAACCUUUUGGGAAAUAAUAAAACAUCGACAUUAAACUUGUUGUUGAUGCAUUCAAUUUGAUUUUUUGAGGGGUCAUUGGAGUUAUAUGUGAAUUUAGCAUUGAUUGACUUUUUUAGAAUUAAUCUUUUAUACCAAUUUAAUAACAUCGACAUGUUUUUGGGUAGGGUCGAGCAAAACCCAAUUAAAACCGAUGAAAUUGGUUUAGUUAACUCGGUCAAGUCCAUUAGAUGGAUAAAAUCAAUUUUAAAAUCAGUUAUUAUGGAUUAAGGUAAUUAAUUAUCGAGUAAUGAAAUACAUAAUCAAAUCAAUUGAUUUUGUUAGAAACUAAAAGAAAGUGGGAUAAGCUGAAAACUGAUUGCCCUUUUUUAGAAUUAAGGAAUCAGCCUUUUACAUGUUAGAUAAUAUGAACACCCCAUAUAUAAUAAGAAAAAUUAUGUACGAUUAUUUAUUAUCAUAAAUGGUUAGUUUAAAUUUAAAGUAAUCUAAUAUGUGUGUUGAACUUCAACUAUUACAUAAAGUAUAAGCUAAAUAUGUAUAAAUAUUCUAGAAACCAUUUCUAACUGAUGAUAGGCUAAUUUGAAAUUAAGAUUAAUAUAUAAAAACUAGAUAGUAGGGUUAUAGUCCUCAAACUACACCUAAUUUAAUAAAAUCUAUAGUUUUUAUAGCCUUAAACAUUUAUAGAUUUUGUUAAUUUGGUCCUUACUCUUUAAAAUUACAUAAAAAUUGCAAAAAUAUUUUAGAAAUACAAUUUUUUCGUAUUUUUAAUAACAUUUAUAGUUUUUUUUUUGGUUUGGUAACUUAUCAACUCGACUCUUAAUUGUAACCAACUUUUCUGAUUUUUUCGUACCCUUAACCUAAGUCCCGUUACAACUUUCUAAAGACCUCUUGAUUGGUGUAUCAUCUCGAUUUGUUCUUAUAGUGGUGGGGAUUUGGUUUUCAAGCAAGCCUAUGCUAAUCACAUUUUUCGUUCAACUAUUGAGCACACAGUACUUGAACCUUAAACACUUUGAGUGCUUUGAGUGAAUCUUAGUUAGGGUAUUGAUUAUUGUUGAGUUUGAAUUUUAGGUAAUUAUUGAGAUGGAGGAGAUGCCUAUUUUUUUGUGCUUUACAAAUUUCUGCUUAGAUUGCUUUUAUUCUUUAGUUUCAUGCUAGUUUCAAUUUCCAGUGCAUGAUUAUCUAUAGAUUAUUCAUAAGGCAUUGUCGGUGAAAACAAUAAAUUGAGGGAGAUUAACUUGAAAUAAAUUGAGGGAUAUUAACUUGAAUAAAGGUUGAGAAUUUUGCUUAAGGACAAACAAAUGCUUAAGUGUGGGGAUAUUUGAUAAGUGCUAAAAUUGAUAUGUUUUAACAUCAUUCUUAAUGUGUUUUUGGUUGAUUAUUCGAUGUUAAUGAUGCUCCUAAUCCUUACAAUUCGUGUUUUUAUGCUUAAUAGAACAUUUGGGAGGAAAAUGAGCUAAAAAUGAACGAAAACCUGAAAAUGGGGGCAAACUAUAGGACAUGGGCUGACCUAUUCCUCAUGACCGUAUGACUCACACGAUCAUGUGGUAGGUUGUGUCGAUUUCGUAGAUUUGCACUCUGAACUGUAAAAAAAGAAAAUUUUAGAUUUUUUGAGCAUUUUAAUACGUAUAUAUGAAAAAAAUAAGAAGAUAGGAGAGAACCUUCCUAGAAUAUUUAAGAAAACAACUCCAAAGACACUAUUGAAGUCGACUCUGAAGCAAAUUUUCCUCAAGAUUGAAGAUUCCCAGUUGGUUUCUUAAGAGAUUAUCAUGAGUUUCUUUAUUUCUUCUGGUUAUACUGCCCUUUGGAUGUUUUUAUUUUUAAGCAUGAACUAAUUUUCUAAAUACCGAAUUAGAGAGAUGAACCCUAUGAUAGAUUGUGACACCCCAAACCCAACCGGAUAGACCCGCCCGAAUUCAAAGCAUUUCAUUAGCCACCUAAGUGACUCUCCAGCUAACGACCACCCAAGACACACCUCGACCUUAUAACACCUCAAUCUUAUCUAAUUACUAGUUAUUUAUUAAUGUAGAAGUAAAUUAAUAUGAGCCAAUUUUAAACUUUUUCUAGGUAAUUUAACCUAAAGGCAAUUUUGUCAUUUUACCACCUAAUGUAAAACUAACCCGAUUUUAGAUCUAAGUGUUUACUAACCUUCUUUUAGUCAAAUUAUACAAGCCUAAAAUUUUCAGCUUAAUUUGAGUCCGUUUACUAUGUCUAAUUCAAGUUUUAUUAAUAAGGACUCAAUUGUAACUUAAACAAAUUAAAAUACCAAUUUAAAGAGACAAAAAUUCAAAACUCCAAAACCCACACGGGCAUGUGGGUAAGUGACAAGGGCUUGUGGGAUUGAAAAAUAUGAAAUAAAUUAAUCCACUCAAUUUUCCAACAACCAUGCUAUACUACCAAACCAAAAAAACACUUGAAGUUUUGAAUAGGGGCGAAUCUAAAAAAAAUUAGAAGAAUUAGAAUUAAAUUAUAAAAUUUUGAGAAGUUAAAAUAUAAUUUUAUCAUGUAUUAAUUUAUUGUUUUUUAAAGGGUCCUAAUAUAAUUUUUUUCCCAUUUUGGUUGGGCCAAUACCCCUGCCUGCCUCUUUAAAUUUGCUCCAACACUAAACCCAAUAUUCGAUUUGGAUUAACAACAACAUAUAGGUUAGUAUUUGUGGGAGUUUGACGAAUAAAAAUUCCUUUUUUAGAUGUUUAAAUUAUAAAUUUUUGAAAGAUUAAAAUAAAUUUGUAUUUUUUUAUUAACAAAAUAUAAAAGAAAAAAAAAUAUGUUUAGACAAGCCAAGAGAACUUUGGGAUCAUACAGGUGAUUUUGAGAUGUUAAUGGUUAUUUUGGUGGACAGCGUAAAAAAGAAACAAAUGAUUCAUUAUAUAUAAUAUAAUUAUGAAUUUCAAGCCAUAUAUUGUAUGUUUCAUCCAUAAAAAUUUCAUGGGAGGUCCAAAGGUAAUUAAAUGACUUGUAGGCUUGCUGAAUUUCUUUGAAAGGCCCAAAGGCAAUUUAACAUUCACAAAAUAAUCUCUAAAUACUGUAAAGACAAAUCAAAUCCACAGUAGCAUUAGAGUUGAUUAAGCUAAGCAUUGGCAAAUAUUACUUUGAUUUUGCAUGCAAAAUUGGCAAAACCCCCUCUUACAUUAGAAAAACAACAUAAUCCAUGAAACAUUGAUGGCUCAAUACAAAUUUCAUCGAGAAAAAAGUCUCUUUGUUUUGGAGAACAUGAUAGUAAAGAUGUGGAGUUUCGUUCUUCUAAUUGGCCUCCUUUAGUUUUCCUUGAUCAACAACAAUUAGCCAAAAACACAGUUAGAUUAGAUUAUGAAUGAUACUUUCAACUAUGACAAUAUUAAAUACAAAACACUCUAAAUAAAUGGAAAGUAGCAAAUUAAGACCAUUGUGUUAUACUUGUCUCUGAAUUGAAAGAUUUAGAAGAAAAUAAAGAGAAAGAGUUAGAAAAUACUUGAAAACAGAUAAAACUUAUAUGUCAUUUAAAAUAAAAAAAAUUUCUAUUUAAGCCAUUUAAAAUUUUUAAGAUUUUUUAAAUUUUAAAAUGAUAAAGGUAAAACUAUAUUUUGGUACCCAAAAAUGAUAAAACUUUGAUUUAAUUCUUUAGAAAUUAUAAAAAUAUAGGCUAUUAAAAUGGUGAAAUUAUAUUUUUACUAUAUUAAAAAUUACAAUUUAAUUUCACUUGCUAAAAGGAUUUACUGGCUUCGCCCCUAAUAAAAUCUUUGGCAAAAGAUUAAAAUAAAAUUAUACCGUGAAUGGAAAAAGAAACUUAAGAAAACCCAAUCUCACAAAGAAAAUAACUUGUCCAAAAGCUACCAUAAACCGUAAUUCAUGCGAAGGCUUGUUGCUCAUUUUAUUGGUUUCCAUUUUGAUUUUGCAAAAGAAGUUUGAAUUUUGAAGAGAGCAAAAGAAAAAAAUAGUUUAUUAAUUUUUUACGAAUACCGACAUAUUAUAUACAUGAUUAAAAUUCCAGAAUAGAUUAAAAAUGUUGAAUUAAAGAUAAAAUUAAGUAUGAAUUAAGAACCACAAGUGUACUCAUUACUCACCAUCUCUGUUAAAAAUGUUGUUUAGCAACCUGUGUUUGAUUUUCUUCAGCUCAACCACAACAUCUUUCAUAUCUUUUCUUUCUUCUGGUAACUCAGCUGAACAAUUCAAAGCCAAUUCCAUGAUAGAUGAAAUACAAUUUGCUUUAACAACAAUGUACUCAUCCUCUCUUCUUAGUAAAUCAACAUCUGCAAUUUCUAUUGCUCCUUUAGGCAAUGAACUUUCCAUCCAAUGCCUUACAGUCUCUUCUUCAACAAAAACAUUAUCAGUUGGCUUUUUCUUUGUGAAAGUUUCUAUAAGGACGAUCCCAUAACUAUAGACGUCAGAUUUUAUAGAAACAAUUCCUGCUGAUCCAAAUUCUGCAUUUCAAGUAUCAUUAGAACAUCAUUCACCCUCAAUUAUUUCUAAAAUGCUUAUUCAAAUAUAUAUCCGCAUACACAAGAAACAAAAAUAUAAAAUGCAAAUUAGGAAAAUAAUCGUACAAAAACAAAAAAGAAUUCACCUGGUGCCAUAUACCCGAUAGUUGCAAGAGUCAUGGUUUGCUUCAUUACUUCACCUUCUCCCAACAAUUUGGCAACGCCAAAAUCUCCAACAUGUGCAACCAUGUCUUCAUCUAGUAAAAUAUUGCUUGGUUUUAUGUCACAAUGAAUUAUAGGUGUUGGAUGUCCAUUGUGGAGGUGUUCUAUAGCUACCGCAACAUCUAUCAUUAUGUCGACCCUUUGUAUGAUAUCAAGGAAACAAUUUUCAGAAUGUAACCAUUUCUCAAGGUUUCCAUUAGACAUGUAAUCAAGCACCAAGGCUUUGAAGUCAACACUUGAGCAGCAAGUAAUGACCUUCACAAUAUUACGAUGAACUAUAUUAAGCAUAACAUCACAUUCAAUGUCAAAACUCCUAAAUGCUCCCUCUGUUUGCAAAUUGAAAACUUUUAUUGCAACUUCCAUUCCAUCUGAAAGCCUCCCUUUAUAUACAUAUCCAAAACUCCCUGAACCAAGCAUAUUGCUUUCCUCAAAUCCAUUAGUUGCUCGUGAAAGUUCAGCAUGUGAAAUUCUUCUCGGUGUCUUCAAAGACAACAAAUCAUCUUUAACUGGUAGAGCUGUACUCCUUUGGCAUCUUCUAUACAUAAUAGUUAAGACUAUUAGUACUAGGACAAUACCAAUUGUUGGUAAACCAUACCUAAAAGCAUGUAAUAUAAUCAUUUGGGAGUUUUUGUGGAUGUCAUUUUUGCAAGGUGGGACUAGCAAUCUAGGUGGACCACAAAAUGCACAAUUAUUCAUGAAUGAUGUGCUAGAAAAGUUUGAAAAACAUCUUUUGCUGGGAAUUUCCCCUUCAAGUCUAUUGAAAGACACAUUAAAAUACUUUAGAUAUAAAAGCUUUUCCAAAGAUUUGGGAAUGACUCCAGAGAGAUUGUUAUUGCAUAAAUCCAAGAAUUCCAAACUAAUCAACCCAUCAAAUGAUUCAGGGAUAUGACCAUGUAGUAUAUUAUUUGAUAAAUCUAAUGAAACCAAAGUUUGAAGACCCCCAAAUGUGGAUAAGAUAUCGCCCAUGAGAAGAUUCCUUGAUAAAUUUAGUCUCAGUAGACUCCUAAAGUUUCCAACAUCAAUAGCAUGUGAAUUGUGAAGAUGGUUUGAUGAUAAAUCUAUUUCUAAGAUAUCUUUAAGAUUCCACAAAGUUGAGGGUAUUGUAGAACUCAAUUUGUUGGAAUCUAACCAAAGAUAUCUCAAAGCAGAAAUAUUACCCAAACAAGAGGGUAUGGGUCCAUGCAGCUUAUUCAACCCUAAAUACAUCUUGUAUAGUCUCUCCAAACCACAGAGGCUUUCUGGGAUAGGCCCUUCUAAUUUAUUAGAGGAAAGAUCUAGACCUUGCAGAUUCCGCAGUCCUCCUAUUGAUGCUGGAAUGAAUCCACUUAAUUUAUUAUGGUCAAGUUCUAAAACCAAUAAGUUGGUUAAGUUACCUAUUUCCAUAGGAAUAAUGCCUUGAAGCUCACAAUUAUAGGCAUGAAAGGAUUGAAGGGAUUUUGAAAGGUUCCCAAUAUAAGUAGGAAGAACGCCACUCAAUGGAUUUCCUGAAACACCUAUUUUUCUCAAAUUCCUACAAUUCGUCAAAGAAGAAAGAAAGCUCCACUCAUGAUCAGUAGCAGAUCCUGUGAUCAAAUUAUUGUCAGUGAUUUUGAGCACUUCAAGGUGUUUUAAGCUGCCAAGCAUUUUAGGGAUUGGGCCAGAGAAUGAGUUAUCUUCCAAGUCUAGUUUCUUAAGCAUGGAAGCAUUGGAGAUAGAGUAAGGAAUGUUUCCGCUAAGUUUAUUUCCCCACAGUAAAAGAAUCUGAAGCUUUGGAGCAUUGGUAAUGGGUGGUAAAUUACCUGUAAAAUAGCAUCUUUUAGAAAACAUAUUCAUUGAAUACCAAAUUCACAAAAUAUAUAAUACAUUAAAAUUAAAACUUUAAAACUUUAAAUCAAUUAAGAAUAAAAUUUUGGCAUGGAAAAUUGUGAUGAAAUCAAUUAGAAAGUUGAGACAUAAUAAGAAGUUUUGAGUAGUAAUUACUCAUGAUUUCCAUAGACAAAACAUAUAAUACACUGAUAAUUUUUUUAAAAAUAUUGUAAAACCUGAAAUAAAAUAAAAAAUAAAAGUUUGGCAUGAGAAUGUGGCAUCUAAUCAUUCUUAAAAAUAAGACUAACAUUGAAUAAUAAUUAGUUAUGAUUUGAGAAACAAAAAUGUUAAAGAUGUAAACUGGUAUGAUUUUUAUCUAUUGGGUUAAUUAUUUAUUUUUAUUAAAUUAUAUAUAGUGUAAAAUUUAAAGAUUAUUAUUUGCUCAAAAUUUUUGUAUUUUUCGUAUAUUUGAAAUUUAAUCUUUAUAUUUUUUAUUUUCUGUGAUUUAGUCUCUCUACUUUUUGAAUUGAAAAUUUUAAGUUUAUUUAUUAACACUGUUAAAAAGUUUUUGUGUUAGUAUGGCAUUUUGAAAAAUAAAAUAAACUUGAUAUCUAUGUUUUUAAUUAUUCCAAAUACUGUUUUACUAUUCCAAGAUAAAUUAUUUGUGUCUAGACCAAUAUCUUAAGAACUAUUGUUGCAUGUUUAAUUAUUCUAAAGAAUUGUUGAUUGAGUCUUAGUUGAAGUGCACUAUUCUCCUAUUUAUGAAUUGGGGAGUUGAUAAAGUACUAAAUUUUGAUAUAUUUUAAAAAAUUAAAAAUUUAUUAAAAUAUUUUUAUAAAAAUUAAUUGUACCAAAAUAUACAAUUUUAAUAUCAAAUUUUUAAUUUUUUUAAAAAUAUUAGCGAAUAUAUACUUUAUUUCAAGUUACACAAUUUUUACUAGUUUUUAACUUUUUUUUUAAAUUUUUAUCGUCUUUUAUAAUUUCAUAUAUUUUUUUAUAAUUUUUUACAAUAUUUACAAUUUCUAACAAUUUUUAAUAAUUUUAUUAUUUAUUAUAAAUUUAAAAAUUAACAAAUUUUUAUUUUUUUAAAACAAUUAUAUAUUUAUAAUGUAGUUAUUUUUUUAUAAUUUUUUUUGAAAUUUAAAGAUUUUUUUGGUUUUUUCUAGAUGAUGAUGCCAUCAUGAUGUCAUCAUAUGCCACAUGGCAAUUUAUAAUUAGUUGACUAUCUCAAUCUAUUUUUUUAACGUCCAAUGGACUAAAACAAGAACACCUGAUAAUGUUAGAGACUACACUAGGAAUGUUUGAUAAUAUUAGGUACUAAAGUGGGCAAAAAAAAUUAAGGACUAUAUUAAAAAUAUAUCUAUAAUAUAUAUAAAUGCAUGGAUUUUGAGAAACUUUUGAAAUGACAAAUAUAUAGUCUUUGUUUUUUUUUACUAUAUUAUUGAAUUUUUUAUUUUAAAUAUUUUUUUAUUACUUUUAAGAUUUAUCAUAUGUAUGGAUAAAAAUUUUGGUUUUACUAAAAUAUUUGGUUAAAUAAAUUCACUUUAUAAAAAAAUUUAGCAUCCUUAUAAAUAACAAUUUUGAUUCCAUUAAAAAAAUUAUUUAAAAAUAUAUAAUAAAAAUUUAAAAUUUAUAUUGAAUCACUUUAUACUUAAAUUAUUAUUAGAAACUUUAUCAUACACAUAUGUGUAUGAGAACCACGUUUUCAGAACUUAAAUUUGUGUUCUAAAAUAACUUAUGAUAAAUAAUUAAAUGUAUAAUUUGAAAUUAUAUUGAAAUAAAAAUAGAUUAAAUUGUAAGUAAAACAUAUAUAAUUUAAACAUAUGAAUACAUCAAAUUAAAAAUACUAAAUGAAUACAUUUAUUUAUGAUGAUGUUGUUGUCAAUUCAUAAGUUGGUGUCGAGUUAAUUUGUGACAUCAUAAUUUUAAGUGAUAAAUUUAAGGUUUUAUGUAUUGAUGUCGAUUCAAAUAUCACCAUAAUUUUUUUAAAUAAAAAACUAAAGCACCCUCAAAUAAUAUAACUUAUAUUAAAUAUGAAAGGGUAUUUUUGUAAUUUCUCUAACGAGUUGGUGCCCGGUUGACUCAUGACACCAACUCAAUCAAAAGCUUCAAUAAUAAUAUAGAUAUUCACGUUUAAAAAAAGUACUUUAGUUCGAAAUAAUUAUGUAACAAGUAAUUUUAUAAUUGAUGAAUAAUUUUAUAAAAAUAUAUUUAUAUGAUCUAAUAUAUUAUAUUUAUAUUAAUUAUAUAUCAUCUACAAACUUUGAAGAUCAAUUUAUUAAGUAUCAGGAAAAGAAAAAAUGAAAUUGAAUUAACACUAAAUCAAUUUUUAGAUUUUGUACAGAUGAUUUAAUGAUGAUAAAAACAUUAUUAGCACUAUUUUUGAAUUAACAAAAAAUUAGUGAUAUAUUUUAAUUAUAUUUUUUAUUUUUUAUUUUUAAUAAUAUUUUUUUAAUUAUAUGAAGUAAAAUUAUAUUGUAUACUAAAUAUGGUACAUAUACUUUAAUUAAAACUUGAAAAAGUAUUAUAUAAAUUAAUAUAUUUUAAUUAUAUUCAACCAUUUGAAUAACAAAAUUAAAAAAAAACUAAUUAGAAUUAUUUACUUUUUAAAGUUUAAUGGAAAAUAAAAAAUAAAAAAUAAAUCAAUUCAUAUAAAUCUUAUUGUUUAUUAUCAGAUUAAAAUGAUAAAAGUAUAUGACAUACAUAGAAGAAACAAAUUCAACACCAUGUUUUUGGAGUUUGGAAAAAAUUAAAGUGAAAAACCUACCUUCUAAACUGUUGUUAAAUAGAUCUAUUUCUUCGAGCGUAGUUGAAUUAAAAAUACUUGAUGGAAUCUGACCUGCACACAUAGUCGAAAAUUGAAGUGAAAUCAAACUCUUUUGUGAAAAAAAUAUUACCAGAUAAUUCAUUCCAACCCAGGUAAAGCCCUUCAAGCUUGGGAAGAUGUUGACACAUAUCAUUAGGCAAACUACCUGAUAGGCUAUUGUUGGAGAGAUUAAUGGUCUUCAAAGAAGAAAUGUUGAAGAUCGAAGUUGGAAUCUGACCUAUAAGGCCUUUAAUUGCUCUAAUACUAAGCCUUUCCAAACUAAGAAGAUUACCAAUUUCCUUAGGAAUUAGACCUGCAGACAGUCGAAAAUUCAAUGUUUUUCAGCAUAUGUUUUUCAUCAAAUGAAAUAAAAAGUUCUUCCUUUUGUUAUCUAUUACAAAUCAAACUCUUUUAUAAAAAAAAUACUUUAAAUUCAAGAAAUCAAGGAAAUUGAUUACCUUCUAGAUUAUUAAACCCCAAAUAUAAUUCUUGGAGUCGUGUUAGAUUUCCAAUACUUCUUGGAAUGAUCCCCAUAAAUUGAUUAUAGGACAACGACAAAAUAUUAAGGUUGUUGCAUUUGCCCAUGCCAAAUGGAAUGUUACUAGAAAACUCAUUGCUAUCCAAGUAAAGCCCUUCAAGCUUGGGAAGAUGUUGACACAUAUCAUUAGGCAAACUACCUGAUAGGUUAUUGUUGGAGAGAUCAAUGGUCUUCAAAGAAGAAAUGUUGAAGAUCGAAGUUGGAAUCUGACCUGUAAAGCCUUUAAUUGCUUUAAUAUUAAGCAUUUCCAAACUAAGAAGUUUAAAUCAAUUAAGAAUAAAAUUUUGGCAUGGAAAAAUGUGAUGAAAUCAAUUAAAAAGUUGAGACAUAAUAAGAAGUUUUGAGUCGUAAUUAGUCCUUCUGAUUUGUAUAGACAAAACAUAUAAUACACUAAUAAUAAUUAGUUUGGCAUGAGAAUGUGGCAUCUAAUCAAUCUUAAAAAUGAGAUGACACUGAAUAAUAAUUAGUUAUGAUUUGGGAAACAAAAAUGUUAAAGCCAUUGCUUUUAAUGUAAACUAGUAUGAUUUUUAUCUAUUGGGUUAAUUAUUUAUUUUUAUGAAAUUAUAGUGUAAAAUUUAAAGAUUAUUUUUAUCUAUUACAAAUCAAACUCUUUUAUGAAAAAAAUAUUUUAAAUUAAAGAAACAAAGAAAAUUCAAUAUCUUCUAAGUUAUUCCACUCCAAAUAUAAUCUUCAGUGAAGAAAUCUUGAAGAUGGAAGAUGGAACCUUACCAGAUAAUUGAUUGAAUCCCAAGCUCAAGGACUCUAGAUUAGACAUGUUAACAAGUGUUUCAGGGAUUGUGCCUAUAAAGUUAUUAUUUUUCAUUUUCAGCCUUCGAACUCCCUGUAAGUUCCCAAGCCAUGAUGGAAUUUCCCCAUUAAGACUGUUGUAUUUUAAUCGAAGGAUCCUCAAACGAUGCAAUUGGCCCAAUUCUUUAGGGAGAUGGCCAUAGAAAUGGUUUCUACUCAAGUCGAGAGAGAGUAGAAAUGAAAGAUUUCCAAGGUGUGGAGGGAUACUACCCCUAAGAUUCAUGCUUUUAAGUUUGGAAACAAAUUCAACACAAUGUUUUUGGAGUUUGGAAAAAAUUAAAGUGAAAAACAUACCUUCUAAUUUGUUGUCAGAUAGUCCUAUUAUUUCGAGCAUAGUUGAAUUAAAAAUACUUGAUGGAAUCUGACCUGCACAUAUAGUUGAAAAUUGAAGUGAAAAACAUACCUUCUAAACUGUUCAACUAAAAAAACUUUAAGCAUAUUUGUUUUUCCAUCAAAUUAACUAUUUUGCCUUGAAUGAAAUAAAAUGCUCUUACUUUUGUUAUUUAUUACUAAUCAAACUCUUUUCUAAAAAAAAACUUUAAAUUAAGAAACUAAGAAAAUUCGGUACCUUCUAGGUUAUUAAACCCUAAAUAUAACUUCUGGAGUCGUGUUAGAUUUCCAAUACUUCUUGGAAUGAUACCCAUAAAUUGAUUAUAGGACAACGACAAAUUUUUAAGGUUGUUGCAUUUGCCCAUGCCAAAUGGAAUGUUACCAGAUAAUUCAUUCCAACUCAGGUAAAGCCCUUCAAGCUUGGGAAGAUGUUGACACAUAUCAUUAGGCAAACUACCUAGGUUAUUGUUGGAGAGAUCAAUGGUCUUCAAAGAAGAAAUGUUGAAGAUCGAAGUUGGAAUCUGACCUGUAAGGCCUUUAAUUGCUUUAAUAUUAAGCAAUACCAAAUCAAGAAUAUUACCGAUUUCCAAACCAAGAAUUUAUAGAAGAAACAAAUUUAACACAAUGUUUUUUGAGUUUGGAAAAUGUUAAAGUGAAAAACAUACCUUCUAAUUUGUUGUCAGAUAGUCCUAUUAUUUCGAGCAUAGUUGAAUUAAAAAUACUUGAUGGAAUCUGACCUGCACAUAUAGUUGAAAAUUGAAGUGAAAAACAUACCUUCUAAACUGUUCAACUAAAAAAACUUUAAGCAUAUUUGUUUUUCCAUCAAAUUAACUAUUUUGCCUUGAAUGAAAUAAAAUGCUCUUACUUUUGUUAUUUAUUACUAAUCAAACUCUUUUCUAAAAAAAAACUUUAAAUUAAGAAACUAAGAAAAUUCGGUACCUUCUAGGUUAUUCAACCCCAAAUAUAAUUCUUUGAGUUGUGUCAGAUUUCCAAUACUUUUUGGAAUGAUCCCCAUCAAUUGAUUAUAGGACAAUGACAAAAUUUUAAGGUUGCUGCAUUUGCCCAUGCCAAAUGGAAUGUUACCAGAUAAUUCAUUCCGACUCAAGUAAAGCCCUUCAAGCUUGGGAAGAUGUUGACACAUAUCAUUAGGCAAACUACCUGGUAGGCUAUUGCUGGAGAGUUUAAUAAUCUUCAGAGAAGAAAUAUUGAAGAUGGAAGAUGGAACCUGACCAAAUAAUUGAUUGAAUCCCAAGUUCAAGAUCUCUAGAUUAGACAUGUUAACAAGUGUUUCAGGGAUUGUGCCUGUAAAGUUAUUAUUCUUCAUUUCCAGCCUUCGAACUCUCUGUAAGUUCCCAAGCCAUGAUGGAAUUUCCCCAUUCAGACGGUUGUAGCUUAAUUGAAGGAUCCUCAAACGAUGCAAUUGGCCAAAUUCUUUAGGGAGAUGGCCAUAGAAAUGGUUGCUACUCAAGUCGAGAGAGAGUAGAAAUGAAAGAUUUCCAAGGUGUGGAGGGAUAGUACCCCUAAGAUUCAUGCUUGUAAGAUUCAAAGCUAUAACUCUUUUAUGGAGGAUGCCACAAGAAACACCAAUCCAAUUGCAAACAGAGGUUGAGGCCGUCCAAUUGUUUGCCAAGACAUUUUGAGGACCGGCAAUGCGAUCCUUAAACUCGAGAAGUGCAAACUGAUCGGAGUUGAGAUUCCUGACUGUCAUACCCCAGCAAAGUCCGGAACAUGGUAUGAAUAAAGCUAAAAGAAGAUGAAAGCAAGUGUUGUAGUUCAUGAUAGCAAGACGGAAUAAGCCAAGAAAAUAAAAAAAAGUAGGACAAGGGAAGUUGAGUUGAUAAAAUAGUUUGGAUGAUGAAGAAAAGCCCAGAGAGCAUGCUUUAAUAUGUUUUGAAGAAAUUUCAAAAUAAAUUUCAAAAUAAAUUUCAAAAUAAAAAUUUAAAAAGGAAAGCAAAGUUUUGAAGAAAUUUCAAAAUAAAUUUCAAGUCUUCUUCUUUAAAAAAUACGUACAAAGAGCGAAUUUUCAAAAUUUUUCCUAAAUUUUCUUCACAUUACUCCACAUAAUCCAUUAAAAAAACUUAAAAAAUAUAUUUUAUUAAUUACUAUACAUUCUUUUAUUUUCAGAAUAAUAAAUUGUUUAAAAUUUGCUAUUAGUCCCUAUAAUUUAAAAGUUAAAAAAAAUUCAAUCCUCCUACUUUUCUAAUUUAAAAAUUUUAGUUCAAUCAAUUUUAAUUUUAAAAUCUCUGUAUAAAAGGUGUUUUUUUUGUGACCGAUCACACUUAACCAAUAUUUAAAAAUUAAUAAAAAAUAUUUUUUUUUGAAAUUUAAAGUGAUCUAAAAACAUAUUUUUAAGUGCUUUGGACCGUCUAUUGUUGAUUUCCUUAUUAUAUUAAGUGUUUGCAAUCACUCCUAAUAUAUUGUGCUUGAGUUGUGACAAAGCCGAUCAUCAAAUUGCCAUAAUGAUCUAUUGAUGCUGAAAUUGAAGUUUUUGUUAUAUUGAUAGAGCUUGUCCUUCAACGCGUACAACGUGUUUGUUAUUUUUCUCCCUUCAAAUUGUAUGAUCUUAUUCAUUAAAUGAAUUAAUGAAUUUCCCUUUUAAAAAGAUAUAUUUUUAAAAAUUAAAUACUUUAUAAAAUAUUUAAAAAUUUGUAAGCCUUAAAACAAUCAACAAAAUAUUUUUGAAAUUUUAUAAAUAUAUUUUAAAACUAUAGUAACGCUACAAAAUAUAUAUAUUUACUAAUUAUAUGCACCUUUUUUAUUUUUAUUUCCUAACAUAUCAUUAUUUUCAACACUAUCGUAAUCCUGUUUUGAUAAUUCCCUUUCCAUACAUCCUUUUUCUACAUAGAAUUUCAAAAGAAAAUGUGAAUUAAUGUAAACGUGAGAAGACUUAAUUACAUUUAUUAGUUUAUCAAUCAAAACUUAAUUAGAAUCCAUCAAUAUUUCACACAUCAAAAACCCAAACAUAAAAUUCACUUUUAAAUUAUUUGAAGAUACAUUUGUAUUAUAGGAAAUCGAUUAAAUUAGUCUUUUAUUAUUAAAUGUAUUAUUUUAAUCUUUGUAUUAGGUAUGAAUGAUAUCUCCUAAAUUGAAGCCAGAGCUAUUCUUGAAAGACUGAAAUUAGGAUUCAGAUGUGUUGAGAUGGAAAGUGACAACACAAUGUUGAUUGAAACUAUUUGUAACAGGUUGACUACAAUAAGUAGUGCUGCCGAAGUAAGACAGAUUCACGAUUGGUGUUCCAAAAAUUGGGAAGUCAAAUUUAGACAUAUUCAGCGGAAUGCCAAUAAAGUUGUUGAUUGCAUAGCUAAGGCAAAUGGAGGCGUAAUUGAGCAGCUGGUUAUCUUGGAAGAUCCUCUGCAUUAUGUGAGAUGGUAGCUUGAAGAAGAUAUUAGACAGUCACUAGUGACUGAUGAUAAUUUUCAUUUGGACUGAUGAGCGCUUAAUUUUCUAAGCUUAUGUUCAACAAAAAAAAUUUUAACUACGUUUAAAUUGUAAUAGAGUUAACAUUUAGUGUUUAAAAAAUAUCUUAAAAAUUAUUAUUUUUUCCAAUUGCAGUUCAAUUCCACAAAUAUCGACGAUGAAUCCGGACAUAAAAAUUAUAGAAAAAAAACACAUCUAUUAUCAAACCAACAAUCCAUGUCUAAACUUAAAUUAACAAAAUUUGCCACGCAACGCCCAGUACACUAUUAUAUAUAUACUAGAUUUAUUCUAGAUGCACAUGUUUUAUUAUAUUUAAAAUUUAAAAUAUAUGGUUGACUAAGUGUUAGUUGAGUUAGUAUUGCUAUUAUUGUCAGUGUAAGGAAAUGUGAGUUUAAUUGCGCUCAAAUGUGUUUUAUCCUCCAAUUCAAGGGUUAGGAAAAGGUUAUUGAUAAUUAAGUUAUACCAACUUUUAUGAUAUUAAAAAAAGGAUUUAUAAAUAAUAUAAGGAAAAGAAAGAAAGAGAAACAUAUUCAUAUUGAUGGGCUCUUUCAAUAUUAGACUUUUUUUUCUAUCACAAGUAAAAAUAUCAAAGGUGAUAAUAAUUAAAUUAUAAAAUUUAAAUUGAGAAAAUAGGGGAUUGAGUUUAUAAGUUUUAAAGUAUAAAGAAUGAAUAUAUAACUAACAACAUAUUUUAACCACAUAAUAAAAGUAGUUAUGGUAAAAUAAUGACCUGAAUAAUUUUAAACGUCUCAUCCUUGCAAAAAUGAAAUAAUAGAAAAGAAAUAAGUGUUGGGUGUAGUGGCAAUGUACAUCAUACUUCUAAGGGGAGAUUAGGGUUUUAGACAAGGGAAGAAUUUUAAACUUGCUCUUUUCUCUAGAACUCAACGCAAACCUCAAAUUUAUCUUUUUAAAAGAAUUUAAAAAUAUGUAUAUAAAAGGUGAUUUUUUUACCGAUCACACUUAACAAAAUUUUAAAAAAAAAUGAAAUUUAAAGUGAUCUAAAAACAUAUUUUUAAGUGCUUUAGACCAUCCUGUGCUGAUUUCUUUAGUAAUUUGAUUUGUUCAAUAUAGAUUUUGGUAACUUAAAACAAAAUUAAUAAAAAAUUAUUUUUUUAGAUAUCUUUUUAAUGUUUAAUAAUAAGUUAAUUUAUAAAAUAUACUUUCAUUGGACACAGGGCCUCCAAGGCGGUGAACCACUAAUCAAAUUAAUUUUGAGAUACUUAAAUUUGUUUUCAUCAAUUAAGAAAUUAAAAAAAUUGUUGAGACCUCAUGAUUAUGUUUUAUAAUUUCAGGCUUAUCAACUAUUUUGAAAAACAACAAAACGUCUUACACCAAAAACUAAAAAAUAAAAACGUCGACAUUAAAUUUGUUGGCAUGCAAUCAAUUUUAAGAUGGUUUUUGGAGUUAUAUAUCACCUUAGCAUUGACUUACUUUUCUACAGUUUGUCUUCUCCAACAAGUUAAAUAUUUCAAUUUUAACAACAUUGACAGGUCUUUGGGGUAGGGUCGAGCAAAAUUCAAUAAAAACAGAUGAUAUAAGUUGAGUUGGCUCGGCCAAGUCGAGUCGAUUUGUUCAAAUUAUUUAAAUUAGUAAAUUUUAGGGUGCAAUUAGAAUUUUUUGUUUUGAGAUGCUAAUUAGAUUAAAAAAUUUCAGUUGCUAAAACAAAAAAAUUGUAUUUAAAAAGGCAUAAAUUAAAUAAUUAAGUUUUUCGAGUUUCCAUUUAAUCAAAGGUUAAAAGGACUAAAUUGAAGCUUUUUAUUUUUAAGAAAGGCUGAAUGACAAAUUGCCCAAAGCCCAUGGCCCUAGCUAUACAACUAACUUUUCUAUGAUUAGUCCUUGGUUUGCUUUGGGUGAAAUCUUCCAACUAGCCUCAUCCUUGGUUUUACUUUCCAACAAUUAGUGUAUCGCGGGUUUUGUUUUCUUUAAAAAAUAUUUGUGGAUAUUAGGAGAUAAUGAAAAUUAUUUUACUAUGAAAUUUUAAUAAAACUGGAAAAUAAGUAAUUUAUUUUAAGAGAUCACAAUUAAACGUUAGAUUUCCCCUUUUUAAAUUAUAAAUUUUUUUUUGACAAUUGCAUAAUAUUUUGAGCGUUGUAGGAAUGCCAUAAUAUAACCUUCCCUACGCAUAAUCGACUCUUGAGCAUGAUGGAUCCUAGACCUUCUCCUCUAUUCUCGUACCACAAAUUGCUUCAAGUGUGGGUUCGAACAAUCACAAAUUAAACGCAAAACCAAAAAUGAUUUAUUACUUUCAAUAGCAAAGUAAUUCUCUCUCAAUAGAAACCAAUAGAAUUGUAAUUCCUAGAAAAUAAAAUUUAUUUUUUGAAAAUAUAUUCUCACUACUUUCUAGCAGAAUAACAAUAUGUGAAACUUAUGUCUUGUGUUAAUAGCUCUACCAGUACUAUCUAUUUAUAGGGAGAGACACGAGAAUCCUGGUUGAAUUAGUAAAACACGAAUAAUAUUUAUUUCAUAGAAAACAAUAUUCCACCCUAAGUAGAUCAAGUUUGUAUGACGCAUGGAUCAAAGCUCAAUCUAGGAGAAAAAAAACAAAGGAAUUUUCUUUGUAAAGAAAAUUUGAGAUUGUACUAUUUUCAAAGUUAUAAAUAAAAUUAUACGCCAAAUUUUCAAGUCAAUUUUCAACUCCAAUUUUGUAUGCACAAAUUUCUAAUACACUUGGUGGGACAUUCUUUGACUUUUAUCUAUUCUCUCAAAAAGUUAAAGUUCAAAGUUACAUUAAACUCAAAGAAGAUAUUCAUUAGUAAACCACCUCACAAGCCUGCUCAAGCUAAUCCUACAACUCGUUCCACUUCAUCAUCAAACACCAAUAUUCUUGCUUAUCCUUAUGGAAUUAAACAGUCUCAUUUUCUGCAUUUUGGGUACACACUUAGUUUUGUUUGAUGCUAAAACAGUCCCCGAGCACUCCAAAACCUAUAAUUGAACAAAUAAUACUAAUUUAAUCUUACAUAACAUGAUCCCAAAUUGAAAUUGUAUCGAGGUUUUAACCCAUAAGUGACUAAACCUUACCUUCAACCGAUGAACAGUAAUUCCCACACAAACUAAGACUCCAAUUGGAGAUUACGAGCCAUUGAAUCCUCCCCUAAUUGGCAUAAACAAAACACUUCAAAAGAAAGUUAACAAAUGGAGACAAAUCACUUAUCUAAAACUUACCGAACGAUCACAGAAAAACGUGGAGUGACACGAGGCAGAGUGGGAAAAGAAAAAUCAAGAGGAUGAAGGGUGAAAGAGAGCAAAAAUUCGGUAGCAAUGAAGAGAAAAACAGCAAGAAAGUGGAGGGAUUUUAGGGAAAGUAAAAAAAAAGAUGAAUAGAAUAUUUGAUAACUACCCAAUCCCUUAUUUCUCUCUAUCAAACUCCCCACUAAAUCCACUACUCGAAUUUUUAGUCCAUCUCAAACUCUCCUGGACGCACGAGCAAAAAAUAAUGACCAUGCCAAAAUUUAAACAAAAGACCUCCUUCACACCAACACUCCACUUAUCCACCAGACCAAUAGGCUCAUUCUUUUAAUUAUUUUCCAACUUUUACUUAAAAGCCUACUGACCAAAGAUAGGGCUUAUUCAUAAAAAUACCAAAUUUUGCCCAAGACCUGGCUUGAACUUGGGACCUCUCAAACACACCCAGAACACAUAACCACUAAAGCAGACAGAAAUUUUGUGUCACACAUUCACAAUACCCAAAAUUAAAAUUUUAGGGCGUUACAAAAACACAUUAAACAAUAUCGCAUAAAACAAUCACAGUCAGAUAACAAUUCAGAAUGUCGAUUUUACAAUUUAACCACCAAUAGUAUCAUAGUAUUCACAGUUGUAAUUUCAGAAUAUCAAAUUUCCACAUCAUUCACAAUAUUCACACAUAUAUAAAUAUAUCAUAAUAGAAUUCUAGAUUUGUAUGCACAUGAUUUAGAAGAUGCCAUACAAUUUUGGGUUUUAACAGAAUAAAUCCUACCCCACAUUACAUACCAUAAUGGGAGUUCCCCUAAACUCCCUUCUCCAACACACUAGGUUGUGGAUAAACCACUAUUGGUUCACAAAUAAUAACUGUCAUUUGGCUGUGGACACAUAGCAAGUCCCCGCAAUUGGAUUCUAGAUUUGGUUGUGGAUUCACAGCAAAAAAAUCCUACAAAUGAAGCCUGCUUUUGCCUGUAGAUUAUACAACAUAUACCCGCAGUUGGAAUCUGUCUUUGGCUGUGGAUGCAGUGUAACACCUCAAACUCGACCUAGACGUUAUGGCUAAAUCUUAAUGAUUUACUUUAACUCGCUAGAAAGCCCACGAAUUUACUUUAAAAUCAUGUGGUUAAACUAGUGUUCACUUUGAUAAAUCGUUUUCCAGUUUUAGAGAAAAUUCUUGUUAAAACUGUUACUUUAUUACAAUAAAACAUUGAAGUAAUUGUAUCAUUUUGUAGUGGAAUCUACUAAGCUAUAAGGUUUUGAAAAUCGUGAUUUAGUUUGAAACAAAUCAUUUUGCAAAUAGAAAUUUAAUACUACUUAAUUUGGAAAAGCACGCUAAAACGAAAGCAAAGUCCAAAAUAAUUUACGGUUUGAAAUUCUAAAAAGCCCAAAUUAGUCAUAAAGUCUAUUUAAACCAAUUUAUCGAAAGUGUAACACCCUAAACCCGGCCUGUAUGUUAUGGCCAAAUCUAGAUGUGUUACGAAAAAAAGUUUAUAAAACGACUUCCUUGUUAUUGGCAAAUCAUCGUAGCCAUUAUUACUUAGUAUAUCUGAUUUGUUUGGAAAACUUAUUGAUAUACUUAUUUGAUUUAAAAUCGUUGCUCACUUACGCCUUUUUAUUAAACCAAAUAUUUUGCAGCGGAGUUUCUUUAAAACAUCAUAUUUUGGAAAAUCAAAUUGUUUCUUGAAAAUCGUUAUUUUAGAAAAGUUGUCAUUUUCAGAAAAAUUAUUUUAUCAGUUGUUAUGCUGAGAAAACAAAAUAAAAUCCAAAACCAAAAAUAGUCCCAAAAAGUCUAGAGAGUCCCAAAAUGACAAUACUCUUAAAACUAGACAAGUUUAAACUAAUUUUAAAAGAAUGAAAUUUUACAGAAAUGUGGACACCACUGAGCUUCCGUCGCACCGACCCACCUAAAUCUGAGGGUUACUUGAACAGAAUAAACAAACAGAGAGUGAGUUUUGAAACUUAGUGUCUAACGCGUAUAUAAACAAAAAUUCAGAAUCAAUCUCAUGCAGAACAGAUACAAGUGUAAACCUUUUAUAAAAUUAGAAUUAUACAGAUACAAAUAUGCAACAUCCUACCCUCAUCCUCUACACACCAACUCCGACCAUUCUAUCACACCACGUGGGGUAUAAAAUACCCACCCAGCCCUACACACCGUAUAGUAUUUAUAUGACACUUUUUGGAAUAAUCGCAGCAGAGUUGCCAGUAUAUAGGCGAGAUAUCACCUCACACAGAACACUUCCUCCUCAUAAUACAAAUCCCGCCCCAUAGCCAGAUACAGACAAAAUAUCAUGUAAAAUAAAUUAACAGAUACUAGAGUUAACAUAUCACGCAUGAGCGUAUAAUAGAUAUUACACAUGCUUAUGCAUAACAAAAUAGAUCAUACAUAUUGUAUUCCAUAAUACUCAUAUAAAUGUUAUUUACGUCAAUCUCAAUCUAAUAGAGUAGCUGAUUUCAUGCUUUAACUCUUAUACCACACAUACAGACCCUAUAGAAGGCCCACAGUUGAUCGAGACAACAUGUAUGUCCCUAGGGAAAAAAUUUGUAAUUUGGGCCCAUAUGCAUGUAUGAGCCCACACACCCAAAAUGGCCUUGCCCAUGUGGCUCACCUACCUAGCACUCAGCCCAUACGGUCCAAAAUGGCCUAGGUCGUGUGUCACACACAGCCGCAUGUUGCACACAGCCUACCACAUAGCGAGUCACAAAACCGUUUGGAGUUGACAAGCCUAAUUUUUGGCUUUCGUCAAUCGUCAUUUUCUUACGUUUUCAUUACACACUUGGUUUGAUUCUGACCCAAAAGCAACCCUAAGUCCACCGAAACCUAAAAAUAGCAUUCCAAUGCCCAAUUUCAGUGAACAUUUACAAAACUUAAACAAAAACUAUCCAAAAACAUAGCCUCACAAUAGCAUCCAAUGCACUCGCACACUUACCGUCAACGAAUAGGAAACACCCAACACUCAAUUCGUUGGCGGAGCACCAAUUAUGAUAAUGCAAAAAUUUUAUGGAUUCUCAACACUAUCGAUCCAAAUGUAAGAUUGAUGCUUUCCAAUUAUGAUAAUGCAAAAAUUUUAUGGGAUGGUUUACAUGAAUUUUUGUUGUUGUCAACGAUCAAUGUAUUCAAUAAUUAAAAGAAAAUAUUAGUCGUUGUUAGAAAACCAAUACUAUGAGUGUUGUAGUUUAUUUCAGUAAAUUAAAGGUUUUGUGGGAUGAACUAGACAAUCAUGAACAAUUGAUUUAUUGCAAGUGUGGACAAUGUUUAUGUAACUUAGGGAAGACGGAUGAACAAUGUCGUGAGCAUGAUCGACUUCAUCAAUUACUUCUUGCUCUCUAUUCUAAUUGUUAUGCUCAAACUAGGUUUACAUUGUUUUACCAAGAUCCUUUGCCUUCCUUAAAUCAGGCAUUCCAACAAAUUACUUAGGAGGAACAUGUACGUGGAAUUACACUGAUUAAGGAAGAGAAGUCUGAUAUUUUAGGCUUUGCUUUGCAUACAGAAGGUCAUAACAAAGGCCGAGCUAAUUGUAUUGAUAAGUCAACCUUGUUGUGCACUCAUUGCUAUCGCAAAAGGCAUGAGAUGGCUACCUAUUUUGAAUUACAUAGCCACUUGGAUUGGCGGCUUAAGAAGUAUGGGAAGCCAGAGAAGAAAAGUGAUGAUCGUGGUGGUAAGACAAGUGCACAUCUUCCACGUAAGUAUUUUAUUUCAAAGGAUCACAAUUAAACAUUAGAUUUCUCAUUUUUAAAUUUUUUUUAUUUUUUUAACAACUACGUAAUUAACGAGUACCAAUUUUGGGUGUUGUAGGGGUUCUAUAACUUUCCCUAUAUGUAAUCGACUCUUGCACCCUCUUUUUUUCUCUAGAAUUCAAUGCAAACCUUAAAUUUAUCUUUUUAAAAGAAUUUUAAAAUCUCUUUAUAAAAGACGAUUUUUUUAGGUGACCAAUCACAGUUAAGAAAAACAAAUCGGUGGCAACUCCUUUCUAAUAAAUGUAAAAAACUUUUUAAACAAAAUAAGGUUGAAAUAAUCUAGUUGUCGUUAUACUUUGAUAAAAUUUUAGAUUUAGUCCUUAUACUUAAAAGGUUAAAAAUUAAGUCUUGUUUUUAUUUAAAAAUCUUAGUCCUAUCGUUAAUAUUGUUUUUUUUUUGUCAAAAUUUGUCAAGUUGACAUAUUAAUUAGGUUUCUCUUAUAUAUCGUGGUAUAUGACUAACACAAAAUAAACAAGUUGACAAAUUCUACAAAAAAUAUCAAAGAUGAUAAUAGUUUAAUUAAAAUUUUUAAAUUAAAAAAGUAAGGGAUUAAAUUUAUAACUUUUAAAGUAUAAUGAAUGAAAUUAUUGAAAUACAAGAACUAACAACAUAUUUUAAAAAUAUUACUAGUAAAUUAUAUAUCUACAACAAGAAUUGUAACCUCUUAUAUUAUAUUCUUGUAUUUAUUUUUGCAUCUUUCAUAAUAUGAUUUAUUAAUUUUAAUAUUUUUAUAGAAUAAUAUGCUUUAAAUAGUUUUUUGUAUCAUUUAUAAAAAUUAUAAUAAACUUACAAAAUAAUUUAAUGAUAUUUAAUUAUUAAUCGAAAAAAAUGAUAUCAUAUAUAUUAUGUAUAUAUUAAGAUUCCAAAUCAUUAAUUAUAUAUCUACGCAUUAUAAUAAAUUCAUCUUUCAAAAUUUUCCUUAUAAUUAAAGCAUAAAUUAUAUUUAUAAUAAUAUAAAUAUAUUCUAUCAUAAAUAUUCUUUCAAAUAUUUUUUAAUGUUUAAUAAUAAGUUAAUUUAUAAAAUAUUCUUUCAGUAAAUUAACGUGAUGAGAUCGUUAGGUGCUUGGAUUUGGUGAAGGGGGAUGAAGAGAAAAGGGAUGGAAGUGAAUAAAAAUGUUGAGAAAUGGAAAGGGUUAGCGAGGGAAGCCGCCAUGAAAGGUGGUUCAAUGGAUAUGAACCUUCAAGCUUUUGUGGAUGAUGUUACUCAAGGUUGUUGCAAGUAAAUUUAAAAAUGUUUUUAAAUUAUUUUUUUGUUAAAAAAACAUUUUUUACUUUUUUAUGUGGCAUGCCACAUUAUCAUACUAUCAUGUGACAAUUUCUGGUGAUUUCUGUCCGCAACAUUAGUCAAAUCAACUGUUAAAUCGUUCAACUCACAGUUUUUGUUAAAUGAAGAGGUUAAUUGAUUUUUUUUUGGAAUCAUUGAGUACUCAAUUGGUGCACUUUUUUCAUAAAGGCUAAAUUAAUUUUUUAAUUUGUUAUUGUUGAAGGCUAUAGCAAUAAAAAAAAUUGAGGUAAAAAAAUAUUAGAGCUAAAUUUGUCAUUAUGCCUAAAAUGUAAAACCAAAUUUUUUUGAAAAUGAAAAAAAAUGGAAAAUCGCAAAUUCCGUCGCAUAUUUUUGCUUAAAAUUAUAGUUUUGGUCACCAAUCUUUUGAAGUAAAUAUAGGUCACCAAUAUUAUCAAUUUGUUACUUUGUAAUAACUCACCUUAAGUUAUACCCCGACGCACGAAAGGAUUAAAUGACAUUGGGAUACCAUCAAACUUGUAUCUUAAAUACACAUUUACCCCUAAUUUUAUCACAUUCUUCUUAAUUGGUAUUUAUGGUUUAGAAAAUUUUACAAAUAUAUUAUUUUUUAAGAAAUUAUAAGAAGAUUACAAAAAUUCCAAAAUAAUAUAAAAAAGCUAAGGAAAACCUAGAAAUUCAAAAAAAAAAACGUGGACAUUGAAUUUGCUGUUUCACAUUAAAUUUUUGGAGAAGUAGAAUUUUCUAACUUAUUUUCCAUCAACUUCACUUCAAUUUUCAAUCACAAUCUAUUGCAUUCAAGAGCACCACAUCUUUUGGGAUGAAACAAACCUCUCAAUUUUAAGAUAAACGGAAUCUAUUGCAUUCAAGAGCACCACGUCUUUUUGGAUGAAACAAAGCUCUCAAUUUUAGGAUAAACGGGUCUUUAGGGUUAUAAAUUGAGGUCCUUUUCCACAAUUGCGGGUGAUUCGUUGAUAAUAACCUCAACAUUUCUGUAUCACAUUUAAUUCAAUUCCACAUUCAAUUUUUAGUUUUUAGAGAGAUGAUUGGGUUACAACAAUGGUUUGAAGUGAAGAUAUUUCAAAACAAGAUGAAUACUCUACCAAUAGUCAUAAUUUAAAAUGCAGGUUAUGUUUCAUUUCAGCUAAGUUAAAUGUUAAGAUUGAGGUUAAACCUUUUAGAGGUUGCUCGCAAAAGGAUCAAACCUUUAUAAAAUUGUUUAAAUGAAGGUCAAACCUCUUAAAAUAGACAAAUAAGGGCCUAACCUUUUAAAAGGUGUUCAAAUAAGGGUUUCUCAAAUUUUGUAUAUCAGGUUAUGUAUUUUACUCUAAACACAUCGACAUUUACCUAUUUUUUCUAUAAAUUGGGUUGAAGUGCAUGAAAAAACCUUAUUUAAGCACUUCUGUAAAGGUUAAACUCUUAUUUGACUAUUUUGAAAGGUUUGAUCCUUAUAUAAGCAACCUCUAAAAGAUUGAGUACUAAUUUGACAAGAUUGAGAAAUACCUAAAUUUGUUUUCAUGAAUCAAGAAAAUAAAAAAGAAAUGUUGAGAAAUAUUUUAGAGAUUCUUAGCUUUGACAAGUUCCCUCCAUCAUCUUCCUGCCUCCAGUCCCACCUCUUCUCUUAUGCUCCUCCCAGCUUCUUGCUUUUUGUGUGUUGAAAUUUCAAAGGAACAAAAUAUCAACCUACAUCAUAAGGCACGAUUGCCAGAACUUUACUUUCUAGCCUGUCGAUCCGAUCCAAUGAAAGAAGAACAAAGAGUCUCAAGAUCUGUCAACUUUAUUUCAUUUUCAUUUUCUUUGUCAUUUUCUAUGUUUCAUGUCGAAUACAAUGAAAGAACAUAGAAAAAUGUUGCCUAUUUAUUUCCCAAUCAUCAUGAAAUUACUUGCCAUAGACUUAGAAUUUUCUCACCAAUUUUCAAGCAAUCUGACAUGAUUUCUCAAUCACAAUUAAUUGAAUUCAAGAUCUUUUUAGAUGACACAAACAUUUCAAUUUUAACACAAACCAAUAUUUAGGUUGUACUUCAGUGCUUGACAAGCACUUUCACAUUUGUGGGAUAAGAACUCUUAACAUUUUAGGAUCACAUUUAAUUCAAUUGCAUUUAAGACCUCACGAUUUUAUUCUAUAAUUUCAGUCUUAUCAGCCUUUUCGGAAACAAUAAAACGUCGACAUUAAAUUUGUUGUUGAUGCAUUCAAUUUUUUGAGGGGUCUUUGGAGUUAUAUGUGACUUUAGCAUUGACUGACUUUUUUAUAAUUAAUCUUUUAUAAUAUAUCAAUUUUAAUAACAUCGACAUGUUUUUUAGUAGGGUCUAGCAAAACCCAAUUAAAACCGAUGAUAUUGGCUUAGUUGACUCGGUCAAGUCCAUUAGAUUGAUAAAAUCAAUUUUAAAAUCAGUUAUAAUGGAUUAAGGUAAUUAAUUAUCGAGUAAUGAAAUACAUAAUCAAAUCAAUUGAUUUUGUUAGAAACUAAAAGAAAAUGAGAUAAGCUGAAAACUGAUUGCCCUUUAUUAAAAUUAACGAAUCCGCCCUUUACGUAUUAGAUAAUACGAACAUCACAUAUAUAAUAAGAAAAAUUACGUAUGAUUAUUUAUUAUCAUAAAAGGUUAGUUUAAAUUUAAAGUAAUCUAAUAUGUUUAUUGAACUUCAACUAUUAAAUAAAGUAUAAGCUAAAUAAGUAUAAAUAUUCUAGAAACCAUUUCUAACUGAUGAUAGGCUAAUUCGAUUAAUUUAUAAAAACUACAUAGUAGGGUUAUAGUCCUCAAACUACACCUAAUUUAAUAAUAUUUAUAGUUUUUUUUUUAGCCUUAAACAUUUAUAGUUUUUUGUUAAUUUGGUCCUUACUCUUUAAAAUUACAUAAAAAUUGCAAAAAAAAUUAAAAUUAAUUUUUUUUCAUAAUUUUAAUAACAUUUAUAGUUUUUUUUUUGUGUGUGGUUUGGUAACUUAUCAACUCGACUCUCACUUGUAACCAACUUUUCUAACCUUUUUCGUACCCUUAACCUAAGUCCCGUUACAACUUUCUAAAGACCUCUUUAUCAGUGUAUCAUGUCGGUUUGUUUUAUAAUGGUGGAGAUUUGUUUUUUGUAGUGGCACGAUUGCCAGAACUUUACUUUCUAGCCUAUCGAUCCGAUCCAAUGAAAGAAGAACAAAGAGUCUUAAGAUCUGUCAACUUUAUUUCAUUUUCAUUUUCUUUGUCAUUUUCUAUGUUUCUUGUCAAAUACAAUGAAAAAAGAACAUAGAAAAAUGUUGCAUAUUUAUUUCCCAUUCAUCACUCUAACAGGCCCAAUUAGCCCAGGCCCAAACAUUAAUAAAAUGUCUAGAUUACAAAAUAAUCAACUAAAAAUUAAAAGCUCAAAAAAUAAAAUAAAACCCAUUAUAUUAACCCAAAACCCCAGCCCAAUUACAUUGAAACCCAAAAAAAAAAUAGUUUUCAGAAACCCCUAGGGUUUCAGAAGCCCCUCAAUGUUAUUUUGUAUAUCUAUUUAUCUUUUUAAAUUUUCGAUAUUGUCUUGUUUUGUUUUUGUAUUAUUGUUGUUACCAUCAUUAUUCAUUAUUAUUAUUGUUGAUUUUAUUGUUCUUUGAUUAAUGUUAAUGUUAGAGUAAUAGAUGUUAUGUGAUCAUUGUUAUUAUAUGUUAUAAUUUGUUUACACUCGUAUUGUAGUCAUUUGUCAGCUUAAUAUUUUGAGUAAUAUUUUAAAUAUUACAUUAAUUUCGACCCAAAUGCAUAAUUUUUUAAUAAGUAAUAUUUUAUAUUUUGAAAUUUGAGAGAUCAUUCCCUAACUUACGGGGUCUCAAUUUUUUCGAUAAAUCUGAAUAUACUAACUAUUUUCAAAAAAUAUGUUUUAAAAUUAUCUCGGGAAUUUAAAAAGGAGCGUGUUCUAACUUACUGAAUAUGAUCUUUUUUUUAAAAUCGAGAUAAUCAAAUAACUUUCAAAUAAAUAAAUUUUCAAUGUUUAUUCUCAUAUCAGGAUUUAAAAUAUUAUAUCCUAACUCACGGGAUACAAUUCUUUUUCUCGAUUAACAUGAAAUAUGCCCGUUUUAAUUUUAUUUUUUAAGUGAUUUUAACAAAAGGAUUGUAUUUUAAAUCUCUUCAAAAUUUUCAAUUUUUCGACAUUGAGACAUUAACUAAUCAAUUAGGUACCAAUUUUGGGCGUUACGAGGGUGCUAACCCUUCCUCAUACGUAACCGACUCCCGAACCUAUUUUUCUGAAUAUUGAAGGCCAAAAUUGUUUUAAUAAAUUAAACCCUUAAGACGUGACCCCAUCACACCUCAUAAAAAUUAUCGGUGGCGACUCUCGUUUGCGUUUUUGUUUUCGUUUUCAAAAUAAAAGUCGACCCCUUGUUUUAAAAAAGGUGGUUCGAUAGCUUGGCGACUCCGUUGGGGAAAAAAAUAAGAGAGUCAAGCCACGAGUUGAUUAUUUCUUAUUUUUUGUCAGAAAUUGUGAAUUCGAUUUAAAUUUACGAUCUUUUCAUUGCAUUUUAUGGUCUGCAUCAUUUUGAUAUGCUUGCUUUACUGGUUCGAGUCUUUUAAUCUCCGCAUAUUGCAUUGCAUAACCGUUCGGUUAUACCCUUUUAAGUGGGAGUGAGAAACUAUUCAUUUGUGAGAUUUUUACCUCCGUAUAGGAUAGUGGAUUACUUUCGGGAUACAUCCGUACCUAUGUCUUCGUGAGAUUUUCAUCUCCGUAUAGUUAUAGGGAAAUGUAUUCCCCUGAACUGAACUCAGUCCGUAUGAGCCUAUAAUAGGUAAGGAUUGAGGAAUCUGCUGGUUCAGGUACCCUUUCUUUAGAACUAAACUGCAUGUAGUGAGCCCUAAGAGCAUACCGUAGGUAGAACCACUCCAAACCCCUAGUGGUCACCCAAAUAGGUGCUCUAUUUAUUUUUGCUUGCUUAUUUUUGCAUUGUACUAACCUAUUUUUUUGUUAUGAUUGCAUUGCAUUUUCAUCAUAAAAAAGAUGUGUUGAUUCACGUUCAAUUGCUAAAUAGAGAGCUUGUCAUGGAAAACGGAUUUCUUGAUAAAGUGGAAGACAAUGUGGUUAUCCGGAUAUGGUCCAAGAAAAUUUGACGAAAGAAGGGUGAUAGUCUAAUGGAGGACUACACGACCUUGCUUUAUUGCCCGAGGAUUCAAGUUGACAAAGAUUAUUUGAGAGUCCUCAAUGUCCCGACCUUUUUCAAGAAGCUAACGAGUGUCACGAGGAUGAGUGAGUAAUGAGUUGCGGCCCGGAUCAAGCAAAAAAGAGAUAGAGGAGACACCCUUUUUGAAGAGUUCGCGAGAUUUAUAUUAAUAUCAAAAUGAAGAAAAAGAUCAAUGUCUUCGCCUGGAGUAUGAAAGCAAAGCUGUAUAUAUAUCCGCUUUAUGUAAAUAAAUUUGUUUUCUAGUAAAGUUUUUCUAAUAGAAUUGAAUCAGAAUCAAUGUCUUUUUUUGCAUUCAUUCCAUUCAUCUGCAUUGCAUUUCAUUGCAUCCAAAAUUUCACAAAAGGACCCUAAUUAAUUGAAAUUGUUAUAGUUACUCUGAAAACUAAUAAAAAUCUACCAAUUAAAUAUUCCUACGGUACCCGUCGCAAAACCAAAGUAAUGGAUCAAAUAUUAGAAAGAUUAGAACAAAUUCUGAAAGACAAGCAUAAUCGUUUUUGCUUAGGGUACAAGCCAGAUACAAGACAAAGAAGGAAGGAGUUAGAGAAGAAAUAGGAAAGAAUGACAGCAUAUUUGAGCGAGGAUGAGGUCAAAUGGGAGCCUAUGAACUUUCCCUACAUAUCCAAAACUUUUGUAUCGGGAGGGAUUAUUCAUCCCGAGCGAAGAAUGCCAAGAGAAGAAAAUAUUGAAGAAAUGUUGGGAAACGUUCACAUCAAUGCCAUAUACGAAGAAGUAGUUGAAGGAUGGACCUUGUUAGAUAUCCGACCUUAUGAACCUGGGAGUGUGCUAAACAAUUGGACUACAGAAGAAAUUCCUGUAGUGUUUAGACCUUACUCAGAGUAAUAUUCAAAACACACUUGUUGCUUUUAGCCUAGAAGUGAUAAGAAUCCCUCUGUGAAAUAGGCUCAUGUAUAAACAUCAUUAUUUUAAUAAAGUAAAUCUUUGCAUUCAUUUUGAGCAAAUAUUCUUUUAUUCUUUCCAUACGAGUAAUUAUUUUAGAUUUUUCAUUAUUUUAGGAUUUUCUUCCAAAAAUCAUUCUUUUAUUACAUUCAUAAUCAUACUGUACAAAUAAUUAUUCUUAAAUUCAUUCAUUCUUUGUAUAUUCUUUUGUACCUAUAAUAGGUCCCUAGAUAUCAACGACAUGAGUGACGCUGCUACAGACUUAGAAUUUCCUUUUAAACAAGACAUGUGUUUAGAGGGAUCCCAUGACUUUGAAGAUGACGUAGACUGUGGCUUAUCUCCGGACUUGUUAAGGAUGGUAAAACAAGAGGAGAAGCAAAUCCUACUUCACAAUGAAUCAAUGGAAAUUGUGAGCUUAGAAGGGGAAAAUAGGUGAAGAUUGGGACUGACAUUGCCACAAAUACGAAGUAAGACCUCAUUGAGUUACUCUAAGAAUUCAAAGAUAUUUUUGCAUGGUCAUACUAGGAUACGCUCGGGUUAAGUACUGACAUUGUAGUACACUGCCUUCCUAUAAAAGAAGAUUGCUAGCCAGUUCAGCAGAAACUCCAGAGGAUGAGGCCUGAUAUUGUGCUAAAAAUAAAAGAAGUCAAAAAGUAAUUUGAUGUUGGGUUCUUACAAGUGGUCAAAUAUUCAGAAUGGGUAGCCAACAUCGUCUCAGUUCCUAAAAAAAAUGGGAAAGUACGAAUGUGCAUGGAUUACAGAGACUUGAACAAGGCCAGUCGAAAAGACAAUUCCCUAUUGCCUCACGUUGACACUUUGGUGGAUAAUACAGUAGGCUACUCACUUUUUUCCUUCAUGGAUGGCUUCUCUGGAUACAAUCAGAUAAAGAUGCAUCCAAAAACAUGGGAAAGAUUACAUUCGUGACCCUGUAGGAAACGUUUUACUAUAAAGUGAUGACAUUCAGAUUAAAGAAUAUGGGAGCGACGUAUCAAAGGGUGAUGGUAACCUUGUUUCAUGACAUGAUUUACAAGGAAAUCGAGGUUUAUAUUGACGAUAUGAUUGCAAAAUCUAGAACAGAAGAGGAACAUGUGCAGGUCCUGAGAAAAUUAUUCUUAAGACUGAGAAAGUUCUAGCUCAAGCUUUCCAACGAAAUGCACUUUCGGAGCUAGGUCAGGAAAGCUAUUAGGCUUCAUAGUCAGUGAAAAAGGAAUCGAGAUCAACCCAGACAAAGUCAAGGUAAUAAGAGAUUUACCUCCACUAUGCACUCAGAAGAAAGUUCGAGGUUUCCUAGGAAGACUAAAUUACAUUGCUCGGUUUAUUUCACAACUAACCGAAAAAUGUGACCCCAUAUUUCAUCUUUUAAAGAAACAUAAUCCAGAUGUAUAGGAUGAAGAAUGUCAGGAAGUUUUUGAUAGGAUAAAGCAGUACCUAUCAAAUACUCUAGUGCUGUUACCACCUAGCCCAGAUAGGCCACUGAUAUUGUAUUUAACAGUGUUUGAUAAUUUUAUGGGAUGCAUGCUAGGCCAACAUGAUGAGACAGGAAGGAAAGAAAGGGUUAUAUACUAUCUCAGUAAGAAAUUCACUGAUUAUGAAAUAAGAUACUCGUCUAUUGAGAAAUUAUGUUGUGCCUUGAUCUGGAUAACUCGGAGGCUAAGGCGGUACAUGUUGUACCAUACGACUUGACUAAUUUCAAAGUUAGACCCUUUAAAGUAUAUGAUGGAGUCAACUACUUUGAAUGGGAGGAUGGCCAGAUGGCAGAUUUUACUUUUUGAAUUUGACAUACUUUAUGUGAGCCAGAAGGCUAUAAAAUGGAGUGCAAUAGCGGAUUUUCUAGCUAGCAGAGCCUUGGAGGAUUAUGAGCCUUUAAAUUUUGAUUUUUUGAACGAGGACUUAAUGUAUGUGGCAACCACUAAAGAAAAUGCUCAAGUGGAUCGCAUUUGGAAGCUAAAAUUUGACGGAGCCUCAAAUGCUAUGGGUAAUAAAAUUGAGGCAGUCUUAGUAUCCCCGAGCAGAGAUCAUUAUCCUAUUGCUGGCAAAUUGGAUUUUGAUUGUACAAACAAUAUAGCAGAAAAUGAAGCGUGUAUUAUGGGCAUCCGUAUAGCCAAAGAAUGUAAAAUCAAAGUGCUAAAGGUAUAUGGGGAUUCUGCAUUGGUGAUAUAUCAGCUCAAAGGAGGAUGAGAGAUAAGAGACCUCAAAUUGAUUAAUUAUCGAAAGUUUAUUCUCGAAUUGAUUGAUGAGUUUGAUGAUAUUACUUUCUCCUAUCUCCCACUAGAUGAAAACCAGAUGGCUGACACGUUGGCUACUCUAGCUUUCAUGAUCAAAGUAAACAAACUAGAAGACAUGAAGCCUAUCCAGAUGAGCAUUUAUGAGACUUUGGCUCAUUGCUACAGUAUCGAGGAAGAGGAAAAGGAUGAUCAUCCUUGGUACCAAGAUAUACUGCAAUAUGUAAAGAAUCACGAGUACCCUGAUCAGGCAACGAAGAAUGAUAAGAGGACAUUGAGAAGACUAGCCACUAACUAUGUCUUACAUGGAGAGAUUUUAUACAAAAAGGGAAAGGAUCGGGUACUACUAAGAUGCUGGAUGCUAUAAAAGCUUAGAAAAUCUUGGAGGAAGUCCAUGAAGGUAUCUGCAAAAUGCAUGCCAACGGUUUCACAAUAGUAAGACAGAUUAUGAGAUUCGGGUACUACUGGUCGACCAUGGAAGGAGAUUGCAUCAAUUAUGCCAAGAAGUGCCAUAAAUGUCAAAUUUAUAGAGACAAAAUACACGCACGUUCUUCACCUCUCAACGUUAUGACUUCUCUAUGGCCUUUCUCUAUGUGGGAUAUGGAUGUCAUCGGGCCAAUAUUGCCAAAGGCUUCUAAUAGGUAUCGUUUCAUCUUCAUGGUCAUUGGUUACUUCACUAAAUAGAUGGAAGCUGAUUCAUAUGCUAAUGUCACGAAGUCAGGAGUCAGCAAGUUCUUGAAAAGGGAGAUCAUAUGUUGAUAUAUAAUGCCUGAAAGAAUCAUAUCUGACAAUACAUUGAAUUCGAAAAAUAGCAAAAUAGCGGAGGUCUGCAAUCAAUUCAAGAUCAAACACCAUAAUUCGUCACCAUAUCGCCCAAAAAUGAACGGAGCAGUGGAGGCGGCCAACUAAAAUACCAAGAAAAUUGUGGGGAAAAUGUCUGAGACUUACAAAGAUUGGCAUGAAAAAUUACCAUUUGCCCUCUUUGUUUAUCGAACAUCAAUCAGGACUUUCGUCGGGGCAACGCCUUUCUCUCUAGUUUAUAAGAUGGAGGCAGUUUUACCCAUUAAAGUUGAAAUCCCUUCUCUCUGGGUAUUGGCUGAGCUAAAGUUGGAUGAAGCUGAAUAGAUCCAACCUCGAUAUGAUCAGUUGAACCUAAUAGAAAGAAAAAGGCUAAAAGUUAUUCACCACGGUCAGAUGUACCAAAAACGAAUGAUGCGAGCCUACAACAAAAAAGUUCAUCCCAAAGAAUUCUAUGAGGGGGACCUAGUGUUGAAAAAGAUUUUUCCUCUACAAAAGAAUUUUAGAGGAAAAUGGAUGCCAAAUUAGGAAAGACCUUAUGUUGUAAUAAAGGCCUUUUCUGGAGGAGCAUUGAUUUUGAGUGAGAUGGAUGGUAAAAAUUUUCCUAAUCUUGUAAACUCAGAUUCAUUCAAGAAAUACUUCACCUAAAGAAGGAGAAGGGACCAAUGUGAAAACCUGCAAAGGGCACUUUGAGUCUUAAAAAAAAGAGACCAAGGUGAAAACCGCAAAUGGUGUCUUAAGUCCUAAAAAAAAGAGGCCAAGGUGAAAACUAGCAAAGGGCGCCUUGAGACCAAAGGGGAUUUGAGUUGAAAACCCGAAAAGAGCGACUCAAAUAUUGAUUAAAAUGGGGCAUGCAGUGAUCUUGCUAUACUUGAAUUAAUAGGAAAGGGGUAUACGACAUCUUGGGGCAUCGACAAAGUACUAUAGAUCUCCUAAACACAUUUCAAACUCAAAAUGGUCUUUAGGAAGUUUGUACAGAGAAAUUCAAGCUGCGAUGUCUAGGGCACCUAGUCUUCAUACUAUUUAUAUUAAAUUUGCUAUUCUUGGAAUACUUUAUUCUUUUCAAGAUACGUGUUCCCAAUCAAUUCCCUUUUUAUUCUUCUUUAUCCUUGAUAAUUUAUUCAUUUCGAGCUAUGCUCCAAAUCAAUUCUAUUCUUAUCCAUUGUUAUUAUCUUUUGCAAGCAUGUUGUAUUGGAAUAAUGAUUAAUAGACUAAUAAUACUUUUACAAAUAAAGUGCUGUAUAUUACUCUAAAAGUUUCUAAAUAAUACAAGAACCUAAAACAGGACUAUUGUUUAGAACGCACCGGGUUUAAAGGUUAGAAAUAUCUGAGAAGGAAGAGUCCAAAUUAAGACUAUCCCUUCGAAUUUUGUUGUCAAAAUAUUGAUUGAACAAAACGACAAGAUAUCGUAUUGGUGAACAAACGAGCAAUGAUCACCAGGUAAUAAAAAGAGGUUAUUUUGGAAAAAAAAUUACAUUGGUACGACACCUUAGGAAUGGUGUAAGAGACCAAAGAGGUUCACAUCUUGUAUUCUUGAAUUGCAAUAGGAGAGGAUUGAGAAAGAGCUAGAUAUUAUACUCCUGAAUUAUAAUGGAAGGGAAAUGGUACAAAUUUUAUGUACCAAAAGUACAGUGGAUUGAACCUUGAAGAUUACAGUAGGGGAAAUCUGAUUAAGUAAAAUAUGAAGUGUUUCUUUGGAGAUACCAGUCGAACAAGAUGGCAUUAUGACGUGUCGGUGAUAGAGCCUUAAUGAAUAAUGAGCAAUAACAACUCAAGCAUUAAGGGAUCAUUUUCAUAACAUUCUGUAUUCAUUCAUACACAUCUAGUUAGGAGAUUUUGAUUCAUUCCGAUCAUAACAUCCAAAUCACUAGACAUAAAUAGGCCCAUGAAAUGGAUUCUACAGGUCAUGUUCCCCAUAGAACAGAUGGGUGAAACCACAAAUCCUAUACCGCUGAAGUUGCAGUGGGAUGGAUUGAAGUCAUUAUGGCGAGUCUUAUCUCCCUGAAGUUGCAAUGGAGCAUAUUAAAGCUAGUAAUCUUAUCUCCCUGAAGUUGCAGUAGAGCGGAUUGAAGUUACAAGUCUUAUCCCCCUAAAGUUACAGUGGAGCAGACUGAAGAUAGUGAAUCUUAUUUCCCUGAAGCUGCAGUGGAACAAAUUGAAGCUAUAAAUUGUAGAUUUUAUCUCUCUAAAGUUGCAAUAGAGAAGAUCAUAUCAAACUUUAUCUCCCUGAAGUUGUAGUGGAACAGGUUGAAAAUACCAAUCUUAUCUCCCUGAAGUUACAGUGGAGUAGACUGAAGAUAGCGAAUCUUAUUUCUCUGAAGUUGCAGUGGAACGGAUUGAAGCUAUAAAUUACAGAUCUUAUCUCUCAGAAGUUGCAGUAAAGCAGAUCAUAGAAAACCUUAUCUCCCUGAACUUGCAGUGGAGUAGGUUGAAGUUAUAAGUCUUAUCUCCCUAAAGUUGCAGUGGAGCAGACUGAAGAUAGCGAAUCUUAUUNNNNNNNNNNNNNNNNNNNNNNNNNNNNNNNNNNNNNNNNNNNNNNNNNNNNNNNNNNNNNNNNNNNNNNNNNNNNNNNNNNNNNNNNNNNNNNNNNNNNNNNNNNNNNNNNNNNNNNNNNNNNNNNNNNNNNNNNNNNNNNNNNNNNNNNNNNNNNNNNNNNNNNNNNNNNNNNNNNNNNNNNNNNNNNNNNNNNNNNNNNNNNNNNNNNNNNNNNNNNNNNNNNNNNNNNNNNNNNNNNNNNNNNNNNNNNNNNNNNNNNNNNNNNNNNNNNNNNNNNNNNNNNNNNNNNNNNNNNNNNNNNNNNNNNNNNNNNNNNNNNNNNNNNNNNNNNNNNNNNNNNNNNNNNNNNNNNNNNNNNNNNNNNNNNNNNNNNNNNNNNNNNNNNNNNNNNNNNNNNNNNNNNNNNNNNNNNNNNNNNNNNNNNNNNNNNNNNNNNNNNNNNNNNNNNNNNNNNNNNNNNNNNNNNNNNNNNNNNNNNNNNNNNNNNNNNNNNNNNNUCAAAGGAACAAAAUAUCACCUACAUCAUAAGGCACGAUCGCCAGAACUUUACUUUCUAGCCUGUCGAUCCGAUCCAAUCCAAUGAAAGAACACAAGGAGUCUUAAGAUCUGUCAACUUUAUUUCAUUUUCAUUUCUUUGUCAUUUUCUAUGUUUCAUGUCGAAUACAAUAAAGAGAACAUAGAAAAAUGUGGCCUAUUUAUUUCCCAAUCAUCAUGAAAUUACUUGCCAUUGACUUAGAUUUUCUCACCAAUUUCAAGCAAUCUGACAUGAUUUCUCAUCACAAUUAAUUGAAUUCAAGAUCUUUUUAGAUGACACAAACAUUUCAUUUUAACACAAACCAAUAUUUCGGUUAUACUUCAGUGCUUGACAAGCACUUUCACAUUUGUGGAUAAGAACUCUUAACAUUUUAGGAUCACAUUUAAUUCAAUUGCAUUUAAGACCUCAUGGUUUUAUUCUAUAAUUUCAGUCUUAUCAGCCUUUUCGGAAACAAUAAAACGUCGACAUUAAAUUUGUUGUUGAUGCAUUCAAUUUUUUGGGUCUUUGGAGUUAUGUGACUUUAGCAUUGACUGACUUUUUUAUAAUUUAAUAAUAAGGUAAAUAUAUUAAUUUUAAUAACAUCGACAUGUUUUUUAGUAGGGUCGAGCAAAACCCAAUUAAAAUCGAUGAUAUUGGCUUAGUUGACUCGGUCAAGUCCAUUAGAUUGAUAAAAUCAUUUUUAAAAUCAGUUAUAAUGGAUAAAGGUAAUUAAUUAUCGAGUAAUGAAAUACAUAAUCAAAUCAAUUGAUUUUGUUAGAAACUAAAAGAAAAAGGGCUAAGCUGAAAAUUGAUUGCCCUUUAUUAAAAUUAACGAAUCUGUCUUUUACGUAUUAGAUAAUAUGAACAUCGCAUAUAUAAUAAGAAAAUUACGUAUGAUUAUUUAUUAUCAUAAAAGGUUAGUUUAAAUUUAAAGUAAUCUAAUAUGUUUAUUGAACUUCAACUAUUAAAUAAAGUAUAAGCUAAAUAAGUAUAAAUAUUCUAGAAACCAUUUCUAACUGAUGAUAGGCUAAUUCGAUUAAUUUAUAAAAACUAGAUAGUAGGGUUAUAGUCCUCAAACUACACCUAAUUUAAUAACAUUUAUAUUUUUUUUAGCCUUAAACAUUUAUAGUUUUGUUAAUUUGGUCCUUACUCUUUAAAAUUACAUAAAAAAUUGCAAAAAAAUUAAAAAUUAAUUUUUAUCAUGAUUUAAUAACAUUUAUAUUUUUUUUUGUGGUUUGGUAACUUAUCAACUUGACUCUUACUUGUAACCAACUUUUCUAACCUUUUUCGUACCCUUAACCUAAGUCCCGUUACAAUUUCUAAAGACCUCUUGAUUGGUGUAUCAUCUCGAUUUGUUUUUAUAGUGGUGGAGAUUUGUUUUUUGUAGUGGGCAUGAUUGCCAGAACUUUACUUUCUAUCCUGUCGAUCCGAUCCAAUGAAAGAAUAACAAAGAGGUCUUAAGAUCUGUCAACUUUAUUUCAUUUUCAUUUUCUUUGUCAUUUUCUAUGUUUCUUGUCACAUACAAUGAAAGAAGAACAUAGAAAAAUGUUGCCUAUUUAUUUCCCAAUCAUCAUUCUAACAGGCCGAAUUAGCCCAGGCCCAAACAUUAAUAAAUGUCCAGAUUACAAAAUAACCAACCAAAAAUUAAAAGCCCAAAUAAUAAAAUAAAACCCAUUACAUUAACCCAAAACUCCAGCCCAAUUACAUUGAAGCCAAAAAAAUAGUUUUUAGAAACCCCUAGGGUUUCUGGAACAAUCCGCGCCGCUCCUCCAUCCGCUUCUCCACGCACGCUGCACCUUUCCACGUGCGCCUCCAGCUGGCAGUGUACCUCCAAUGCAACAAACAAAGCAACAAGCAGCAAAAGAAAUGGAAAAACAACAAAAAAAAAAGAAGGAGCAACAAUGUAUAACAGAUUGAUAACAAAUAAUAGAAAAAAUAGCAGUAAAUAGGAAAAAAAAUUAAAAAAUAAUGAGGGUAAUUUCAUUUUUUUCUCUGUUUUGGCUAUAAAGAGAGCCGGUCAAAAUCUCUAAAGGGGGAUUUAGAAUCAAUCAGAAAACAAGUAUUUUGUACCAACAAUUAGAGAAAAAAAAUACAAAAAUAGGGAUUGAAGGUUUUUUUUUUCUUUCGUUUCGAUUUAUUUAAAAUAGCAUAGAAAAUAAAAAGAAGGCUUACCUUGCGACGCCUUCAGAUCCUCUCGAAAAGGGGCUAAAAGGCCCUAUGUGGCACAGAUUUGACCACUGUUCACGGUGGAACCGCAGCGGAGGCGCAGAGGAUUGGCAUCAAUUUAGGCAGGGUUUGAAACCCUAGCAGAGAAAAAAUUAGGGUUGAUAGAUUUUUUUUAAAAAAAUGGCAAAAUGUUGUUUUUAAAAAAUUUUGUUUUAAAAAAAUUGUUGCUUUUAUAAAGGGUGUAAAACGGCGUCGUUUAGGGCAUGUUUCGAUGGCCCCAAAACGGCGCCUUAUAAGGCAACCCCCGACGACCCGACCUGCUCCAUGGGGGAUCCGCGUGGUUUUUGUUAAAUGGGUUAUGUCUAACCCUGGCCCUUCUACUUUUUAUACUUGUUUUAAUUUGAUCCUCUUUUUAUUUAUUUUUAUUUCUUUAAAUUAAGCCUGAUAAUUUUUUUCCAUUACAUUUUAAUCCUUAAUGAAACGGCGCGUUUUAGAGGAGAAGGGAAAAUUACCCUUCUAGUCCCUUCUUGUUAUUCGAGUGUUCAGAAGGGUCCUUUUUUGUUUAUUUUUUAUUUGCCCCAAAAUUUUGUUUUAAAGCUUAAUUUAGUCCUAUUUUGUUAUUUUAGCUAUUUUAUUAUUAGAUUAAUUAAUUUAAUAUUAUUAUUACUGCUAUUAUUUUACCCCUAUUAGUUAUAUAUUUAUUAUUAUAACUAUAUCAUUAAAUCAAUUAGUUUUUACAUUAUUAUUUCCAUUCUGUUUUUUAUUUACUUACUUAAAUACUUUAAAUGCAUUUAUUUUAUUUCUUAUUUUUUUAUGAAAUUUCAAAACUUUAGACUAUUUUUUUGUUACUAUAACCCUAAUUUCAUUCAUUUUAUAAUAGUUUUUUUUUAAAAUAUUUCUUAGAUUAAUUCCCUCGAUGUUAUUUUGUAUAUUUAUUUAUCUUUUUAAAUUUUCGAUAUUGUCUUAUUGUAUUAUUGUUGUUACUAUCAUUAUUCAUUAUUAUUGUUGAUUUUAUUCUUCUUUGAUUAAUGUUUAUGUUAGAGUAAUAGGUGUUAUGUGAUCAUUGUUAUUAUAUGUUAUAAUUUGUUGACACUCGUAUUGUAGUCAUUCGUCAGCUUAAUAUUUGAGUAACAUUUUAAAUAUUACAUUAAUUUUGACCCAAAUGCAUAAUUUUUUAAUAAGUAAUAUUUCGUAUUGUGGAAUUUGAGAGAUCAUUCCCUAACUUACGGGGUCUCGAUUUUUUUGAUAAAUCUGAAUAUAAGAACUAUUUUAAAAAAAUACGUUUUAAAAUUAUCUCGGGAAUUUAAAAAGAAGCGUGUUCUAACUUACGGAAUAUGAUCUUUUUUAAAAAUCGAGAUAAUCAAAUAUCUUUCAAAUAAAUAAACUUUUCGUGUUUAUUCUCGUUUUAGGAUUUAAGAUAUUGUGUCCUAACUCACGGGACACAAUUCUUUUUCUCGAUUAACGUGAAAUACGCCCUUUUUAAUUUUAUCUUUUUAAGUGAUUUUAACAAAAGGAUUGUAUUUUAAAUCUCUUCAAAAUUUUCAAUUUUUCGACAUUGAGACAUUAACUAAUCAAUUAGGUACCAAUUUUGGGCGUUACAAGGGUGUUAACCCUUCCUUGUACAUAACCGACUCCCGAACCUAUUUUUCUGAAUAUUAUAGGCCAAAAUUGUUUUAAUAAAUUAAACCCUUAAGAGGUGACUCGAUCACAGCUCAUAAAAAUUAUCGGUGGCGACCCUUGUUUUAAAAAAGGUGGUUUCAACAGCUUGGCGACUCCGCUGGGGACAAAAAUAAGAGUCAAGCCGCGAGUUGAUUAUUUCUUAUCUUUUUGUCAGAAAUUGUGAAUUCGAUUUAAAUUUAUGAUCUUUUCAUUGCAUUUUAUGGUCUGCAUCAUUUUUAUAUGCUUGCUUUACUACUUCGAGUCUUUUAAUCUUCGCAUAUUGUAUUGCAUAACCGUUCGGUUAUACCCUUUUAAGCGGGAGUGAGAAAUUAUUCUUUCGUGAGGUUUUCACCUUCGUAUAGGAUAGUGGAUUACUUUCAGGAUACAUCCAUACCUAUGUCUUCGUGAGAUUCUCAUCUCCGUAUAGUCAUAGGGAAAUGUAUUCCCCUGAACUGAACUCAGUCCGUAUGAGCCUAUAAUGGGUGAGGAUUGAGGAAUCUGCUGGUUCAGGUACCCUUUCUUUAGAACUAAACCGCAUGUAGUGAGCCCUAAGAGCAUACCCUAGGUAGAACCACUCCAAACCCCUAGUGGUCACCCAAAUAGGUGCUCUAUUUAUUUUUGCUUGCUUGUUUUUGCCUUGUACUAACCUAUUUGUUAUGGUUAUGAGUGCAUUGCAUUUUUAUCAUAAAAAAGAUGUGUUGAUUCACGUUCAGUUGCUAAAUAGAGAGCUUGUCAUGGAAAACGAAUUUCUUGAUAAAGUGGAAGACAAUGCGGUUGUCCGGAUAUGGUCCAAGAAAAUGUGAAGAAAGAAGGGUGAUAGUCUAAUGGAGGACUACACGACCUUGCUUCGUUGCCUGAUGAUUCAAGUUGACAAAGAUUAUUCGAGAGUCUUCAAUGUCCCGACCUUUUUAAAGAAGCUAACGAGCGUCACGAGGAUGAGCGAGUAAUGAGUUGCGGCCCGGAUCAAGCAAAAAAAAGAUAGAGGAGACACCCUUUUUGAAGAGUUCACGAGAUUUAUCUUAACAUCUAGACGAAGAAAAAGAUCAAUCUCUUUGCCUAGAGUAUGAGGGCAAAGCCGUAUAUAUAUCCGCUUUAUGUAAAUAAAUUUGUUUUCUAGUAAAGUUUUUCUAAUAGAAUUGAAUCAGAAUCAACGUCUCUUUUUGCAUUCAUUCCAUUCAUCUGCAUUGCAUUUCAUUGCAUCUAGAAUUUCACAAAAGGACCCUAAUUAAUCGAAAUUGUUAUAGCUACCUUGAAAAACUAACGAAAAUUUACCAAUUAAAUAUUCCUAUGGUACCCAUUGCAAAACUAAAGUAAUGGAUCAAAUAUUAGAAAGAUUAGAACAAAUGCUGAAGGAUAAACAUAACUGCUUUGGCUUAGGGUACAAGCCAGAUACAAGACAAAGAAGAAAUAGGAAAGGAGAACACGUUUGAGCGGGGAUGAGGUCAAAUGGGAGGGAUUAUUCAUCCCAGGCGAAGAAUGCCAAGAGAAGAAAAUAUUGAAAACAUGUUGGGAAACGUUCACAUCAAUGCCAUAUACGAAGAAGCAAUUGAAGGAGUGACCUUGUUAGAUAUCCGCCCUUAUGAACCUAAGAGUGUGCUAAACAAUUGGACUGCAGAAGAAAUUCUUGUAGUGUUUAGAGCUUACUCAUAGUAAUGUUCAGAACACACUUGUUGCUUUUAGCCUAGAAGUGAUAAGAAUCCCUCUGUGAAAUAGGCUCAUGUAUAAAAAUCAUUAUUUUAAUGAAGUACAUCUUUGCAUUCAUUUUGAGCAAAUAUUCUUUUAUUCUUUUCAUACGAGUAAUUAUUUUGGAUUCUUUAAUUCUUUUGGGAUUUUCUUCCAAAAUCAUUCUUUUAUUACAUCCAUAAUCAUACUGUACAAAUAAUGUAAUAGCCUGAAUUUUCAGUGGUGUCGGAAUGGUGAUUCAAGAUCACUAAGUCUGACAAAUGAGUAGAAAAUAUUAUUAAUUUAGUAAGAAUAAGUAAAUGUGAAGUUAGGAAAAUUUUUGAAAUAGUGAAUAGUGUACUAGGAAUAAAUAUUAAAAUAAUUAAAAUAAAAAAUGAGGUAUCGAGACCUCGAAGAUUUUAAACCAAGCCAUAAGUACUUUUAGAAGUAUUUUUAGAGUGUCAUUGAGUUGGUAUUAAAGUUUCGUUAGAAAAUUUUAACGCUCGGAUAGUUAAUUAACCAAAAAGGACUAAAUUGAAAAUAGUGUAAAAUUUGUUAAAUUGUGAUUAAAUAGCUUAAGUGAUUAAAAAGGAGGGAUUUAAAAGGCAAUUAGGCCCAAAUUAUAUGGGCUGGACGGUUGGGUAAGAAAAAUCAGCAGAAUGUAAGGAGAAAACAGGGGCAAAAUUGGAAACUUAACAAAUUAAACAUAUAAAACAAAGACAAAAGUGAAAAAUCUAGAGAUCUGUUCACAAUUUAUCAGCAAAAAUGCCAUAGGAGGUCUGAAAGAAGCUGGUUUUUCAUAUAUUUGAAUCAUGUAAGUUUAAUUCUUGAUUAUUUCUUCUAAUUUUUGUGAUUUUGAUACUUUUACAAUUAGGUCCAACUAAUUAUUUCAUUAGUUUUUGAUUUCAUGGCUGAUUUUGAAAGUUACCAUUGAUGAGUGUUGGAUUUUUAUGAUGAAUAAACAUGGAAUUAAAGCUUUAAUUUUGUUAUAUGAUGAUUUUAUUAAGUAAUUUUGAUAGAAAUUGAUUUUUGGGACCUAAUUGUGAAAAAGUUUGGAAUUAGGGUUUGGUGUUGCGGUUUUGAAUAUGAAAGGCUAUGUAGUAGUCUAAAAUAGUUGGAAAAGGUGUUAAUUGAGAAAAAUUAGAUCAAUUGAGGGGUUAAUUGAGUAGGACCAAAUUGUAAAAACUGUAAAGUUUGAGGUAAAAGUGUAAUUUCGAAAAUUUAAGGGCAUAAAUUGUGAAGUGAAUUAGAAUAGAAUUAUAUGCUGAUGAAUGAAUAAAUUUGUAUUUUAGAUCGAGAACCCGAAGCAAGCCGAGGAAAAGAAAAAGUAGUUGAUUAGUCCCUGAACUUUUACAAAUUCUGCAAAUCGACCCAGGUAAGUUCAUAUGGCUGAAAUUUAAUGAUUAAAUGUUAAUUUCAUGAAUUAUGUAAUGUAUGAUGAAAUGUAUUUAGUGUUGAAAUGAGAGUAAAAUAAAAAUGCGAAAAUCGAAUAAAUGAUCAAAUUAAGCGGAACGCCGGAUUUGAGUACUUCUGAUCAAGAGACAAAGUGAUAAGUGGUAGCUUUAGCUACACUUAUCUGAUCAAGUGAAAAAGUGAUAAGUGCUACACUUAUCUGAUCAAGAGACAAAGUGAUAAGUGGUAGCUUUAGCUCACUUAUCUGAUCAAGUGAAAAAGUGAUAAGUGCUAUACUUAUCUGAUCAAGUGACAAAGUGAUAAGUGGUAGCUUAGCUACACUUAUCUGAUCAGGGCCAAAUGAUAAGUGAUCAUACGUAAGACCAUAGUUAUACUAUGGCCAAGUGAAAGUGAAGUACUCAAUUUUCCGUAACCGUUCCUUAAUUUUGAUCAAGGAUGGUAAGUGACAAAUAGGCCCAAAGAAAUUAUGGUAAAAGAAUAAGUAGUAGUGAGUUUAUACCAAGGAACUCUCCAAAGAUUGUGGUUGACAAGUAAACUUAGUAAUGGUGUAUAUUGUAUAAGUGUACAAAUGUUUGGUAAGAUUUAUGUUUGUGCCUAUGAACUUACUAAGCUUUUCUAUAAGCUUACAUGUGUGUGUUUAUUGUUUUUCUAGAUUAACGUAUUUAUACAUUCGGAGGAUCGGAUCUACUUCGAGAAUCACACUAUCCAGAUAUACUCCGGUAGAUUUUGUUAAACAACUUUUUGGAUUUAUAUGGCAUGUACAGAGAAUUGAAGUAAAAAGUAAUAGAAUGAAUGACUGAGUAUGCAAAGUAAAUUUGAAUGUGAUGGUUGUGUUAGAUAUUGAAAAAUACAUGUUUUUAGUUUGAAAUGGUUGAUUGGCUGAACUUCGUUAGUAUUCAAGUGAAGUAGUUGAAAUACUGGAAUUGGUUGUGAUUUGAAAUUUGCAGGGAAGGUUAGAUAAAUAUAAAGGGGUUAUAUUGAUUUUUUUUUUAAAUUUCAAUGGAAUAAUUUUUGGACAGCAGCAUUGAUGUAACUUUUAAAAAUCACCAAAAAUAGUGGAAAUAGAAUUAGAAGUUGAAUGAGAUAUGAAAUUAAAUCUGAAUGAGUCUAAUUUCACAUGAAAGAAGUAGAAUAAGAAAAAGAGUUAUAUAUUUUUAGAUAUUUGAAUUUUAGUGAAACAGGGCAAGAAUGUUUUUGAAGUCCCCUGUUCUGACUUUAGAAAUUUAGUAAAAAUUGUACAAAAGGAAUUAUGAAUUAUAAUUUAUAUGUUUAAAUUCCGUAAUGAGUAUAUUUUAAGUAGAAAUAAUUGGAACCACCAUAUGAAGUCUUUGCAAUGAGAUAAUUGAAUUUUAGUGACAAGAGGUCAGGAUAGUCAAUUAGUGAAAUAGGGGAGACUUCAACUAAUAAACUGUAUUAAUUUGCUAAACCAAAAAUUCUGAAAAAUUUAUGGUGAAUAUACAUAUGAGUCUAGUUUGAGGGAAAAUUUACGGAUCUAAAUUUUUAGUUUCGUAUCUUGAGUUAUAAUUAUUUUAGUGACUACUGCGCAUGUGGACAGCUUUGUUGUGAAUGGUGAAAUUAAUUUUUAAAGUAAAUUUUUAUGCCCCGAACUUUUAAGUUCAGUCAAGUAACGCCUUAUGCUCGACUCCGGCAACCGUCUUGGGUAAGGGGUGUUAUAAAUAAUUAUUCUUAAAUUCAUACAUUCUUUGUAUAUUAUUUUGUACCUACAAUAGGUCCCUAGAUAUUAACAACAUGAGUGACGUUGCUACAGACUCAGAAUUUCCUUUUAAACAAGACAUGUGUUUAGAGGGAUCCCAUGGCUUUGAAGAUGACGUAGACUGUGGCUUAUCUCUGAAUUUGUUAAGGAUGGUAAAACAAGAGGAGAAGCAAAUCCUACCUCACAAGGAAUCAAUGGAAAUUGUGAGCUUAGAAGGGGGAAAAGAGGUGAAGAUUGAGACUAACAUUGCCACAAAGACAAAGCAUGACCUCGUUGAGUUACUCCAAGAAUUUAAAGAUGUCUUCGCAUGGUCAUACCAGGAUACUCCCGGGUUAAGUACUGGCAUUGUAGUACACUACCUUCUUAUAAAAGAAGAUUGCAAGCCAGUUUAGCAGAAACUCUGAAGGAUGAGGCCUGAUAUUGUGCUAAAAAUAAAAGAAGAAGUUAAAAAGCAAUUUGAUGUUGGGUUCUUACAAGUGGUUAAAUAUUCAGAAUGAGUAGCCAACAUCGUCUCAGUCUCUAAAAAAGAUGGGAAAGUACGAAUGUGCAUAGAUUACAGAGACAUGAACAAGGCCAGCCAAAAAGAAAAUUUCCCAUUGCCUCACAUUGACACUUUGGUGGAUAAUACAGUAGGCUACUCACUGUUUUCCUUCAUGGACGACUUCUCUGGAUACAACCAGAUAAAGAUGCAUCCCAAAAACAUGGGAAAGACUACAUUCGUGACCCUAUGGGGAAUGUUUUGCUAUAAAAUGAUGUCAUUCGGAUUAAAGAAUGUGGGAGCGACGUAUCAAAGGGAAUGGUAACCUUGUUUCAUGACAUGAUGUACAAGUAAAUCGAGGUUUAUGUUGACGAUAUGAUUGCAAAAUCCAGAACAGAAGAGGAACAUGUGUAGGCCCUAAGAAAAUUAUUCUUAAGACUGAGAAAGUUCCAGCUCAAGCUUUCCAACGAAAUGCACAUUCAGAGCUAGGUUAGGAAAGCUGUUAGGCUUCACAGUUAGUGAAAAAGGAAUCGAGAUCAACCCAGAUAAAGUCAAUGCGAUACGAGAUUUACCUCUACCAUGCACUCAGAAGGAAGCUCGAGGUUUCCUAGGAAGACUGAAUUACAUUGCUCGAUACAUUUCACAACUAACCGAAAAAUGUGACACCAUAUUAAAAUAAAAAUAGAUUAAAUUGUAAGUAAAACAUAAUUUAAACAUAUGAAUACAUCAAAUUAAUAAUACUAAAUGAAUACAGUUAUUUAUGAUGAUGUUGUUGCCAAUUCCUAAUUUGGUGUCUAGUUAAUUUGUGACAUCAUAAAUUUAAGUGAUAAAUUUAAGGUUUUAUGUAUUGAUGUGGAUUCAAAUAUCACCAUAAUUUUUGUAAAUAAAAAACUAAUAAGAUAACUUAUAUUAAGUACGAAAGGGUAUUUUUAUAAUUUCUCUAAUCGAGUUGGUGCCCGGUUGACUCAUGACACUAACUCAAUCAGAAGCUUUAAUAAUAAUAUAGAUAUUCAUGUUAAAAAAACAAAAAAAAAGUACUUUAGUUCCAAAUAAUUAUAUAACAAGUAAAUUUAUAAUUGAUGAAUAAAUUUAUAAAUAAUAUAUUUAUAUGAUCUAAUAUAUUAUAUUUAUAUUAAUUAUAUAUCAUCUACAAACUUUGAAGAUCAAUUUAUUAAGUAAAAAUGAAAUUGUUAACACUAAAUCAAUUUUUAGAUUUUGUAUAGAUGAUUUAGUGAUGAUAAAAACAUUAUUAACACUAUUUUUUAAUUAACAAAAAAUUAGUGAUAUAUUUAAAUUAUAUUUAUCAUUUAUUAUUUUUAAUAAUAUUUUUUAAUUAUAUGAAGUAAAAUUAUAUUGUAUACUAAAUAUGGUACAUAUACUCUAAUUAUAACUUGAAAUUUUAUUAUAUAAAUUAAUAUAAAUUUGAAUAACAAAAUAAAAAAAAACUAAUUAGAAUAAUUUUAAAAAACAUUAUUUAAAAGUAGUUAAAAAUCACGUGCAACAGGUGAGAUCAAUGGUCUUUAGAGAAGAAAUGUUGAAGAUCAAAGUUGGAAUCUGGCCUAUAAGGCCUUUAAUUGCUUUAAUAUUAAGCAGUUCCAAACCAAGAAGAUUACCGAUUUCCUCAGGAAUUUGACCUGCACACAUGGUCGAAAAAUCAAUGUGUCAAACUACCUAUUUUGUUAGCAUAAGUCAAAGAGGUUUUCUUUUCUAUUCUACAUAAUUUGCAGAUGUUAGAUUUUAAUAUUUUUAAGCAUAUUUGUUUUCAUCAAAUUAACUAUUUUGAACUAUUUUGCCUUGAAUGAAAUAAAAUGCUCUUACUUUUGUUAUCUAUUACUAAUCAAACUCUUUUAUAAAAAAAAUACUUUAAACUAAAGAAACCAAGAAAAUUCAAUACCUUCUAGGUUAUUCAACCCCAAAUAUAAUUCUUUGAGUCGUGUCGGAUUUCCAAUACUUCUUGGAAUGAUCCCCAUCAAUUGAUUAUAGGAAAAUGACAAAAUUUUAAGGUUGUUGCAUUUGCUUAUACUUGACGGAAUGUUACCAUAUAAUUCAUUCCGACUCAAGUAAAGCCCUUCAAGCUUGGAAAGAUGUGACACAUAUCAUUAGGCAAGCUACCUGAUAGGCUAUUGUUGGAGAGAUCAAUGGCCUUCAGAGAAGAAAUGUUGAAGAUCGAAGUUGGAAUCUGACCUGUAAGGCCUUUAAUUGCUUUAAUAUUAAGCAGUUCCAAACCAAGAAGAUUACCGAUUUCCUCAAGAAUUUGACCUGCACACAUGGUCGAAAAAUCAAUGUGUCAAACUACCUAUUUUGUUAGCAUAAGUCAAAGAGGUUUUCUUUUCUGUUCUAUAGUAAUUUGGUGAUGUUAGAUUUUAAUAUAAUUCAGCACAUGUUUUUCAUCAAAUGAAAUAAAAAGUUUUUCCUUUUGUUAUCUAUUACAAAUCAAGCUCUUUUAUUAAAAAAAUACUUUAAAUUCAAGAAAUCAAGGAAAUUAAUUACCUUCUAAAUUAUUAAACCCCAAAUAUAAUUCCUGGAGUCGUGUUAGAUUUCCAAUACUUCUUGGAAUGAUCCCCAUAAAUUGAUUAUGGGGCAACAACAAAUUUUUAAGGAUGUUUCAUUUGCCUAUGCUUGACGGAAUGUUACCAGAUAACUCAUUGCUAUGCAAGUGAAGCCCUUCAAGCUCGGGAAGAUGUUGACACAUAUCAUUAGGCAAACUACCUAAUAGGCUAUUCCUGGAGAGAGCAAUAGUCUUGAGAGAAAAAUGUUGAAGAUCGAAGUCGGAAUCUGAUCUGUAAGGCCUUUAAUUGCUUGAAUAUUAAGCAUUUCCAAACUAAAAAGAUUACCGAUUUCUUCAGGAAUUUGACCUGCAGACAUAGUCGAAACAUCAAGGUGUUAAAUUUCCUAUUUUGUUAGUGUAAAUCAAAGAGGCUUUUUAUUUUUUUUCGUUAUGAAAUAAUAUGGAUAUGUUCGAUUCUAAUCAUAUUUAAGUAUAUAUUAGUUCUUGAAAGAAUGAGUUCUUAUUUUUGGUAUUUAUAUUGCAAAUAUAUAUUUUUUUAAAUUUAAAAGAAGGGAGGGGGCAAAUGUGUUUAAACUAAAGACAUCAAGGAAAAGGCAUACCAAGUAUAAUUGUUUAAGUUGUGUCAAAUUCCCAAUGCUUUUUGGAAUGAUCCCACUAAAUUGAUUAAUAGACAAUUCCAAAAUUUGAAGGUUGCAGCAUUUGUCUAUACUUGAUGGAAUAGAACUUGAUAAUUCAUUUCUACUCAAGUAAAGCUCUUUCAGCUUGGGAAGAUGGACACACAAAUCAUCGGGCAAGCCACCAGAAAGACUAUUAUCACAAAAAUGAAUCCUUUUCAAAGAAGAAAUGUUAAAGAUGGAAGAUGGAACCUGGCCAGAUAAUUGAUUGAAUCCCAAGUUCAAGAUCUCUAGAUUGGACAAGUUGACAAGUGUUUGAGGGAUCGUGCCUGUGAAGUUAUUAUUUCUCAUUUCCAACCUUUGAACUCUGUGCAAGUUCCCAAGCCAUGGUGGAAUUUCCCCAUUAAGACGGUUGUAGCUUAAUCGAAUGAUCCUCAAACGAUGCAAUUGGCCUAAUUCUUUAGCCAGAUGGCCGUAGAAAUUGUUGUUGCUCAAGUCGAUAGAAAAUAGAAAUGAAAGAUUUCCAAGGUGUGGAGGGAUAGUACCCCUAAGAUUCAUGUUUGUAAGAUUAAUCAAAGCUACAACUCUUUCAUGGAUGAUGCCACAAGAAACACCAACCCACUUACAGACAGAGGUAGAGUUCGUCCAAUUGUUUGCCAACACAUUUUGAGGAUCGACAAUGCGAUCUUUAAACUCAAAGAGUGCAAACUGAUCGGAGUUGAGAUUCCGGACUGUCAUAGCCAAGGAAACAAUAGAACAUUGUAUGAAUAAAAGUGAAAGAAGAUGAAAGCAAGUGUUGUAGUUCAUGAUGGCAAGACGAAAUAAGCCAGGAAAAGGGAAGUUGAAUUGAUGAAGAAAUAGCCAGCCAACAUGCUUAAAUAGGCUUCAACCCUUGCACACUUCUCAUACAUAAAGUUCGCUGCCAUUACAACAAGAAAACUCAUAUCUCCAUUCGUACCUAUCCAUACUUUAUUUGACUAACUUUUCCCUAACAAGUGUUCAGUAAGGAGAUAAAUCAGUUUGGAGCUAUUCACCGGCUUCUCCAAUCUUGGUUUCAAACUCCUAACCCAUCAAUUCACUUUAAUUGAAACGAUAUACACGAGUCUUUCGGCUUAUAUUUUUAAUUUAAUUUUUGUUACUUUUCAUAAUAUUUUUUGAGAAAUCCAAAUAUUCCAGUCUGAAAUUUCUUCAUUGCCACGUCUAUCUCCUGGGUAAGUCCGUGGUUAGGCAGCCCACUUUGGGAGCAGGAUUGUAAUUGUAAUUCUAUCCGACUCAUUUUACUAUUUAGAAAUAUAAAAGUAAUAUUAUAUUAUUUUUUAUAUUUUUAUAAAUUUAAUUUUAAUUAUAAUUUUUAAACAAUAAAACGAGUCAUUUGUAUUUGCCUAGUCUAAAUUGAAUCAGGAGUCAAAAAAAUUUUAAUCAUAAUUUACUAUUAUUUUAAUUAAUUAAAAUUUAACCUACUACAACUAGUAGUUGCAGAAAAAAUGUCAUUCCUUUAGAAAAACGAAAAUCCUUUAGAAAAAUGAGAACUUAUGAAGCAUUCAAUAAGAGUCAUUGGAAUAAAUGGUAACGAAAUCAUAAUUCAAUAUAAAGCUAAAAAAUGUACCAAUCUAUAUAAAUAAUGUAAGAUUUGUGAUACCUAAAUUAUUAUAUUUUCCAUAAAUAUAUGAAGAUAUUUUAUUAGGAAAUAAUUUUAUAUAUAAAAUUUUUUAUUUUCUUUUGAUAGAAAUUUAAUUAUGUUAUCUGUAGAAAAAAAUAUUUAUAGAAAUAUUAUUAGUAGAAAAUCAUAAAUUUGUGUGUGGCAAAAAAAAUUCACCACCAAGAAAGGGGCAAAUUAAACAACUUGAAACAAGUCAUUGGUUGUUUAAAAUAUUAGAUAAUAAUUUCAGUGAAGAAUCAUUAAAAUUAUGACAAAAUAACCCUAGAUAUUGUAGUAUUAAAUUGGAAAAUCUCAAUAAUAUUAUUAGAGUAAAACCUAUGAUCUAUCUAAACAAGAUAUAGAAGAUUUUGAUAUACAAAUUAAGGUUAGAAAUCAUGCGGAAAUAAAAAAGAAAAAAAAGCUAGUAUGGUCAUUAAUUAUAAAAGAUUAAAUCAAAAUAUUAUUUUUUUAUAGUUACUUGAAUUAAUCAGGCUAAACAAACAAAAUAUUUUAGUAAAUUUGACUGCAAAUCAGGAUUCUAGCAAAUCAUGAUAACAGAAAAGUCCAAACCUUUAACGGCUUUUAGUGCACCCAAUGGACAUUACCAAUGGAAAGUGAUGUCAUUUCAAUUAUGUGAUGCACCACAAAUCUUCCAAAGACGAAUGGAUUUUAUAUUUAAUAAAUAUAAAAAAAUUCUAUGUAGUCUACAUAGAUGAUAUUUUUUAUAUUUUUAGAUACACUAGAAUUACAUAAGAAACAUUUAAAUAUUAUUUCUUAAGAAUUCAUAAAAUAUAGAAUCAUAUUAAACCCUAAAAAUAUAGAGUUAGAAAAAAGAGAGAGAAUUUUUAUAAUAGUGGAAAUAAAAAAUUGUCCUCAAAAGAUUGAAGAAAAAAAGAACUUCCAACAAUUUCUAAUAUAUUCCUCCCAAAUUUUCAGUUUCAAUUUUAUUACAGAAUUUCUUUGCCGACAAUAAGAAAUUAAGAGCGCUCUUUAAGUUGAAUAUAGUCCGUCAGAUAUGGCUAUCUAUAACAUGGAACCUUUGGUUUUCAAGCUGAAUAGGAGAAUUGAUUCACUUGAUAAGUAUGAAAAAUUGAAACUGCUAAAUUUAAGUGCACUAACUCUGGAUAUCAUCAUUAUUUUUCUGUACAUUAAAGUACCUGUUUGAUAUGCGAUUUCUGCCUCAAACUAUCAACAUCUUUAACAUCCUUUUGCUAUAGUUAGCAUGGGUACUUCCUUUUAGAUUAACAGUUAGGUUUGAACUGUGAAUUAGAUUUCUGUGGCUGCUGGGAUUGAAGAAGUUAGUAUGCGAAUGACAUUGGACAAAUUUGGCAAAGUCUUCUCCAUCAGUGAAGAAAACCCCUUGGCGUAUGAAAAAUGUUCACCAUCUUAGACAUUUGUUUUCUUAUUGUAAGAAUAUUUUUAACAUUGUAACUUUUAACAUUAUUGUAAGAAUAUUUUGAAUUAUACUUCAGUUAUCAAUUUAUAUCAUAUAUCUUUUGUUGAAUUUGAAGUAUAAUUUAUAUUUGCUGUUUUUGGUUAGAUUUCAUGCUAUAGGAAGGGUUGUAUAUGGAUAGAAAUUGAAUGUUACAAAUCUGCCAAAGUUAGUGGCGUUUUUUCAUAAGAGCUGCUAAAGAAUGCUAUUUUUGGCGGUGUUUGUAAUAAAAGAGCCGCUAAAGGUCAUGUUCUUUAGCGAUGUUUGUGGGUAAAGCGCCGCUAAAGAUCAUGUUCUGUAGCUGUGUUUGUGGAUAAAGCGCCGCUAAAGAACAUGACCUUUAGCAGCGUAUUUUCACAUAAACGCCGCAAAAUUUAGCGGCUUUGUCUAUAGCGACUUUUUUUGCAGCGCUUUAAGUUUUAGCGGCGCUUUUAGGCCUAAAAAAGGGCCGCUAAAAGCCUGUUUUGCUGUAGUGAGCAUAUUUACAUUUUCGUCCCAAUUUCAACUAACACCCCAUCUAUUUCCCACUUCCCUUUUUCGGGCAAUUUCAACUAACACCUUCAUAUCAAACAUAACUAUUUUUCAAUUUUUCUUCUUUAUUUCAUUAAUAAAAUUAUCAAUCUAUUUGUUUUUAAAUAUAUAAUUUCAUUAAUAUUUUUUAAAUUAUAAUAUAAGAGUUGUUGUUUAUUUAUAGUUUUAUUACAUUAUUUACUCUCUCUUUUCUAUCAAGUUUUUUAAAUUAUAAUAUAAGAUUUAUUUUAUCAAUUUGUGGCUUAUCCAGUAUUCAUCUAUUUUAAUAAUAACUUGAGUUCCAGUCAUUAUCAUACCAGAAAGAGUUCCAUUUAUUCUUUAUCGUAAAUUUUAUAAAAAAAUAUACAUUUUAUUAUAAUACUAUAUGUGUUACGAAUAAUAUUUUAUUGUGGAUGCCCAUAAUUUUCAAAGUUGUAACCUCUAAUGUAGUAACCUUAAUGAAAUUAUGAGGCUUUUAUAUUGUAAUCAAGCCUCUAUUUAUUCUUUGUAACUUAAACAGAAGCAUAUUUUCUAUUAUAUUGAUAUUUUUUAUAGAUAUAUAUAUAUAUAUAAGGAAUCAAAUAAAAAGUUAUUUACCUUUCUAUUAUAUUGAUAUUUUCUAUUUGAUUUGUUCUUUUCUUUCACUAUUCCAUAAUAUAUUAUCAGUACGAUUUUAACCAAGAGUAACAUGUUAUUAGAUUGUGUCAAAAUUUUGUUGAGAAUCAUUAGAUUGUUUCCUUUUUCUUCUAUUUAGCCCCAAAUUGCACCCCUACACAAAAUUCAACAAAAACAUGGAAAAAUUAGUGGUGCACUCUCAUAAAUUAACCAAUUUAAUUACAUAAAAUAUGUAACUUUAGCAUUUUAUCAAUCAUGUUCUUUAGCGGCAUUUGUGGGUAAAGCGCCGCUAAAGGUCAUAUUCUUUAGCAGCGUUUGUGAUAAAAGUGCCACUAAAUAUCAUGUUCUUUAGCGGCGUUUGUGGAUAAAGCGCCGCUAAAGAACAUGACGUUUAGCAGCAUUUUUUUACAUAAACGUUGUAAAAUUUAGCGGCGUUGUCUAUAGCGACGUUUUUUGCGGUGCUUUCAAAUAGUUUUAGCGGCGCUUGUAGGCCUAAAAAAAUGCCGCUAAAAGUCUGUUUUGCUGUAUGAGCAUAUUUACAUUUUCGUCCCAAUUUCAACUAACACCCCAUCUAUUUCCCACUUCCCUUUUUCAGCCAAUUUCAACUAACACCUUCAUUUCAAACGUAAUUGUUUUUCGAUUUUUCCUCUUUAUUUCAUUAAUAAAAUUAUCAAUCUAUUUGUAUUUUAAAUAUAUAAUUUUAUUAAUAUUUUUUAAUUAUAAUAUAAGAGUUUUUGUUUAUUUAUAGUUUUAUUAUAUUAUUUACUCUCUUUUUUCUAUCAAGCUUUUUAAAUUAUAAUAUAAGAUUUAUUUUAUCAAAUGGUGGCUUAUCGAGUAUUCAUCUAUUUUAAUAAUAACUUGAGUUCCAAUCAUUAUCAUACCAGAAAGAGUUCCAUUUAUUCUUUAUCGUAAAUUUUAUAAAAAAAUAUAUAUUUUAUUAUAAUACUAUAUGUGUUAGGAAUAAUAUUUUAUUGUGGAUGCCCAUAAUUUUCAAAGUUGUAACCUCUAAUGUAGUAACCUCAAUGAAAUUAUGAGGCUUUUAUAUUGUAAUCAAGCCUCUAUUUAUUCUUUGUAACUUAAACAGAAGCAUAUUUUCUAUUAUAUUGAUAUUUUUUUAUAGAGAUAUAUACAUAAGGAAUCAAAUAAAAAGUUAUUUACCUUUCUAUUAUAUUGAUAUUUUCUAUUUGAUUUGUUCUUUUCUUUCACUAUUCCAUAAUAUAUUAUCAGUACGAUUUUAAUCAAGAGUAACAUUGUAUUAGAUUGUGUCAAAAUUUUGUUGGACUUCAAGUAUUGGAAUUUAAUUGUUUAAGUUAAGAAUCAUUAGAAUCAAUGGCUAUUUGAGAUAUGCUUGAGGAUGAUCUCAUUCUAUUCAUCACAAAGGUGGAGGUUAGAAAAUCUUUAUGUUUAAACAUUUAUAGCUUUAAAGUUAUUUUAACCUCUUAUUGUGACCUUAUAAUAUUUUGUAAUUUUUUGUAUUAUGGUAUAUAAAAAAAAUCUAACCAUAGUGAUUGAUUAGUAAUAUGAAUUUGUUAUUUGUUAUGUUUAAUAUAUAUUUUAUUUAUACUUAUUCAUUUUAUUUUUAUAUGAGUAAAUGAAGUGUUUGAAGAUUCGAAAUUUUUAUCAUCCAAGUUGAAAAUAAGUGCAAAAGUGUACAUUAUUUAAAAUAAAUUACGCAUUCAUUAAUGUUAUAUGAUAAAAUCAUUACAUGUUCUAAAGAACUAAUAUUGCAUCAAACUGUAAAAAGCUCUUGAAGAGUUAAUAUUUUACCUCCUUGUGAUACAAAAUCAUAUACAAUAUGAUAUUAUUUUUCAAAUCGAGUAGAUAUAUGUUGAGGGAAAUCUUUAUGUGGUUUACAUUAAAACCAUGGAUAGAAAUGACAUGAGAUACUCGUGUAUUUUUAUUAUAAAUAUUCCUUGAAGGAAGACACUUCACUUGUAUGAUUGACAUAUGAGAUAGUGGCAAGAAGUUCAUAGUGUUGGUAUGGUCGUCUAGAUCAUCUCAAAUCAAUAAUGAUGCAAAAUAAUUUGAAGAGAAUUUAUAUGAUUUUAUUGAAGAAUGAGAAGAUAUUUUCAUUUUGAUAAUUGUCAUCAAUACUAGUUCUUUGGAAAAAAAAUAUUGAACUAACAUAAAGUUAGAGGUUGGUUGCAUUUUUUGAUGAUAUCCAAAUAAUAUAUGAGCUCAUGUAUCACAUGUAUGCAACCCAAAGUUUACAGUAUUAUUUCUUGAAAUAAUUUGAUUCUACACAAUCUCUAUAGUAUGCAAUUUGUGCUAACAACGUUGGUGCAUUAUAUCCUAAGCUUGAUUUUCGUAGUUUUAGCUGAGAUAAUAUUAAGUUGUCUAUGCCUAUAUAUGUUAUACUUAAUGGUUAGCAAAAUUGUGCCUCCAUUUAAUUGCUUAACCAUUAAUAUAAGAAUAACUUUAAAAUAAGCAUGUAAUUUUAUUUGCAUAGAGUCAACAUGUAAGAAACAUUUGCCCCAUGAGAAUUGGCUUUCAUUUAUAAGCCAAUAGGUUUCAUAUGACUAUUUGGAUGUAAAAUAUCUAUUUUAUAUUCCACCAUAAUGCACUAAGAUGGUCCAUCAAGUAUGAAGUUGAGAAAAUUUAGAAUUUUUAUUUGAUGGUAAAAGUUGAAAAGAGAUAUAUACUUAUAAUUUUGAAAAAAAUAGUCAUGUUGCAAAUUUUUCUCAAUAUUAGGGGGAGACAAGUUGGACAAAUAAGGAUAAUUAUGUCAUCACUUUUUGUGAUCCCUCACUAAUAUUAUGUGCACAAAGUUUGAAGGAAAAAAGUAUUUGCUAGACAUGUUUAGUGAUGACACUUAGAGAUUGUAUAUACUAGAUGAUACAUAUACCAGCUAAAAUGUUCCAAAUAAUUAUGAGUCCUAGAAGGACAUAGUGAUAAAAAUAAUUUUUGGGCACGCUAGAAGGAUAAAAAACUAGUUCAUUCUAUAAAUCAAAAAAUUCUUGAAAGAAAAGAGUAAGAAAUGAAGCUGGCCACACAUUAAAGGAAACGAGUACUCAUGAAGAGACCUAAGGCAUAACUUUUAAUAAAACCCCAAAAGAGGUUCAAUACAUGGAAUUAUGAAUAUAAUAAGAUAUCUCGAUUAGUUAUAUCAUAACUAAAGAUGAUGGGGUUGAUAAAAGGAAAUUGUUGUUAACAACGAUAAUCUAAGUAGAACAUUUCAAUAUUAUGGUAAAAUGAGUAUUUUGAAUGAAAAUAUACUUGAAAGUAUUUAGAUGGGAACAACUCAUCAAAAUAAAUAGACGUUUCUAUUAUAACUUAUGAAAUGUGUCUCGGACAUGAAGUCCAAACAUUCGACAGGUGUAAAGCCAAGUGGAGUAUAUGUUAGCAUAAUAGUGAAAAAAUACAAAUCAUAAUAUAUAAAAUUGACUUGUAAGACAAACUUUCCCAAGACACUUGAUUUUGAUUAUGAAAAAUGAUUAAUUUGUGAUCUUAUCAAUUGAACAUACUUUGUAUAAUCAACAAAUUAUUAAUUAACCUCAUUUAACCAAUUUCCUUCAACACAUUUCAAAUCAAAUUAAUGUGUUGAGCACGCCCUUAACCCUUUUUCUUGAUUCAUUGCAUAGUCUAUUUCCAAGUACCAUAAUCAUCAACAUUUCAAUAUAUAAAGUCAUAACAUAAUGAAUCAUAGUUAGAAUUUUUUUUACCCUAUUAACCAAGUAUGGAACAAAAAUAAAAACCUAAUUUGUCAAGCUCAUUCAAUCAGCUUAUAUAUUAUAAGAAGAGCCUAAGUAUAAAUCCUAUACAUGAUUUCAAAUUCAACUAUUUAUAUUUGAGAUUCAAUUUAAAAUUCAUACUGAAAUUAUCAAAUUAACUCGUAAGCUACUCACGCUAAACAUUAAGGUACUCGAAUUCAAGUGGCUAGAUAUCAUAAACACUUUUAGCUUGUAAAACUAUUUCUAAGGGUCAGCCCAGAAUCAUGGUUGAACCCAAAAUCUGGUAACAAAAAUUUAAUUGAGCCAUCAGCCUAAAACAAAAAAGGCUUAAAAGGUUGGCACCCGAACAAUCAAAGAUAAACACCACCAUAUGCCACUCCCUGAAUCCGAUACAUACAAUAACACCCUUCACCACUUUUAUUCUUCUCCUUUUUUUUAACCUCAAUUUGGAUGGUCGCAUUUCUCUUUUUAGUGCUUUAUAGGGUUUGGGCUUUCAGAAUCCUCAGAGAUGCAAUUCAUGGAUCCCUCUAAGAAAUGCAAGCUUGAUGAAAAUGGUAUUAUUUCAACGGCAUCAGAACCUGACCCAAUCACCAAACUAACCCCACAAGAUGGCCGCAAGCUAAUCGAGCAAUUUAUCGUCGAUCAACUCCUUGACGUCCUCCAAGAUGCUGUUUGUUGUCACCUUGAUGUUCUUUCCGCCGUACACUCUAUUGCCGAUCAAGAUCCAUCUCAAAGGAAGCUUUUCAUCCGUGGUUGGGUUGGGAUACUACAACCCAACCCAACCCACAUUAGCAUACUACCAUGCGGUAACUUCUAGUGAUUUCUGUCUGUAACAUUAGACAGGUUAACAGUUAAAUCGUUCAACUGAAAGAUUUCUUUGAAGGAAGAGGUCAAUUGAUUUUUUUUGGAAUCAUUGUGUACUCAGUUGCAUUUAAGACGGGUAUCAUUCAUAAAGUAUAUAUCUACAUCAAGAAUGGUAGCCUCUUAUAUUAUAUUCAUGUAUUUAUUUUGCAUCUUUAAUUAUAAUAGGAUUUUUUUUGUUUAUUUAUAGUUUUAAUUAUAAUAUUUUUUAAAUAUGCCAAAGUAAAUUAUGUACCAAUUUUAAACUUCUCCUAGGUAAUUUAACGUAAGGGCAUUUAUGUUAUUUUACCACUUAUGAUAAAACUAACCUAAUUUUAGAUCUAAGUGUUUACCAACCUUCUUUUAGUCAAAUUAUGCAAGCCUAAAAUUUUUAGCUUAAUUUGAGUUUGUUUACUAUGUCUAAUUCAAGUUUUAUUAUUAAGAACUAAAUUGUAACUUAAACAAAUUAGAAUACCAAUUUAAAGAGACAAAAAUUCAAAGCCCCAAAACCCACACGGGCAUGUGGGUAAGUGACACAGGCGUGUGGAAACUGGAGCUAUCACACACGGGUGAGUGGGACUGAAAAAUAUGAAAUAAAUUAAUCCAUUUAAAUUUCCAACAACCAUGCUAUACUACCAAACCAAAUAAUGUUAGAAGCUUUGAAUAGGGGCGAAUCUUAAAAAAAAUAGAAGAAUUAGAAUUAAAUUAUAAAAUUUUGAGAAGUUGUCAUGUAUUAAUUUAUUAUUUUUUAAAGGGUCUUAAUAGAUUUUUUUUCCCCAUUUUGGUUUGGCCAAUACCCCUGUCUGCCUCUUUCAAUUUGCUUCAACCCUUAGCCCAAUAUUCGAUUUGUUGUGGAAGUUUGACGCAUAAAAAUUCCUUUUUUAGAGGUUUAAAUUAUAAAUUUUUAUUAACAAAAUAUAAAAGAAAAAAACAUGUGUAGACAAGCCAAGAAACCUUUGGGAUCAUACAGGUGAUUUUGAGAUGUUCAUGGUUAUUUUGGUGGAGAGGGUAAAAAAGAAACAAAUGAUUCAUUAUAUAUGAUAUAAUUAUGAAAUUCAAGCCAUAUAUUGUAUGUUUCAUCCAUACAAAUUUCUUGUAGCAUUAAAUGACUCGUAGGCUUGCUGAAUUUCUUUGAAAGGCCCAAAGGCAAUUUAACAUUCACAAAAUAAUCUCUAAAUAGUGUAAAGACAAAUCAAAUCCACAGUAGCAUUAGAGUUGAUUAAGCUAAGCAUUGGCAAAUAUUACUUUGAUUUUGCAUGCAAUAUUGGCAAAACCCCCUCUUACAUUAGAAAAACAACAUAAUCCAUGAAACAUUGAUAGCCCAAUACAAAUUUCAUCGAGAAAAAAGUCUCUUUGUUUUGUAGAACAUGAUAGUAAAGAUGUGGAGUUUCGUUCUUCUUAUUGGCCUCCUUUAGUUUUCCUUGAUCAACAACCACUAGCCAAAAACACAAUUAGAUUAGAUUAUGAAUGAUACUUUCAACUAUGACAAUAUUAAAUACAAACCACUCUAAAUAACUCUAAAUAAAUGGAAAGCAGCAAAUUACCAGACGAGGCAAGCUAGCUCAAUUAAGACCAUUGUGUUAUACUUGUCUCUGAAUUGAAAAAUUUAGAAGGAAAUAAAGAGAAAGACUUAGAAAAUACUUGAAAACAGAAAAAAAAAUUAUGUCAUUUAAAAUAAAAAAUUUCUAUUCAAGCCAUUUAAAAUUUGUAAGAUUUUUAAAAUUUUAAAAUGAUAAAGGUAAAAUUGUACUUUGGCACCCCAAAAAUGAUAAAACUUUGAUUUAAUUAUUUAAAAAUUAUAAAAAUAUAGGCUAUUAAAAUGGUGAAAUUAUAUUUUUACUAUAGUAAAAAUUACAAUUUAAUUUCACCCCUAAAAGGAUUUUCUGGCUUCGCACCUAAUAAAAUCUUUGGCAAAAGACUAAAAUAAAAUUAUACCAUGAAUGGAAAAAGAAACUAAUAAAAUCCAAUCUAACAAAGAAAAUAACUUGAUGUCCAAAAGCUACCAUAAACCGUAAUUCAUGGGAAGGCUUGUUGCUUAUUUUAUUGGUUUCCAUUUUGAAAGAAGUUUGAAUUUUGAAGAGAGCCUACUACGUGAAAGCAAAAGAAAAAAAAAUAGUUUAUAUGAUUAAAAUUCCAGAAUAGAUUAAAAAUGUUGAAUUAAAGAUAAAAUUAAGUGUGAAUUAAUAACCACAAGUGUACUCUUUACUCACCAUCUCUGUUAAAAAUGUUGGAUGUUGUUUAGCAACCUUUGUUUGAUUUUCUUCAGCUCAACCACAACAUCUUUCAUAUCUUUUCUUUCUUCUGGUAACUCAGCUGAACAAUUCAAAGCCAACUCCAUGAUAGAUGAAAUACAAUUUGCUUUAACAACAAUGUACUCAUCCUCUCUUCUUAAUAAAUCAACAUCUGCAAUUUCUAUCGCUCCUUUAGGCAAUGAUCUUUCCAUCCAAUGCCUUAUACUCUCUUCUUCAACAAAAACCUUAUCAGUUGGCUUUUUCUUUGUGAAAGUUUCUAUAAGGACGAUCCCAUAACUAUAGACGUCAGAUUUUAUAGAAACAAUUCCUGCUGAUCCAAAUUCUGCAUUUCAAGUAUAAUUAGAACAUCAUUCAUCCUCAAUUAUUUCUAAAACGCUUAUUCAAAUAUCUAUCCACAUACACGUGAAACAAGAAUAUAAAAUACAAAUUAGGAAAAUAAUCAUACAAAAAUAAAAAAAAGAAUUCACCUGGUGCCAUAUACCCAAUAGUUGCAAGAGUCAUGGUUUGCUUCAUUACUUCACCUUCUCCCAACAAUUUGGCAACGCCAAAAUCUCCAACAUGUGCAACCAUGUCUUCAUCUAGUAAAAUAUUGCUUGGUUUUAUGUCACAAUGAAUUAUAGGUGUUGGAUGUCCAUUGUGGAGGUGUUCUAUAGCUACCGCAACAUCUAUCAUUAUGUCGACCCUUUGUAUGAUACCAAGGAAACAAUUUUCAGAAUGUAACCAUUUCUCAAGGUUUCCAUUAGACAUGUAAUCAAGCACCAAGGCUUUGAAGUCAACACUUGAGCAGUAAGUAAUGACCUUCACAAUAUUACGAUGAACUAUAUUAAGCAUAGCAUCACAUUCAAUGUCAAAACUCCUAAAUGCUCCCUCUGUUUGCAAAUUGAAAACUUUUAUUGCAACUUCCAUUCCAUCUGAAAGCCUCCCUUUAUAUACAUAUCCAAAACUCCCUGAACCAAGCGUAUUGCUUUCCUCAAAUCCAUUAGUUGCUCGUGAAAGUUCAGCAUGUGAAAUUCUUCUCAGUGUCUUCAAAGACAACAAAUCAUCUUUAACUGGUAGAGCUGUACUCCUUUGGCAUCUUCUAUACAUAAUAGUUAAGACUAUUAGUACUAGGACAAUACCAAUUGUUGGUAAACCAUACCUAAAAGCAUGCAAUAUAAUCAUUUGGGAGUUUUUGUGGAUGUCAUUUUUGCAAGGUGGGACUAGCAAUCUAGGUGGACCACAAAGUGCACAAUUAUUCAUGAAUGAUGUGCUAGAAAAGUUUGAAAAACAUCCUUUGCUGGGAAUUUCCCCUUCAAGUCUAUUGAAAGACACAUUAAAAUACUUUAGAUAUAAAAGCUUUUCCAAAGAUUUGGGAAUGACUCCAGAGAGAUUGUUAUUGCAUAAAUCCAAGAAUUCCAAACUAAUCAACCCAUCAAAUGAUUCAGGGAUAUGACCAUGUAGUAUAUUAUUUGAUAAAUCUAAUGAAACCAAAGUUUGAAGACCCCCAAAUGUGGAUAAGAUAUCGCCCAUGAGAAGAUUCCUUGAUAAAUUUAGUCUCAGUAGACUCCUAAAGUUUCCAACAUCAAUAGCAUGCGAAUUGUGAAGAUGGUUUGAUGAUAAAUCUAUUUCUAAGAUAUCUUUAAGAUUCCAUAAAGUUGAGGGUAUUGCGGAACUCAAUUUGUUGGAAUCUAACCAAAGAUAUCUCAAAGCAGAAAUAUUACCUAAACAAGAGGGUAUGGAUCCAUGCAGCUUAUUCAACCCUAAAUACAUCUUGAAUAGUCUCUCCAAACCACAGAGGCUUUCUGGGAUAGGCCCUUCUAAUUUAUUAGAGGAAAGAAAUAGACCUUGGAGAUUUAUCAUUCCUCCUAUUGAUGCUGGAAUCAAUCCACUUAAUUUAUUAUAGCCAAGUUGUAAAACCAACAUGUUGCUUAAGUUACCUAUUUCCAUAGGAAUAAUGCCUUGAAGCUCACACUCUGUGGCACGAAAGUAUUGAAGGGAUUUUGAAAGGUUCCCGAAAUAAGUAGGAAGAACGCCACUCAAUGGAUUUCCUGAAACAAUUAUUCUUUUCAAAUGCUUGCAAUUCGUCAAAGAAGAAAGAAAGCUCCACUCAUGAUCAGUAGCAGAUCCUGUGAUCAAAUUAUUGUUUACGAUUCCGAACCAUUCAAGGUGUCUUAAGCUGCCAAGCAUUUUAGGGAUUGGGCCAGAGAAUAAGUUUUCUGACAAGGAUAGAAUCUUAAGCAUGGAAGCAUUGGAGAUAG